CGCUGAUCAUGGAGUCCAGGAUGUGGUUUUGCCCGGAGCUGGAAAUCCUCUCGGAGGUGGCAGGCUUGUCGCUGUAAAUCCAAAAGCUCGAGCAUGAUGUGUUACCCCAGCUCACGGUUUAGGAGGCUAAGCUGGAACCGGGCGCCCUGGAAGCCCUCCUACUCAUGAACAACUCAGCUGUUGCGCUCUUACAUAUGAGGAAGUGCUUUAAGGAAGCCUUGGGCUUUUUUCUUCGCGAGGAUUAUGUGGUCUCAGCCAAAGUCAAAAAGCUGAGCAAAAUGCUAAAGGAUAUUGCUGUCCCGUUGCUUCAGGAGCAUGAAUGCAACAUUGUCUGGCUUCAGGAGCGUGUCCCGUUGCGGGUCCAGCUGGUCACCGAUGUGUUGGAGACCCGGUUAAUUUCUGUGAUUCUGAUGAGUCUUCUGAUGAUGAGUCUUCUGAUGAGUAUUCUGAUGAGUAGACUUAUCAGCCAGCUCGAGGCUGUUGUGAUGAGUAUUUCUUAGGGGCAUGGCAAACAGUUUAGAAUCAAAUGUUGCGAUGUAUUUCUUGGAACCUCCUUUAUGUUUGGAUGUGUUAUUAAUGGAUUUUAAAUGAUAUGUAUUUUGGGUAGUGUUUUCUCAUUCUGUCCUAGUAGGGUACAACUUGCAAUUACUUUCAUUUUUUUUAGAAACAUCCAUUCUGUGUUUUACAUGGAGGUAUUCGCUCUUUUUAGGGAAUAUAUGCCAAAAGAAUAUAGUAUGUUAGAAAAGAAAUCCCAAAUUUAAGUCUUUUAAGAGGUUUAACUAAAAGACUACAUACGGAUGAAUAUAGACAUACUUUAGAAUGUGGGUUUACUCAUUUUGCUCCGUAUGUAGUUUGGAUGAAUAUAGACAUACUUUACAACGUGGGUUUACUCAUUUUGCUCCGUAUGUAGUUUGGAUGAAUAUAGACAUACUUUAGAACGUGGAUUCACUCAUUUUGCUCCGUAUGUAGUUUCCUAGUGAAAUCUCUUAAAAGCUUAGUCCCUGUUUGUUUAAAAAGUCCUAGGACUUUUUUUAGUCUCAAGUAAAAAGUCUCUAGUCCCUAUCUGUUUGUUUCAAGGAACUAAACAUGGACUAGAGGAUAAUAAAUGACAUGCUAAAAGAUCAUGUUGCCCCUAAACAUGAACUAGAGGAUAAUGAACUAGUAGUUGCGGGGGCAGAUCAGGGAAAAGUCUCGAAAAGACUCUCAUAUAGGAUCUUCUUCUUUUUAGUCUCAAAUGCCUAGUUUAGUCCCUAAAAGUCCCUCUCAUUUGGUUAAAAAGUCUCUAAGAGGGACUUUUUCUAGUCCCUACACCAAAAAGUCCCUGGAAACAAACACCCUCUUAUAUUUAGGAACCGAGGGAGUAGUGCUUAUCUGUGAGUGUCCAUGAUUAAAGCUUUGCAAAUACCAUAAACAAAACUUCACCUUGUACUUGAAGCUGAAUUGAAUUGAAAUGUGAUUAGCCUUCCACUAGCCAGCCAAGGAGGAAGGAGCCCACCGUUCCAUCCUCCCUAUCUCUAUUUCCUCUUGUUGCGCCCACCUUCCCCUUCUCCUGACACGUAAAUCUAGUUGAGGACUGCAGCAGAUCUAGUUGCGUUGGUCACCGCGCAACAACCCUAGCCACGACGAGCUCCACCACCGUGCGGUCCGAGAGCCACGUCGCAGUCCUCAACUAAACUAGGCUGCUCCACCUUGCCGUCACCAGCCCCUUCUCCGCCCACCUCCCCCUUCUCCUAACACGUAGAUCUAGUUGCAUCGGUCGCCGUGCAACAACCCUAGCCACGACGAGCUCCACCACCNNNNNNNNNNNNNNNNNNNNNNNNNNNNNNNNNNNNNNNNNNNNNNNNNNNNNNNNNNNNNNNNNNNNNNNNNNNNNNNNNNNNNNNNNNNNNNNNNNNNNNNNNNNNNNNNNNNNNNNNNNNNNNNNNNNNNNNNNNNNNNNNNNNNNNNNNNNNNNNNNNNNNNNNNNNNNNNNNNNNNNNNNNNNNNNNNNNNNNNNNNNNNNNNNNNNNNNNNNNNNNNNNNNNNNNNNNNNNNNNNNNNNNNNNNNNNNNNNNNNNNNNNNNNNNNAACUAGGCUGCUCCACCUUGCCGUCACCAGCCCCUUCUCCGCGCACCUCCCCCUUCUCCUUGACACGCGGAUCUAGUUGUGUCGGUCGCCGCGCAACAAGCCUAGCCAUGACGAGCUCCACCACCGUGCGGUCCGGGAGCCGCGCUGCAGUCCUCAACUAAACUAGGCUGCUCCACCAUGCCGUCACCAGCCCUUUCUCCGCCCACCUCCCCCUUCUCCUGACACGCACUAAACCCCCUCGAUCUUAAAAGCCUCGUAUCUUUAUUCUGUUAGGUUUUUGGGGAUUCUAAAAAUCUCCAACGCGGUUCCCCCAGUAGAAUUCGAACGUAACUUUUCGAGUAGAUGAUUUUUCAUAUAAAAAAAUUUUUAAUCCGAGUUCGUAUGCAAAAGUUAUGCCCAUUUUACUAAAUUCCAGAGAGAUUUUGUAAAUAAAGUCGAAAUUCAUAUUUGUAAAUUUUCCCAACAACUAGACCACAUAUCACAUGGGAAACUUAUUUUCUUUUAUUUUUUCGACAUUUCCAUCAUUUUCUUUUAUUUUAUUUUUUUUAACUGAAAAGGCGGUCCACAAGGGGGUGCAUUUAGUAAUGACGCACCUUCACAAAGUGCGCCAUUACUAUGUGUAUGACUUGGUCAAACCUUGGUCAAAGUUAGUAAUGGCGCACUUUGUAUAGGUGCGCCAUUACUAAGUUUGACAUAGUAAUGGCGCACAUAUGCAAAGUGCGCCAUUACUAAGUUUGACCAAGGUUUGACCCAGUCAUACACAUAGUUAUGGUGCACUUUGUAAAGGUGCGCUAUUACUAUGUCAACUUAGUAAUGGCGCACGUAUAAAAAGUGGGCCAUUACUAUGUGUAUAACUGGGUGGAACCUUGGUCAAACUUGGUAAUGGAGCACUUUUCACCUAGUGCGUCAUUACUGUUUUGGUUACUAAUGGCGUACAUACACAUGACGCGCCAGAUGUAUAGUGUGUCAUUAGUGUCCAUAUUAGCUAUAGCUGUUUUUCUAGUAGUGUGCUAUAUGCCUAGACUCAUUGCAGCCUCGUCGAUCAAACUAAGCUGCCAUCCAGAGGCUACGGAUUCAAGUACACAGGUAGGAAGAACAUAUUGCAGAGAAUCAAAUUAAGCAAGUGGCAAGUAAUGAUGAAUGAAAUUCAGCAAUCUUACCCUAAACAUAGCUACGGCCGCCGUUCAGACGAGGAGAGCGGCGAGGGAAGCGUGGAGAACGGCGGGGAAGCGAUGUCGCAACCAUUGUCCUCCUCCUCUUGUGCUUCGGAGUCAUCUUCGACUCGGUUGGAGGCUCCACAAUCUGCAACGGCACCUCGUGCACCGUGGGUUCCUGAUCUAGUGGAUUCUCUACCUUGGAUCUGAACAUCCCACCACCUUCGCCAGGUCCAUGGGCUGGACGAAUCGGCCUGCUUCAUCGCCCAGAGGAGGAUCUCGACGAAGUGCAUCGGUUGUGCGGGUGGGGGGAGGAAGCUUUGCCUUCUCCCUACUCGUCAUUUGCUUCAAAGUGGCCAUUGCCGUCCAGUGCAUCUGACUUGUGUUGUGAAACCAAGAACGGAUCUCCGUCAACCUUCUCAUCUUGACCUGGUCGCCGCAGGCGAUCUCUAUGAAGUCAGCGUUCUCGCUGCCGGCGAUCUGCUCGAUCUGCUGCUCCAUCGAGGUUUUUGCGUGGAUGGAAGAGGGGGAUGGAUGUGGAAACUGGGAAGAGCAAAGUUGCGGCCGCGAGAAGGAGGAGAAGGGUAGGAGAUGGUCACGGUUGUAAUGGUGAUGGAAGAGGGGAAGUUUCACGGCGGUGGCCAUUUGCAUUGGACGAGAGGGGCGGCGGUUUUGAAUUGGACGAGAGGGCCACCUUAUCAUAUUUUUCCUAGGACUAAAAUGCCCCUAGAUUAAAAGGUGUCCCCACCUUGUCAUUAGUACUUUCGAAUACUUUCAUCUGCGUACUUUCGAGUACCACGUAUGUAUAUAUGCACUGUUAGAUCGAGGCAAACGAACGGCUCCAAAAAACGCCAACUACUGUAAAAGUUGUACUGAAGUAAUUAUCAUAUCUCAUGUUCAUGUACCCUUUUGUCCCAAAAUAAGUGUCAUGGUUUUAGUUUUAAAUUUAAACUAAAAGCACGCCACUUAUCAAGGAGUACUUAGUACAUAGUUAGUACAGAAUAUUUACCUGCAAAAAAAAAGUUAGUACAGAAUAUAAGCGUCAGCAAAGCUUUCUCUUCUUGUGCUUGGAGGUUUUAGUACAUGCGCUCACCAGCCUCUUCUUAUAGGCAGACAGGUGCGCUACCUUGUCAGUGAGAGUAGAAGAGUGGGCCGCGAGCUUGGACAUCAACUCCUUCAACAGAGCAGGGCAGCUUCUGGAGACAUGAUCGAUCGAAGUCGUGUUCGAUCGCCAUGGCCUCGUCUAGCUUUUUUUUUUUGAGGGGGAGGCCUCGUCUAGUUUGGUNNNNNNNNNNNNNNNNNNNNNNNNNNNNNNNNNNNNNNNNNNNNNNNNNNNNNNNNNNNNNNNNNNNNNNNNNNNNNNNNNNNNNNNNNNNNNNNNNNNNNNNNNNNNNNNNNNNNNNNNNNNNNNNNNNNNNNNNNNNNNNNNNNNNNNNNNNNNNNNNNNNNNNNNNNNNNNNNNNNNNNNNNNNNNNNNNNNNNNNNNNNNNNNNNNNNNNNNNNNNNNNNNNNNNNNNNNNNNNNNNNNNNNNNNNNNNNNNNNNNNNNNNNNNNNNNNNNNNNNNNNNNNNNNNNNNNNNNNNNNNNNNNNNNNNNNNNNNNNNNNNNNNNNNNNNNNNNNNNNNNNNNNNNNNNNNNNNNNNNNNNNNNNNNNNNNNNNNNNNNNNNNNNNNNNNNNNNNNNNNNNNNNNNNNNNNNNNNNNNNNNNNNNNNNNNNNNNNNNNNNNNNNNNNNNNNNNNNNNNNNNNNNNNNNNNNNNNNNNNNNNNNNNNNNNNNNNNNNNNNNNNNNNNNNNNNNNNNNNNNNNNNNNNNNNNNNNNNNNNNNNNNNNNNNNNNNNNNNNNNNNNNNNNNNNNNNNNNNNNNNNNNNNNNNNNNNNNNNNNNNNNNNNNNNNNNNNNNNNNNNCGCGUGGGGCGCGGCGGCUCGCCGGCGCUGGCAGGCCUUGGGGCGGGCCACCGUGGGGGGGGGCGGGGCAGGCUGGUCGGGACGCGGCUGUUUCGGCCGGCGUCUGCAGGCACGUGGCGGCGGCGGUGUGCCACGAGUGAGGACGGCGACGCUGCGGCGUCGCACGGGACGGGCGGCGCGCAGCUUCUCUUCUGCGGCCGGUGGAGGCGUGGCUGCACUUCCUCGAGGGAGGCUGUGUGGUGAUGCAUGGACGAGCCUGCCAGCCCUGUGGUGCGGGGGUGGGCUCGGGCGGCGGCUUCGGCCGCGAGGGGCGUGGCAGGACGUCGCGAGGACGCCCUGGUGAUGCACGGGUCGAGGGCCCGGGUUGUCGGCGAAGAGCGCCCCAGCUCUGGGUGAUGCUGAUUCGUCGUUGGGCAGCUCCGAUGGUGGUGGUGGUUGGUGGGCUCGCUGGUGCCGGUGCAGGAUGAUGUGUGGCUGAGGUGGUGUGGGAGCUUCGGUGAAGACCCUGUCCCGGUCUUGUGCCGUGACCAAUGAUGGCGGCGGUUGUGGCCGUCGUUGACCUUCCUGGAGGCAUCGCUGUUUUGUUGCCGCUCCCCUCCUGCACGGAUCCGGCCAUCUCGGCCUCUUCGGGGGAAACCCUUGAUCUGUGAUCGGACGAUGGCGGCGCCUUGGCGUCGUUUUCCCUCUUGGGGGCUUCGUCUUGGGAGCCCGGCAUCGGUGGGCGGGACCCGUGGAUGGCGGCGGUUGUGGCGACCAGGCUUCUGUAGCAACGAUGAUGGUGGGAGCGAUGUCGACGACGCGGCAAUGGUUGCGGUAGUCGGCUCUUCUCCGGCGUGUCCGCAGUUUUGCCUCGGGUUGUUUGUUGCUGCGGAGUUGAAGCUGUAGUGGCGGGGCCCUGUGGUAUACGAUGACCGGCUGCAGGUGGCCCGUUCGGCGAUCUCCCGUGGCGCCAGCCGUGCAUGGUUUUGUUCUUCAGAGUUCUCCGUUAGAGUCGGAGCUGCGCUGUCUGGCCGCAGGUGGCUGAGAUUUGGUGCAGAUCUUCAUGUAGCUUCACACGUCCGCUUUGGUGUGGGUUGAGUCGACGAUCGCCUGCGGUGAAGUCGAAGUCGUUUGCUCAGAGUGUAGGGAUGGCGAUGACGCCUCUAGGGGAGGAGUGAUGACGAUGAUGCCUGCGUGCUGUCUCGACGAGACCCUCUUUGGAGUGGUGUGUGUGGGUAUCUUAUGUGUGCAGCUCAGCUGUUGUGAGGGUUUUCGAUCGGUUCUCCAUAAUUAACCGUGCAAUCUGGUUUUCGCUCGGUUUUCCUUAAUUAACCGAGCAACUCUCUUCUGCUUAUUUAAUCGAUGAGGCAAAACUUUUGCCUCCGUUUUAAAAAAAAAGCACGCGUCCUUGAGCCCUUGGCCAGUGAUGCUGCUCAGCGUGGUUGCCACGGUGCUCACGUCCAUGUGCGGCCCAGUAGCCCAAUAAGCCAGGGUAGGCCAACAUAAAAAUAUAUUUUUUCGUAAUAUUUUUUACCAUUUUUCCUAUGCUAUAAAGCUUUUCAAAAAAUCCCAGGGUGGGCCUCUACCUCCGCCACUGCAUGUGCCUCCACAAUCUAUCCUCGCAAACCAGCUUGAGACUCUCCAUGUCCGCGACCUCCAUGAGAUGCUGAGCCAUGGCGACCCCAUCCCCUUCUUCCUCUGGCUGACAGCGAGUGGGUGUACACGAAAUGCAGCAGAUGCCUGAAUACCUCUCCUCGCAUGCCGUCGAUUUGCACGCCGCUCUCUUUCAUUGCGCCAUAAAGCUCCGCCCUGAGGACCGUGGACCGUGCCGCGAGCACGCACCGAAGGUCUCCCAGCCGAUCACGUUCGCCGCUCCGGAGGAGGCCACGGAAAUGGUGAGGCCAAUCAAACGGCCACGCCGACGACGGACCAUUCGAUCGUAUUCAUAUGCGAGGACCUCGAUGACCGUGAAGCAGUCGUCCUUGAGGAGGUGUGGCGCUCCACCUCCAGGUCGGCCCUCUCGACCAAGUCGUCGCAGCUCCAGUAGGCGCCGGCGCCCACCAAGUCGCGCACCUCGCCGCUGGUCCUAGCGUAGCGCGGCACCGGCCGGGUUGGCGUGGUGGUCGAGCACGUCGAACGCGACCACGGCCUUUGUUAGAGUUGUGUCGAAUAUAGUGUACAAGGUAGGUUACAAUUGGACUUGUAGUUGUAUUGUGUUUAGAUAGGAUAUGAAGUUGUGUCGUAAUAGGACACUUGUAUCCUAGGCCUCUAAUAUAUAGCGGGGCUAGACACACGAUGUAACCUAUGCCAACAUAAUAGCACCGGAACGCAAGGGAAGCCGGCGGCAUGUGUCGGUGUCCAGGGCGACCGGGUGCGGUAUUGUAGCGGUGUCAUGGGGAGGAGCGCCCAUAGUCAGGCCCCGGGGAUGUAGCCAUAUCGGUGAACCUCGUUAACAAAUCUCGGUGUCGCGCUCGUGUGAUUGCUUGGUCCUCGGAUGAUCGACGGUAUGCCUCGAAUUUAUUCUAACAAGUGGUAUCAUGAGCAAAGUUACGAGGAGGCUGUGGAUUGUUGAUCUGGAGGAAGGUUUGAUGUGUUGAUCGGUAUCAUGAAGUCGCCGUAGAGCAAGUGGUGUGCGCGUUGUGAAUGAUUGGAAAAUAUGUCAGACGAAGGCAAUCUCGACGAGUUGUAGAGAUCGGAUUGUGAGUUGUCAGCAGACGCAGGAGGCAACGCUAGACAGCGUGUACGGCUCGAUCGCAAGGUGAUGCGUUGCGUUCCAGAGGCGCGCGACGCUCGACAGGCCAAGCGGCCGAAGUCGUGGCGCGCGCGGUGUGGGCUGGCCCAACGGGGCUAGCUGGUGCACGUGGUGUGCCGGCGGACGUGCGGAAGGCUGCCUAGCGCUAAGCGGCAGGGCUGCAAUGCAGGUUCGAUCGACUCACCAGAUUUGUUAUGAAGAAAAGGAGGACACGGACGGAGGCAGCAUCAGAUCAAAUCGAGCAGAAAAAUAAUUCAUUGAUACACAUGCAUCGGGAAGGCUAAGGCGAGGCAAAAGCAAUUAGCUUAGCAUUGAAAGUUGUGCCUGGGUGCUAAUACAUGUGAGUACUGGUAGGAAUUUGUUGCUCGUGCACCUCGUGUACUUGAGCACGUGUUGGAAGCUCGUGUAUUUUUCGCAAGGUCAGCCGUACAAAGAAUCAUGGCACCAAUAGGUACCAGGUUUGAGGUGGAGAAGUUCGUUAAAACCGAAAACUUUGGGUUAUGGCAGACAAGAGUGAAAAAUUGUUGGCACGAUAGGGAUGCUUGAAGGAGUUGCGGGAAGUCAGUUUAGCUAGGAUGGAAUUGUGAUGUGAUGGAUGGAAAUUCGCAGAAGACGAUUUGAGAGCCUGAAGUGUGUCAUGCAGCCGAACAAGUACGGCUGGGUCGGACUAGAUAGUCUGACGGAUCGACGUGAGUCGGUUGGAACAGAAGACGGUGGUGGGAUCAGCGACAGCGACAUAGGAGCGUGAUGCUGAUGGUGACCGACUUCUGGGGUGUGGAAACACGUGGCGCGGGCCCAAGGGCUUGUGUGGCUUCGACAAGACUAUGGCGCGAGGUUGAUUCAAGGUGGUGUACACACGGAGCUUGAAGUCGACGGGGCGCGAGGGUGGACUGAUCAUCUGCUAUGGAGCCAUGUUGAAGGUGGAGCUGGAUUGAGGGGCUACGGUGUAAGGAUCCAUGGAAUCGAAGCCUAUUCAGCAAGGAGGAAAAGCGAGUGACAUGCAGUUCGAACUGGAGCCCAGUGGUCUGAUGGAAGCGUGAAACUCGUCAUCGGUCGGUGAUGAUCGGUGGUACUCUGCAGUGGGGGUCGAAUGGUGUGGGUUCGCGACCCUUGAGACUCGAACGGGACAGCGGAGGUCGACGCGGUGAUAGCGGCGAGGUGUGCGGUACGCACGGGACAUGGAGACGGGCCAGGGCUCUGGUGGUCAUACAUGUGGUGAGACAACUGCGAAUUUGACUCGGGAUGACUACAAGCAACGGUGAAAUUCUUUCAAGUUUCAGACAGGCGGUCAAGAAAGGAGCGGUGAUGUUGAGUUCAGGUAACUCUUAUGUGUGACAUCCAACAUGUGAGUUGUUCACUUUCAUGCAGGUCAGUGAUCGGUGUGUGAUGGCGUUGACGGAUACUCUGGAAGUUGGGAGCACACACUAGAGUAACAAGGAACUUAAUUUUGCUCGAGUGUUGACUGUAGUCAAGAAAAGAAGGGACUACAAGUUGCAGGUGGAGUCACAUGGAGUCUUUGGAGUAGCAGCGAUACUCACGGAAUAAGCUCAAGUCCAAUCUACAUGGAAGUUUGAUGCAUGGACAAAUGCAGGAUGGUGGAGUAUAUUCGCCAAGGUGGAGUUUGUUGGAGUUGUGUCGAAUAUAGUGUACAAGGUAGGUUACAAUUGGACUUGUAGUUGUAUUGUGUUUAGAUAGGAUAUGGAGUUGUGUCCUAAUAGGACACUUGUAUCCUAGGCCUCUAAUAUAUAGCAGGGCUAGACACACGAUGUAACCUAUGCCAACAUAAUAGCACCGGAAUGCAGGGGAAGCCGGCGGCAUGUGCCGAUGUCCAGGGUGACCGGGUGUGGUAUUGUAGCGGUGUCAUGGGGAGGAGCGCCCAUAGUCAGGCCCCGGGGAUGUAGCCAUAUCGGUGAACCUCGUUAAUAAAUCUCGGUGUCGCGCUCGUGUGAUUGCUUGGUCCUCGGAUGAUCGACGGUAUGCCUCGGAUUUAUUCUAACAAGAUAGGCGGCGUCGAGGACGGCCUUGACAGACACGAAACCAGUGGUUUCCGGGGUGGUGCCGCUGGGGUAGAAGCCGCGAGGUGCCGUCUCCGACGCGGAAGGAAGGAGAUGAGACGCCACAGCUGUUGGGGUUGCUCUUCCUCAUCCACGUACGAGUAGCCUUGGAUCUUCAUCAUGCAUGUGGAUGUGGAUGUGGUGCGUCGUCGGCGUCGUAGCACAGAGAAUGGAGGCCGAGUCGCCGUUCGCAGCAGCCAUGACGGCGUACCUGGGUCCGGUCCGGCGGCCGUCCAGCUCUGACGACCUAGGACUAGGAGCGAGUGAGACAGCUUGAUGAGGUCGGACUUGUCUCCGAUCGAAGAGUCUGUAAGAUGAAAAGCGUUCCCUACCCCUUGAGGGGGAGUCGCAGGCUGUAUAUAUUGAUGUGGCCGAAGCCAGCCUUGGCGUACAAGGAAGAUUUACAAGAGUUUGAGUAGAACAAGUAAAGGAAGGAGUUGGAGACUACUACGGAAACUAUAUUCGCUAACACCCUCCCUUAAUCUUAACUACCCUAGAUUAAGAUUACUCUUGAACUCCUCAAACGGUCUUGCUGGUAAAGCCUUUGUAAAGCCGUCCGCCAUUUGGUCCUUAGAGGGAAUAAACCGUAUCUCAAAAUUCGUUGCUGCAACCCUCUCUCGCACAAAGUGAAAAUCAAUUUCUAUGUGCUUUGUUCUUGCAUGAAACACAGGGUUUGCAGACAAGUAUGUUGCUCCCAAGUUAUCACACCAUAAACAUGAGAUACGAUUUUUCUUGAUCCCCAAUUCCUCAAGAAGUGAUUCAACCCAAAUGAUUUCAGCAGUUGCAUUCGCCAAGGACUUGUAUUAAGCUUCUGUGCUUGAUCGUGACACAGUUGCUUGCUUUCUAGCACUCCAAGAAAUAAGAUUGGACCCAAAGAACACUGCAAAGCCUCCAGUUGAUCUUCUAUCAUCACUGCAUCUUGUCCAAUUAGCAUCAGAGAAUGCACUCACAAGAGAGGAGCCAGAACAUUUGAAGUGAAGUCCUGUUCCCAUAGUAUGCUUCACAUAUCUUACAAUUCUCCUUACAGCUGACCAAUGUGCGGAAGUGGGAGCAUGAAGAUAUUGACAAACUUUAUUAACAGCAAAUAAGAUAUCUGGACGUAUGAGAGUUAUAUAUUGUAAUGCUCCCACAGUACUUCUGUACCUUGUGCUCUCUUCUUCUUGAAGUGGCUCACCUUCAUAUGCUGAGAGUUUUUCUGAGGAAGAUAAAGGUGUAGGUACUGGCUUGCAAUUCUUUAUUCCCAUGCGAGACAAAAACUCAAUGAUGUAUUUCUCCUGAUUUAACACAAUACCAUCUUGAUGAAGGAAAUAUGCCCUAGAGGCAAUAAUAAAGUUAUUAUUUAUUUCCUCAUAUCAUGAUAAAUGUUUAUUAUUCAUACUAGAAUUGUAUUAACCGGAAACAUGAUACAUGUGUGAAUACAUAGACAAACAUAUAGUCACUAGUAUGCCUCUACUUGACUAGCUCAUUAAUCAAAGAUGGUUAUGUUUCCUGACCAUAGACAUGUGUUGUCAUUUGAUUAAUGGGAUCACAUCAUUAGAAGAAUGAUGUGAUUGACAUGACCCGUUUUGUUAGCCUAGCACUUGAUCAUUUAGUGUACUGCUAUUGCUUUCUUCAUGACUUAUACAAAGUUACUACAACUAUGAGAUUGUGCAACUCCCGAUUACCGGAAGAACACUUUGUGUGCUACCAAACGUCACAACGUACUGGGUGAUUAUAAAGGUGCUCUACAGGUGUUUCCGAAGGUACAUGUUGGGUUGGCAUAAUUUGAGAUUAGGAUUUGUCACUCCGAUUGUCGGAGAGGUAUCUCUCGGCCCUCUCGGUAAUACUGAUCACCUAAGCCUUGGAAGCAUGUAACUAAUAAGUUAGUUAUGAGAUGACGUAUUACGGAACGAGUAAAGAGACUUGCCGGUAACGAGAUUGAACUAGGUAUUGGAUACCGACGAUCAAAUCUCGGGCAAGUAACAUACCGAUGACAAAGGGAACAAAGUAUGUCGUUACGCGGUUUGACCGAUAAAGAUCUUCAUAGAAUAUGUAGGAACCAAUAUGGGCAUCCAGGUCCCGCUAUUGGUUAUUGACCGAGAAUAGUUUUCGGUCAUGUCUACAUAGUUCUCGAACCCGUACGGUCCGCACGCUUAAUGUUUCGAUGAUAGUUUUAUUAUGAGUUUAUAAGUUUUGAUGUACCGAAGUUUGUUCGGAGUCCCGGAUGUGAUCACGGACAUGACGAGGAGUCUCGGAAUGGUCGAGACAUAAAGGUUGAUAUAUUGGACGACUAUAUUCGUACACCAGAAAGGUUCCGGGAGUUUUCGGAGAAAACCGGAGUACCGGAGGGUUACCGGAACCCCCCCGGGAAGUAAUGGGCCUUAAUGGGCCCUAGUGGAGAAAGAGAGGGGCCGGCCAGGGCAAGUGGCGCGCCCCCUCCCCUUGAGUCCGAAUAGGACAAGGAAGGGGAGGCGGCGCCCCCCUUGCCUUCCCCCUCUCCUACUCCUUCCUUCCCCCUCCCUCUUGGAUCAGGAAAAGGAGGGGGGAAACCUACUUGGAGUAGGUUUCCCCCUCCUAGGGCGCGCCUCCCCUUAGGCCGGCCCCCUCCUCCCUCCCUCCUUUAUAUACGGGGGCGGGGGGCACCCCAUAGACACAAGUUGAUCUACGGAUCGUUCCUUAGCCGUGUGCGGUGUCCCCCUCCACCAUAUUCCACCUCGGUCAUAUCAUCGCGGAGUUUAGGCGAAGCCCUGCACCGGUAGAACAUCAUCAUCGUCACCACGCCGUUGUGCUGACGAAACUCAUCUCCGGAGCUCGGCUGGAUCGGAGGCCGGAGAUCGUCAUCGAGCUGAACGUGUGCAGAACUCGGAGGUGUCGUACGUUCGGUACUUAGAUCGGUCGGAUCGUGAAGACGUACGACUACAUCAACCGCGUUGUCAUAACGCUUCCGCUUACGGUCUACGAGGGUACGUGGACGAACACUCUCCCCUCUCGUUGCUAUGCCAUCACCAUGAUCUUGCGUGUGCGUAGGAAAUUUUUUGAAAUUACUACGUUCUCCAACAGUGGCAUCCGAGCCUAGGUUUUAUGCGUUGAUUUUAUAUGCACGAGUAGAACACAAGUGAGUUGUGGACGAUAUAAGUCAUACUGCCUACCAGCAUGUCAUACUUUGGUUCAGCGGUAUUGUGAGAUGAAGCGGCCUGGACCGACAUUACGCGUACGCUUACGCAAGACUGGUUUCACCGUUACGAGCACGUGUGCUUAAAGGUGGCUGGCGGGUGUCUGUCUCUCUCACUUUAGUUGAACCGAGUGUGGCUACGCCCGGUCCUUGUGAAGGUUAAAACGGAGUCUAUUUGAAAAACUAUCAUUGUGGUUUUGAUGCGUAGGUAAGAACAGUUCUUGCUAAGCCCGUAGCAGCCACGUAAAAUUUGCAACACCAAAGUAGAGGACGUCUAACUUGUUUUUGUAGGGCAUGUUGUGAUGUGAUAUGGUCAAGACGUGAUGCUAUAUUUUAUUGUAUGAGAUGAUCAUGUUUUGUAACCGAAGUUAUCGGCAACUGGCAGGAGCCAUAUGGUUGUCGCUUUAUUGUAUGAAAUGCAAACGCCCUGUAAUUGCUUUACUUUAUCACUAAGCGGUAGCGAUAGUCGUAGAAGCAAUAGAUGGCGUAACGACAACGAUGCUACGAUGGAGAUCAAGGUGUCGCGCCGGUGACGAUGGUGAUCAUGACGGUGCUUCAAAGAUGGAGAUCACAAGCACAAGAUGAUGAUGGCCAUAUCAUAUCACUUAUAUUGAUUGCAUGUGAUGUUUAUCCUUUAUACAUCUCAUCUUGCUUUGAUUGACGGUAGCAUUUUAAGAUGAUCUCUCACUAAAAUUAUCAAGAAGUGUUCUCCCUGAGUAUGCACCGUUGCCAAAGUUCGUCGUGCCGAGACACCACGUGAUGAUCGGGUGUGAUAAGCUCUACGUCCAUCUACAACGGGUGCAAGCCAGUUUUGCACACGCAAAAUACUCAGGUUAAACUUGACGAGCCUAGCAUAUGCAGAUAUGGCCUCGGAACACAGAGACCGAAAGGUCGAGCGUGAAUCAUAUAGUAGAUAUGAUCAACAUAGUGAUGUUCACCAUUGAAAACUACUCCAUCUCACGUGAUGAUCGGUUAUGGUUUAGUUGAUUUGGAUCACGUGAUCACUUAGAUGACUAGAGAGAUGUCUGUCUAAGUGGGAGUUCUUAAGUAAUAUGAUUAAUUGAACUUAAAUUUAUCAUGAACUUAGUACCUGAUAGUAUCUUGCUUGUCUAUGUUUGUUUGUAGAUAGAUGGCUCGUGCUGUUGUUCCGUUGAAUUUUAAUGCGUUCCUUGAGAAAGCAAAGUUGAAAGAUGAUGGUAGCAAUUACACGGACUGGGUCCAUAACCUGAGGAUUAUCCUCAUUGCUGCACAGAAGAGUUACGUCCUGGAAGCACCGCUGGGUGCCAGGCCUGCUGCUGAUGCAACUGACGACGUUAAGAACGUCUGGCAGAGCAAAGCUAAUGACUACUCUAUAGUUCAGCGUGCCAUGCUUUACGGCUUGGAACCGGGUCUUCAACGACGUUUUGAACGUCAUGGAGCAUAUGAGAUGUUCCAGGAGUUAAAGUUAAUAUUUCAAGCAAAUGCCCGGAUUGAGAGAUAUGAAGUCUCCAAUAAGUUCUACAGCUGCAAGAUGGAGGAGAAUAGUUCUGUCAGUGAACACAUACUCAGAAUGUCUGGGUAUAACAAUCACUUGAUUCAACUGGGAGUUAAUCUUCCUGAUGAUAGUGUCAUUGACAGAAUUCUCCAAUCACUGCCACCAAGCUACAAGAGCUUUGUGAUGAACUAUAAUAUGCAAGGGAUGAACAAGACUAUUCCCGAGCUCUUCGCGAUGCUGAAAGCUGCGGAGGUAGAAAUCAAGAAGGAGCAUCAAGUGUUGAUGGUCAAUAAGACCACUAGUUUCAAGAAGAAGGACAAAGGGAAGAAGAAGGGGAACUUCAAGAAGAACGGCAAGCAAGUUGCUGCUCAAGAGAAGAAACCCAAGUCUGGACCUAAGCCUGAAACUGAGUGCUUCUACUGCAAGCAGACUGGACACUGGAAACGGAACUGCCCCAAGUAUUUGGCGGAUAAGAAGGAUGGCAAAGUGAGCAAAGGUAUAUGUGAUAUACAUGUUAUUGAUGUGUACCUAACUAGAGCUCGUAGUAGCACCUGGGUAUUUGAUACUGGUUCUGUUGCUAAUAUUUGCAACUCGAAACAGGGACUACGGAAUAAGCGAGCACUGGCCAAGGACGAGGUGACGAUGCGCGUGGGAAACGGUUCGAAAGUCGAUGUGAUCGCAGUCGGCACGCUACCUCUACAUCUACCUUCGGGAUUAGUUUUAGACCUGAAUAAUUGUUAUUUGGUGCCAGCGUUGAGCAUGAACAUUAUAUCUGGAUCUUGUUUGAUGCGAGACGGUUAUUCAUUUAAAUCAGAGAAUAAUGGUUGUUCUAUUUAUAUGAGUAAUAUCUUUUAUGGUCAUGCACCCUUGAAGAGUGGUCUAUUGAAUCUCAAUAGUAGUGAUACACAUAUUCAUAAUGUUGAAGCCAAAAGAUGCAGAGUUGAUAAUGAUAGUGCAACUUAUUUGUGUCACUGCCGUUUAGGUCAUAUCGGUGUAAAACGCAUGAAGAAACUCCAUACUGAUGGACUUCUGGAAUCACUUGAUGAUGAAUCACUUGGUACUUGCGAACCGUGCCUCAUGGGCAAGAUGACUAAAACACCAUUCUCCGGAACUAUGGAGAGAGCAACAGAUUUGUUGGAAAUCAUACAUACAGAUGUAUGUGGACCGAUGAAUGUUGAGGCUCGUGGCGGAUAUUGUUAUUUUCUCACCUUCACAGAUGAUUUAAGCAGAUAUGGGUAUAUCUACUUAAUGAAGCACAAAUCUGAAACAUUUGAAAAGUUCAAAGAAUUUCAGAGUGAAGUGGAGAAUCAUCGUAACAAGAAAAUAAAGUUUCUGCGAUCUGAUCGUGGAGGAGAAUAUUUGAGUUACGAGUUUUGUUUACAUUUGAAACAAUGCGGAAUAGUUUCGCAACUCACACCACCCGGAACACCACAACGAAAUGGUGUGUCCGAAUGUCGUAAUCGUACUUUACUUGAUAUGGUGCGAUCUAUGAUGUCUCUUACCGAUUUACCGCUAUCGUUUUGGGGUUAUGCUUUAGAGACGGCCGCAUUCACGUUAAAUAGGGCACCAUCUAAAUCCGUUGAGACGACGCCUUAUGAACUGUGGUUUGGCAAGAAACCAAAGUUGUCGUUUCUUAAAGUUUGGGGUUGCGAUGCUUAUGUGAAGAAACUUCAACCAGAUAAGCUCGAACCCAAAUUGGAGAAAUGUGUCUUCAUAGGAUACCCAAAAGAGACUGUUGGGUACACCUUCUAUCACAGAUCCGAAGGCAAGACAUUCGUUGCUAAAAAUGGAUCCUUUCUGGAGAAGGAGUUUCUCUCGAAAGAAGUGAGUGGGAGGAAAGUAGAACUUGAUGAGAUAACUGUAUCUACUCCCUUAUUGGAAGGUAGUUCAUCACGAGAACCAGUUCCUGUGACGACUACACCAAUUAGUGAGGAAGCUAAUGAUAUUAAUCAUGAAACUUCAGAUCAAGUUUCUACUGAACCUCGUAGGUCUACCAGAGUAAGAUCCGCACCAGAGUGGUACGGUAAUCCUAUUCUGGAAGUCAUGUUACUUGACCAUGAUGAACCUACGAACUAUGAGGAAGUGAUGAUGAGCCCAGAUUCCGCAAAAUGGCUAGAGGCCAUGAAAUCUGAGAUGGGAUCCAUGUAUGAAAACAAAGUAUGGACUUUGGUUCACUUACCCGAUGAUAGGCAAGCCAUUGAGAAUAAAUGGAUCUUUAAGAAGAAGACUGACGCUGAUGGUAAUGUUACUGUCUAUAAAGCUCGACUUGUUGCGAAAGGUUUUCGACAAGUUCAAGGGGUUGACUACAAUGAGACUUUCUCACCCGUAGCGAUGCUUAAGUCUGUCCGAAUCAUGUUGGCUAUUGCUGCAUUUCAUGAUUAUGAAAUUUGGCAAAUGGAUGUCAAGACUGCAUUCUUGAAUGGAUUUCUAGAAGAAGAGUUGUAUAUGAUGCAGUCGGAAGGUUUUGUUGAUCCAAAAGGUGCAGACAAAGUGUGCAAGCUCUAGCGUUCCAUUUAUGGACUGGUGCAAGCAUCUCGGAGUUGGAAUAAACUCUUUCAUAGUGUAAUCAAAGCAUAUGGUUUUAUAGAGACUUUUGGAGAAGCCUGUAUUUACAAGAAAGUGAGUGGGAGCUCUGUAGCAUUUCUAGUUUUAUAUGUUGAUGACAUAUUAUUAAUUGGAAAUGAUAUAGAAUUUCUGGAUAGCAUAAAGGGGUACUUGAAUAAAAGUUUUUCGAUGAAAGACCUCGGUGAAGCUGCUUACAUAUUGGGCAUCAAGAUCUAUAGAGAUAGAUCAAGACGCUUAAUAGGACUUUCACAAAGUACAUACCUUGACAAAAUUUUGAAAAAGUUCAAAAUGGAUCAGGCAAAGAAAGGAUUCUUGCCUAUGCUACAAGGUGUGAAGUUGAGUCAAACUCAAUGCCCGACCACAGCAGAAGAUAGAGAGAAAAUGAAAAAUGUUCCCUAUGCUUCAGCCAUAGGCUCUAUCAUGUAUGCAAUGCUGUGUACCAGACCUAACGUAUGCUUAGCAAUAAGUUUGGCAGGAAGGUACCAAAGUAAUCCAGGAGUGGAUCACUGGACAACGGUCAAGAACAUCCUGAAAUACCUGAAAAGGACUAAGGAUAUGUUUCUCGUAUAUGGAGGUGAAAAAGAGCUAGUCGUAAAUGGUUACGUCGAUGCAAGCUUUGACACUGAUCCGGACGAUUCUAAAUCGCAAACCGGAUACGUGUUUUUAUUAAACGGUGGAGCUGUAAGUUGGUGCAGUUCUAAACAAAGCGUCGUGGCGGGAUCUACAUGUGAAGCGGAGUACAUAACUGCUUCUGAAGCAGCGAAUGAAGGAGUCUGGAUGAAGGAGUUCAUUUCCGAUCUAGGUGUCAUACCUAGUGCAUCGGGACCAAUGAAGAUCUUCUGUGACAAUAUUGGUGCAAUUGCCCUGGCAAAGGAAUCCAGAUUUCACAAGAGGACCAAGCACAUCAAGAGACGCUUCAAUUCCAUUCGGGACCAAGUCCAAGUGGGAGACAUAGAGAUUUGCAAGAUACAUACGGAUCUGAAUGUUGCAGACCCGUUGACUAAGCCUCUCUCACGAGGAAAACAUGAUCAGCACCAAGACUCCAUGGGUGUUAGAAUCAUUACUAUGUAAUCUAGAUUACUGACUCUAGUGCAAGUGGGAGACUGAAGGAAAUAUGCCCUAGAGGCAAUAAUAAAGUUAUUAUUUAUUUCCUCAUAUCAUGAUAAAUGUUUAUUAUUCAUGCUAGAAUUGUAUUAACCGGAAACAUGAUACAUGUGUGAAUACAUAGACAAACACAUAGUCACUAGUAUGCCUCUACUUGACUAGCUCAUUAAUCAAAGAUGGUUAUGUUUCCUGACCAUAGACAUGUGUUGUCAUUUGAUUAAUGGAAUCACAUCAUUAGAAGAAUGAUGUGAUUGACAUGACCCGUUCUGUUAGCCUAGCACUUGAUCGUUUAGUGUACUGCUAUUGCUUUCUUCAUGACUUAUACAAAGUUCCUACAACUAUGAGAUUGUGCAACUCCCGUUUACCGGAAGAACACUUUGUGUGCUACCAAACGUCACAACGUAACUGGGUGAUUAUAAAGGUGCUCUACAGGUGUUUCCGAAGGUACAUGUUGGGUUGGCAUAAUUCGAGAUUAGGAUUUGUCACUCCGAUUGUCGGAGAGGUAUCUCUGGGCCCUCUCGGUAGUACUCAUCACCUAAGCCUUGCAAGCAUGUAACUAAUAAGUUAGUUAUGAGAUGACGUAUUACGGAACGAGUAAAGAGACUUGCCGGUAACGAGAUUGAACUAGGUAUUGGAUACCGACGAUCAAAUCUCGGGCAAGUAACAUACCGAUGACAAAGGGAACAACGUAUGUUGUUAUGCGGUUUGACCGAUAAAGAUCUUCGUAGAAUAUGUAGGAACCAAUAUGGGCAUCCAGGUCCCGCUAUUGGUUAUUGACCGAGAAUAGUUUUAGGUCAUGUCUACAUAGUUCUCGAACCCGUAGGGUCCGCACGCUUAACGUUUCGAUGACAGUUUUAUUAUGAGUUUAUAAGUUUUGAUGUACCGAAGUUUGUUCGGAGUCCCGGAUGUGAUCACGGACAUGACGAGGAGUCUCGGAAUGGUCGAGACAUAAAUAUUGAUAUAUUGGACGACUAUAUUCGGACACCGGAAAGGUUCCGGGAGUUUUCGGAGAAAACCGGAGUACCGGAGGGUUACCGGAACCCCCCCCCCCCCGGGAAGUAAUGGGCCUUAAUGGGCCCUAGUGGUGAAAGAGAGGGGCCGGCCAGGGCAAGUGGCGUGCCCCCUCCCCUUGAGUCCGAAUAGGACAAGGAAGGGGGGGCGGCGCCUCCUUGCCUUCCCCCUCUCCUACUCCUUCCUUCCCCCUCCCUCUUGGAUUAGGAAAAGGAGGGGGGAAACCUACUUGGAGUAGGUUUCCCCCUCCUAGGGCGCGCCUCCCCUUAGGCCGGCCCCCUCCUCCCUCCCUCCUUUAUAUACGGGGGUGGGGGGCACCCCAUAGACACAAGUUGAUCUACGGAUCGUUCCUUAGCCGUGUGCGGUGCCCCCCUCCACCAUAUUCCACCUCGGUCAUAUUGUCGCGGAGUUUAGGCGAAGCCCUGCGCCGGUAGAACAUCAUCAUCAUCACCACACCGUCGUGCUGACGGAACUCAUCUCCGGAGCUCGGCUGGAUCGGAGGCUGGAGAUCGUCAUCGAGCUGAACGUGUGCAGAACUCGGAGGUGCCGUACGUUCGGUACUUAGAUCGGUCGGAUCGUGAAGACGUACGACUACAUCAACCGCGUUGUCAUAAUGCUUCCUCUUACGGUCUACGAGGGUACGUGGACGAACACUCUCCCCUCUCGUUGCUAUGCCAUCACCAUGAUCUUGCGUGUGCGUAGGAAAUUUUUUGAAAUUACUACGUUCCCCAACACUUGAGUUUUUCUAACUUCAAUCCCAAGGAAGAAAUGCAAGUCACCCAGGUCUUUCAAGGCAAACUCUGAGAUCAAGUCAUGCAGAAGUGCAUUAGUAGCAUUUUGUGAAGAACUUGCAACUAUGAUAUCAUCAACAUAUAUAAGCACAAAAAUGACUACUCCAGCCUUGUUAUAAAUAAACAAAGACAUGUCAGCUUUAGAGGCAAUGAAACCAAGAUAUUUCAACUGUAAGCUUAAUCUGGAGUACCAUGCUCUGGGUGCUUGUUUUAGACCAUAGAGUGCUUUGUCAAGCUUGCAAACAUAAUGUGGUGAUUCCUUAUCCUCAUAUCUAGGUGGUUGUCUCAUGAACACUUCCUCUUCCAGAACACCAUGCAAAAACGCGUUCUGUACAUCUAGCUGUCUUAGGCUCCAACCCUUAGAUACAGCAAUGGCUAGCACAAGUCUGAUAGUUGCAGCUUUCACAACAGGACUAAAGGUAUCCUCAUAAUCAAUACCAUAACGUUGCUUAAAGCCCUUUGCAACUAGACGUGCCUUAUACCUGUCAAUGGAGCCAUCUGCCUUCUUUUUGAUUCUGUACACCCAUUUGCAAUCGAUGAUAUUUUUGCCUUUUUGGUUUGGUACAAGAUGCCAGGUCUUGUUCCUCAUAAGUGCAGAAUAUUCCUCAUCCAUUGCCUUCUUCCACUUAGGAUCGUCAAGUGCACUACUCAACGUUGUUGGCUCUCCUGAAAUACACAAUAUUCCAUAUGGUAUAGUUCCAUCUUUUCUUAUUUUAGGAUUCCGUAUACCUUUCUGUAGACGUGUCAUAACCCGUGAAGAAGCUGCUGGCUGAACCUCAGGAAUGCUGGCCACAGAAGAUCCUGACGAGCCUGCAUGUGCUGACACAGGGGAAUCUGCCGCCUCCUGCGCAGAUGAUCCUACAGCCGAUGGUGUGGCCGCCUCCCCAGUGCGCACAUGAGAACCAGCCGCCCGGUCCGGCACAGCAGAUCCGCAGCCCGACCGCGGUUGCAGGCGCACGCGGGGCGAGGGGGAUCCGGCCCCGCUGCUGGUCCCGCCUGUUGCUGAGGUGGCGGCGCGGGAGUGGCCCUCCCUUGAUUCGUUGCCGCAGCUGACAGAGGCGCGAUCCGAGGCGGAUCUGCUUGCGCGAUCCGAGGUCUGCCCGCGCACAGGAGUUCCAGGCGCCGCCGGAUCACCUUCGUUGUCCGUGCCAGGUUCGUCUUCUUCCUCAACAUGCAAUAUAGGAUCAAUUUGAGCUAUAUUUUCAGGGUUUUGAUCAAGUUGAGCCCUGUUUUCUCCAGAGACCUGCACAGGCAACAGAAAAGAGCAAGUACCAGUAGAAAUAUCGUCACUUUGAUUAGUACAAUUGUCGCCCCCAUGAUCAAAAGACCGAAGAUGUGGAGGAAGAAGAAGAAUUUCCUUGCGAAGAAGUGCACCGGCAUUGGGAUGAAGUGAUGCAAACGGAAACACGGAUUCAUCAAAGACAACAUCUCGGGAUAUGUAGACCCUACCACUAGGAACAUCAAGACAUUUGACCCCUUUAUGCAUGGGACUAUAGCCUAAAAAGACACAAUUUUUUGAGCGGAAUGCAAGUUUGCGUGUAUUGUAGGGUCUAAGAUUGGGCCAACAUGCACAACCGAAAACACGAAGAGAUGUGUAGUUUGGUAUGACACCAAAGAGUCGUGUAAUAGGAGUUUCAAAUCUGAUAACUUUGCUUGGAAGCAAAUUGAUAAGAUAUGUAGCAGUUAAGAAUGCUUCAUCCCAAAAUUUAAGUGGCAUCGAUGCAUUUGCGAGGAAUGCAAGCCCCAUAUCAACUAUGUGACGAUGCUUUCUUUCAGCAGAUCCAUUUUGUUGGUGAGCAUGAGGACAUGAGACAUGAUGUGAUAUGCCAAGUUUUUGGAAGAAAGAGUUCAAUUUUUCAUACUCACCACCCCAGUCACUUUGGAUAGCAAUGAUUUUAGAGUUCAGUUUGCGUUCAACAAGAUUUUGGAAAUUGAUAAAGACUUGGAAAACAUCAGACCGUUUCUUUAACAAAUAAAUCCAAGUAAAUUUACUAUUUCCAUCAAUAAAGCUUACAUAAUAAGAAAAUCUCCCAGCUGAAGUAGGGGCUGGCCCCCAUACAUCUGAAAAUAUGAGUUGUAGAGGAGCAGUAGACACACUAGUAGAGAUGGAAUAAGGUAAUUGAUGACUUUUUGCUUGUUGACAUGGAUCACAAACUGACUCAACACUAUUCUCAUAAGAGAGUUUAUUUUUGCUAAGAACGUAUUUAACUAUGACUGAAGAUGGAUGACCUAAACGACUAUGCCACCUUGAUGAUGAUGGCUUGGUGACAAUGUUGGCUUGCUUAUUUGACCAUGAAGAUGAUGAUGAUGAUAUAAGUAGAUAGAGGCCUCCCACGCACCGUCAUCUAAGAAUGAUUCUCCUUGUUCUCAAAUCCUUAACCAAGAAAAAAUAAGGGUAGAAUUCUAUGAGAACAUUGUUAUCAAGGGUGGAUCGAUGAACGAAAACAAGAUUUUUUGAUGUUUGAGGAACAUGCAAGACAUCUUUCAGGUGCAAAUUUUUCAUGGGGUUUUUAACAAUUGAACUACCAAUGUGAGUGAUGUUCAUACCAGAACCGCUUGCCGUGCGAAUUUGGUCGCCUCCAUUGUACUUCUCCCGUGUUGUCAGCUUCUCAAGUUCACCUGUGAUGUGAUUUGUUGCUACACUGUCGGCAUACCAGUUUGUAUCUACGCCAUAGGAGACAGCAUGCGCCUCCUUCUCUUCCUGAUCGUUCUCUUCAUAGCGCCACCAGCAAACACGUGCGCCUCCUGGAUGGUGCCUAUAGCAUAUCUGACAUUUAGGGUAAUCGUGCUGCUGUUCGCGCACUUGCUGUUGCCGUUGUUGUCGAGGGCGUCCUCUGAAUCCGCCGCCUCUGUUUGCAGGAGAGGGCUGGCGGUCACCGCGGUCACCGCGAUCACCACGGCCGCGCCCCCUUCCUCCUCGCCCACGGGGUCUGCCGCGGGACUGGCCACGGCCUCUGUAAACUGCGCUGGCCGAUGAAUGAAAUCCUCCUGAAGAUGAAUCACCCAGCAUCUCCAUCCUCUGAUCAAAAGCAGAAAUCUGAGCGAAGAGGUCGUCGGCGGUGAUAGUGUUCUUGACAGCACCAAUCGUUGCAACCACAGAGUCAUAGUCGCGAUCAAGUCCCGCCAGGAUGUAGUCCACCAUCUCCGGGUCAGAGACAGGGCGCCCAGCAGCAGCAAGUUCGUCCCCAAGGCUCUUCAUCUUUGCCAUAUACGCCGAGCUCGACAUGGUGCCCUUCUUGGUGUUGGUGAUUGCGAUCCUCAGAUUGGUGAUCCGGGAUAGUGAUUGUGAGGCGAAGAGAUUUGUCACCGUCGUCCAGAGCUCGUAGGUGGAGUCCUUCCUGAUGACUUGUGCAAGGAUUUCAGGAGACAUGGAAUUGAGUAGAUAUGAUAGGACCUAUUGAUCUUUGGCGAUCCAGGGCCCGUAGAGGGGAUUCGGCUCUAGGGUCGUGGUUUUAUCCGCCUUCGUGAUAUCCACCACCCUCGAUGGAGCGGCAUCGGAGUUGUCCAGGAGCCCAGUAACCUGCGCACCUCGCAGAGCUGGGAGAACCUGUGUCUUCCAGAGGAUGAAAUUUCCUCUUGCGAGCUUCUCUGACGGUGGCGAUCCAAGGUUAAGAGCAACGCCGGCUGAGGAAGCCAUGGAGACAAUGGUAUGUGGUUUAGGGUUUUGAUCUUUGGCUAGAUGUUUUGGGAAGAGGUGGCUCUGAUUACCAUGUAAGAUGAAAAGUGUUCCCGACCCCUCGAGGGGGAGUCGCGGGCUGUAUAUAUUGAUGUGGCCGAAGCCAACCUUGACGUACAAGGAAGAUUUACAAGAGUUUGAGUAGAACAAGUAAAGGAAGGAGUUGGAGACUACUACGGAAACUAUAUUCGCUAACAGAGUCUCCCUUCGCUUAUAUGGAUGGAGAUGGACCUCAGCUCAGCACCUACUCCCUCCCAAUCCGAGCAAGGGAACUGAGGUCAACACGGACUGAGGCCCGGGGCAAGAAGGGCCAAGCCUGGCCGCUUUCCCCUGAAAAAAUGGAAAACUCGUUUGCGGCAAGUUGUCCGGACUAGGCCCACGACAGAGGAGAAAGACCAGUAAUGCUAAACAUACAAAGGUUUACAUGCUUUUACAUCAUGAUUAGGUUCUUUUCAAACUAACUAAUCACUCCCCCGAUUUUCAUGGGGAUGGGCCCCUUCUCUUCCUUAAUCUUCAAUCAAAACCCACCUUUAUGUACAAGCAUGUAUCCUUUUGUAUAUUUUUUUUGGAGAAAUCUCGCCCACUUUCAUUGAUUUGAUAACUAUGUUCAUAGGUACACGGUUCGGCUUAUAGGGGUUACCCAACCACACAUGUCUACCUACUCCUAAAUUACAAGCAAACUUGGUGAGAGUAUGAGCCUCGAAAUUAAAAUUCCUACACUCAUGAAUAAAAGACCAAGACGUACAUAUAAGAAGAUAUACGCGCCGCAAUCUCUUGGAUGAUAGCCGCAUUAGGACCUCCCGUCCCCUUGUUGAUAUCUUUUACCACUUCUAGGCAGUCUGAUACUACUACCAUAUUCUGAAUAUGAAGAUCAUUUGCUAGGGCAAGAGCUUCACUGCAUGCAAAAGUUUCGAGCAUCAUUGGAUCACCAGUUUCUUUUUGUACGUGUAGCAUUACUAGGAGAAAGACGAGCGUUUCAGGAUGGGCUGGCCCGUUAAACAUUUCAACCAUUCCGGUUUUGGGAAGGUUUAGCCGAUUUUUUCCCCGGUUUGGGAAUCUUCCUUCUAGAAGGUUCCUGAAGCGGUUUUUUUUUCUGUUCCUUUUUCUUUUUUAGUUUUUUUCUGUUCUUUUUCUUUCUUUCGGCGCCCUGUAUCUUCAAAAAAGAAAGCUAUUAAUGACUGUUUCGAUCAACAAGCACGGCGGCGGCUAUCACUUCCAUUUUCUUCUUUUUUCAUGUUUAUUUUCUUUUUAAAAAAGUUUACUGAGUUUAUUGAAAAAAAGCGUAAGUUUUAAAAAAUGUUUGUGUUUUUCUUAAAUUGUUGAAAACUUCAAAACAAAUCCUGUUUUGCAAUUUUGUUAACAAAUUUAGAAAAAUUGUCGCCUUUUCCCCAAAAAACAGGGCUUCAAAAAAAUUAGCAUUUUCAAAGCUUUUAUUUAGAGUUUAAAAAAAAGCUCUCUUUUUUUCCAAAAAUGUCCGUUCUUUCAAUUUUGCUCAAAAAUCUCCCCUUUCCCAAAAGUUGUUUAAGAUUUAAAAAUAUAUGAGUUUUCCAAAGAAUGUUGGUGUUUUCAAAUAAAUUUCAAUUUUUUAAAAAAUUAUUCAAAAAAAUUGAAAUGAUUUGAUUUCAAUAAACAUUCUAUUCUCUCAAUAAAAUCAUGUUCAAAAUCCAAAAAAUAUUUAGAUCUGUUGCCACUCAUAGGUGUUAUGCACCGCAAUGCAUAUUUAGACACCAAUAUUAUGCGGCUUUCCAUUGGCGGCUAUGUAACAGCGUUGACUGACAGGAUGUGUGCCCGACAUUUUCAGGAAUUUUAUGCCGCUGGAGUUGGUCCUUACAAGUUUGCGCUGCUUAUUAUUAAUAAAAUUUAUUCAGCUCUUGCGUCUUAGGACGCCGGGAGUUCGGUCCCACUUUAUCACCAAGUAUAUAUAUUUUUCGGAUGUUUUUGGGGAGUCGCUACCAACUUUGGGCAAUGCGACGUUAGUUCGGCACCCCAAGAAAGAAGGCUAUCCGUGAAAUGAAGAACUAUUGUACAGACAUGGGGAUGAACACGAAUUAAGCGAAAACUUUGCACCCGUUCUACCUUAGCAUGGAAGCGAACUGUAAAUAUGAGACGAAAAUUAAUUUAGGGAACAAAAUUUGCGGAAACGAAAAUGAAAUUGGGGAACAUAAUUUUCGUAUCUGCACAUGCAUAUUGUGUUUUUUCAUGUAUAGCCAAAUCUAGACCAGCCUAGAUACCUGGGCUAACUCAAAUGUCCUUGAACUUAACUAUACUUGUAUAUGCUGCCAAAAAUAAAAAUCACGCAUAAUAGUAUACAUUAUUGUGAUAUAUCAUAAUAGUUACAGUCACCUUAGCAAUUGUCUUUUUGGAUUUUAUUCUAUAUUUCUUUGAAGUUCAAUAGUUUUUUGAGUUCCAGCGAUUUUCCACUUUUUAUUUGUGCCCCCACGGUAGUAUCUUCUUUCCUAUUCAUUUCCACACAAAUUUAUACUCCCCCCUAUCCAUAUCUCAAUUAGCGAAAGGUAGUUUCGCUCCCGGACGCCGUCCAAGCUUGAGGAUCUGGCCGUCUAUUUCGAUAGAAGAUGGUGGAUCCAAGCAGUGGCAGAGCAAGACAAAAACCACUGGGGGGCAAAGGUAGAUUACAAAGAUCUGGGGGCAAAACACUGAUUUUCCUCUCAUCUAGGCCCUUCAAAAAAUCUUCUCACUUUUCUCCAAAAGCUGGGAGGGUGGGUCCCCCUGGCCUCAACAUAGCUUCCCCACUAGAUCGAAGACCUGUGGUCGUCCAUGCAUCCUUUGGUCACCUUUCCCUGGAAGAAGUUGUGGUAACUGCUCCAGGGCGUUGGUUCGUCCAUAGGUGGUUGACUUCCUGACCGCAAGAUAAAAAGUCUUGCCGGCUCUACAGAGGAGCAACGUCGGCACCGGCGCGCCAUCCCCUUGUCCCGAAGGUUGUUGUCGGAGAUACCCCAGAUGUUUGUUUUUGAUUUCUUGUUUGUUUGGGUUGUUUUUUUUUGUAAUGUUGGUUCUUUGAAUUUAUUGAGCUAGGCUUUUUUUCACUAGUGCUAACUUUUUUGGUUCUUAGAUUAGAAUAAUUUGCUUUUUGAGACAAUAUAAUUCUCUGCUAAAAGGCAUGAAAAUGAAGGUAAAAUAUGGUAGAAAUCAGCCCACUCCGUUUUCACCCAGUUGACAAUGGAUUGCUCAAAUGCGGGAGCUAUUUCUCGCAUUCAGCGAGCCAAAAGAUUUCUCUCGCUGAAGGAUUCCGACUAGGCUAUCGCGCCGGCCCACUAUCGCACAACAAAAUAGAAAACCCUAUCAAGAAAACGAGGGCGCAAGCAAACUUGGCCAAAAUGGGCCGGCCCGGCCCGGCCUGGGUCCAACGAGCCAGGCAUGCUAAGUACGCGUGCCGGCCUCUUUGGCCCAGGCACGACCCCUUCACUACAUGGGUCGGCACGUCGGCCGGUUUGUCCUGAGUAGGCACGUCGAGGCAUCUAUCGUUAUUGCCUCAUUGGCAUUGCUGAAGAAAAAAUGAUGGUUGGCGUCUACAGGAAUAAUGAAUAAAGAAUUGCAGUGCGCUCUUGAGCUUGUGUCGCGCUAAAGGCACAUCGAUUUGCAGGAAUAAGGUUACAAAAAAAAGAUUUGCAGGAAUAAAGAAUUGCAGGCAGGCACGUCCCCCUGGUCCCUGCCUGGCUGCCUCCCUGUCCCUGGUAUACGUAGUUUUUUUUUUGUUGAGAAAUUGGUAUACGUAGGUAGCAGUAGGUUUUGCUCAAGAGAAAAUGUGCUAGUCGUGCCGUGCCGGGCUGGCAAGGCAGCCCAGGCACGACCUAGCCGAGCCACGUGCCAGGCACGGCCCACUAAGUCGCGUGCCAUGCCGGGCCGGGCACAUGGGCUAUCGUGCCGGCCCGACAAUACCGGCCCAUUUGGCCAGGUUUGGGCGUGAGGGGGAAUCGAACCGUGGUUUUACGAACGAGCAUAGAGCCGGUAGCCACUGCACCACUUAUGACUUCAUGUAAAAUACACACUACUUGAUGUAAAAUACCAGAGGUUUUUUUAUUUCUUCAUUUUUCCUUUCUUUCGUUUCUUUGGUUUUUUGUUUGGUCUUCUUAUUUUUCUCCGGUUUUGUUUUAUUCAUCAUUAUAAUUCGAUUUUCUCAAUUUUUUUGCUUUUUUCAUUUCAUUUUUCUGUUUUCAAUUUUUUUUCUUCUCUGUUUUUUGUUUUGUUUUCCUUUUUUAUUCUCGAUUUUUUGUUUUCCUUUGGUGCUUUCUUAUGUUGUAAUUUUCACUCUACACUUACACACAUGUCAAAAACAUUUUUUGUAACAAGUGAUCAACAUUUUCUGUGUACAAGUUCAACAUUGUCCCAAUGCUAUUUCAACAUUUUUCAAAUACUUGUUCAACAUUUUUAAUAGUUAUUCAAUAUUUUAUCAUAUACUUGUUCAACAUUUUUAAUACUUACUCAACAUUUUCAAAUACUUGUUAAACAUUUUUAUAUACCCAUUCAACAUUUUAAUACCUUUUUCAACAUUUUUAAUAGCUAUAUGAAUGAGUCUUAAAAGGAGAAAUCAAUGGCUCACAAAUCGACCGAGCCAAAUUCAUUUUUCAGGUGACUUGCAUAUAGCUGAACUAAAGUGAGAGUUUGCAGAUUUUAUUGUGUAAUAAGAAUUUCUUUAUGGCACAAUAGUUUUUUGAGUUUUGGGGAUUUUUCACUUGAUGAAUGUUUGUGGCCGCUUCGUAGUGUCUACUAUGUCGUAUUCGUUUCACAAUGUGUACAUUUUUUUUGAGGGGUUCACAAUUUGUACAUUUUUUAGGGGUACAAUUUGUACAUUUUUUUUGAGCAUGGUACAAUUUGUACAUAGGAGUAUUUGUUUUCACUUCCCGUAGAAGAUAGUAUGAAAACAAGACAAACAUGGCAGACAUGAGCUCAGACAUGCAUUAUGCCCCCACAAGGAACGAGGAAGCAUCCGAUCAACGGUUAAUAAGAAUCAAAAGCUUUGCUCUGAAGCCAGGUCUGACAAGAUUGAAGCAAGGUCCCAGAAGAUUGAUGCGGCAUCCAAGGUGGUGAUAGAUGCGGCGUUGGACAAGAUUGAUGCAUCAUCCAAGGUGGUGAUAGAUGCGGCGUUGGACAAGAUCGACGAUGCAUCCAAGGUGGUGAUAGAUGGGCGUUAGAGAAGAUUGAUGCCGCAUCCAAGGUGAUGAUCAAUGCAUCAUCCAUGGUGAUGAUAGAUUCGGCGUUGGAGAAGAUCAAUGCAUCAUCCAAGGUAAUGAUAGAUUCAGCAUUGGAGAAGAUCAAUGCAUCAUCCAAAGUGAUGAUAGAUUCGGCGUUGGAGAAGAUCAAUGCAUCAUCCAAGGUAAUGAUAGAUUCGGCAUCCAAGGUGAUGAUAGAUUCGGCGUUGGAGAAGAUCAAUGCGUCAUCCAAGGUAAUGAUAGAUUCGGCAUCCAAGGUGAUGAUAGAUUCGGUGUUGAAGAAGAUCAAUGCAUCAUCCAAGGUAAUGAUAGAUUCAGCGUUAGAGAAGAUCGGCGUUGAACAUUUUUUAAAAACAUGAACAUUUUUUAAAACACUGACAUUUUUUGAAAUUAUGAGCAAAAUUUAAAACAAGAACAUAUUUUGAAAUUCCUGAAAUACUUUAUGAAACACGAACAGUUCUUGAAAUUGUGAACAAAAUUUGGAAGCAGGAACAUUUUAUGAAAUUUCUGAACAUUUUUUGAAAUUGAGAGCAAAUUUUGAAAACAAGAGCAUGUUAUAAAAUUCCGAAUAAAUAUUUGAAAUUCUCAAACAAAAGAAACAUGACUAAAGAAAAAACGAAAGAAUAAAGAAAAGAAAAAAAAAAGAGAAAGAAAAGAAGAUGGUGGAUAAACCAGAUCUGGUGGUCUACUCGGAUAGAAGAUGGGGUCGUCCACGCGUCCUUUGGUCACGUUUCCUCUUUGGAACCAGUAGCGGUAACUGCUCCAGGGCGUUGGUUUGUCCAUAGGUGGAAUACUUCUCGGCCGCAAGAUAGAAAGUCAGGCUGGCUCUCGAGAGGAACAGCAGCGGCACCGGCGCGCCAUCCCCUCGUCCCCAAGAUUGUUGUCGGAGUUUACCCCAAAGGCUUGUUUUGUGAUUUGUUGUUUGUUUGGGUUGUUUUUUGUAAUGUUGGUUCCUUUAAUUUAUUGAGCUUAGGCUCUUCAGCAUAAAAAAACGACAAUUAAUAUGUUCUCCCUCCGUCUCGAAAUGUAAGAUGGUUUUUGGUACUAUGAUAGUGUCGAAAACCGUCGUCUUAUAUAUGUAUUGACCCCUUCUUUAAAUUAGAUCUGGCAGAUGCAGGAUGAACUCCUACCACAUGAUCGCAUACGAGCAAUUCAAGAGGAAUUGGCGGGAUUCUUUCUUGACCACGUCAUACCUGAACAAGGAGAAUACCAUGUGAAAUUGAAAUUGUUGUAAGGGAUGUUAUAUAUUGUACAUUUGUAGCAGCGUCACCAAGCACGAAGAAAGAGAUGUCACUUCUCUCUAUAUAUGUUCAUGGCGAUCUUGUGUAAUUAAUGGUUUCCUUUAUUUGCUUACUAGCUAGCGUCGAGUUCUCUCUAUAUGUGUAGUAGCUAGAGUCGACCAAGCACGAAAAAAGAGAGGUCACUUCUCUCUAUUAGCUCGCUAACACAAUAUGAAACCCCUAAAUUAACCCUCCAAAACUCCCAAACCCCCCCUUCCAAAAAAACAAAACCCCCAGCGACUGCGAGCUGCUGACGCGUGGCCGCCUUUUGGUCCCAGCUGGUGUUACCAACCGGGACUAAAGGUCCUCCCUCCCCCGCCCCAGGCAGCGCCACGUGGAGGGCCUUUGGUCCCGGUUCAAAAGCAAACCGGGACUAAAGGUUUUGGCUAUUAGUCCCGACCCUUUAGUCCCGGUUCCAGAACCGGGACAAAUGGCCCUCUGGAACCGGAAAAAAUGGCCCUUUUUCUACUAGUGAAUUCUCAUAGGAGAUACUUUCAGAUAGACAUAAUCUCCUACUUCGAAAAUUAAUUCUCUUCUUCGAUUAUCUGCAUAGCUCUUCUGACGAGUUUGUGCCACUCUCAAGUUCUCUCUAAUCAACCUGACUUGUUCCUCGACAUUCCUGAGCACAUCUAGUCCAAAGACUUAACUUUCACCCAUUUGAUUCCAGAACAACGGUGUUUUACACUUACGUCCAUACAAUGCUUCAAAGGGUGCCAUCUUUAGACUAUUCUGGUGACUGUUGUUGUAAGAGAACUCCGCAUACGGUAAACUUUUAUCCCAACUAGUACCAUACUGCAAUGCACAAGCUCUCAACAUAUCUUCAAGAAUCUGAUUGAGCCUUUUUGUCUGUCCAUCAGUCUGAGGAUGAUGUGCCGUACUGAAAUUCAACUUUGUUCCCAAAGAUUUAUGCACUUCCUGCCAAAAGAUGGAUGUGAACUGCGUACCUCUAUCAGACACAAUCUACUUAGGAAAUCCAUGCUGACAUAUUAUUCUUUCCAUGUAUAGAUCUGCCAAUUUUGCCCCGCUAUAAGUAGUCUUGACAGGCAAAAAGUGAGCGACUUUAGUGAGACAUUCCACUAUUACCCAUAUAGAAUCAUAACCUUGUUAAGUAUGUGGUAAUCCCACUAUAAAGUCCAUUCCGACUUCUUCCCAUUUCCACUCAGGAAUCUUCAUUGGUUGCAACAAACUAGCGGGUCUCUGAUGCUCAGUAUUUACCCUCUGACAAGUGUCACAUAUAGCUACAUACUCAGCCACAUCUCUUUUUAAUCCAUACCAGCAGUACUUCUCCUUAAGAUUUAGAUACAACUUAGUACUUCUAGGAUGAAUAGAAUAGGCUGACUCAUGUGCUUCACGCAAAAUUGUAUCAUGAAUGGCUUUCACCUGAGGAACACAUAUCCUUUUUCCAAACCAUAAGGUUCCAUUCUCAUCUAUUCUGAAGCCAGGUGCUUUACCAAUCACCACAUUCUCAGCUAUCUCCUUUAACUUUUCAUCUUCUAGCUGACCCUUACGUAUUUCUUGCUCCAACGUAGGAAUCCAUUUUAUCUCCAUAGCACUAGCAACAACACCAAGGUUCAGAUGUUGCAACCCCGCAUACAACUCUUCUGCCUCUGGUCUCAACUUAUGAUUGUUGUCAUAUUUCUUCCUACUGAGAGCAUCAGCUACUACAUUCGCCUUACCUAGAUGAUAAUGUGCCUCCGGUUCAUAAUCCUUGAUUAACUCUAGCCAGCGACGUUGUCUUAAAUUCAUACCUGUCUGAGUGAAUAUAUACUUCAAGCUCUUAUGAUCGGUGUAGAUAUCACUCUUGUGACCAAUCAGAUAGUGUCUCCAGAUCUUCAAUGCAUGUACCACAGCUGCUAACUCCAGAUCAUGAGUAGGAUAAUUUAACUCAUGCUUCCUCAACUGUCUUGAUGCAUGCGUUGGUGGUGGUAACCUCAUGUCCGCUUGCACCGUGUUCGAUGAAACACCAAGGAGGGUCAAAAGCUUCAAACUGCAUCGGAGUCGCUCGGAGUAGCAGCGGGUACACGCUGGAGUGCUGGAUGUGAUGCUUGGCCUGAAGGAAAUAUGCCCUAGAGGCAAUAAUAAAGUUAUUAUUUAUUUCCUUAUUUCAUGAUAAAUGUUUAUUAUUCAUGCUAGAAUUGUAUCAACCGGAAACAUAAUACUUGUGUGAAUACAUAGACAAACUAAACGUCACUAGUAUGCCUCUACUUGACUAGCUCGUUGAUCAAGGAUGGUUAUGUUUCCUAACCAUAGACAUGUGUUGUCAUUUGAUUAACGGGAUCACAUCAUUAGGAGAAUGAUGUGAUUGACAUGACCCAUUCCAUUAGCUUAGCACCCGAUCGUUUAGUAUGUUGCUAUUGCUUUCUUCAUGACUUAUACAUGUUCCUAUGACUAUGAGAUUAUGCAACUCUCCCGUUUGCCGGAGGAACACUAUGUGUGCUACCAAACGUCACAAUGUAACUGGGUGAUUAUAAAGGUGCUCUACAGGUGUCUCCAAAGGUACAUGUUGGGUUGGUGUAUUUCGAGAUUAGGAUUUGUCACUUCGAUUGUCAGAGAGGUAUCUCUGGGCCCUCUCGGUAAUGCACAUCACUUAAGCCUUGCAAGGAAUGCAAUAAUGAGUUAGUUGCGAGAUGAUGUAUUACGGAACGAGUAAAGAGACUUGCCGGUAACGAGAUUGAACUAGGUAUUGAGAUACCGAUGAUCAAAUCUCGGGCAAGUAACAUACCGAUGACAAAGGGAACAACGUAUGUUGUUAUGCGGUCUGACCAAUAAAGAUCUUCAUAGAAUAUGUGGGAGCCAAUAUGAGCAUCCAGGUUCCGCUAUUGGUUAUUGACCAGAGACGUGUCUCAGUCAUGUCUACAUUGUUCUCGAACCCGUAGGGUCCGCGCGCUUAACGUUACGAUGACAGUUUCAUUAUGAGUUUAUAUAUUUUGAUGUACCGAAGGUUGUUCGGAGUCCCGGAUGUGAUCACGGACAUGACGAGGAGUCUCGAAAUGGUCGAGACAUAAAGAUCUAUAUACUGGACGGCUAUAUUCGGACACCGGAAACGUUCCGGGUGAUUUCGGAGAAAACCGGAGUGCCGGAAGGGUUACCGGAACCCCCCGGGGAAGUAUGGGGCCUUAGUGGGCCUAAGGGGAGAGAGAUGGCAGCAGCCCAGGAGGUGGCGCGCCCCCUCCCAUGGGGAGUCCAAAUUGGACUAGGGGAAGGGGGCGCGGCCCCUCUUUCCUCUCCCUCUCCCUCUCUUUCCUUCCCCCUUCUCUCUUCUUAGUUGGACUAGGAAAGGGGAGUCCUACUCCUACUAGGAGGAGGACUCCUCCCUCCUUGGCGCGCCCCAAGGGCCGGCCGGCCUCCCCCCUUGCUCCUUUAUAUACGGGGGCAGGGGGGCACCUCUAGACACACAAGUUGAUAUUCGUGAUCGUUCUCUUAGCCGUGUGCGGUGCCCCCCUCCACCAUACUCCUCGAUAAUAUUGUAGCGGUGCUUAGGCGAAGCCCUGCUACGGUAGAACAUCAAGAUCGUCAUCAUGCCGUCGUGCUGACAGAACUCUUCCCCGACACUUUGCUGGACCGGAGUCCGGGGUCGUCAUCGAGCUGAACGUGUGCUAGAACUGGGAGGUGCCGUAGUUUCGGUGCUUGAUCGGCCGGGUUGCGAAGACGUAUGACUACAUCAACCGCGCAUAACGCUUCCGCUUUCGGUCUACGAGGGUACGUGGACAAUACUCUCCCCUCUCGUUUCUAUGCAUCACCAUGAUCUUGCGUGUGCGUAGGAAUUUUUUUGAAAUUACUACGUUACCCAAUAGUGGCAUCCGAGCCUAGGUUUUAUGUGUUGAUGUGAUAUGCACGAGUAGAACACAAGUGAGUUGUGGGCGAUAUAAGUCAUACUGCUUACCAGCAUAUCAUACUUUGGUUCGGCGGUAUUGUUGGAUGAAGUGGCCUGGACCGACAUUACGCUUACGCUUACGCGAGACUGGUUCUACCGACGUGCUUUGCACGCAGGUGGCUGGCGGGUGCCAGUUUCUCCAACUUUAGUUUAACGGAGUGUGGCUACGCCCGGUCCUUGCGAAGGUUAAAACAGCACCAACUUGACAAAGUAUCGUUGUGGUUUUGAUGCGUAGGUAAGAUUGGUUCUUGCUUAAGCCCGUAGCAGCCACGUAAAACUUGCAACAAACAAAGUAGAGGACGUCUAACUUGUUUUUGCAGGGCAUGUUGUGAUGUGAUAUGGUCAAGACAUGAUGCUAAAUUUUAUUGUAUGAGAUGAUCAUGUUUUGUAACCGAGUGAUCGGCAACUGGCAGGAGCCAUAUGGUUGUCGCUUUAUUGUAUGCAAUGCAAUCGCCCUGUAAUGCUUUACUUUAUCACUAAGCGGUAGCAAUAGUCGUAGAAGCAUAAGAUUGGCGAGACGACAACGAUGCUAUGAUGGAGAUCAAGGUGUCACGCCUGUGACGAUGGUGAUCAUGACGAUGCUUCGGAAAUGGAGAUCACAAGCACAAGAUGAUGAUGGCCAUAUCAUAUCACUUAUAUUGAUUGCAUGUGAUGUUUAUCUUUUAUGCAUCUUAUCUUGCUUUGAUUGACGGUAGCAUUAUAAGAUGAUCUCUCACUAAAUUUCAAGAUAAAAGUGUUCUCCCUGAGUAUACAUCGUUGCCAAAGUUCGUCGUGCCCAGACACCACGUGAUGAUCGGGUGUGAUAAGCUCUACGUCCAUCUACAACGGGUGCAAGCCAGUUUUGCACACGCAAAAUACUCAGGUUAAACUUGACGAGCCUAGCAUAUGCAGAUAUGGCCUCGGAACACUGAGACCGAAAGGUCGAGCGUGAAUCAUAUAGUAGAUAUGAUCAACAUAGUGAUGUUCACCAUUGAAAACUACUCCAUUUCACGUGAUGAUCGGUUAUGGUUUAGUUGAUUUGGAUCAUGUGAUCACUUAGAAGAUUAGAGGGAUGUCUUUCUAAGUGGGAGUUCUUAAGUAAUAUGAUUAAAUUGAACUUAAAUUUAUCAUGAACUUAGUCCUGGUAGUAUUAGCAUAUCUAUGUUGUAGAUCAAUAGCUCGCGUUGUUGCUUCCCUGUGUUUAAUUUUGAUAUGUUCCUAGAGAAAAUUGUGUUGAAAGAUGUUAGUAGCAAUGAUGCGGAUUGGAUCCGUGAUCUGAGGUUUAUCCUCAUUGCUGCAUAGAAGAAUUAUGUCCUUGAUGCACCGCUAGGUGACGGACCUAUUGCAGGAGCAGAUGUAGACAUUAUGAACGUUUGGCUAGCUCAAUAUGAUGACUACUUGAUAGUUUAGUGCACCAUGCUUAACGGCUUAGAAUUGGGACUUCAAAGACAUUUUGAACGUCAUGGACCAUAUGAGAUGUUCCAGGAGUUGAAGUUAAUAUUUCAAGCAAAUACCCGAGUUGAGAGAUAUGAAGUCUCCAACAAGUUAUAUAGCUAAAAGAUGGAGGAGAAUCGCUCAACUAGUGAGCAUGUGCUCAGAUUGUCUGGUACUACAAUCGCUUGAAUCAAGUGGGAGUUAAUCUUCCAGAUAAGAUAGUGAUUGACAGAAUUCUCUGGUCACCAUCACCAAGUUAGUAGAACUUUGUGAUGAGCUAUAGUAUGCAAGGGAUGACGAAAACGACUCCCGAGCUUUUCAUGAUGAUGAAAUCGAUGAAGGUAGAAAUCAAAAAAAAGGAGCAUCAAGUGUUGAUGGUUGACAAGAUCACUAGUUUCAAGAAAAGGGCAAAGGGAAAAAGGGGAACUUCAAGAAGAACAGCAAGCAAGUUGUUGCUCAAGUGAAGAAGCCCAAGUCUGGUCCUAAGCCUGAGACUAAGUGCUUCUACUGCAAAGGGACUGGUCACUGGAAGCAGAACUACCCCAAGUGAUUGGCGGAUAAGAAGGAUGGCAAAGUGAACAUAAGUAUAUUUGAUAUACAUGUUAUUGAUGUGUACUUUACAAGUGUUUCUAGCAACCCCUCAGUAUUUGAUACUAGUUCAGUUGCUAAGAUUAGUAACUCGAAAUGGGAGUUGCAGAAUAAACAGAGACUAGUUAAGGGUGAAGUGACGAUGUGUGUUGGAAGUGGUUCCAAGAUUAAUAUGAUCAUCAUCGCACACUUCCUAUACUUUCGGGAUUAGUGUUGAACCUAAAUAAGUGUUAUUUGGUGUUUGCGUUGAGUAUGAAUAUGAUUUGAUCAUGUUUAUUGUAAUACGGUUAUUCAUUUAAGUAAGAGAAUAAAUUGUUGUUCUGUUUACAUGAAUAAAACCUUAUAUGGUUACACACCCAAUGAAAAUGGUUCAUUGGAUCUCAAUCAUAGUGAUACACAUAUUCAUAAUAUUGAAACCAAAAGAUGCAAAGUUAAUAAUGAUAGUGCAACUUAUUUGUGGCACUGCCGUUUAGGUCAUAUUGGUGUAAAGCGCAUGAAGAAACUCCAUGCUGAUGGGAUUUUGGAAUCACUUGAUUAUGAAUCACUUGGUGCUUGCGAACCAUGUCUUAUGGGCAAGAUGACUAAAGACUCCGUUCUCCGGAACAAUGGAGCGAGCAACUGACUUAUUGGAAAUAAUACAUACUGAUGUAUGCGAUCCGAUGAGUGUUGAAGAUCGAGGCGGGUAUCGUUAUUUUCUGACCUUCACAGAUGAUUUAAGUAGAUAUGGGUAUAUCUACUUGAUGAAACAUAAGUCUGAAACAUUUGAACAGUUCAAAGAAUUUCAUAGUGAAGUGGAAAAUCAUCAUGACAAGAAGAUAAGGUUUCUAUGAUCUGAUCGCGGAGACGAAUAUUUGAGUUACGAGUUUGGUCUUCAAUUAAAACAAUGUGGAAUAGUUUCACAAAUUCAUGCCACCUGGAACACCACAGCAUAAUGGUGUGUCCGAACGUCAUAACCGUAUUUUAUUGGAUAUAGUGCAAUCUAUGAUGUUUCUUACCGAUUUACCACUAUAGUUUUGGGGUUAUGCAUUAGAGACAGUUGCAUUCACGUUAAAAAAGGGCACCAUCUAAAUCCGCUGAGACGACACCGUAUGAACUGUGGUUUGGCAAGAAACCAAAGUUGUCGUUUCUUAAUGUUUGGGGUUGCGAUGCUUAUAUGAAAAAGUGUCAUCCUGAUAAGCUCAAACCCAAAUCGGAGAAGUGCAUCUUCAUAGGAUACCCAAAAGAAAAUGUUGGGUACACCUUCUAUCACAGAUCCGAAGGCAAGAUAUUCGUUGCUGAGAAUGGAUCCUUUCCAGAGAAGGAGUUUCUCUCGAAAGAAGUGAGUGGGAGGAAAGUAGAGAACUUGAUAAGGUAAUUGUACCUUCUCCCUUAUUGGAAAGUAGUUCAUCACAGAAAUCUGUUCUUGUGACUACUACACCAAUUAGUGAGGAAGCUAAUGAUGAUGAUCAUGUAACUUCAGAUCAAGUUACUACCGAAUCUCGUAGGUAAACCAGAGUGAGAUCCGCACCAGAGUGGUACGGUAAUCCUGUUCUGGAAGUCAUGUUACUAGACCAUGACGAACUUGCGAACUAUGAGGAAGUGAUGAUGAGCCCAGAUUCCGCGAAAUGGUUUGAGGCCAUGAAAUCUGAGAUAUGAUCCAUGUAUGAGAACAAAGUAUGGACUUUGAUUGAUUUGCCCGAUGAUCGGGAAGCCAUAGAAAAUAAAUGGAUCUUCAAGAGGAAGACGGACGCUGAUAGUAGUGUUACUAUCUACAAAGCUAGACUUGUCGAAAAAGGUUUUUGACAAAGUUCAAGGUGUUGACUACGAUGAGAGUUUCUCACUCGUAUCUAUGCUUAAGUCUGUCCGAAUCAUGUUAGCAAUUGCCGCAUUUUAAGAAAUCUGGCAAAUGGAUAACAAAACUGCAAUCCUUAAUGGAUUUCUUAAAGAAGAGUUGUAUAUGAUGCAACCAGAAGGUUUUGUCAAUCCUAAAGGUGCUAACAAAAUAUGCAAACUCCAGCAAUCCAUCUAUGGACUGGUGCAAGCAUCUCAGAGUUGGAAUAUACGCUUUGAUAAGUUGAUCAAAGCAUAUAGUUUUAUAUAGACUUACGAUGAAGCCUGUAUUUACAAGAAAGUGAGUGGGAGCACUACAACAUUUCUGAUAAGUAUAUGUGAAUGACAUAUUGUUGAUCGGAAAUAAUGUAGAAUUAUUCUGCAAAGUACAAAGGAGUGUUUGAAAGGAGUUUUUUCAAAGAAAGACCUCGGUGAAGCUACUUACAUAUUGAGCAUCAAGAUCUAUAGAGAUAGAUCAAGACGCUUGAUAAGUUUUUACAAUGAGUACAUACCUUGACAAGAUUUUGAAGUAAGUUCAAAAUGGAACAGUCAAAGAAAGAGUUCUUGCCUGUGUAACAAGGUGUGAAAUUGAGUAAGACUCAAAGCCCGACCACGACGGAAGAUAGAAAGGGAGUGAAAGUCAUUCCCUAUGCCUCAAUCAUAGGUUCUAUAAAGUAUGUCAUGCUGUGUACCUAUUGUAUACCCUACACUGAUUUUGGCAAGGGAGUACAAUAGUGAUCUAGGAGUAGAUCACUGGACAGCGGUCAAAAUUAUCCUUAGUUGAAUAAGGAUAUGUUUCUCUAUUAUGGUGGUGACAAAAAGGUUCGUCGUAAAGAGUUAUGUCGAUGCAAGCUUUGACACAGAUCUGGAUGACUCUAAGUCUCGAUCUAGAUACAUAAUGAAAGUGGGAGCAAUUAGCUAGAGUAGCUCCGUGCAGAGCAUUGUUGACAUAGAUAUUUGCAAAAUACUUACGGAUCUGAAUAUGACAGACCCGUUGACUAAAAUUAUCUCACAAGCAAAACAUAAUCACACCUUAGUACUCUUUGGGUGUUAAUCACAUAGCGAUGUGAACUAGAUUACUGACUCUAGUAAAACCUUUGGGUGUUGGUCACAUAUCGAUGUGAACUAUGGGUGUUAACCACAUAAAGAUGUGAACUAUUGAUGUUAGAUCACAUGGCGAUGUGAACUAGAUUAUUGACUCUAGUGCAAGUGGGAGACUGAAGGAAAUAUGCCCUAGAGGCAAUAAUAAAGUUAUUAUUUAUUUCCUUAUUUCAUGAUAAAUGUUUAUUAUUCAUGCUAGAAUUGUAUUAAACGGAAACAUAAUACUUGUGUGAAUACAUAGACAAACUAAACGUCACUAGUAUGCCUCUACUUGACUAGCUCAUUGAUCGAAGAUGGUUAUGUUUCCUAACCAUAGACAUGUGUUGUCAUUUGAUUAACAGGAUCACAUUAUUAGGAGAAUGAUGUGAUUGACAUGACCCAUUCCAUUAGCUUAGCACCCGAUCGUUUAGUAUGUUGCUAUUGCUUUCUUCAUGACUUAUACCUGUUCCUAUGACUAUGAGAUUAUGCAACUCCCGUUUGCCGGAGGAACACUUUGUGUGCUACCAAACGUCACAACGUAACUGGGUGAUUAUAAAGGUGCUCUACAGGUGUCUCCAAAGGUACAUGUUGGGUUGGCGUAUUUCAAGAUUAGGAUUUGUCACUCCGAUUGUCGGAGAGGUAUCUCUGGGCCCUCUCGGUAAUGCACAUCACUUAAGCCUUGCAAGCAAUGCAACUAAUGAGUUAGUUGCGAGAUGAUGUAUUACGGAACGAGUAAAGAGACUUGUCGGUAACGAGAUUGAACUAGGUAUUGAGAUACCGACGAUCGAAUCUCGGGCAAGUAACAUACCGAUGACGAAGGGAACAACGUAUGUUGUUAUGUGGUCUGACCGAUAAAGAUCUUCGUAGAAUAUGUGGGAGCCAAUAUGAGCAUCCAGGUUCCGCUAUUGGUUAUUGACCGGAGACGUGUCUCGGUCAUGUCUACAUUGUUCUCGAACCCGUACGGUCCGCACGCUUAACGUUACGAUGACAGUUUCAUUAUGAGUUUAUAUAUUUUGAUGUACCGAAGGUUGUUCGGAUUCCCGGAUGUGAUCACGGACAUGACGAGGAGUCUCAAAAUGGUCGAGAAAUAAAGAUCGAUAUAUUGGACGGCUAUAUUCGGACACCGGAAGCGUUCCGGGUGAUUUCGGAGAAAACCGGAGUGCCGAAAUGGUUACCGGAACCCCCCGGGGAAGUAUUGGGCCUUUGUGGGCCUAAGGGGAGAGAGAGGGAAGCAGCCCAGGAGGUGGCGCGCCCCCUCCCAUGGGGAGCCCGAAUUGGACUAGGGGAAGGGGGCGCGGCCCCUCUUUCCUCUCCCUCUCCCUCUCUUUCCUUCCCCCUUCUCUCUUCCUAGUUGGACUAGGAAAGGGGAGUCCUACUCCUACUAGGAGGAGGACUCCCCCCUCCUUGGCGCGCCCCAAGGGCCGGCCGGCCUCCCCCUUGCUCCUUUAUUUACGGGGGCAGGGGGCACCUCUAGACACACAAGUUGAUCUUUGUGAUCGUUCUCUUAGCUGUGUGCGGUGCCCCCCUCCACCAUACUCCUCGAUAAUAUUGUAGCGGUGCUUAGGCGAAGCCCUGCUACGGUAGAACAUCAAGAUCGUCACCACGCCGUCGUGCUGACAGAACUCUUCCCCGACACUUUGCUGGAUCGGAGUCCGGGGAUUGUCAUCGAGCUGAACGUGUGCUAGAACUCGGAGGUGCCGUAGUUUCGGUGCUUGAUCGGUCGGGUCACGAAGACGUACGACUACAUCAACCGCGUUGUCAUAACGCUUCCGCUUUCGGUCUACGAGGGUACGUGGACAACACUCUCCCCUCUCGUUGCUAUGCAUCACCAUGAUCUUGCGUGUGCGUAGAAAAGUUUUUUAAAAUUACUACGUUACCCAACAUGGCCAUCUCCAACUCACGAGCGUGCAAGAGAGAAAUCAUGAGACAGUAAUGAUUUAAUUUGGUUUUGCAAUGUUUUUAUUUUAAAAAUAGUUGGUUUAUCUUUGUAAAAUAGUUAUUUACAUGAGAAUUAUUGAACAAAAUAGUUUUUAAAGAGAAAUUUGCAUUCAAAAAGUCUUCAUUCGUAACCAAGCUACGAGUUCACAUUUGCUCUUUUUCCGCGUUUGAAAAUUGAUUGCAGUUUUACUUAACAAAGCAAAAAAAUUGUUCAUUUUUACCACAGCAAAAAGAAAAGAAAUAUCAGGGUGUUUUCUUUUUUUCAUUACUAGCCUUUUUAUUCAUCUUUUUGGGCUGUUAGGGGCUGGGAAGGUGUUCAGGCUAGGGCUUUUAUCAUUCCGAACGAGUGGGUUCGACCGUUACCCCUCCCAUACCGAACGAAACAUUCGAUCUGGGGUGCUCCCAAACCCCAUAUCGGGUCCUAAAUUUAAAUAUAUUUUUUGCCAUCGCAAUCCUCAAUUGGCAUGGCAAAUUUUAGCUAAAUAUAAUGGCAAAUUUUCACUUUUAUUGCCAUGGCAUUUCUUAAUCUUUUUUAUUUUCCAUGGCAAUUUUACAAAUUUUCAUGCCAAAAUUACCUAUAUCUAAAUGGAAAAUAUUUAACUAUUAUUGCCAUGGAACUUUCACAUUUAUUUGCUUACCAAUACUGCCUUGGAAAAUUUACUUAAACCGCCUUGGUAAUUUUUACUCUUUAUUUUCCAUUGGCUAAAUUAUCUAUAUCAACAUGGGAACAUGGAAAAUUUCACUUUCAUCUUUUUUCAAGGGAUUUUUACUUACAAAGCAACUUGCCAUGACAUUUUUUCUGUGCCAUUGCGUCUUUUUGUCCAUGGCAAAAUCUAUUUUGUGAAAGACGAAUGUCAUUCUCUGGUUUGCAUCAAUGGGAUUUUUUAGUUCUCAAUUUCCCCCUUUUUAAUGGCAAUUUUUUUUUGCAUAGCAUAGCAAAGUCUGGUCUUUAUUUCACAAGCUUAAAAUAUGUCUUUUAGUCACAGUACAAACUGGGCCAUAUUGGGCUCUGUGCUUUUACCCCUCUUGAUAACCCCUCUUGCCCUCCCUCCUAUAUCAUAAAAGCCGCCCGCACUCCAUCGCCUCGCCGCCGUUCCCCGCAACCCCCUGUCCUCUGUCGACCCAAUCUCACAUCGAUCACCCGGUGCUUCGUCCUCCUCUCCAGAUCAAAUCUUACGCCCGCUCGCCCGAGGUGAGCACAUGCUUGUACAUCCCGAUCAGCCUGGAGUUCCGAUUGGUUGGUAGGCGCUGGUUCGUAGGUCUCGGAUCCAGCCAGCGUGGUCUCCCUCCGCCUCCGGAGUUGCUCGUUCCGAUUGUGGUUGGUAGGCGCGGCGCGGCGCCGUCUUGUAUCCUGCCUGCCUCUGGCUUUGAGUAUUCAUUCGUAUGAGGAGGAACCUCGACUAGGAUAGGAUUUAAUUAGUUAGGGUUUGUUUGUUUGGUAACACCACCUAGUUAGGGUUUGUUCGGUUAUCCGUAAUAAGGAAUCAAUCUGACGUUUUAGGGUUUAGGGUUUGCUUGGUUGUGGUCAGAUUUUGGUUUCUCAAAAGGUGUAUGAAUUCUUCAACUGUGCCUGUACAGGAUAGCUGGAUAAGGUAUUAAUUUGGAUGGAAUUCAUGCUAUGUUGUUCGAUUUCAGUUUAUGCCUGCCAGAAUGUUAAAUUUUUUGUUUUAUCAACUGUGUUUGAGCGUACUAGAUUUUUUGUUGCAUAUUCAUCUUCUUGCUCUGUUUGGAUAGGUAACAAUUAAUAUUUGGGAUCCUAAAAUAUCUAUGCACUGGCAGCACUUAACCUGCAGCUGCUGAUUAAUGUUGUAGUCAUAUGUGCUGCUUUCCAGCUCUCUUGUUUGGAUAGGUAUUUGGUUAUCGUUUGUAAAUGCUGGUUUGGUUUUCUGUGCUCACUAUGCCCUUGCACAUGGGAUGCAAUUUUUUUAUUUCCCUUCUGUUUAGUUUAUUGUUUCCUUUGAUGGUGAUGCAAUUUUGUUGCUCACACAAUAAUACAAUGAAUGAUGGCAUCUCUAUCUACUUUGAACCAAAAUAUAUUAUAUUCCCCCCUCUGUUAAUUAUUUUUCUGUUUUGGGUAUUCAUUCAUUUUGUUUAGUUGCCUAUCAGUAUAAAUACAUGGCUGGAUUGCUUUCACUUCAUAUUAAUAACUAUUCUGUCGCACAAUGCAAAUAUACAUAUGCUGUCCUAACUAAUUAAGUAGAAGCUUGGAUUGGUGCUGUAUGGUCUCUUCCUGACAUUAAGUCCUCCUCUGUUUGUGCUGUCUGUUUCUGCUGCUGCAGUCUUCUUCGCCGCCAAAAGGAAAUGAUGCUCUACAAAAUCCACUCCCAUGCCCAAAUCCAAGACCUGCAGGCCCGCUCCGAUGAGCUGGGCCACUCCAAUAAGUCCAUGCUUGUGAGUCUUGUCUCUCUGGAGUCGGUGCGCAUAGCGCGCGAGUCGUAUGCACUCCUCCGCCCGCUGAUCAUGGAGUCGAGGUCCUGGGAAUGCCCGCAGGUGGAUUCCCUCUCGGACGUGGCAGGCUUGUCGCUGGAAAUCCAAAAGCUCGAGCAUGAUGUGUUACCCCAGCUCAAGCUUCAGGAGGGUAAGCUGGAACGGGGUGCCCUGGAAGCCCUCCUACUCAUGAAGAACUCAGCAAGUAAGCUCUUACAUUCGAGGAAGUGCUUUGAGGAAGCCUUGGGCGUAUUGCUUGCCAAGGAGGAUCUGGUCUCAGCCAAAGUCAAAAGGCCGAGCAUGAUGCUAAACGAUACUGCUGUUCAUGUACUCAAAGCUAACAACACUCGCUUGUUUAAGGAGCUUGUCCAGCUGGUCACCGAUGUGUUGGAGACCCCGGUUCGUUUCUGUGAUACUCGUAAGCAUAAGUAUUCUGAUGAGUAGACUUAUCAGCCAGCUCGAGGCUGUUGUGAUGAGUAUUUCUUAGGGGCGUGGCAAACAGUUUAGAAUCAACCCUUUAUGUUUGGAUGUGUUAUUAAUGGAUUUUAAAUGAUAUGUAUCUUGGGUAGUGUUUUCUCAUUCUGUGCUAGUCGGGUACAACUUGCAAUUACUUUCAGUUUUUUUUUUUGAGAAAUACAGUCACAUGGAGGUAUUCGCUCUUUUUGGGAAUAUAUGCCAAAAGAAUAUAGUAUCUUAGAAAAGAAAUCCCAAAUAUAAGUCUUUUAAGAGGUUUCACUAAAAGACUACAUACGGAUGAAUAUAGGAACGUGGAUGGAUUCACUCAUUUUGCUCCGUAUAUAGUUUUCUACUAGUGAAAUUUCUUAAAAGACAUAUAUUUAGGAACGGGGGGAUCUGUGAGUGUCCAUGAUUAAAGCUUUGCAAAUACCAUAAACAAAACAUCACCUUGUACAUAUAAAGUGAUGAUUAUUUUUACACUAACCGGUUUGGCAAGUAGUACUUCCUUCGUAAAUAAAGAAACAUAAGAGUGUUUGGAUUAUCAUUUCUUUAGAGAGGGAGUAGUAUAUAUAUAGAAUUGAAUUAAUAAUCUCUACUCCUAAAGUAUCAGUUGGUCGUCUCUGUUCAUCGGUUAAUUUUCGUCCCACCAACACCGAUUUUUUUUCGUGCUCCCUCCCACCCAACCCCCGGGCCAUCGAACAAAAAAAAAAGGGUUGGCUUAGCUAUGCCCCACGAAGUCAAGGGGCCAAACAUCCGAUUGAAACAGAGAGAACCGGAUGAAAAAAAAUCUACGAAAAAAGACCUACGAAAUUAAACCAGCGAAAAAAAUGAAUCGCACGCAGGUAUACGAGCGAUUCCUCCUUCCUUCGAACCACUCGCACGCUCGAUCCCUUCGCCGCCGCCGCUCCAUCCCUUCGCCCCCACCGCUCGAUCCCUUCGCCGCCGCCCUCCCACAUCAAAGCCGCCACCGAUAUGCCCUGCCGGAUCUCGCCUCAGCCCCGCCGUCUUGUGAUCUGGAGUUCACAGCCUCUGCCGCCGAUAUCCUCGCACGCGUUAGGGUUCCUGCGCCGCCGCCACACAGGAGCUCGUCGACCAGCCCAGCGUGCUGCUGCUCCGCGCUCGCUUCCCUCGUCGGUCGCCUUUGGACCCCUCGCUUCAGACUCCGCGCCAAGCCGCCGCCUCUUUGCCGAGAAAGAGGGCUCCCGAUCUCCGCCGUGGUCGACCAUCAGCGCGAUUGGCAGAGCACCCAGCCCGUAGGCUCAUCCCCUUCUUGGAUCCACUCCGGCAGCGGCCAUCAUCGGUACGUUCCGCUCGUGAUAUAUUGGUGUAGGAUCAUCCCCUUCUCUUUAUCUAAAAAGGCUAUUCUACAUACGCCAAGGAGAAGAUGCUCACCUUCUCGCCCCUGUUGGAAAUAUGCCCUAGGGCAAUAAUAAAUUGGUUAUUAUUAUAUUUCCUUGUUCAUGAUAAUCGUUUAUUGUCCAUGCUAUAAUUGUAUUGAUAGGAAACAUAGAUACAUGUGUGGAUACAUAGACAACACCAUGUCCCUAGUAAGCCUCUAGUUGACUAGCUCGUUGAUCAAUAGAUGGUUACGGUUUCCUGACCAUGGACAUUGGAUGUCGUUGAUAACGGGAUCACAUCAUUAGGAGAAUCAUGUGAUGGACAAGACCCAAUCAUAAGCCUAGCACAAAGAUCGUGUAGUUCGUAUGCUAAAGCUUUUCUAAUGUCAAGUAUCAUUUCCUUAGACCAUGAGAUUGUGCAACUCCCGGAUACCGUAGGAAUGCUUUGGGUGUGCCAAACGUCACAACGUAACUGGGCGGCUAUAAAGGUACACUACGGGUAUCUCCGAAAGUGUCUGUUGGGUUGGCACGAAUCGAGACAGGGAUUUGUCACUCCGUGUGACGGACAGGUAUCUCUGGGCCCACUCGGUAGGACAUCAUCAUAUGCGCAAUGUGACCAAGGAGUUGAUCACGGGAUGAUGUGUUACGGAACGAGUAAAGAGACUUGCCGGUAACGAGAUUGAACAAGGUAUCGGAUACCGACGAUCGAAUCUCGGGCAAGUACAAUACCGCUAGACAAAGGGAAUUGAAUACGGGAUUGAUUAAAUCCUCGACGUCGUGGUUCAUCCGAUGAGAUCAUCGUGGAACAUGUGGGAGCCAACAUGGGUAUCAAGAUCCCGCUGUUGGUUAUUGACCGGAGAACGUCUCGGUCAUGUCUGCAUGAUUCCCGAACCCGUAGGGUCUACACACUUAAGGUUCGAUGACGCUAGGGUUAUAAAGGAAGUUUGUAUGUGUUUACCGAAUGUUGUUCGGAGUCCCGGAUGAGAUCCCGAACGUCACGAGGAGUUCCGGAAUGGUCCGGAGGUAAAGAUUUAUAUAUGGGAAGUCCUGUUUUGGUCACCGGAAAAGUUACGGGUUUUAUCGGUAACGUACCGGGACCAUCGGGAGGGUCCCGGGGGUCCACCAAGUGGGGCCACAAGCCCCAGAGGGUUGCAUGGGCCAAUUAUGGGAGGGGACCAGCCCCAGGUGGGCUGGUGCGCCCCCCCCCACAAGGGCCCAAGGCGCCUAAGGAGAGGAGAGGGGGCAAACCCUAAGGGCAGAUGGGCCUUAGGGCCCAUACCUGGUGCGCCUCCCUCUCCCCCUCCACCUGGCCGCCACCCAGAUGGGAUUGGGGCUGGCUGCCGCCCCUAGGGUGGAACCCUAGAGGGGGCGCAGCCCCCUCCCUCUCCCCUAUAUAUAGUUGAGGUCUUUGGGGCUGCCAACACAAGAGUUUUGACCUCUCCCUGGCGCAGCCCUGCAUCUCUCUUUCCUCCUCUCCCGCGGUGCUUGGCGAAGCCCUGCAGGAUUGCCACGCUCCUCCACCACCACCACGCCGUCGUGCUGCUAUUGGAUGGACUCUUCCUCAACCUCUCCCUCUCUCCUUACUGGAUCAAGGCGUGGGAGACAUCACCGGGCUGUACGUGUGUUGAACGCGGAGGUGCCGUCCGUUCGGCACUAGGAUCUCAGGUGAUUUGGAUCACGACGAGUACGACUCCUUCAACCCCGUUCUCUUGAACGCUUCCGCUUAGCGAUCUACAAGGGUAUGUAGGUGCACUCUCCUUCCCCUCGUUGCUGGUUUCUCCAUAGAUAGAUCUUGGUGACACGUAGGAAAAUUUUGAAUUUCUGCUAUAUUCCCCAACAGUGGCAUCAUGAGCUAGGUCUAUUGCGUAGAUUCUUUGCACGAGUAGAACACAAAGUAGUUGUGGGCGUUGAUUUUGUUCAAUAUGCUUACCAUUACUAGUCCAAUCUUGAUUUGGCGGCAUUGUGGGAUGAAGCGGCCCGGACCGACCUUACACGUACACUUACGUGAGACAGGUUCCACCGACUGACAUGCACUAGUUGCAUAAGGUGGCUAGAGGGUGCCAGUCUCUCCCACUUUAGUCGGAUCGGAUUCGAUGAAAAGGGUCCUUAUGAAGGGUAAAUAGCAAUUGACAUAUCACGUUGUGGUUUUGCGUAGGUAAGAACCGUUCUUGCUAGAAACCCAUAGCAGCCACGUAAAACAUGCAAACAACAAUUAGAGGACGUCUAACUUGUUUUUGCAGGGUAUGCCAUGUGAUGUGAUAUGGCCAAAAGGAUGUGAUGAAUGAUAUAUGUGAUGUAUGAGAUUGAUCAUGUUCUUGUAAUAGGAAUCACGACUUGCAUGUCGAUGAGUAUGACAACCGGCAGGAGCCAUAGGAGUUGUCUUAAUUUAUUUAUGACCUGCGUGUCAACAUAAACGUCAUGUAAUUACUUUACUUUAUUGCUAACCGUUAGCUAUAAUAGUAGAAGUAAUAGUUGGCGAGACAACUUCAUGAAGACACGAUGAUGGAGAUCAUGAUGAUGGAUAUCAUGGUGUCAUGCCGGUGACGAUGAUGAUCAUGGAGCCCCGAAGAUGGAGAUCAAAAGGAGCAAAGUGAUGAUGGCCAUAUCAUGUCACUAUUUGAUUGCAUGUGAUGUUUAUCAUGUUUUUGCAUCUUAUUUGCUUAGAACGACAGUAGUAAAUAAGAUGAUCCCUCAUUAAAAUUUCAAGAAAGUGUUCUCCCUAACUGUGCACCGUUGCGAAAGUUCGUCGUUUCGAAGCACCACGUGAUGAUCGGGUGUGAUAGAUUCUAACAUUCACAUACAACGGGUGUAAUACAGAUUUACACACGCGAAACACUUAGGUUGACUUGACGAGCCUAGCAUGUACAGACAUGGCCUCGGAACACAAGAGUCCGAAAGGUCGAGCAUGAGUCGUAUGGUAGAUACGAUCAACAUGAAGAUGUUCACCGAUGAUGACUAAUCCGUCUCACGUGAUGAUCGGACACGGCCUAGUUGACUCGGAUCAUGUAAUCACUUAGAUGACUAGAGGGAUGUCAUUUCUUUAGAGAGGGAGUAGUAUAUAUAUAGAAUUGAAUUAAUAAUCUCUACUCCUAAAGUAUCAGUUGGUCGUCUCUGUUCAUCGGUUAAUUUUCGUCCCACCAACACCGAUUUUUUUUCGUGCUCCCUCCCACCCAACCCCCGGGCCAUCGAACAAAAAAAAGGGCUCACUUAGCUAUGCCCCCACGAAGUCAAGGGGCCAAACCUCCGAUCGAAACAGAGAGAACCGGAUGAAAAAAACCUACGAAAAAAGAUCUAUGAAAUUAAACCAGCGAGAAAAACGAAUCGCACGCAGGUAUACGAGUGAUUCCUCCUUCCUUCGAACCACUCGCACGCUCGAUCCCUUCGCCGCCGCCGCUCCAUCCCCCACCGCUCGAUCCCUUCGCCGCCGCCCUCCCACAUCAAAGCCGCCACCGAUAUGCCCUGCCGGAUCUCGCCUCAGCCCCGCCGUCUUGUGAUCCGGAGUUCACAGCCUCUGCCGCCGAUAUCCUCGCACGCAUUAGGGUUCCUGCGCCGCCGCUACAUAGGAGCUCGUCGACCAGCCCAGCGUGCUGCUGCUCCGCGCUCGCUUCCCUCGUCGGUCGCCCUUGGACCCCUCGCUUCGGACUCCGCGCCAAGCCACCGCCUCUUCGCCGAGAAAGAGGGCUCCUGAUCUCCGCCGUGGUCGACCUGUUAGGUUGAUCUCUCCACCAAUGGGCCCAACGGCUCAUUGCGCCCUUGACCCACGCCCUGAUCGGGAGCGUCCAGCCCAAGCAAGGCUGGUGGGCCCCUAUCACGCAGUGCUAUAAAGAGGAGGUGGGGACCAGGGGCACAGGGUACGAGGUUCGUCGCCGCCACUGUUCCCCACUCCUAACCCUAAUCCGAUCCAGAGGGAGGCACUGAAGCGAUGGGAAGCGCCACCAGCCACUUCAUCGUCACCCUCUACACCAACCGUCGCUGCCCGUGCGCAGACCAUCACUGACGAACCAGCGAUGGCCGGAAGGCUAAGGUAGACACCCAAACAGAGAAGAUAUGCCACCGAUCUACUCCUAGUCGAUCCAGUAAGUCUAUCAAUGGUAUCAGGCCAUGUAGGCUAAGAAUUUUGGUACAAAGUGCAUACACAGAAAGAACAUCCCUCUCUCCCCACCCCUCCCCAAAGAACCCUAGCAGGGCAGAGACAAACAACAAAAAGAAAGCAAAAAGUUCACCGGCAGAGGGCCCAGGCCCCCGCCGGCAAAGUGCGCCGCCACUCCGGCCGCGCCAGUUCCUCUCGAUCCGAACGGGCAUCGGCUAGCCGAGCCGUCCGGACGAAGAACAACCCCGCAAGGGGCAAAGGGCACUGCGACCAAUCCGCUCGACAGCGGCGCGCUCACCGCAAGGUGGACGCGCAGCCGGCGAGGGGGAAGGCCACGGCGCCGCUGCCGUUCGCUCUGCCGUCGUCGAACUCGAAUGGGAGCAAAGGAGGCAGCAGGAUCUCUCUCUCUCUCGCCGGGGUGGUGGUGGAUGUAAAAAAGAGAACGGGAAAGGGAAGGGGGGGCUCGCGCAGCCGCAUCCCUCUCUGCCACUAGAUGCGGUGGACGGAGGGAGAAAAGGAAGAAGGAAUGAAAGGGGAAAAAGAAGGCAGCCAGGCUCGCGCGACGCAGCGCAGUGGUCGGUCGACACCGUUGCCGGCGUCCAGGGCACGGCACGGUGGCCCGGCGUUCGGGAUAGAGCGAGAGUCACGAGAGGGAGGUGAGCGGCGCACACGGGGGAAAUGAGCGAGGGUUUUCCCCUCGGCAGCGUCGCCAGCUGGUUUUAAUCCAGCGAGAUGCACGGGCCACCGUCAGAUCGCGUUUGACGACCAAGAUAGAAAACCUAAGGAGGAGCGGGCCUUUUUGGGCCAAAAGAGGCUGAGGCCAGCAGCAGUAUGGGCGUUGCCGCGCGAGCUGGGCCGAGGCCGCAGCCGCGCGCUGGGCCAGCUGCAAUUUUUUUUAGUAGUUUUAUGUCCAGUUAUUUUUGGGCAGAUUUACUAUAGCUUUUCUAUACAAAUUUUUCCAACGAAAAGUUUGUUUUGGAAAAUAGAAAAAAAAGGGUAAACAGAAAAGUUCUGAAAAUGAAAAUAGAAAAUUUUCAGAAAAAGAAAAGUUCAUGAAUUUUAUAAAGAAAUUUAAAAGUUCAUGAUUUUUUUAUUUGGUCAAAUAAAAGUUUCUAUAAAGAAUAUAAAGUCCAUGAAUUUUUUAUUCAUGUUUUCCGCUGCAAAAUAAAGAAAAGUGCUCUUUUAAGAGAAAAAGAAAAUUCUUAUGAAUAGAAUAUUGUAAAGUUUCGCUGCAAAAUAAAAGUUUUAUUCUCCAAUUAAAUUGGAACCAACAGGAAAAUUUAAUUAGAAGAACGGUUUUGAGAGAAGUUUUUUCACUUGUGGGUGAAAUCAGAUUCAUAUAGUUUCUGCUAUGACAGUAGAAAGAUAUUUGAUUAAAGGUUAAUUAUGGUAUUGUUAUUUUCUGACCAACGGUGAUGAUGACGAUAUUAUAAUUCUAUGAGUCUUAUGUUCAAAGCUUAAAUCUCUGAUAAAAGUUGUAUCAAAAUUUUCAGAGAACAGAUAAAAGAUCAAGAAAUGCUCUUGAACAAGAGAACUGUAUAUUUAUUGUUCCCGCUGUAAUAAAGUUGGUGAUGAUGGUUAUUUCUUAACAAAGUUGUUUAAUAGACAUACUAUGAAAAAAAAGUUUAUACUAUCAUCACAUUGUUUAUGAGUUAUAUGCAUUAUUUUCAUUUCCGCCCAACGGUGAUAUGGAAUUAAUGUAGAAGGAUGAUGUUUUGUUCUAAUUCUGCCCAACGGUGAUUUAGAAUAUAAAAGAAAGUUUUAAAAGUUUAAUGUGCAUAUUUUUUAACUAGUAAACAUGGGGUUAUUUUUAUGCUCAUUAUUGUUGAUUAUUGGUUAAGUUUUCUCAGACUAAAAGUUUUCCAUGCCUUCAUUCGUGAAAGCGAAUGGCUGGGUACUUGUGACCCGAGAGAUGACCAAGAAAGGUCAACGUAAGGGAGUAUGUUCUCUCUAGAGAAUGGCUUCAAAAGAAAAGAGAUAUAUAAUUGAGAGUCUUGCUCGACGAUGUCUUCAUGUACUCUCCAUGGAAAAAGAAUUCUCAUCUUCUAUGAGAUGCAAUAAGUGAGAUGCGUGAUUAAUUUGACCAACGUCGGAUUAAGCAUGUGUAUUAAAGAAUAUUCGGAUUUACUCCUAAAUUUGAUGAUUUAAUAUGUAUUCAAAAGAGCCAAUUCUGGCAUUUAUGUCCCUUACAGGGAAUUACCCGCAUGGCGGGAAAAGAUGAUUAUGAUAAAACCAGCAUGGCAGGAAAAGUCUGGGAAAAUCCCUGCGUAACCCGUAUGGCGGGAAAUUUUCUCAGACUUAUCAUGUAUGACAGGAGAAAAACAUGAUGACUCAUGUGCUUUUAAUGUGUCCCAUUCUGGGAGAAAAGUAUGGAGUAGCUAUUAUGCCUUCCUCGUAUCGACCGUACAUCUUAUGUGUAACGGUCAUUAAGCGCUCAAUAAAUCCGAAGAGAACAAAAGUUACAGACGAACCUGAAGAUAAGAAUGAUAUGCAAGUGUGACUUGCAAAAGUACUAAUGAUAAAGAACUCUGUUGAGUUUCUGAAAUGGAAUAAGGAAAAGGUACUCCCAUACCAGUUAACAGAUAACUUCAUUACAUAUGAAGUAAUCAAAUAAAUGAAGUAGAUACUCAAAGUUUCCUCAAUUCACAAGAGUUGUGAAUGGUUUUUCGAAAUUGUGGCAGAAAAGUUCUUGCCACAUUUCGAGGGGGAGAAAGAAAUAUGAGAUACCCAUUAAUGAAGAAUGUGAUCGUCUGGGGGAGUACGAUGAUCAUAAUAAUACCCCUAAAGAAAAGAAAUAGUUGUAUUCCUGGAUCUUUUGCAGUUCCGAAAGCAGACUAAGGAAUACUAAGACGAUGCUUAAAGUGCCAUAAAGAAGAAAAUUUUAACAGAAUAAACCCAAAUAAUAAAUUUUAAAGAUACGCCAUUCUUAGUGAAAAUGGAGUAAUCUGGAGGAGCAUGGUAUGAAGAUACCAAGACUCAAAUAGAUUGUAUCUGGGGGAGCAUGUUGUAUGACCUAUACAACACCCGUUGUUAGCUCUAUAAAGGAGGAAUGAUUAAACAUGGAUCUUGUGAUAAAGGUCCCUGUAAAACCUAUUGCCUCUUGGAAAUGAAAGACUAUAAAAUAAUUUGCCUCUUGGCAAUGACAGAGCAACAACAGCCCCAUAUGAAAGAAGUGCUAGUACCUGAGACUCAGAUGGUCUCAAGGAAUGAGAAAAUCAGAUACUUCUAAUUACUAUAAAGUCUAUGUUAGUGAAAUUCAAAUGGAGGUUGAUCCCACCUCAUUUAAAGCGCUCAAUCGAGCUUUGAGAAGUGUCUGCUUAUCUAAAUGAUAAGAGACUAUGUGAGAUGAAAAUUGGUGAAUUCUGACGAUGUUCGGGACUCAUAAGUAAUUUCCUAUGGAGCCAAAACAGUAGGCUGUUAAGAGUCAACAAGGACAAUGUGACUCCAAAGUAAAUACGUAAAGGUGUAAAACACGACUUAAAUCGAAAGGUUUUUGCGGGUUUACACUGAAUAGAUUACAAUAAGUGUUGGUAGCACAUCAUGAUCUGAGUUACAUCAGAUGAAAGAUAUUAUAAUUUGAGUUAUAUCAGAUGAAAAAGUAAAGAACACAGGGGAUACUGCCUGAAGAAGUCUUUUAUGGACUAAAGCAAUCAAAUGUUGUUUUGGGUUAAAGAAAAUGCGAGGACAAUUGUAUUCGUGCAAAGUUAUAGAAUGGGAAAUUCAUUUCCUAAUCAUGUGCAUGUGGAUGACAUCCUACUUGCUAGUGGUGAUGUCAACCUACUGCAGGAGGAGAAAAGAAGUUCUUGUCCUCAAAUUUCAAAAGAAUGUUCUCGGUAGAGUGUCUCUCGUUAUAAGUAUCGAGAUUCACGAAGAAAAGAAUAAAAGGGGGUAUUAGGGAUGUCGAAUGGACAUGCUAAGAAAGGUCUCUAAAGUAUGCAUGCGAGAAAACCUACGCCUGUUCUUACAGUCAAGGGUAAUGGAAGUGGAAGCUAUGGUGUUCCAAAAGUUGACGAGAAAAGAUUCAAACAUAUAUGGUACCAUAUGCUUUAGCUGUUGGAAGCUCAAUAUAUUGCCCUGACACAGUUCACAUAUCCGGGUUGUUUUGGCAAUGUCCAGUCCAUAUAUAGAUCACUGGAAUGGAGACAAAGAUAUCGGCCUCAUGCUGAAAGAAAUAAGUGCUCUCAAAAGAUUGUGAGUACAAAGACAUGACUUGUGAAAUGUAUAGCGAAAUCCACAAUUGUCGCUAACUUUCAUACUUGGAGGUUUUUGUGUGGAAAAGCUUCAAAGAAUGAAACAAUUAUCUUCAAUGUGAUGCAAAGAUAUUUUAUAGCUUGAUAUGAGGCUGAGGGACAGGCAAAAUGGUUAAGGAGACCUGUACCCGAAGUUGAUAAUGGUUGACAACAGUGAUAACUAUUAGUCUUUCGCUCCUGUGACAACGGGUCAAGUGUUGGUGCCAAACACAUUGACACAAAGUUAUACGUUGUUAAGGAGAAAGUCCGGAAUUAUGUUGAAAUGCUUGGAGCAUGAAAGCAACAGACAAGUAUUUGCAGAUCUGCUUAUUAAAGGCUUACCGCCCAGUGUGUUCGGAGAACACACAGUCGACAUGGGUUUUAUGGUAUAGUCUAACAUUUCCGGACAAUAAAAGGGCCCAAGGUUAAAGAAACUGUUUCAAAACAGAAGAGUGUGUUGUGGGUGUUGAUUCUAUCGGGAUAGACCGUGAUGAUGAGACAUGCUCUACAUGCAAAUCUGUGAUGGAACGAGUACUUUGAAAAGAGUUAUUUCGAAGUACAAAGUUAAAAGUAUAUGAUGAGAUCAAGGGGGAGAAUGUUAGGUUGAUCUCUCCACCAAUGGGCCCAACGGCUCAUUGGGCCCUUGACCCACACCCUGAUCGGGGGCGUCCAGCCCAAGCAAGGCUGGUGGGCCCCUAUCGCGCAGUGCUAUAAAGAGGAGGUGGGGACCAGGGGCACAGGGUACGAGGUUUGUCGCCGCCACUGUUCCCCACUCCUAACCCUAAUCCGAUCUAGAGGGAGGCACUGAAGCGAUGGGAAGCGCCACCAGCCACUUCAUCGUCACCCUCUACACCGACCGUCGCUGCCCGUGCGCAGACCAUCACCGACGAACCAGCGAUGGCCGGAAGGCUAAGGUAAACACCCAAACAGAGAAGAUAUGCCACCGAUCUACUCCUAGUCGAUCCAGUAAGUCUAUCACGACCAUCAGCGCGACGGGCAGAGCACCCAGCCCGUAGGCUCAUCCCCUUCUCCGAUCCACUCCGGCAGCGGCCAUCAUCGAUACGUUCCGCUCGUGAUAUAUUGGUGUAGGCUCAUCCCCUUCUCUUUAUCUAAAAAGGCUAUUCUACAUAUGCCGAGGAGAAGAUGCUCACCUUCUCGCCCCUCCCCCUACCGUGAUGUACGUGGAUGAAUCCGACGGCAACGAGGACGACCUCGUAGGAUCCAGCCACGGUUGUGCGGAAUUUCGCGGGGACGGAUCUACCCGGCCUCUCGUCCUAUCUGCCGCUGGUAGAGGCAUCCAUGUCCGAUGGUGUGAAUUUUGGCUGGUUCCAUGAGCACUUCGUUCCCUGCCGUGUAGUCUUCGUUGAUUCGGGAAGAUGGUGGUUGUCUGUUUAGCCAUUUCAAUCUGCUAUUGAUCAUGCUCAUUCUUGUUAUAUUCAGUUAUAUUGGAAACACCAUCUGAUUCAGUUAUAUUCUUGAUCAUGCUCAUGCUCAUCCUUAUUCAAAUAAGAAUACUUCUGUUUGGAGAGCUCGGGCGUCAGCUGUGUGGAAGCACCAGUUGAUUUGUAACUGGUCGGAAGGUGAGCUUCUCAUACUCGCUGCCGUCGAAGCACGGCACCUCGCCGCCACUUAUGUUGCGUGUUGUUGUGCUGUAGGUCCUUGGGGUUGGUUGCGGCAACUCGCGACUCGAAGACAUUUCGUGCAUGUGCUCCCCUGCGCUUGGUGACCAAUACAUCUACUCCGUCGUGAACAUGUGCUUCGUGUCAUACAGGUCGCCGCCAAGGGUGAGCUCGUGCAGCGGUACAGGUAUAGAUGUGCAUCCCAUAAGGGCAGCUACAGUUUCUUUCAUAAAGUUAUUUGUGUGAGUGCCCUGCAUAUUGAAGUAAACUGGAUCGGCUAAUCUUGAGUUCCUCUACCAAGUUAUAUUACUUCGACAAGAAAAGGUGCAGAAAGACCAUAUAAAGUACUCUGGUGACUCUCUCAAUUGAAAUAGAAUUUUUUUAGAUGCGUGAAACAUGCACAACGAUUUGCUCUAUUGAGUCUAUGUAUGUUGAACUAGCACUCGAAUUAUAGCUCAUGCCGGUAUACUAAUUUUCUCUUUCUCAUAUCAGCUCUCCUUCCUUUUGUCCAUUUUUCUUCACUACUACCUGAAGGAAACUGUACUGGAUAGCAGCCUAUCAUAUAUAGUUACAUGUACCGAGUGAUUUAGCUUCAUUUUAAUGAUACUAUCAACAACUAACUACUGCUGCGACAUAUUUGAUGCAACCUGUAAAAUAUUUUUUGUUUAAUUUCAGCAUAUCAUUUAUAUACUGAAGUCUCUUCUGGACAUGUUGUCUAAUUGCGUCAUGUAUGUUAGAUAUUUGUUCUAUAAUACUUGCCAUUGACUAUUUUCUUUUAUUUAGGUUAUGUGCAUUAUUGAUCAGCCAAUCUUGAGAGAGAGAUGGGUUGGCGUGAAUGGGAAGAAAACUACAUUGAAUGGACAAGAAGUAUGCCCUCAACUUUUUCAUGGUACUCCCUCCGUCCGGAAAUACUUGUCAUCAAAAUGGAUAAAAGGGAAUGUAAUCUCUUUUUAUCCAUUUUGAUGACAAGUAUUUUCGGACGGAGGGAGUAUGUCUUACUUAUUGUUCUUGUGAUUUUUCCAUCAGUUUCACUUUACAUUUCUUCUUUGCUUUUUCAUGGCAUCGGGAUGCCCACUGCCGACGGCGCUGCGUUGCUACCAAAGGGGCACCCUGCCGCGGCCGGGGACUCGCUGCCGUCGAAGCACGACACAUUUCCGUCACGUAUCUUGGGUGUUGUGGUGCUGCAGGUCCUUGGGCUUGGGUGCGGCAACUCGAGACUCGAAGAUGAUCUUCUGUGGUAGGGCGUCGCCGGCGGCGGCGGCACCUGUAUAGACCGUCUCGGUGUGACAGAAGAGUUCGGAGUUCACUCCGAGAAAGAAUUGCUUUGCAUGUACAUUUGCUGAAAGACUGAUGUGCUGAACUUUCGAUGAUUUCGAUUGGUCUCUAACAUAACCUUUCCUCUUUUUGUUGAUAUGUCCAAAAGAGAUCCUUAUUUCACCUUUUGUUUAUAGGUAUUCAACUUGAGGAAUUUCAUACUUUUGGAGUGGAGCUAUCAAAUAUAUGUGUGCUCGAUGUUGGUGUUUUAAUCCGGAUCUCUUGCUGAAGGUGCUCGAUGUUGGUGUUUGAAUACUGCUACCGUACUUCAAGGUCUGUAGCAGCUCUUACAAUGGAUUCUUUUUAAUGAUAGUACAAUUUAUUUUUGUUUCGAUUUGGUAUUGUUGUUCUGUUCACUUAACCCAUUCUGUAGCAGCAGCUUUUCAUGUCGUUUCCUCGCCAACAAAUGUCAUAAUUUAUCACAUACGUGUGCAAAUGGUUUUUUGGCUAUAGUAUGAGUAUAUGGUUCAGAGAAGUUCGGUCAGAUGCAAAGCAUGCUUAGCAUCUCAUAGUCGUAGGCUAUUCCUUUUAAAAUUGAAGCCAUCCAGGUUUUCAAUUAUGGAGAUGAUUUGGAAACUCAGCAUAGAAAAUUAUUUACUCUAAUGCAAAUUACACAUAUUAAGGCCUUUAUUCUUUUAUAUUAAGGAAUCCAGUGCAAGCAUUAGCCCAUCUUUAGCUGCUCAUAAGCAGUAUCAGUGAUAUAUAUAUAUAAGUACACUCUUGCUAAGAUUAAUCUUUGAUAUAUAUAAUUCAUUGCCUGGAUAUAGUUUGCUUUGAAUGUUUUUUUGCUCUUUAGUCUAUGAAGAAUUGCAAGGAGGAGGAUAAUAGAGCAGCAACCAGAGCUGACAAUUGGCCUGUAAAUGCAGCAAAGUUCUCCUAGAGGUGUGAUGUUGGUGGUGAUUUUCUUAUAUGGGGAUAUGGAUGUGGCGGGUCUAUGGGCACCAUGCUGACGCAGAGAAGGAGGUGCAGGUAGCGGGGCGCUUGAGGUGAGGUGGCUGCAGGGUCGCUCGAGAAGAACAGGCUCAUAAGCACCACCUGGAUGCCUUCGUCAUCAGCAAUGUGGACAAGGUGCAAAAGGGAUAUCUCCCUUACCUCUUAUUCAGCCUGGAAAAUUAUGCAAUGUUUGGUUUGGCAGAUUUAACAGUCGCUGGUUUGGAAAUUUGUUACGUAUAGAAGUAUAGGAAUAACAUGACUAAUAUUUAUUGAAUUUAUAGAGUUAUUGUUUUUUUCUACAAAGUCAGUUGUCACAUUAGAAGAACAUCGUCUAAAAUCUUGACAACAUAAAGGAGCAUAGAGUUAAUAGAUUAUGAAAUCCUGUAGUGCAUCAGAUGCACCCUUCACUAAUUUUUGAACACAUUUAUAUUAUCCAGGUUCCGACCUCAUUCCCUGUGAUGUUUGUCUUUUUUAUGUGGGCGAGGAAAACAUUUUUAGGAGUGAUACUCCCAAACUUUGAUUUCUUGGUUGUCGAAUCAUGGUGCUGAUUAGAUUUUACUUAACCUUAAUUAAUCUAUUUAUAUUGCGGCUUUGUCUUUUAGCUCAUCUUUUAGUUUCUCUUCUCCACUUAACACAAGAUUUUAUUGUAGGCUACCAAGUACAGUUAUACCACUUAUACUCUUUCUUUCUGAUUAUGCAAAGCUUGAUCUAUACUCAUUGAACUUUGUUAGAUAGUAGGCCCCCCUAUUAGUGUGCCUGAAUAUAAUUGUUUCUCCGUGUUUAUAGUAUCUUAGUCCAGUAGAAUGAAUGUUCUCGAGUAAUUAGAGGUAGUUGGAUCAAGUGAAUGUCUGAAUACCACUAAAAUCGAAAUCAUAAUUAAAAAAUACUGACCUUUUUCUUCAGGGCGUCUGUUCCUCCUCCCAUGGUCAGCACCACCACCUACUCUGAAUCUCCGAUCAGAAUAGUAUGAACUAUUAAAUAGGGAACUUAAUGCUUAUCAUUGUUGAUGUACAUAUGUACAACUAACAAUGUGUGUGCUGCAACCAGCUUACUUUAUUCCUUACUGAAAUUUAUCUUGAUUUAUUUCACAUCAGAUAGUUCUGAACCUAGAUGAUCUCAAUUAAGGUCAUUGAAAUUUGUUAAAUUAUUUUUAUCCGCUCUUCUGAACGAGCGUAUACUAUGAUCUGAUUUGUAUAUCAUAUUACUGAGGCAGCGCUGGGCCAUGUUGUGGUGAGAACAUACGAGAGAUAAUUGGGGUGUGUGGCUGAUUGCUUCAUAUGCUGCUAAUCAUAUAUGUAGACUGCUGAUUGCUCCUGAUAUACAGUGUCGAUUGCAGCUGAUAGUAGGAUUGUACUCAAUUUGAUAGGUAAAGUGGGAUGGCGGGAUUGUAUAGUGCUCAUAAGCCAGUCCGGGCAUUGUCCUUCCUCGAAUGAAUCUGAGACUACUCCUCAUAUGUUAAUCAGUUGCUCCUCCCUAGCUUUGGUUUGGUCUGAACUUCAAAGUUUUCAUCCAUUCAACGUUGAUUCAGUCAAAGAUCUCUUGGAAAAAUUAUUUCGACAAGAUUCACUCUAUAAUGUUGUUAUCAUUGUCCUCUGGAAUAUAAGGAAGCGCAAAAACUCCAAGGUCUCCUGGGAUGUUUUUGAGGAAUUGCACAUUACUGCUAGCAAGAUUGCUGCUGAUUGAUACCAUGGUCCAACAGGUAUUCACACGAAAUUAAUAAAUGGCACCUUACGGAUUGGAGUACUCCACUGUAUCACCUAUCUGGGAGAUUUUAAUUUUUUCCUUCUAUUAUUUCUCUUAAUCCCUGUGUACUCAUUGGACUUUGUAUAGUUCUCAGUUUUAUGAAGUGGUUCAGGCUGGCGUAAGCCGCCAUAGUCCCAGUAAAAAAAGGCUACAAGCUUCGCUUCGGCCUUUCGGAACUGAAUAUUAUGUAGUUUUAUUGAGAUUAUUGAUAGUGCUUCUCUACUAUCAAAGAAGGUAAUAGUCUCUUAUGUGUUUCUUUUUGUCCAUUUGAAUGCACUCCAUUUUUUAGUGUAUUAAUUAACAUCAAACCUCCCAUUCUUUCUAGAGUGCUGAUGUAUUAUUAUUUUCAGCUUAACACAUUUAACUUCCUAUAGAUUUCAUGGUUUAUGCAGAUUAACCGAGCUAAGAACUUUUGUGAAGCUAAAGCUGGUGUUAAGAUGAACGCCGCUAUGUAUAUAUUUGAAACAGUUAGAUACAUGCUUGACAGACUAUAUAGGGGUGAUCAAAACCAUGCAAAGCAUUAUGGGACAAGUUUCUCUACCUUAAAUAAGUGUGCGUUCUCUCGUGUUUACUAUUCGUUUAAGGGUCAUCAACCCGUGUAUUUAUUUUCAUUGACCAAGUUUUAAAUUUUUCUUCAGUAGUGUUCAUUGUGCAGUUCUAGAUUGUUAAGAGAGUAGAGUUUAUUGAUUUAUUACAUGGAGAGACCAGAAGUGUCGUAGUGGUCUUGACAUAAUUGCUAACAUUUUCUACUAGACAAAGUUUAAUUGCACUAAAUACAAAUUAGAACAUGCAUAGACAUUUAUCUUCUUUCUACAGAAUGGUUAGUGUAAACGUACUUUGAGUUGUACAUGAUUCUGUAUCUGACCAUUUUAUCUCAUAUGUUGAUGUGGUUGCAGAUAUGAACUUCAAAUUAUCCUGCAAUGUAUUGACUGCUCAGAGCUAACUUGACUACGCCAGUUUUCUUUUAUGGCUCAAAGUAGUUAGUGUCCCCCCUUACUAUGAGAGAGGUACUACUUCAAACAUCUCUUCUUAAUGUUUUAUGUCAUGGCAUACAGUAUGAGGGAGUGUUAGUUGGCUUGACUUUCGUGGCACUCAUUUCGAGACUAGUCGUCCAAUAUAUCAAUCUUUAUGUCUCGACCAUUUCGAGACUCCUCGUCAUGUCCGUGAUCACAUCCGGGACUCCGAACAAACUUCGGUACAUCAAAACUUAUAAACUCAUAAUAAAACUGUCAUUGUAUCGUUAAGCGUGCGGACCCAACGGGUUCGAGAACUAUGUAGACAUGACCUAGAACUAUUCUCGGUCAAUAACCAAUAGCGGAACCUGGAUGCCCAUAUUGGUUCCUACAUAUUCUACGAAGAUCUUUAUCGGUCAAACCGCAUAACAACAUACGUUGUUCCCUUUGUCAUCGGUAUGUUACUUGCCCGAGAUUCGAUCGUCGGUAUCCAAUACCUAGUUCAAUCUCGUUACCGGCAAGUCUCUUUACUCGUUAUGUAAUGCAUCAUUCCGUAACUAACUCAUUAGCUAUAUUACUUGCAAGGCUUAUAGUGAUGUGCAUUACCGAGAGGGCCCAGAGAUACCUCUCCGACAAUCGGACUGACAAAACCUAAUCUCGAAAUACGCCAACCCAACAUCUACCUUUGGAGACACCUGUAGUACUCCUUUAUAAUCACCCAGUUACAUUGUGACGUUUGGUAGCACCCAAAGUGUUCCUCCGGUAAACGGGAGUUGCAUAAUCUCAUAGUUUCAGGAACAUGUAUAAGCCAUGAAGAAAGCAAUAGCAAUAUACUAAAUAAUCAAGUGCUAGGCUAACGGAAUGGGUCAUGUCAAUCACAUCAUUCUCGUAAUGAUGUGAUCCCAUUAAUCAAAUGACAACACAUGCCUAUGGUUAGGAAACAUAACCAUCUUUGAUUAAUGAGCUAGUCAAGUAGAGGCAUACUAGUGACGUUAUGUUUGUCUAUGUAUUCACACAUGUAUCAUGUUCCCGGUUAAUACAAUUCUAGCAUGAAUAAUAAACAUUUAUCAUGAUAUGAGGAAAUAAAUAAUAACUUUAUUAUUGCCUCUAGGGCAUAUUUCCUUCAUCUCCUCCCCUGCUCGGUCUACCCCACAUGCAUGGCGUAUAACAUCCUCUAGCCCCAACUGCCGCCAAACCUCUCUAGCCUUAUGGCAUCAAAAUAGUACAUGACACACAUCUUCUGCUCCUUGUUUACAUGCAGGACACGGCGGCCGGACUGGGAUGUGUCUAUUAGCAAGAACCAUUUUGCAUGGCAGUGUUCCGUGUAAGGUUCUCCAAAGAAAUUUUUUAACUUUCGCCAGACAAUUCAGUUUCCAAACCUUUUCCCAUGUUGGGUUAGCACUAGUGGCUCCCAAACCAUGUGUCCUCUUCAAUUUACGGCCAUGCUGAAAGUACCAUAGAGCAUGGUAGGCCGAUUUCACUGUAAAAAUUCCAUGUUUAUUCAAACUCCAUGCUACAAAGUUACUCAUAUCAUGUGUAGGUAGUGGUAAAGCAAGGACCCGUUCCACAUCAAUCGAGAUGGUUUGCUCCACAAGUGGCACAUCCCAGUGACCUGUAGCUGGAUCAAUUAAAUCUCUCACCUUUGAUAGUAACUGGUUACCUCUUGGGGUAAUAAUCAUUCUGGAUGGUGAGUUAGGAAUCCACGCAUCCCUCCAAAUAUUUAUUUUUUCACCAUCCCCUACUCUCCAAAUGUAUCCAUGUUUCAGGGUAUUCACCCCUUGCAUAAUGCUCUGCCAAGUGUAGGAGGAAUUAUUUUUCAGCUUAAUUAAUUUACCAGCACAAGAAGCGGCCGUGCUGGGAGUGAAAAACUUCCAUGACUUGAUGUCCACUUGCUGCUGGUACCUUUGGUGGGAGAGGAGAAAGCUUGUGCACAAUGAGCCGGUACAAGAUGCGAAGAGAGUUGCGCAAGCGGUAUGUGCUUUAGCUGCUAACUAUGCUAUUGCAUGUGACCCAAAGGCCUCGUUAAAGAGGGGAGGUUGGUGCAAACCCCCUAGUGGAUAUGUUAAUUUAAAUGUUGAUGCGGCCUUUGAUUGGGAUUUGCUUCAGGGGGCGAUGGGAGCAGUCAUCCGAGAUGAUAGAGGACAUAUGGUUGUAGCUAGAAACAAGCUCAUUGAUUCCUGUUAUGAUGUACUAACUGUUGAGGCAAUGGCUCUGAAGUUUGGGUUGAAUAUGGCGCUCACAGCUGGGUGCAAUAGACUGAUUGUCAACUCGGAUAAUCUGGAACUCAUGGAAAUAAUGAAUAAGGAUGGCCAAUAUGUUGGAGAUGCCGCGACCAUUGUCGAUGAUUUUUAUCAUCUGGCUUGCGAAUUUAGCUCUAUUGUCUUCGAAUUUUGCCCCAGAGAGUCGAAUGGGGUUGCACAUGAACUAGCUAGGAUUGCUAGAAGUUCGCUUUGUAAUGAGUGGUUAGAUAAUGCUCCUUCUGAGCUUCUUCCCCUACUACUUAAAGAUGUAAGUCUGAUCACGAAUGAAUAAAGAGGAAGUAAAGUUGUCAAAAAAAAGAGCAUGGCAAUUUUAUUUUUAAUGGCAUGUCAUUCUUACCUUUAUUUUUGAGAAAAGCAUGUCAUCUUUACUAUGUCCUUCUCGCCUGAUGUAUGAAGUAGGCGGACCCUAGAUGGGCUUUCCCAAUAUGGGUUCCUGGGACCGGGUUCCUGCAGAGUUUUUUUUUCUUUUCGUCUUGUGUGUUUCCUGGGCCAAUUUUCAUCUUUUUGUUUGGUUUUCUGUCUUAUGUGUUUCUUUAUGGAUUUUAUUCUUUCUCAAUACAUGUCCAUUUUUCUAAAUACACACUGUAAAAAUUUACACAUCUUGAACAUUUUUUAUUAAUUGGCAUAAACCUAUUUUUGGAGUGUGUGAGCAUAUUUUAAUUGUCAUGUACAUUUUUCUGAAAGGCAGUAUUUAUUUUGCUGAAUUACGUGAGCAUUCUUUACACAUCUUGAACAUUUGUCCAUAUUUUUUUGAAACACAUGAAAAUAUUUUUGAAUGCUAUAAACAUUUUUUAUAUCAUGCUGCAUUAGGUCUAUAUUAGUUUAAACUAAGUCAGUGACAAUUAAUAUGGAUCAUAGAGAGUACAAUUUUGUACAUGAUGUUUAUAAUUUUAUAUUUCACUUUCCACAUUUUUUAUUUAUUAAACUCUAUUGUGUUUUUGGAAUAAGUGUAUUUAGAAUAUUUUUUAAAAAUGUAAAUAAAAUGGAGCGAAUGAAGAAGCAGAGAAGAAAAACGAAGGCCGGCCAAAUGUAUGGCUUUCCCUGCCUCAUACCUGCAAAUCAAGCUAAGCAGCGGGUGAUAAUUUUUUACACAAUGUUUAUAGUUUUCUAUUUCAAUUUGAACAUUUCAAAAUUUUAAGGAAAUUAUUAUUUUUAAAUAAAUGUUUUUAGUUUUUUUUAAUAAAAAGGUGAAAAAAAAGGAAAUUGAGCGAAUGAAGAUUGAAGAAGCAGAGAAGAAAAAUGCCCUUUCUUUCAUUAACUGAACUGCGUGCGUGCAUGGAAGGGCUAUCAUCUUUACUUAAGAGGAGUGACUUACCUAUCAUUGUGGAGAUGAACUCUAUUCUUGUAGUCAAACUGAUCCAAUCGAGGGAUUUGGACAAAUCUAUUUAUGCUUGGAUAGUUAAGGUGAUCAAGUAUGUUUUGGGGAUUCGUGGUUCUUGUAUUACUCAUGUAAAUCGCUCUCAAAAUAAAGUUAGCGACUGCUUAGCUAGAUUUGCUAAAUUAGAAGGACAAACCAUGACUUGGGUUGGUUCUGGUCCAGAUGUUGUUGUUGAGCUAGCUGUUGCUCAAUGUAUGGACACCAUGAGUUGAGUAAUGCAAAAAAAAAAGUUUGCGCAAAAUUAUUUUCAAUUUUUUUUUGAAAAUUUUAAAUAUGGUUUUUGUUUUUUUUCUUUUCAAAAAAAAUACCACACAAAUUUGGCAUUCGUUCCAUGGCUCAUAUCUCUACUCCUAAUGGACGACUUGGUGAAUAGUCUUCAUGGUUUAUUUUCGCUGGGUUUUUUCAUCAUCCUCCCACCUCACGGUUUCAAAAAAACCAACCAAAACUAGAGGCCCGUCCCACGAAACGAAACCCAAUUUGCCCUCGUACCACCACUCCUCCCUCUCCCUUGACCUCCCUUGUCUAGGGUUCCCCGGCACCACUGCGGCAGCCGCCGCCGAAUCCUAGGUCGCCGCACAUCGUCGCCGCCGCCGCGAAUCCCCAGGGACGCCGCACGCCACCGCCGUUGCGAAUCACCAGAGACGCCGCACGCCGCCGCCGCACGCCGCCGCCGCGGAUCCCUAGGGAUGCCGCCGCCACCGCCGCGGAUCUCCAAGGGCGUGGUCACGUUGUACUAGACAAAGUGUGUUCGUCGCCGGCCUCUCCUCGUCCGACCUUGACUUCACCCCUUCGACUCCGGUGACUCCUCUGUGGCCCGGUGGGCGCCAACUGUCGUGGAAUUUUCAUGGCAGAUGUCCUAGUGUGAGGACUUAGUCGUGAGGCCAACGCAUCUACGCGGUAGCUUGAAGGGAUUGGUCGGAAUCGAGAGAUGCGAGGCGGAUCAACACACAAGACAAGGAUUUAGACAGCUUCGGGCCCCAGGAAACAUCAUCCGGUAAUAGCCCUACAUGAUGUUUGUGGCUAGCUCUCAUUAUGCUCACGAGGGAGUCGCCGUAAACCGGCUCUCCUAGUUAUGUCUAGCCCUAGAGAUUGUUUCUUCUUGCUUGUCCCUCUUUGGGGAGCCUUGUCCCUCCUUAUAUAAGUUAGAGGGGCGGGUUACAUGUGGAGUCCUAUUAGGAUUAGGACUAGUCUACCUUCUAAUACAAACCGGAUACAAGUCCAGGUCUUAACUCCUUGUAAGACAAAUAUUUCUCACGCCUUUCCUCUUAAACCGGCCCACCAUAACAUGAGCCGGCCUUCUGGGCCUUGGGACUUGUCAUCCGUCUGUCCCGCCCGCCGGGUUACCAGUGAAUCAUAAUGUUCAGUCAGGUUGCUUGUAAACUGUCUGGUCAGUGCGGGUCGCCGGUGAAUCGCCAAGUCCGGCUGGGCUAUACUUCCGGCCGGGUUACGCCGCGGGGUAUAUCCCCGACAUCUCCCGUGAUAUCUGACGAUAUAUUUAUAAGUAAUGCGCAUGGAUGGUCCGUCCUUGAUUUUAGGGUGGCUUAGUCGGUUGGAAGAUUUGUUAGUUAGCCUAUUUAAAGGUAGCACGAUGCUCUGGUGCUAUUGUCAGGGCUUGCUAGCCCAGCGGAGGAGUCCCUAGUUCUUCUCUUACCCAAAGUAUUACGACCACCGUCUGUCAUUGCCGCAGUCGCCUGACACCAAAUCAACCAUGUCAUCGUCGAGCUCCAUUAGGUACGCGCUGAGGGGCCGAUCAGUUGAUGUGCCCCUGAUCCCUUGCCCUGACUGUGGCGAAACGGUUAGAUUCUAUCUCUCUAGUACCGAAGAGCAUGAUGGUUGGGUGUUCUACAAGUGCAAACACCACGAUGUACAAUCCCUUUACACUUUGGGUUGACAUUUACUGCAUGAGUAAUUUUUUCUACUGUUUCGUUAGUGCUGGUUUGAUUUGUGUUCACUUGAUUCAUAGGAUCCAUGUGAUUUCUGGCGCUGGGAACUAGAGUACGUGGAUCAUCUUGUUGGUACAAGUGUCCUUGUUGGUGCUUAUGCCCUUGACGCAAUGGCUGCGGCACAGGAUAGAAGGGAACAGCUACAGCGCGCAAAAAACAGUGGGAAAAGAAUGCAUGUACCAAGAGUGGCAACAUUGGAGGCAGGACAAAUUACAUUCAGAGCAAUGUGGCAACCAUUACGAAGCACCAAGCUUAUAUGAUGUUAGGACUAGGGAGACAAAUUGUUUUCAUGCUGAAGCUGUUGACGGCUAGUGUAAUGGUGUUGUGUGUGUUGUGUGUGAUGUUGAUUGUGAAGAAAUAAUAUAUUUGUGAUCGUAUCAAGGCGAUUAUCAUGGUUACAUGUAAUAACAACUUAAUAAGAAGGUGUGUUCUAACAUGAUAACUCUUAUACGCCCCCAACCCUAUUUUAACAUGACAUGUAAGAGUAAGAAAUAAAUCUUAUACGAUGAUUCCACGAAAUAGUUGUUUUGGUUAUUUCUUACGUUCUUGACUAUUAUGAGAAAAUAAGAGGUAAGACGGAGCAUGUUAAAAUUGUUAAAAAAUAAUGAAUAAACCGAGUUGCAAUGAAGGCAAUCGAAUGGAAAAACAUAAAUGACCAUUUAAAUUCUUGCCCACUAUGUUGUGCACAAACACAAGAGUACCAUGUUAACACCACAUACAAAUGAUUCCAACUUUUUUUCAUGCCCUCCCAUGAGCAAAUCAAGCAAACAUGCAAAUAUGGUUCUCAGUUUCGACAACUUCUCCACGUAUUGGGAUUUUUUUAUCAAAAAUGCCUGAAAACUGGCCCCACGUGACAUUAGUUGCAAACUUUACUAAGAAUACAUCAAACUUGGCAUGGAGGACUAACAUGACCAUGAGUUGUUACCCCAAAAUUUUUGUGUUGAUUUAAGAAAUGUCAACAAACCAGCAUGUGUCUUCUCAGAGGAUGCCAUGUUAGCCCAAAGGAAGGGCGCGUAUUGGAGCACCUCCGUCUUUACAAUAUCCACAAAUGAUGCCAACUUUAUUUCAUGAUCUCCCAUGAAAAAAUCAAUAAUGCAUUCACAAAGAUUUUUAAUUUGGCCAACAUUUAUAAUCCUUCUGCAAUUUCGAAACGAAAAAGAAACAUCGUCUGCAUGGUCUACCCCCCUAGCCACACAUCGAAAGCAUGGGGCACAUGAUGCAUUACACUUUGUUUGUCUUAUGGUGGACCUAGUUGACACACCAGGCCUAGUUGGAUCAUUGGCCUACACCGGAUUCCAUGUCAUGUGAAACCUCGGCCACAUCAACUGCUCCCGUCUAGAACCUUCGAACUGCACUUUCCACUUUGUGAAGCAAGUACAACAUGAAAUUUGUGAAAUUUCCCCAAGCUUUUAAAGUGCAUCUCAUGACAAAAUCAAGUAAGCAUGCAAAAAUGCUAUUCAGUUUACACAGAAUUUUGCAUGUACAGUAAUUUUUUCGGCCGAAAAUACUAGAAAACUGGCCACAUGUGAAUCAUAUUGCAAACUUUACAAAAAAAUGGUUCAAACAUGGCAUGGAGGCCUAACAUGGCCUUCAAUACUCACCCCAAAAAGUUGGGUCAAUUUCAUACAGGCCAGGAUAGUACUAUAGCAUCUGCUCUCAAAGCGCGCCAGGCUCGGCCGGAAGGGCUUGUGUUGGGGAACCUCCAUGAUCACACCAGCUUCAUAUUUGGUAAAAUAUAUUUCAUGGCCUCCCAUGACCAAAUGAAGCAUGAACACAAUAAUUGUAAGCUUCUACUAGAUUUUCCAUUUUCUUCCAUUUUUCGGUCAAAAAUGCCCGAAAAGUGGCCGCAAUUGCCAAAACUUGGAAAUUUUGCUGAAACUCGUUUUAAUGUUGUCCUAGAAGCCUGUAAUGUAACAUUUUCCUUUGCAUGUCAUAAGUUGGGUUCAAUCCACAUGAAACAUGAUCUACUUGGUUUGUACAUUCGACAGUGUAGUCGCGCUUCUGACCGGGAGCUUUACAAAGGUUCUCGACGGAGGCAGCGCGUGUACCGCAUCGACUCCAUGGAUGGAAUCCAAUUUGAACCAAUGUUCGCACUUGGUAUGGUAUCAAUUAGGUCCACCCUUAGGCAAAGAAGCUUGAAGGCAUCAUGUGCUACCACUUUCGAUGGUUGUCUAGGGGGGUAGACCGUCUGGGAGGAAAUGAAAAAAUCAUGAAAAUCAUGUGUAACCUUGAACGCACUGUGCAUGCAUGCUUGAUUUGGUUCAUGGGAUGGCAUCAAAAUAACUUGGAAUCCUAUGUACAUGGUAUAUUGAAGGAGAUGGCCCGAGACGGGCCCUUCCGGGCUAUCCUUGUACCCUCCGAAAGCACGUGUUGGUUUAUUGACCUAUAUUAAAUGAUCGUCAAGUUUGUAGGGUUACAAUCCAUGGCCAUGUUAGGGAUACAUAUGCCAAGUUUGAACCAUUUUCAUCUAAGUUUGCAAGUUUUUUCAUGUGUAAAUCUUAGUCUAAACUGAGAAGCAUUUCGCAUGGUAGCUUGUUUUGGUCAUGGGAUUCCAUGGGAAAUAGUAGACAUCAUUUUGUAUUGUAGAUGAUCUACUAUAAACAUGGGGGUGCCCCCAAACACGUCCUUGCGGCCUUGACAUGCACCCUCCAAAAUCACAUGUUGGUUUGUUGACCUACCUGAAAUCAACCCAACUUUGCAGGGUUGCAAGCCAUGGUAAUUAUUGGGGUAAGUACAAAUUUCAACCAUUUUUAGCAAAGUUGCAAGUUUUGUCACGUACGGACAAUUAUCGGGCAUUUUCAGAACAAACAACAUAUUUUAUACCACUUAAAAAAUGCAUUCCUUUCUCGAUGACACAUUUGUUUUUUCUUCAGAACAUUACAUUUGUUUUGGCCAAUUACAUGCUAAUGUUUCAACCUCCCAUAACUCACGCCACCCAGAUCUCCCGAAAUCCCAUGAUUACAGCUCCUCCCUCGUAACCACCCGCGGCAUCCAGGUCCCGUACCACCUCCCACGACUGCUGCAAGAUCAGAUUGUAGCCGCCGCCCACCAGGAACAUCGCCUGAGGGGUCGGACCACAGUGGUGUUGUCGCCGUCUCCUACGCGCGUUAACGCGCGCUGCUCCUGUUGCUGCCGUCGAGCGCCACACAUCCACAUCUAGUGUGGGACGCACUAUCCGCGUGGAGCAUUGGGCCGCCACCAUCGACGACAGAAUGUUACGUGAUCAUAGCUCUUUUGUAACCUUUCUUGGACACGCAUGUCUACUAGUAAAGCCCUAAUAGGUUUCCCACAAGUUAUUCCAGUCGUUAAGAUUACCUGAUCAUAUCUCUCAUUAAUAACUAUCAACAUGAUCAAUCUUGGCACACUACACGAACGUCCGAAGAGGUAAUACUACAACAAGGGUAUCUCUUUCAUGAAAUAACAUGUCGUAUGUUUAUGCAAUCCCAAAACCCUAGUUGAACUGUCCCAAUGUUAUGCAUGACCAAAAUCUGUGGUGUGCUUAAAGUUACAUGUAGUUCAUAUUAUUUAAUAAACUCAUCCAUGCUUGCGUAUAAGAAUCUAUUUUUGUUACACAUUUCUCAAUGUGAAGGUCAAAUAAAUUGAACUGGUUUUGCUUCUGUUCCAUAGGUGCAGUAAAAUGGAAACUACUGUUAAAAGUGCUAUUAAUGGAGAAAAAUACGUCUCCGAAAUGACCGAUGAGGUACAUAGUUGACAUUUCGUUUGAAAACUGUACUUGCAGACACUUCUUUCAUACUCGAUAAAAUUUAUUGCUACUUUUAAAGGAAAUCUUGAGGAAGCACGGCCAAACAAAGUUAGUGUGCUCAUCGUCAAGGCUCGCCAAAGUCAUGAAAUUGUUGUCACCAGAACACAUAGAGAAAAUCAUAAGCGAUACCGGUCUUGGGUGUCUAAACAUGAUUCGUGAAUUUAAACUCCGGCGCAUUAUGUGGUAAGACUAACAUAGAGCUUCAAUAGUGAGACAUCGUCCAUUACCAUAGGUAAAACACCCAUUCCUAUCACCACAAAAGACGUGCACCAUAUAUUUGGCCUUGCGAUAGAAGGGGAGGAUAUUGAUGAAAAGCUGCAAAGCACGCCGGAUCCAAAUUUGUUUAACACAUUUCAAAACAAUGGGAGCAUUGAUCUGGCUGACCUUGAGACAGCGGUCUUAAGUUCCAAACCUUCGGACAAUGAUUUCCUGGCGCGGUUCGUUCAAUUCGCUAUUGGCACAGUUUUAGCACCAACAGCACAAUGUUAUGUCGACGCGAAAUACCUUCAACUUGCUGCGGAUAUUAAAAGCCUUCGAAAAUUGAACUGGGGAUGUUUCACAAUGAAACACUUGUUGAGGUACAUACACAAAUUUAGCUCUCUUGAUCAAGUAUCUCUACAGGGAAAUCUACCUCUGCUUCAGGUUAGUGCAACAUCACUAGUUAACAUUGUAUAAUUGUUUUUCUUUUCUAUAUCUCUCUAUAUUGACGAAGUAAUUUAUUGUGAAGAUUUGGUACUGGGAGCACCCGCGUUCCGGCAAAUUGAUGUAUACUCCUAUACCCCCACCAUUGGUCACACGAUGGGACGAAUGCACGUGUGUAAUAAGAGCAGAAGCUUACACCUCAGGAGGUCUUCAUAAAGGACUGGUGUGUUUCUAGAUUUGACCCAUGUAUGUAUCCGGUUAUUUAUUUGCUACUACUGAUUCAUUGUACCUGAUUCAAAGGUUGUGAUGGAAAUUUGUGCUCGACAACCAGAGGCUAACAUUAGAAAGGAUCCAGGAAGCAAAAAAAUUGUACGUGAGGAUGAAGGUGAUUCAUCUCGAGCACAAUCACAAGGUCAAAAUAUGAGUAGCCACCAAGUAAGCCCAACAAAGACAAUUUUCAUUUUCCAAGAUCAGUAAAAGGUUGCAUCGAAACUCAUUCAUUUUGCUUUGUUCUGAACGGGGUGUUAUUUCGUUUGCACAGGUGCAAAUGAUAGUUGCAGCCCUGAAUGCACAUUGUGCUGAGCAAGAAAAGAAGAUAGACAGACAGUUAAUGGAAUUUCAGCAUAGAUUUGAUGCGAAAUUCCUCACCCUGAGCGAAGAGUUAAUCGACAUUAAGAGUAAAUCUGGCAUUAAUCCUAGGCUCUCGCUGCUCGAGGACGAAAUUAAGAACUUAAGGAGGGAACUGAAGGUAUGUCAUGUUGUGCAUUUUUUAUUGUUAUGAAUAUGUUCCUCCAUAUUCAUUAUUGUUAUAAUUGUUAUAGGAAUUAAAAAACCAAACUAAAGUCAGCCGACAAUCCGAGUCACAGAAAGCAGGCGUCGAGGUAAUAAUUAUGGCCCACGACAUAAGUAGUAUUACCAAACUAAUUAUAAUUAACCAUUUUUGUUGCUGUAGGAACAAGUCAAUGUGUGCAGUGAUCCCUUCAUGGCGACUCCUAAGUUCGACGCAUCCACGCCACGUACUUCGACUCCAACACCAAGUGCCAGACACGUCCUGCCAAACAAGGACGAUCCUCGAAUCACACCGUUGAAGCCUCUAUUUGAUAAUGAUUACGUGCUCACCGCUGAGGACAAAGAGGCAGCCAUUUUCAUCUGGGGAACACACGGCCCUGUUGAAGUCGUUCAAAUCGGAGACAUUCCCCUAAGAGCGGAACAACUGAAGCCAAUUUAUGAUAAAAAAUACAUCUGUGGUGAUGUAAGCCCCUUGUACUCCAUUGUACAUCAACUAUUUGAACUGUUGGCACAUCAUUAUAUGAUUACAAAUUUGGCAGGUUAUUAUGGUGUAUGCUCACAUCAGCGGAGUUGAGACUGAUACUACCUCAGUCAUAUCCCCCAAUGAAACCAGAAAGCUUUUACAAACAAAAGGGGUUAUUCCAAAGGGCCGUGGAAGCUCGUUGCUUCAACUUAUUGCAAAUAAAUUUGUAGGACGCCGGAAGGUACCUAUUUUCCUCACUUCCAUAUAUCGUAAUAGAUAGUGUAGAUGAAAUAUUUCAGGGGUCCCCCGAACCAUAAUUGUUACCUUAUAUACAUUAUUCCGUGGAAUGAGUCCUCUUUGACUUCAUGGCAGGUCCACACCCCGUUUAAUGUGAAUGAUAAUCAUUGGAUGGGAAUGGUGUUCAAUUUCGACAAAGAAGAGAUUCAAAUCCUAAACUCCUUGAAAAAUCAAUUUGGCGAGUCGAAGGAAACUGCUCUUGUAAGCUUUAUCUUGCUGCCUCUUUACUGUCGCAUGGCACAUUAACUCCAAAUCAUCGUAACCCUUCGUAAUACUCGUAUUAUGCUAGGUGGAGGCAAUUCAGGCCUGCAUGGACGGAGCGGUGAAGGAUGUCUUGGUAACACCAGAUAAUCCCAUCAAAUUUACCGACUUGGAAGUAGUACACUAUGACGACAUACCGCAACAGAAUGACGGGUACGUACGACCUCCUAAAUUAUUCCUUGCCGACACGUCCAAGUUUACUAAAACCUAAACUAAACACUGCAUGCAUUCAUGUGCGUUUUUUACACUGAAGUACAUGUUGACAUGGAACAGUGAAGUAUUUACCGACAAAGUGGAGUAGGUGAGCCAAACACUAUAUUUUCUUGUAGAAUAUCUUAUGACUGAACGAUGUGCUGACAUAUGUGUCGCUUAUCAAAUGUAGUCACAAAUAGAUAUAUUUAGCUGGAAAAUAGUUUCAAGCUUGCUGCGUCCAGAUUGCAAUAGUCUUCGCAUGGAAACAUACAAGUACCCCAUAACGGUUAGCGAAAAAGCACUGAUAUUUUAUUGUAUUCACAUGUGUCAUGACGCUACCGAAUGCACUGAUGUCUGCUGUACAGGCAGAGACGUAUGAAGCCCACGUUGCAUCGGAACCUAUCAAUUCACAAGACGAUGUCCAAGAAAUUAUCGGUACUGUUGAGUGCAAGAUAUCAGACACGUCGAGCUCCCCAAAGGAUCCCGACACCCCGAGCUCCCCAAAAAAGCGAAGAGCACGUGGACGCCCGAGGAAGCUUGUUGAUUAAGUGCAAGCUAAAAAAACAAAAACUAUGGAAGAGCUCAGAGUGAAAUUUGAUAGCAAGACCAUUUCUAAACAAGUGUCUUCUUCGAUAUCAAGACGAUCACGCAAGCCAUCACAUGCUAUAUCGAGCCCAUUCAAGUUAACCAAAUGGUAGUUUAGGUACGUACUGGGUAGCACUAUAGUUAGCACUACUUAUGAUACAUUUGUCAUUUACGAUUUGGUGAUUGAACUUUAUCAAACGUGCAUCGACGAGCGGUGAAAGAUGGCUUGCUAACAAGAGCUAAGACCGUAAAAAGUAGUGUAUGAUAACAUACCUCAAUAUAGCAAUCUAUGUUGUCGCAGUACAUACUUUUGGCAAUCACGAACAUUAUAUAAUUUCGGCAAUUAGGAUCAUGUGCAUGCUACAUUUCUGGCAAUUACUAAUGCAUGCUCAUUUGUUUUGCUUCAAAUGGCAGUAUGUACUCCUGGCGAACAUUUGUGUGCUCUACUUUUGGCAGCUAUUAAUACAGGAUCAUUUAGAAUGGUUUAACUGUCCAUAGAAAUAACUAGAAUGUCAUUAUUUCUAAACAUACCAAAUUCAGUGCAAGAUAUAGCAUUAGCAUCUUCAGUUAGAGUCAUAACAUAUAUGUACCAUAUAUCACCAUAGUGGAGGUAUUAGGCAAGGUUGACCGCAAUGCACUUAUUAGUACAGGGUAGGUGCUUACAAGAUAAACAAUAGUUUAAUGAAACAACAACGCAUAUUAGUACAUGGUAGACGCUUAAUUAGGCGCCUAUCAUGUACAAAUUGGCACUGCUGCUUCCAAAAACCAUGUUUAAUAUAGUUAGCAUGUACCUAAGCACAUAGCAUUGGUAGUUGGCCAUUACUAUAAAUGAUCAAUGUACUACCAAACACUUAAACAUAGCAUGUUAAACACUCGCAACCCAAAAGAUAAACCGGCACAUAAGUUCAAGCAGUACGGUGGGGCAGAAGUAUCACACGACAACCAUAACAUAAAAAAAGUCUUAACUAGGGUGGGCCUGUAGUAACAACCAAGUAGCGCAUUAGAUCCUCGGCAUCUUGGCCGGACGAGGAGGCCUCGGGAGGUAGAAUGGAAGAUGCCCCUUCGCGUACUUCCCGAGGAAGGCACCAAAAGCGGAAUGUUCAGCCCGGUCCUGGGGCUUGCGGUUCCUCCCAUUACCACGGCUGAUAUCGGUGCCAUGCAUGAUUAGGUUGUCGUAGUUGCUCUUGAUUCUCGCGCAGCAGAAGGGGCAGGCUAUGUUGCCGUAGAGCCUGUUGGAGCCGCUGAGGUAUGGGAUUUCCCCAUUCCGCAGCCUCCUGAGGACGUAGCGGCUCUUGCUUUCCCUCCUCUCCUUACUAUCAUCCACGUCUUCGUCAUCUUCCUGUGUGUUAGUUGAUCGACAGCUAUGUCAGAUUAGGAAUACAGAAAUGUAGCAUUUCAUAAGAGUAUCAAGUACAUUCCGAAAGUAGGAACACAAAAAUAUGAUCAAUCAGAUGAUUCACACAACAUGUACCUCAUGUAUUGCUAUAUAUGUUUAUGUAUUAUUUGUUAUCUUUCUUGUUCUUUUUUCUUUGCUUUGCAUGCGUACCUGUUCUCCCCUGUAAAGAUGUACUCCUAUUUGUACAAUCUAAGUUGACAAUUAACUAAAGGGUUCGGGUUUUAGGGUAUGAACAAAUCAUUUUACUGCAUUCAAGCACAUAUUUUAUUUCAUAUUGAAAAUAGAUAAUUCCAAAAAUAGGAUCAUUUCCUGCCAUUUCUUACAACAAUAUUUUGUAUGAUCUGGUUUUAUCAUAAAGAGAUACCAGACAAUAUCUAAUUUAAUUAUAUUCAAACUAGAUGAGUACAUACUACAAAGUAAAACUACUGCAUCAACAAAGAAAAGAUUGCCCUCACUUGAUAUUGUGAAGACAACAAAUUAUAUGAAUCAUGUCAUGAAUUAUGUAUAAAAAGAGAAAUUUUUGACUGAGGUACAUCGGUUGCGAACAUAAGAAAUUAUGGCUUUAAUUACUCCUUGUUGCUAAUAAUUACAUAGGGUUCGUACAUAAGAAACUCUACAAUGAAUUACUUACUGCAAUCAGAAAAUGUCUUCACAAUAUAGCUGUAAGGCUUCAUGAUUUUCAUCAAAUAAACUAGUUUUUCUGACAACUAAAUAAAUGUACUGUUUACUAGGUCUCAACAGAUUUGGCAAUCAGAUUGAAAAUAAGAUGCAUAGUCCACUUCAUUAUAUGGAAAUCAUGAAGCAGAUAGAAAAGGUUUGCACUGUUAAGGUAUGGAAGAUUCUAUAAGAAAGGAGAAAAUGUGGUAUCAGCUUUGUGCAUAUGGAGCAUUAUGAUUACGCUUAGUAAUGAAAAUUUUCUAUAUAGUAAGAAUGCAAAAGAAAAUCUUGUUGCUAGAAAUGUACUGUUGCAUGGACUUGACAUGCAUGAUUACUGAUGUGGCAUAGUUUCAUGGAUUGAUUUGUCCAAGAGAAGAACUAAUCCAUGUUUGUUGUUAAUGGCAGGCAGUGGCCGUAAAUUGUUACUACAUGCAUCAGUACUGACCAUAUGCAUAACUCGAUGAUGUGGCCCAGUUUCAUGCAUACCAAAACCAGAUAAUGGGUUGCCACUAUUGAAGAACGGAGCAUAGUUUCAUGAAUAGCAAAACCAGAUAAUGGGUUGCACAAUUGAGGAACAGAGCAUAGUUGUAACAGGGGUUCUCUGAUUUAAACUCUCAUCAUUGAUAGUAUUGUUGGUCACUAGCGAGGCACACGUGCAUUGGGCGUGAAAGCAAGAGUUAAUGUCAAUUAUUUUAGAUGCACUUUACAUUGCUAUGUUACUGUAGCAAUGGAUUUUUGUGUGUGUUUUCUUUAAUAAAGAGAUAAUGUUUGUGCAUAAUAUGCAUUCAGAUUCACAAAGUUCAAAGCAUUAGCAAUUCAUUUAGAAGGAAAGACUUUGCGCUGUUAAAGUAUCCAAGAUUCUAUAACAAUGGAGAAACAUAGUGCUAUGAGGUUGUUUGUGCAUAGGUAAAAUUGUGCUUAAGCUUACAAAUGGAAUAUUCUAGAUAGUACGCAUGCUUGGAAUUUUUCUUUUGUAGUAAAUAAGAUAUCGAAUGGCCAACAAUGCUGGGAUUUACCAUCUGUCCACCGUUGGAUUGGCUUCAUCCAACAGCAAAUAUUCAAAGUUGUUUCCAAAGUACAUGUUUUAAAAGUUACCAUUUAUAGAAGCUCAAGCACCGUUGAUAAAUAUUUACUGUUGCAUGUCAACUUUUCAAGUUCUAGAUAUUAAUCAUUGAUCCUCUUGUUGAUUGUCAUGAAAUAAACAAAUUUGUAGGAAAUUUUCCAUCCACUCAAACCUGUCUAAAAGAAUCCUACGUUUUUAGUAUGCACAAUCAAACACUCAUACAAUCCUGUAGGAUUCAAGAUGACAUGCCAUUCUAAUCCCACGUUUUCCCUAUUCCUGCAUUUUGGAAAUCGUACGAAUCAAAGAGGUGAUACCUAACAAAUACACCAUUUUCUACAGCAGAACUGGUUCAUAAUCAGUUUCUAAAUCAUAUUCUUACUCAUCUUCACAAAAUAAUUGCACGCACAGGGGGAUGUUAGGCCUACAUUACUACUGUUCCAUGCCAGGUUUCAGAUUGAAGGGGUUUCCUUCCAAAUGUAUGAAACAACUAGUACUAAUCCUAACCCUAAGGGAGAGAUCAAGAAACAUAACCUAUCUGGACGAAAUCUAAUCCGUGCUGCAUGCAAUUUAGGAGAAAACCCCAUGGGAGAAAACCCCCAAAACAGAGUAGGAGAAUAGAGCAGAACAGAGUAGUACCUCCGAGAGCUCGUCGUCGACCUCCUCGUCGAACUCGACUGCCUUGUCCUGCACUUCCUUAGUGUCGAGCUCGGCCUCCUCGUAGUACUUGUCGAUGAGCUCGUACUGCUCGCGCUUCUGCUUGGCCCUCUGCUCCUCCAGAUCCACCUCCACCUCCUCCUCCACCUGCUCCCCGACCGCAGGCUCGGACGUUGUGAUGGCGGCCAGAGCAGUCACAACAGAUGGUGCACCGCCUCUCGUCGCCGCGAUGGCGCCAUCGGCCACGCCAACCGCGGCGGCAAUGACCACAGCAGGCUUCUCCACUGCUUCUACCGUUGCAUCCUUCUCCACCGCCGUGUCUUCACGGCCGGCCUUCAUCUUCCGACGAUGAAGGGCAAGGGAGAUGAUUGCUGGCUCGUAGGAGGUAGGGUUCGAGGUGAGAGGAGAGGGUUUUUGCUGAUUUGGGGAAGAAAAGUAGCAGGGGUGGGGGAGUGGGAGAGACGGGGUGGGGGAGGCGGCUUUUAUUUAGCUUGUGGGUGGACGUUUGGAGUUACCGAGGCUAGACGCGUGGAGUCGUGCGCUCGUGCACGCCCCAACCACUUUAAUUUUUUUGUCAUGAAUUUGUAUUUUUUUGACCUGUGGUUUAGCGAGGAAAUUAUACAAACCACCUACUUUUGGUGUUACUCUUGCAUAGAACACCUACUUUACAGGUUUGUUCCAAAAAAACACAUAUUGGGGUAAUUUGUUGCAGCAAGGUCUAAUCCGCCAUUUUGGGUGGGUUGACAUGAUUUCUAACAAGUGAGUCCAUUUAGUAAGUGCACCGCAGGAAAAAAACAUUCCACAUCAGCACCCAACUAGAGUUGUGCAAAAUUUACAAAUAGGUACUCCAGAAAUAAUUCUCAUUGUUUCUGGGCCCACAUAAAUGAACUAUUGAUAGUUUUUUUUGUUCCCACAUAACAUGUUGGCACACAAGAGCAUGCACCAAACUUGUUCUCCUUCGACACACAGACGCUAUAACGACGGACAUGUACCAGUAAUAUUCACAUUGCACGUGUCGAUACCAUCUUGACCAACACGCAACAACAUUGGUCUCAUUGGACUCACACAAGCCAAAAGGGGUCCAAAUCAUUCACCAAUUCUUCUAGUCACAUUCCACUCCAAGAUGCGACAAUGGACCGACAUGUAUCAAUCUUGAUCUAUUUGCACAAAUAAUUGGUAUAAGGGCCAGAUGCACCAAUAGAGGUCACAAUGCACUGACACGUGUCACUUGGGCCAACACACACCAUGCCCACAUACAAGGAACAAAUAAGCCUAUAGGAUCCACAUGCACCGAUAAACUACGUCUCGACAUGCAACAACUUUUUGUAGUCACAUUGCACGCAAAGUGCAUACCAAGACACGCCAAUGGCCCGUCAUGUAGCAAUCUUCAUGUGUUUUCACUAAUCAUGGUUUCUUUGGCCUCACGGAUGCCAUAAGGGCCAAAUGCACCAAUAUUGACACGUUGCACUCAAAUGUGCCACUUGGGCCAACAUGGAUCAUGGUUUCUUUACUAGCAAGGAUCACAUAAGCCAUUAUAUAGUGUUGGUACUCUAGCAAAUAACAACAUAUAUCAACAUUGGUCCUAGUUGCAGCUACAUAGGACCACUUAUGCCACACAUGGAGCGCAGCCUCGGUGCAUGGUUUUCUUUCCGUGCGUCUAUGUCUGGAUAAAUGUCUUAAGGAGAGGCAAAUUGGUUCUGCCGAACACACUGCAUCAACCGAACUGGCUAGACCCUUUACCUCACACCCGCAUGGCCCUGGUUCAAAUCCCCGUGAGGCAGUUGGAAAUGCCAAAAAAAUUUCUGUGGGUACUAACACGUGGGGUUCCCUUGUCAUCCACACAAACGCGCCACCACAUGUACCACAUUUGGCUAAGUGCACCUACUAAUCCACAUCAUUUUCAACUUUCUUCUUCCCCUUCUCGACAAGCGCCGCCGCCGCCAUCUCCAGACGACGCCUCUCUUCGCCGCCGGAUCUGCGUGGCCGCUGCCAACUCCAGCAAGUAGGUGAGAUCUCUCCUCAUCCCCCUCGUGAAUCUUCUUCCCUUCCCCAACCGCGUGCGUCCCCCUCUGGACGCGGAUCCGAUCUAGAAAUUUUAAUUGGUACAUGCGGUAGAUGAUUUGUUGAUGGAUAUGAUGGUUCUUUCAUAGAUUGAUGGACGUCGUAGUGUAGGAUCUGAGUUGUACCAGGGAAAAGUGAGGCCCUAUGCAAAUCAAAAUGCGGCCCUAUGUGUGAAAAAAUAAAUCAAAAUAAUUCAUAUGUUCUUCACUAUAGUAUGUAGUACUGACAUUGGAUUGGAUUGGAUUGGGAUUUAUUAGGUAGAUGAUACUGGCAUUGCCAUUGUCAUUGGCAUUGCUUUUUUAGGUAGAUGAUAGUAAACAGAUUUAAUAGGUAUUGCAUUUUAUGUUAUCACUAUGAUUUAUUAUAUGUAUGAUCUUUGUAUUGUACUAUGGUAUCGUACAAUUCAACUUAGAGUUCAACAUGUUCUAUGUAGAAUGGAGGAAGCACCAUGUGGACGGUGCAAGUCACGGUGCCGGACCAGCCUUUGUACUGCCACGCUGUUCGGCAUCUACUUCCAGCCUACUUUUGUUUUGCAGCGGUAACAAUUUAUAUGAACCUUCUGACAGUUCAUUUUUUUCUAUUUCCACUAAUGCAUUGUGUUUGUUAUUUGUUUUUUCUUGCACAGAUUGUCCCAUGCAAUGUGAGAUUGACAUUCAAUGAGCUCAUCGGAGAUACCGUGAUCUUCGACGCUCUUGGGGGGCCGUACACUAUGCAGGUCGAUAAGGGGCGAACGAUAACCCAGAUUGGAGGAGAUGAAUGGGAUCGUUUCUAAAAGCACAAGUGCUCCCUAGGUGGUUUUGGUAAUUAAUGACAACAUAUCUCUUGUUGGACUAACACUCCUAUCUAGUAUAUUUCAGAUAAGUUCAACAAUGGAGUGGCAUGGACUAAAGGAUGUGGGAACUCCUUCAAGAUGCUAAGGACAAAGGAUUGGCUAAAGCUUCAAGCUCAAGACUCUUCAUUUUACAUUUUAGUGAUCCAAGAUCACAUUGAGUUUAUAGGAAAAGCCAAUACUAUCAAGGAGGGAUAAGGUGUUGCUUAAUGAGCCUCUUGCUUCAUGUGCUUAGUGAUAUGCUCCAAAACCCUCAGCUACUUUCUCACAUCCACAAAUGACCUAAACCCAAAGCCAAAAUCGGUCACACCGAUCCUUCCUAUCCGGCGCCACCGAUUCCAAAAGUCAUAGCCACUAUCACAAACCCUAAGCAAAUCGGUUCUACCAAUAGGGAUCUCGGUCUCACCGAGAUGGGAUUGUAAUCUCAAUGUGUAUAUCCAUUACCAAAAUCGGUCUCACCGAGUUUGUGCAAUCAGUACUACCGAGAUUACAAUGCAAAGUUUCUGGUUAGCCUAUUACCAAAAUCGGUCUCACCGAGUUUGGGUGAUCGGUCUCACCGAGUUUGCCUGACCAACUCUCUGGUUAGCUAAUUACCAAAAUCGGUCUCACCAGUUUGUGUAAUCGGCCUCACCGAGAUUAUGUUAUGCCCUAACCCUAACCAUAUCGGUCUCACCGAGAUGCAAGUCAGUCCCAUCGAAAACCCUAACGUUCACUAGGUUUACUAAAUCGGUCCGACCAGUUUAACAAUUCGGUCCCACCGAGUUUGGUAAAUUGUGUGUAACGGUUAGAUUUUGUGUGGAGGUUACAUAUACCCCUCCACCUCCUCUUCAUUCGUGGAGAGAGCCAUCAGACUGAACCUACACUUCCAGCAUCCUAUUUCUGAUAGAGAACUACCUACUCAUGUGUUGAGGCCAAGAUAUUCCAUUCCUACCAUAUGAAUCUUGAUCUCUAGCCUUCCCAAGUUGCUUUCCACUCAAAUCUUCUUUCCACCAGAUCCAAAACCUAUGACAGAGAGUUGAGUGUUGGGGAGACUAUCACUUGAAGCACAAGAGCAAGGAGUUCAUCAUCAACACACCGUUUGUUACUUCUUGGAGAGUGGUGUCUCCUAGAUUGGCUAGGUGUCACUUGGGAGCCUCCGACAAGAUUGUGGAGUUGAACCAAGGAGUUUGUAAGGGCAAGGAGAUCGCCUACUUCGUGAAGAUCUACCGCUAGUGAGGCAAGUCCUUCGUGGGCGACGGCCAUGGUGGGAUAGACAAGGUUGCUUCUUCGUGGACCCUUCGUGGGUGGAGCCCUCCGUGGACUCGCGCAACCGUUACCCUUCGUGGGUUGAAGUCUCCAUCAACGUGGAUGUAGGAUAGCACCACCUAUCCGAACCACGCCAAAAACAUCCGUGUCUCCAAUUGCGUUUGAAUCCUCCAAACCCUUCCCUUUACUUUCUUGCAAGUUGCAUGCUUUACUUUCCGCUGCUCAUAUACUCUUUGCAUACUUGCUUGAUAUGUAUCGUGAAUGUUGAAGUUGUGCCUAAACUCCACUUGAACUUCAAAAAGACUAAAAACUGCAACUUUGGUACUUAGUGUCUAAUCCCCCCCCCCCUCUAGACACCUCUUCUCAAGAUCAUACAGUUUCAUCGCCCGCUUGCGUCUUAGUGGGGGUGAACGGAUCCUCUUCUCCUUAAGAGGACAAAGGCCCAGGAUUUCUGUUAUCUAUCUGAAUUUGAUUGACGAUAGUGAGGAUGAGGUUCAUGAGGAGGACGAUGGUGAGGAUUCAGAUGAUGAUGAGAACCCACUUGAUGAAACCCUCUAUGUCCAAGGAGUGAGGCUGAGCGACAAGGAAACCAGCAACCUCUGGGACAUGUUUCCGCUACGUGAAGACUACGUCGGGAUGCCAUUCGUGACCCGCCUCACAAAGACGAAUGUUAAACAGCAUCUCAUGGUAUGUUACUUAGUGUGGUAAUUACAUGAUAUGCAUGCUUAAUUAGUGUAGUAUUUGAUAUGAUAUGCAUGUUGUAGUACUGUGAUGAUAUGCCUAGUGUAGAAUUCAUUUAGUGCAGAAUUUUAUGGUAUGCAUGUGUUGUAGUAAUGCGAUAUAUGCUUAUGUAGUGUAGUAAUAUGCGAUGAUAUGCUUAGUGUAUGUAGUAUAUAAUCUAAUGAUAUGCUUAAUUACUGUAGUAAUUUGAUGAUUAGCGUGUAUUGUAGUGAUGUGACGUGACAUAUGUGUCUUGAAGUGUAUGGUUUGUUGAUAAUUGCACGUGACAUGCUCAUAUAUCAUAUCAACUGUUUUCAGAAAUUACCUAAGAGGUUAUCUGAUAGCUGUGGCAUCGAGCCGGAUGAAGAAGGCAUGGCUGCUGGACUACGCCUUACCAGAACGGGCUCCAUCACCACCUGUGCAUAUGCAGUGGACACGCACGGUCGCACUAUCUUCAACCGGGAGGGGUGGAAGAAGUUCCUUCAUGGCAAGAAUCUUUCGGUAGGUCAGGGCAUCCUACUCACUAUUGCGAAUACCCGUCGCCGUGACUUGAGGAUGAUGAUCACCAUCAACCUCAUUUGGAACUGGCUGGGCCAUGUUUCGAUGUGAAAUGAACUUCGUAUGUUAGCUCUUGUUUCAGAGUACUUGUCGUGUAUUACUGUACCUAUAUAUAUAUAUUAUAUUAUAUAUAUAUAUAUAUAUAUAUAUAUAUAUAUAUAUAUAUACACAUAAACACUAUUCUGAUCACGGGAUCAGAAUAAUAUUCUGAUCACAACCUGAACUGCCUGAGUAACGCGCCUGAACUUCUCUCUGUACAAACCCGACCUUCGGGCUAUUUUCGCAACCGUGCCUUCUACCGCGAGUUUUUCUGGUUAGUCGUGUUCCAUGUGAUGUAAGUGUAAUCUUCAAACGAUUUUUAGCAACUAAAUACUCGUUUUAGAUAGCAAUCUCGCUCAUAGGCGGAUUUUGCACUCGGGUCGUGAAGAACUCGCGUUUUUUGCGAUUUUACGGCCUGAGUUGUUCGACCUGAACUUCCCCCUGUGCUAGGUUGAACUUCCCGCAACAUUGCCCAAAUAGGUCUUACUAUAUACCGUUGGAAAGCUAUGGACACGUGUAUCAUGACCCAAGUUAAAUUUUUCGCAAAAUGUAAGCGGUUUAAGAGCAGUUUUGAAAACCGUUUUUUCUUCACACAAAAAAUGUGAAUCGUAAUUUCGAUCGCAUUUCUAAACCGUUUAUCGGAAUGAGACAUAUAAUAUGGCGUUGAAAAGCUGCUGCAAAACCGCUCCUUCCACAUGUUUAAAGUUUUUUCUAAUUUCCUAUGGUUAAAGAGUAAUUUGAAAAAACGUAAAAUUUCGUAAACCGGACAGCUGAGUUCGUUUUUUCGAUGUAAUUUCUAAACGGCUAAUCCAAUGGAGGCAUAUGAUAUGGCGUCGGAAAGCUUAGAAAAAUGCUCUACUUUUUCAUCUUGACGGUUUUUUUCUAAUUUUGAAUGGUUUAAGAGUAAUUUAGAAAAUGAUCCAAGUCCUACCGAGUUCGUAUUUUCGAGCUAAUUUUUUAACCGUGCGUCCGAAUGCAGCAAAUGAUAUGGCGUUCGAAAGCUUGAACAAAUGCGAAACUUUUUGGUAUGUAUUGUUUCUCCCAAUUGUUUACGGUUUUAAGUCAGUUUCAAAAAUGGCGAAAAACGUAUUUUCGCCAUAAUUUCUACAAACUUUAUCGGAAUUGGGCAAAUAAUAUACCGUUGAAAAGCUACGGAAAAUGCGAAACUCUUUCGUGUUGAUGGUUUUCUCUGGUUCCUAGCGGUUUUUAUGUAAUUUCGAAAACGGCGAGAUCACUCGUUCUGCCUUUAUUUCAAAACAGAUUCUUCGAAAAUGCACCGCAUGAAGAACCUGAACUUCUCGGCGCGUGUACCUGAACUUCACUCUGUUUUUCACGUGAUUUUUUUGCUCAUAGCUCUCGAUCCACUGCUCGUACCUCUCCAUCCACUCACCGGAAUUGGGCAAGUGAUAUACCGAUGGAAAGCUGUUGUAAACACGCAACUUUCCCGUGUUGAUCAUUUUUUCAUACUCAUGACGAUUUUAAAAGUUUUUUAUCCGAAAUUCAUUUAGCGUAGUAGUUGAACUUCCUGCUAUUUUCACGUUGAACUUCUGUGACGUAUUUUUGUUUGUAAUUUUCUCAUCCACUCGUCGGUGACAAAUUAUAUUCCUUUUGUACAAACCGCUCUCAAAAUAAUUUUUCUAACUUUCUCCGACCGAGGACUUGAACUUAUGACAACAACAAAUUUGGACCUUACCUUUUUAUUCAUUUUUCUCAUAUUAAACACACACCAUGUAGUACAUGAACUUUUUCCAUUUUUAUAAUUUGAAUUUUUUAUUUUCUUUUUGAAAUCAAAUUGCUUCCAAAUAAUAACUGAACUUCUUUGUGGAUUGAGAUAAUUAUUUUAAAAAUCAAAAAUAUUUUUUUUGUGUUUUCGAACAUGGAAAUAUAAGGUGAACCUCUCUCGCAAGAAUUUUUGAACUUCCCCGGACAGAGCACGUGAACUUCUUGCAACAAACCUUUUAAGCUGUUAGUUUUCUAUUCUUUUCUGAAAUGCAUUCCGUGUAGUAGUUGAACUUCCCGCUGUUUUCACCUUGAGCUUCUGUCACGUAUUUUUGUUCAACUUCUCUCACAACAAUUUUUGAACUUUAUCGGGCCGAGCACUUGAACUUCUAGAAACAAAAUCAUUAGCCUUUGCUUUUUCAUUCUUUUUUUAUACAAAAUGCACACCGUGUAGUACGUGAACUUCUGGUAGUUAUCAAUCUGAACUUCUCUCGGUUACGUGAAAAUAUCUGAGUUUUUUAUGAAUAUUAAUCUGACUUUCUUAAUAUUUUUUUAUGAAUUCUGAAGCGCUCUAUUUUUAAAAGUUGAACUUCUUGUUAUUUUAUUUUUGAACUUCUUGUUUCCAUUCUUUAAUAACAAGGAAAAUCCGAGUUUUCUAUAAUCAUGGAACUUCUCCAUCUUUUUAAUUUGGACUUCCUGGUUUUAUUUCUUAACUUUUUUAUGAAUUCUGAAGCGCUCUAUUUUUAAAAGUUGAACUUCUUGUUAUUUUAUUUUUGAACUUCUUGUUUCCAUUCUUUAAUAACAAGGAAAAUCCGAGUUUUCUAUAAUCAUCGAACUUCUCCAUCUUUUUAAUUUGGACUUCCUGGUUUUAUUUCUUAACUUUUCUAUGAAAUUUGAAGCGCUCUAUUUUUAAAAUUUGUUGUCUUUAAAAUUUUCAAUUACUAAGUAGUUAUUCUACAUGACCCAUCCACAUAAUAAUAUAUGAACUUCUCAGGAACUUAUUUUUCAUUAAGCACAUUUAAGUACAUAAUAUACAGGAAGGAGGUCGAAGAUGUGAGCGCGGAUGCAUCUACAUGUAGGAAAAUUUUUGGGUGCUCUUCUUUUUUGAAUGUAGGGUGCUAUUUUUUUAAGAGUGCAAGGUCAGAACAAGUCUCAUAUCCAUUGAACAUCUACAAUAUUAACUCUCAAACAUCAGCAAAACAACUUGAAGAAAAACAGUACCAGUUCUCAUUUGGCAUAUCAACAAGCAUAUACAGAGCACGUAAUCAGAACCUACUCUCGGCAUAAAUUCACCAUGAUGUUUUUAUUGCAUGCUGGCCUGUUCUCCUGGAGCACAAGACAGAGGAGAGGCGAGACAUUGUGCAUGCUUCCCAACCAGUACUUUUUGAACUUCCAUAUUUUUUUUGGAACCAUGAUCAUGGGGAAGUUCUAUGAAAUUUGACGGGGAAGGUCGCUGAGAGAAGCGACAACAGGUAACACACGAGCGAUGGUGACCAUAUGGCCAGCUUGCGGCGAACCAGCAACCUGUACUCGAGAGAAGGAAGCUGCACUGCAGUUGAAAGUCCAAGAACCGAUGUCGCGUGAUGCCGAGCGUGGGGAAGAUGACCGGAGCUGGUGCAAGGGGGAGCAGGAGGCCGCCCCAUGCAUGCCUCUUCCCAUGCCUUGCCGGGGGUCGUGGCCGGCUGGAUCCAGCCGCCCGCUCGACUGGAUCGGCGAUAAGGUUUACGGGGGCGGCGUGAUCCGCGCGGUGGCUAGGUCCGCUGCACGGCGAAGGGAUGGUGGCGCUUGGAGGUGAGGAUGAGGGCGUGGCGGCGGGGUUCUCCGGGGAGGGCGUGCGCCGGCGUGGGGAUCGGGGAUCCGGGGAGGUGGCUCGGCUACGGGGGGAAGCGGGGGCGUGGCGGCUCCGCGGGCCGGGAAGGAGGCGGCGGUGGUUGCGAGGGCCGGGGAGGGAGGCGGCGGUGGCUGCACGGGCGGAGGGAGGCGGUGGCCGCGCUGGCCAAGGAGGGAGGCGGUGGUCGCGCCGGCCAGGGAGGAAGGCGGUGGUGGCCGCGNNNNNNNNNNNNNNNNNNNNNNNNNNNNNNNNNNNNNNNNNNNNNNNNNNNNNNNNNNNNNNNNNNNNNNNNNNNNNNNNNNNNNNNNNNNNNNNNNNNNNNNNNNNNNNNNNNNNNNNNNNNNNNNNNNNNNNNNNNNNNNNNNNNNNNNNNNNNNNNNNNNNNNNNNNNNNNNNNNNNNNNNNNNNNNNNNNNNNNNNNNNNNNNNNNNNNNNNNNNNNNNNNNNNNNNNNNNNNNNNNNNNNNNNNNNNNNNCUGUGUGGUGUGGUUCGUAGCAGAGGGCAGAUGGGAUCGGGGAGGGGAUCGUGGGGAUGGUGGGGGUGGGUGGAGAUUUUUUCCUUUUUUACCGAUUCGGGAGUUUGGAAGGAUCCCGUCACUCCAUAUAUAAGCACCCCGUGAUCCAAAUAGUUAUUUUGAUCCCAUGAUCAUAAUAGUGCUACUCUCUCUCUCUCUCUCUCUCUCUCUAUAUAUAUAUAUAUAUAUAUAUAUAUAUAUAUAGGUUCAAUAAAUGGGCCAUGUAUCGAUGUGAAAUGAACUUGUUAUGUUUGGGCUUGCUUUGCUAUUGCCCCAGCGGUUAUUUGUGACUUCCUUGAACUUGAAUCUGUCUUGAAAUGUUAUUGGAUGCUUGGUGAUGUUGCUUUAUAGUAUAAAGCUGGGGGCGUUGGGGGACCUUUUUAGUAGGUUUGGUUAAUGGAGUUUAGCUCUUAUUGUACUUAUUGUUUUCUUUUCCAUACAAUUCUGAACCCAAACUACACAUGGCACAACCUUCUGUGAUUAGUUCCUUUGAUAACUAGUACUCCCUCUGUAAACUAAUAUAAGAGCGUUUAGAUUACUAAAAUAGUGAUCUAAAUGCUCUUAUAUUAGUUUACGGAGGGAGUAUUGAAGAGCAGCCACAGAGUUCCAUUCACAAUUUACUUGAAUUUUUGUUUUGAUGGAUAAACAAAAUAGGAAGCUAGCAAACUUAUUUAACAAGAUAAGCAAACUAUGUACUUGAUUACAUAAGCAAACUUAUUCAACCCUGACAAACUAGACAUAAACAAACAGGUUCAACUAUGACACACAUGACAUAUACAAGCUGGUUUAACCCAAGAAAAGCAAACUACAAAUUUCAAACAAUAAGAUAAAGGACAAGCACAAGCGCAAGCAACACGAAGGCAGAUUUUGAUGUCUCCUCAUCCCGCAUAGUGGCAGUGGUAGGAGGGGUCCUCUUCCUGCUCUUUUGAAAUUUCCAGACCUCUUUUGAUGUUGUUGAUUAUCUUCCACGACUUGUAGGUGGCGUACGCAUCUAUUGUUGCGUACUCGAUGAAUUAAUCUGGCAGUGGGCUGACCCCCCACAGUUUAUGGUUUGCCUGCUUGUCGAUCUUGUUCUUCAUCUUGCUGUAGAAUGGGUGGAUGACGCUGGCUGCAACAUUAGCCAAGGAGUCAUACGGUUUUCCGUUGUAUGGAACUCUCCAGUUGCGCUGAAUGUCGAUGUGCUUGUUGGGGUUUAUCUCCAAACCAGACAUCUUCAACUUGUCCCUGUCAUUUUUAAUGCUGAAACCGGCAAAGGUGAACAACUUCUCCUCCUGUAGGAACUCUUUGAGGCGCUUUGGCCUGCUAGGGGAGAGACAAGUGAUGAAUACAUGGAGUACUAGUGUUUAUUUUCAAGAUUUAAUCAUCUGUUUUUUACGGUUUACAAGUGAAUAAUACAUGGAGUAGAUGCUUAUACAGUAUAAGUCAUGGAUGAAUGUAGUUCAGAAACUAGUACACAAAGUUCUGAAAUUAAAAUCAAGUACACCAUGUUAUUUUUCUUUUUGGAAUAUAUAGUUGAGUCAAUGAUCUAUUUGCUUUCUUAGUGCCAGUUUAGUUUUAUUUUGUUGAAUAAAAUAACAUAUACCUCUGCUUCACCAAGUUCUUAAGUUUUUUUGGUGGUGAAAAUAACACCAGACCAAGUUCAGAAACUACUUGACUACAUCAAGUUCAGAAAAUUAGACUAAUGAAUCAAGAUGAGAAACUACACUUGUACAUCAAGCUCACAAAUUAAUCUUGUGCAACAAUUUCAGAUACUAUUCAAGUGCACCAGGUUCAAAAUAUAUUCUAGUGCAUCUACUUUGAGGAACUGCACUAGUGCAUCCAUUUUCACAAACUACACUAGUACAUCUAGUAUGAAACUAGUCUAAUGAAAUUUUGAGGGAGCAGUAUUGAUGAAUGGAAGAGGGUGAAUGAGUAGGAUUUUUCACCAUUUUGUGGCCGCAGCAAUGUGGUACACGAGGCAGAGACCCUCCACGCAGAACUGCAGAACUGCUGCCAUCUGCGGAGGUUCAUCAUCUUUGGUAAACUCCACAUCAACACCGAUGAUGUGGGGAUACGAGCCGCAUGCGCUCCUCUUGAUCCAAAAGAUCAUCUCGUCGGCCUUGUCUGGUUCGCUAGUGCAGACGACCUCCAUCAUCUCCUUGCCGUGGAGCUCAACCCCUUUGAGGGUUACGGUGUACUUGCGCUUCUGACCGGGAACGUGAAUGACGUCAAGGUUGCCGCUCUGGUCGGACAUCUGGCCACAAUGACGCUUGGCAGACGCUUCCUCCGCCAUUACCCUCCUCCUACGACUGCGAUGUUUGUGGGUUGUUUGUAGAAGAGAUGGAAGCGGCAAUGGAGGUUCUCGGAAUGAGGCAGUGAUGUAGUCGAUUUGGGGCUUUUCCACGACUGGGAUGGGGACGUGGGGGAGGUGGUUCGUGUGUAGGAUGUGGGGUUAGUGGUGGUGGGGCGCAGUUGCAAUCCGACGUGGCAACUGCGCUCUAUGCACUGCUGGGUUUGCGUGCGUCUGAGUUUAGUCCCACCACGGGCCUGCAUCCUGGCCCAUAUCACUGGGUUUGUUGUCGUAUGCGAGCCGUGGUGUGCGAAAUAUCAUGUUAGGUAGGUGGGCUUUUUUCUAUAAAAUCUUUUUUUGCCUAUGUGACAUGUUGACUUAUACUAAAAUAACACUUCCUUUUUUUAGGUACACGUUACUUAUGUGAAAAGUUUAAGUUUGAUAACAAUUAAAAACAUUUAAAACCUUGCCACAUUGGCUUUCUUGGACAUGUCUAAAAAGUUUAAGUUUGAAAACAAUUGAAAAACAUGUAAAACCUUGCAUCAUUGAAUUUUAAUUUUAAAAUAAAUUUGAAAUAUUGCAGUUAAUUUGUAGACCAUCUCUAAAUCAAACCAAAUUUGUUUUACAUUGUCACAUACAUGUGACAAACAUUGUUAUUUACAGAUCAUGUGUGCAAAAACUAAGGUGAUUUAGAUGUGGUCGAAAAAAGGUGAUUUUUUUUCACCACCUCCAAAUCACCUAAAAUUUAUUCUACAUGCUCAAAUAGAUGAGCCAAACAUGUCUAUGACAGAAAUUUGAAAAAAAAUGUAUCCUACAAUUCCCGCUUAAGGUGUAGACCAUUGUUUUGAUCAGUCAGUCUACAAGGCAGAAUAAAUUCAAAACAAAUUAAAAAAUUAUAAAACAUUGAAAACCUAGCUAUGUUUGUGCAACAUAUCAAGUGUGCAAAAUUAGAGAUGAUUUAGAGGAGGUCAAAAAAAUCACGCUAAAACACGAGGGGCCAUUUGGUCUCACUUAAGCCAGUUUUUGUAUAAAAUGUGAUUUUUCUACCACCUCCAAAUCACCACAAAUUUGUUCUACAUGCUUAAAUAGAUGUGCCUAGCAUGUCUAUGAGAGAAAUUUGGAAAAAAUGUAUUCUACAAUGUCCGCUUAAGGUGUAGACCGUUGUUUUGAUCAGUCAGUCUACAGGACAGAAUAAAUUCAAAAAAAAUUAAACAAUUAGAAAACCUUGAAAACCUAGCUAUGUUUUUGCGACAUAUUAAGUGUGCAAAAUUAUAGGUGAUUUAGAGAAGGUCGAAAAAAUCAUGCUUAAACACGAGGGACCAUUUGGUCUCACUUAAGCCAUUUUUUGUAGAAAAUGUGAUUUUUUUACACCACCUCCAAAUCACCCCAAAUUUGUUCUAGAUGCUCAAAAUAGAUGUGCCAAGCAUGUCUAUGAAAGAAAUUUGGAAAAAAAUGUAUCCUACAAUGCCUGCUUAAGGUGUAGACCAAUGUUUUGAUCAGUCAGUCUACACGGCAAAAUAAAUUAGAAACAAUUAUAAAAUUUUAAAACCUUGAAACCUAGCUAUGUUUGUGCAACAUAUCAAGUGUGAAAAAUUAUAGGUGAUUUAGAGGAGGUGGAAAAAAUCACGCUAAAACACGAGGGACCAUUUGGUCUACACUUAAGCCAGUUUUUGUAGAAAAUGUGAUUUUUUUCCACCACCGCCAAAUCACCACAAAUUUGUUCUACAUGCUUAAAUAUAUGUGCCUAGCAUGUCUAUGAGAGAAAUUUGGAAAAAAAUGUAUCCUACAAUGCCCGCUUAAGAUGUAGACCGUUGUUUUCAUGAGUCAGUCUACAGGGCAGAAUAAAUUCAAAAAAAAUUCUAAAACCUUGAAAACCUAGCUAUAUUUGUGCAACAUAUCAAGUGUGAAAAAUUAUAGGUGAUUUAGAGAAGGUCUAAAAAAUCAGCUUAAACACGAGGUACCAUUUGGUCUCACUUAAGCCAUUUUUUGUAGAAAAUGUGAUUUUUUCCACCACCUUCAAAUCACCCCAAAUUUGUUCUAGAUGCUCAAAUAGAUGUUCCAAGCAUGUCUAUGAAAGAAAUUUGGAAAAAAUGUAUCCUACAAUGCCCGCUUAAGGUGUAGACCGAUGUUUUGAUCAGUCAGUCUAUAGCGCAGAAUAAAUUCAAAAAAAAUUAUAAAAUCUUGAAAACCUAGCUAUGCUUGUGCAACAUAUCAAGUGUGCAAAAUUAGAGGUGGUUUAGAGGAAGUCGAAAAAAUCAUUCUAAAACACGAGGGACCAUUUGGUCACUUAAGCCAGUUUUUGUAGAAAAUGUGUUUUCCACCACAUCCAAAUCACCACAAAUUUUUUCUACAUGCUUAAAUAGAUGUGUCUAGCAUGUCUAUGAGAGAAAUUUGGAGAAAAAUGUAUCCUACAAUGCCCGCUUAAGGUGUGGACCGUUGUUUUGAUCAGUCAGUCUACCAGGCAAAAUAAAUUCAAAAAAAAUUAAAAAAUUAUAAAACCUUGAAAAUCUAGCUAUGUUUGUGCAAAAUAUCAAGUGUGCAAAAUUAUAGGUGAUUUAGAGAAGGUCGAAAAAAUCACACUUAAACACGCGGGACCAUUUUCUCUCACUUAAGCCAUUUUUUGUAGAAAAUGUGAUUUUUUUUCCACCACCUCCAAAUCACCCCAAAUUUGUUCUAGAUGCUCAAAUAGAUGUGCCAAGCAUGUCUAUCAAAGAAAUUUGAAAAAAAAUGUACCUACAAUGCCCGCUUAAGGUGUAGACCGAUGUUUCGAUCAGUUAGUCUACAGGGCAGAAUAAAUUCAAAAAAAAUAAAAAAAAUUAUAAAACCUUGAAAACAUAGUUAUGUUUGUGCAACAUAUCAAGUGUGCAAAAUUAUAGGGUAUUUAGAGGAGGUCGAAAAAAAUCACGGUUUAAUUUGUGUGUGGGGGGAGGGGGGGGUAGACCUCCCGAGAGCCGUUUACUGGUCAUUUUCGUUCCGUAUAUGUGUAAACAUUCCAAAUUUUGCCCAACAUGAAAAGAAUAUUAUGCGUGCAUGCUCUAUGUGGUCAAGGGAUGCGAUGCAGCAAAAUUGGGAUCAUUAGUGCAUGUAUACGCAAGUAGGGUCUCUGAAACGCACUUUUUGGGGAUAGCCUGUCACCACCCCGAGAGCACUAGCUCGGUUUCUCACCUGUAUGAAACCAACCCAACAUUUUACGAUGACAAGUCAUGGCCAUGUUAGGGCUACUUGCCAUGUUUCAACCAUCUUCAACAAAUUUUGAAAGUGUCGUCACAUGCGGGAUUUUUUCGGUCAUUAGUACAAUGUGGACCAUUUUCAACAUUUAUUGCAUGUUUUGUCACGUAUGGCAUUUUUCAGGCAUAUGCGACAUGAAAAAACCAUUUUUAAUACUUAAAAAACAAGGACAAUAUUUUCUAGAUUUUUUGGGAUAUCAUUGUGAUAUGAUUGAAAUCUCACAUAACUCACGCGGCCCACCCCUCCCUAAAUCCCGCAAUUACAGCGCCUCAUUCUAACCACCCGGCCGUGCCAUCCACAGCUCCCACGGCUGCUGCACGAUCAGAUCGGAGAUGCCGGGCUCACACGGAUUACAGCAGUCGCCGGCCACCGCCCACCACCAUGAGGGGUCGGACUUCAGUGUUCUUCUCCCGCUCCCUCCGUUUAUCCUUGUCGCCGUCUACUGCACUAUAGGGGCACUUCUAGUUUGCGACGCACUGUCCACGGCCAUCAACUCGGCGCCGCCGUCUCCGAGAGAAGGUAUUUCCUGAUCGUAGCUUUUUUUAAUCGUUGUCGGCCGCUCCUUUAGUAGUUGAACCCUCAUAGGUUUUGCACAACUUCACGUGGUUAAGCAAUUGGAUACCCAUGUUAAACUACGCUUAUUUUAUGCACGACCAACUAGGUUGUGUGCUUAAAGUGAUAAGUGGAUCAUAUGUUAAAUGAUGCACUUAUUUUUUUUUAAUAUUAGUUGACUGCUAAUUUUGUUAUACAUCUUUUAAUUAUUGUCUUCAUAUUAAUUGACCCGGUUUUCAUCAUUGCAUACAAGCUAGCAAUGUCAGUUUUAGAUAAAAGUCUUUGUAACAGAGAAAAGCCUUGAAGAACUCAAACUAAAAUUUGACAGCAAGACCGUACGCAAACAAAUGUUUUUGUUAUCAUCACGGUCACGUAGAGCCAUGAGCAGCUAUGUUGAGCCCAUUCAAACACAAAUAGGUAGCAUCAAUUGAUACAUGAUCUUGCUCAUGCUCUACUUUUAGCAUCAUUUGAUACAUGUUCAGUUCUUAUCAUAAAGUGGAUAUAUGUACCUUUGGCAAUCAUGAGCAUCCUCUACUUAUUGCUAUAACUAAUGCAUCCUUAGUACAAAAAUUGAAUUGGCAAUACGGUUGUAUUGGCAAUGAUUUGCAUGCUUUACUUUUGGCAAGAACUAAUGCAUAGAUGAGUUAUAACUGGUCAUAGAUAUGGCUGGAACAUCUAGAGUUAUCAUCACGGUCACGCGGAGACCCUAAACCAUCACCAGAUAUGUUGAGCCCAUUCAAACACAAAUAAAGCAGCAAUUGAUACAUGUUCAUGCUCAUGCUUUACUUUUGGCAUAAUUUGAUACAUGUUCAGUUCUUACCAGAAAGUGGAAACAUGCACUUUUGGGAAACAUGAGCGUCCUCUACUUAUUGCAAUAACUAAGGCAUCCUCAGUACAAAGCUUCAAUUGGCAAUAGGUAGAAUUGGCAAUCAUUUGCAUGCUUUACUUUUGGCAAAAACUAAUGCAUAGUUCAGUUGUAACUGGUCAUAGAUAUGGCUGGAACAUCCUGAGUUAUAAACUGAACAUAAUCAUGCCAAGCUAUAACUACCAUAUUUAUAGUAAUAGAGUUCCUAGCAUGCAUCACCAUAUGAUUCAAGAACGGUUGAAUUAACACAGCUAACAUAACAUAGACCAUCGUACGAUACUUGAGUUGCUAUGGCCUUGUACAAUGCAAGGUGAUUAGGCGAGGUGUUUAGAGAGAUAAACCAGGCUUUUCUUAAGCACCGGUGCUUAUUUGUACAGGGUAGACGCAUAACUAGGCGUCUGUCCUGUACAAAUAGCCAAUGGUGCUUCAGGAAAAACCCAGUUUAUUUUUCUAAGCACCACCCUUAGCAUCUACCAUUGUAUAAUGCCUAACAUGCAUCAGCAAAAUAGUACUAAUAACAACUUAGACAACUUAAGCAGGUUAGCAGCAAACACUUAGAUAAACGGCAGAUUAACCACCGCACACCAUAAGUUCACACCCACCAUAGACCAUAGGACAUAAGUUCUUACACACCAUAGAUAAUAAGUUUUAGAGUCGACCAGUGAAUACCGAUAACAUAAAAGGACACGGCGGUCCUGGGGCAGCAGCAGUAGUCUAGCAGCACAUCACUUGUCUCCCAUGUUCAGCAGCGGCGCGGCGGGAUGUAGUAGGGCUCAUUGACUUUGACAAUCUUUAGGAAGCGCCCGUAGGCCGCAUAUUUGGCCAGAGUACUGGCCUUUUGCUUCCUACUGUAGGAGUUGCCAGUGGCAACAGCAUGCUGCAUCAAGCCAUCUAUGCCGCCCUUGAUCGCCUUGCCAUAGAAGGGGCAACCAAGCUUGCCAUAGAAACAGUACUUGAAUUUUCCAGCAAUCAGCUGCCUCAUGAUGUAGCGGCUCUUGUUGUGCCUGCUGUCCAUGUCAUACCCCACAUCAUCGUCAUCCUCCUGUGAAUUAGUACACAAAGAAGAAUUCAGUUAAUCUAUUCUGCUACAUUGCUCUUAAUUAGAAUGUUUGAAAAGUACAGACGUGUAACAUGACAACUAUCUAUUUGCUGGAAAUAAGGCGUAUAUGCACAUACAUACUUGACCCAAAUAAUUUGACAUGCAUAAAUAUGGAUGGUGGAAUAGUUGCAUUGAUAGAUUAGUGCACAAGAAGUACAUAAUUAACACAUGAAAGAAUUCAUGAUGUGGCUUGGUUUAAUGAUACUUGAUACUUGUUACAGGUGUAAUUCUGAUUGGAAUCAGAAAAAAGGCUUCAUUAUACUCCUCCAUGUUACACACAAGGGGGUAUUCUUCUAUCUACUAGAAUCAAGAAACCAAUAUUCUUUCUAAGAGCAGCAAUACUAAUUCUCCAACAUUGUUAGCCCCUGAUAACUUUUAGAAGGAAAUUGAUAAAGGAGCUAUGGGCUACUAUCUUUAUCCCUUAACUUGUGACUCUGAUGAUACCGGUGUGGAAAAUACUUUGGAGGAACUUAACUUGGAAAAGGAAAUUUUGUCAUGCAAAACAAAGUGUUUUUUGUCUAUUUAUUGGAAUCAGAAAUUGAAUUCCAGUUUUACAAAUAUAUGCUAAAAAAGAUUCAUUCCAGUGGUCUAAAAAAAGAUUCAUAAAUUGAAUUCUAGUUUUACAAAUACAAGUUGAGUAUUUAGGGCAUGUUGUCUAAAAAACAUUCAUUCCAGUGGUCAGAUGCUGAAAUUGAGGCCUUCACAACAUUGAAGAAUUGUCUGGUCACUGCUCUUGUUAUGGCUUUGCCUUAUUUGACCCUACCAUUUACUUUUUAAAUAGAUGCAUCAGGUGAAGGUAUUGGUUCUGUCCUCAUGCAACAAGGCAGACCAAUUGCUAGAAAAGGAAAUGUUGUCAUGCAAAACAGGGGUUGUCAAAGACAUAAUCAAGUGGUCGGAACAGGAUUCUUACUAAUUAAAUCUGAAUGUAGAUGCAUCAUAUGAUAGUUAAGAAGGAGAUGAGUCGACGGGUGGUGUUUUAAGAGAUCAGUAUGGCAACUUUGUGUCAAUUCAGUAAAUUACCAUUAUAUUGCAAAUGCAUCAUCUGCCUGCUUGAUGGAUUCAGUGGCAAUGAAAGAAGGCCUAUCUUUGGUAGCACCUGUAGGCUAUCAUCAAAUUAUUGUAGAAUGGGAUUUCUUACAAGUUGUUCAAGCUUUUACUCGAGGUAACACAUGGUGGAAUGAAGGAUCACGUAUUAUUGUUGAUAGUUUUGAUCUAGUUCUGGAGAUAGGAACUGCGCAUUUUCUCACUGUCCUCGGGAAGCCAAUGGUGUCGCACAUGAGAUCGCUAGAAAUAGCUAUGAGAAUCAUCUAUCUUGUAUUUGGGUUGAUUACCCCACUUCUUUCAUUCAUGUAUCCCUUGUGAACAAUGUAAGUUUGCUUAAUCAAUAAAACAUGCCGUGAUGGAAUCAGAUAAUGAAUCUCUGUUUUAGCUAUACUAGUGGUUUUUUCUUCUGUCUAUUCGAAUCAGAAAAUAAAUCAGAUUCUAAAACCAUCAUCCAACAAGAAAAUAUAUGCUGGAUCCCUAGCUACAAUCCUACAUGUACGCAAACAUUAUGGUUGGGCCAGUACAUGAGUAGAAAUACCUCAUCAACACGUGAAGAAAAUGAUUCAGAUUCAAAAACCACCAUUCAUUAUGCAAGAAAAUCUAUGCUAGAUCCUUUCAACUAGCACGCCCAUAUGAAAUUGAUGCUCAUGUACUUAACAAAAAAAAACCAAUGCCAUGAAAAAACAGAGUACUUACAGGAAAUAUAAAUCUAAUAAAAUCAGAUUAGUACCUCAGAUAGCUCGUCGAUGACAUCCUCAUCGUAGUCGCUGCCCUUCCUGGGAUCCGCAGCCAUCUCGAACUCUAUUUCCUCCACGUCAUUCCCCUCGUAGAACUCCUCGAUUUUGUCAUAGAGCUCGCGCUUCAGCCUCACCUUCUGCUCGUCCAGAUCUUCAUCGACCUUCUCCUGCAUAGGCUCGCCGUCGGAUAGCUCGCCGGCCGGGAUGACAGCGGGAGGAGGCACAACAGUUGCUGCACCGCCUCCAUCACCGCUACGGCGGACUCAGCCGCUGCAACUGCGGCGGCAGCCACGACAGCAGACUGCUCUCCACCGAUGGUUGCCUCCGGCUCUUCCAUCGCAUCUUCACGGCCGCGCUUCAUUGGCGGUCGAUGAGAGGACGAGGGACGUGUUGGAAGGGAGGAGAGGAGUGGAGUGGUGAGGAAGGGAGGAGGGUUUGGGAGAGGACGAGGUGGUAUGGCUGGAGUGGGAGAGGACGAGGGUUUUCUACCCGAUUUGUGGAAGAAAAUGAAUGCGGCUGCCUCUUCGAGUUACCGAGGGGUCGAGGGGGGUGAUUUGUCUCACAUACCAGGGCCUUCCACAGUGAGGACGCGUGGGGUUUGCCCUGCGCCAUGCACCUCGCGUGCGGUUUGCCCCGCGCCGCCCUUCAAACUGCUGACACGUGGACACCAGCAGUGGUUACACAUGAUAGAUAUGGUAAAUGAAUUUCUUAAAUCUGAGGGCACGUAAUUUGUAUCAAAAUGCAUCAUCAGCUUAGUGGUAAGACCCUCACGAUCACAUACUAAUGCCCUUGGUUCGAAACUCCGUCGUGCAGUUUAGUUCCCUCUUUUUUGCCUAUGUGGUUUUUACAUGUGUGGAUCCCACAUGUCAUUCACACACAUGGAGAACACGUACAAACAAACUUGCCGGACAUGAUGUAAAUGGACCCAAAAAAUUUCUACUUCUAUGUAUCAUUCUUGUAUGGAUUUUCUAGUACGAUUAAGUGCUUAAAAUACUUCUCGGAGGUGAUGCGACAAGCGCACGUUGUCGAUCCACUGGGGUGGCCAUGCCCACAACAAGGAAAAAUUUGGUGUCCUUCUUAACAUGGCCAAAAAUUCACCUCCUUCACCGGCGGCUGUUCGGGUAGGAGGUAAGGGUCCGUGUGGAAGGACAGUUUUUUCUCGACAUGCUUCAAAUGGACCUAUAUUCUUUCUACACCCUUGUACCAACAUGAGAAGCAUCCAUGACUAGUUCCAUUGAUUUUCGAUGUUUUUAUUAUUUUUCUAGGGUUAUCACGACGAUAAAACCCUAAAAUAUUUCCCACCAGCGCCACCCUUCCCUCUGAUCACUCUGACUAGCAUGUACUUAACUUAGCAUCAAGGCCAUGAAAACAGGAAUCAGAACCGUAUUAGAUUUUGAUCCCACACAUACAAAAUAGAUAACACAAAUCACAGAUUGCAGGUACUACAAUUAUCUGAGUGAACUUCUAAUGCAUAACAACUUCUGGUAUUCAAAUACAUCACAUGAAGUACUGGGACAACUAGAAAUGCAAAACAGCUUCUGAUGUUGAGAUUGAGCAAGGGAUUUUUAUUGUGAGGCGCAGCAUCUUCAGCAACCUAUCCAUGAUUCCACCUGUAGCAUAUAAGUAACUGAAAAUUUUAGAUUGAAUACAGUUGGUAUUGGAAAAAUGAUAGUACGGUAAUUUGAAGAUGCCAAGGAAAUCUGUCACAACAACUGUAGGAGGAUACAAAUUUGAAUACAAAGUUCAUAGAUGUCAAUGUUGAAUUAAUAAGACCUUUGUAAGAUGCAAAAUCACUGCUGUGAUGAGAGUAAACAGCAUGUAGGCCAUAGCACAUGCAAGAAGCACUUACAGGAAGUGAAGGAAAAGGUUGUACAGCACGGCAACAUGAGUAAGCCAACAUCCCUACUAAAAUUAUUUCACUGCUUAUGUCUAGUUUUUUUCUUGAAUCAUUAGGAAGCCCUAAAUAUUUUGAUGCAAGAUCACCGACAGGGCAUUAAUGAAAUAUUUCAAUGUCUACAUCUCUCUACUGAAAGGCGUUACUGAAAUAUUUCAGUGGCUACGUGUGUGUGUAGUGAAACAACACCACUGAAAUAUUUCAGUUGCUACAUGCGUGUACUGAAACAGCACCACUGAAAUAUUUUAGUUGGUACGUGUGUGUACUGAAAGUGAACCGCUGAAAUAUUUCAGUGGAUACGUGCGUGUACUGAAAGUGCACUACCGAAAUAUUUCAGCGGCUACUUGCUUGUACUGAAACAGCACCCCAGAAAUAUUUCAGUGGCUACGCGUGUGUCCUGAAACUGCUACACUGAAAUAUUUCAGGGGUUGCAUGCCUGUACAAAAACUACAGUAUUGAAUUAUUUCAGGGGUUGCGUGCGUGUACUGAAACUGCAGUACUGAAAUUUUUCAGUGUCUACCCGUGUGUACUGAAAUUGCAUUGCACUACUGAAAUAUUUCAGUGUGUACCCGUGUGUACUGCAAUUGCACUACUCAAAUCUUUCAGUGUGAACCGGUCAGUACUGAAAUAUUUCAAUGCCUACAACUAUCUACUGAACUUGCAGUAUUGAAAUAUUUCAGUGUCAACCCAGAGUCUAUCACUCUAAAACUGUGUACUGAACUUGUCUGGAGGCACUUCUUGCAGCCUCGAUGGUGCAAGUUCAAUUUACACAGAUUGCAUCACGUAAUUUGAACACAACUCUUGAGGUGACAGAAAAAAUUUCAUAUCAUGGAUACCACUCCAGAACAUCAAAACAUAGCAAUGAUGGUGAAUCAGAGUAUAGAUCUGAAGCCUAAAAAUAACUAAGUGAGGAAGAACAAGUUUCACAGUUUCACAUUAGAAUUUUAGAUCUACCGCAUGACAGGAAAAGGAAAAUAUUUAGACCUAAAGGUUGGUGCUUGAGCAGUUCAUGAAGUUCCAGAUCAGGUUUUUAUACACAAAAGAGAUGAUCUGAUGGCAAAAGAAGGAUUAUCAUUACUACUGCAUAAGAGUAUAUCACAUUUGGAGUCUAUCCUAUAGGACUUAAUGAAGAACAGGGGAAGAACACCAUGAAGCUUCGAGGAGCCCGUGCGAACCCUAAACAGAUCUAUGGAGGAAAGGAAGAAGAACUCACCAAAAACUGUUGAACAGCGGAGAGGCGCCGUGAUUUUCUGGUACUGGCAGGGUGAUGCAGCGGCCAAGGUCGGGGCAUGAUACGUCUCCAACGUAUCUAUAAUUUUUUAUCAUUCCAUGCUACUAUAUUAUCAACUUUGGAUGUUUUAUAUGCAUGAUUAUGCUAUUUUAUAUUAUUUUUGGGACUAACCUAUUAACCUAGAGCCCAGUGCCAGUUCCUGUUUUUUCCAUGUUUUUAACCUUUUUCAGAUAGGAAUAUCAGACGGAGUCCAAACGGAAUAAAACCUUCGCUGUGAUUUUUUAUGGAAAAUAUCAAAAAUACCAGAAAGAAAAGAUACCAGAGGGGAGUCCCGAGGAGAUCACAAGCCAGGUAGGCGUGCCCACCCCCCUGGGCGCGCCUGGUGGGCUUGUGACCCCCUCGUGGGUCCCUCCAACUUGUUCUCGAUGCCAUCUGGUCGUAUAAAUACAGAAACCUCCAGAAGCCUCUGUAGCCACCAAAAACCAAUCGGGAGCCCUUUCUGGCACCCUGCCGGAGGGGGAACCCAUCUCCGGUGUCCAUCUUCAUCAUCCCUGUGAUUUCCAUGACGAGGAGGGAGUAGUUCUCCCACGGGGCUGAGGGUAUGUACCAGUAGCUAUGUGUUUGAUCUCUCUCUCUCUCUCUCUCUCUCUCUCUCUCUCUCUCUCGUGUUCUUGAGAUGUAAUGAUCUUGAUGUAUCGCGGACUUUGCUACUAUAGUUGAAUCUUAUGAUGUUCUUCCCCCUCUCCCUUCUUGUAAUGAAUUGAGUUUUCCCUUUGAAGUUAUCUUAUCGGAUUGAGUCUUUAAGAACACUUGAUGUAUGUCUUGCACGUGUCUAUCUGUGGUGACUAUGGGAUAUUCAUGUGAGUACUUGAUGUAUGUUUUGGUGAUCAACUCGCGGGUUUCGUGACAUUGGGAACCUAUGCAUAGGGGUUGGCGCAUGUUUGACUCUCCUGUAGAAACUUUGGGACACUCUUUGAAGUUCUAUGUGUUGGUUGAAUAGAUGAUUCUGAGAUUGUGUGAUGCAUAUCGUAUAAUCAUGCCCACGAAUACGUGAGGUGACAAUGGAGUAUCUAGGUGACAUUAUGGUCUUGGUUGAUAUGUGUCUUAGGGUGUUAUUCUAGUACGAACUCUAUGAUAGAUUGAACGAAAAGAAUAGCUUCGUGUUAUUUUACUACGGACUCUUAAAUAGAUCGAUCAGAAAGAAUAACUUUGUGGUGGUUUCGUACCCGACAAUAAUCUCUUCGUUUGUUCUCCGCUAUUAGUGGCUUUGAAGUGACUCUUUGUUGCACGUUGAGGGCUAGUUAUAUGAUCCAGUUAUGUUAUCAUUGUUGAGAGAACUUCCACUAGUGAAAGUAUGAACCCUAGGCCUUGUUUCCACACAUUUCAAUAUCGUUCGUGCUCACUUUUAUUGUUAUUUAACUUGCUGUUUUUAUUAUUUCAGAUUACAAAAACCUAUAUCUACUAUCCAUAUUGCACUUGUAUCACCAUAUCUUUGCUGAACUAGUGCACCUAUACAACUUACCAUUGUAUUGGGUGUGUUGGGUACACAAGAGACUCUUUGUUAUUUGGUUGCAGGGUUGCUUGAGAGAGACCAUCUUCAUCCUACGCCUCCCAUGGAUUGAUAAACCUUAGAUCACCCAUUUGAGGGAAAAUUGCUACUGUCCUACAAACCUCUGCACUUGGAGGCCCAACAACGUCUACAAGAGAAGGUUGCGUAGUAGACAUCAGGGCAGAGGUGAAGGUCGACGGCGGCGGCAGCGCUCGAGUGCUGAGGCGACGUGAGGUGGAAGAAAGACGAAGAGGCAAGGGGAGAAAAGGAAAGGGACCCUCGGCCCUAUUUAUAAGGCGAAGAGAUAAGUGACAGGCGCAGGAAUCGAGGAGCCCAAAAAAAUGGAUAUGUCCCAGAGCUGUCUCCUCGAUUUUCGGAGGCUCAUUAAUAAAAGUAAGGUAUAUACAGUUUUUUAAUGAAUAGGUGAAGUCAUAGCGAUUUAUUAUAAUCCUGGAAGAUGACGUCAUGGCGGUUUAUUAUAAUCCUGUAAGAUGACGUCAUGGUGGAUUACAAGGUUUACUCGAAGGUACUAAAGAAGAAGUUUUUCUAAAGUGUUGAAGAUUGACAUGAACAGGUUCAAAUCAAUCCGGGGCCUAAUGUUGGGGAUAUAACUACUGAGUAUAAACCGCCCGGGAGGGGCCGGGUUAUACCUGUAAUGAGUUAUUCAUAUUGAAGCCCAUGAAGACAAGGUGUAUGAUGCUUUAAUAUAAGAGAUCUAAAAGCCCAAGGCCCAAAGGCGGAUUAGGGCCCAUAGACAUAAACCGCCAUAAGGUGUGUAACUUGUGUUGUAAGAUAGGAAAGAGUAGAAACUGAGCCGGACACGUUUAUGAGCCGGUCGGGAUUCUGUAAACCGCCGGGCGUCAAGCUGUGUAUAUAAAGGGAUGACCCAGCGGUGGUUCAAGGACAAGAAACAACAACUCGAGAGCCAGGCAAAGCGUAUUCGCUCCCUGGUCAUCGAAACCAUAGCAAUCCCAUCAUAACUGGAGUAGGCUUUACCUUCAUCGUAAGGGGACGAACCAGUAUAAUUCCUUGCGUCCUUUGUCCGCUUUAACCCCUUUAAGUUCACUACGUUGCAAUGGCUCCACGACUAAGUCCUCACACUAGGACAUCUGUCGUGCCAAUCCCACGACAAGCGGGGAAAUAUUUAACAGAGAAACAAUAAAUCAUAUCCUGGGGACUACGCACACAACCAGGAUCAAGAGAAUUAAACCAUGUUUUAGCAUCACCCUUUAAUCAGAACGGGAAUAACUUAAGGAUAAAGUAAUAGCGAGUUUUCUCAUCAUUAGUGAAUAGGGUGGCUAUAUCAUUUAAUUUAGUAAGAUGUGUCACAACAGUUUCAGAUUCAUAGCCAUAGAAAGGAUCAGAAUCAACCAAAGUAAUUAACUCAGGAUCGACAGAGAAAUCAUAAUCCUUAUCGGAAAUAAAGAUAGGUGAAGUAGCAAAAGCAAGGUCAUAUUUCAUUCUAGCAUUCAAAGACUUUUCUUUAAGCUUAGCUAAUAAUUUCUUAAGAUCAGAUCUAUCAUUGCAAUCUAAGAAGUCUCUAGUAGUUUCUUCAUCCAUAACAUAACCCUCAGGCAUAAUAGGCAAUUCAUAUCUAGGGGGAGAAUCUUCAUCAUCACUUUCAUCAAUAUUUUUAGUUUCAGUAAUUUCAUUCUCUCUAACCCUAGCAAGUUGUUCAUCAAGAAAUUCACCUAAUGACACAGUAUUAUCAAGCAUAGAAGUAGUUUCAUCAUAAGUGUCAUGCAAAGCAGAAGUGGCAUCAUCAAUAACAUGCGACAUAUCAGAAUGAAUAGCAGGAGUAGGUGUCACAAGUUUACUCAAAACAGAAGGUGAAUCAAGUGCUGAGCUAGAUGGCAGUUCCUUACCUCCCCUUGUAGUUGAGGGAAAAUCUUGGUUCUUUUAUCUUUCAAGUUCUUCAUAGUGAUCAGCAGAUAUAAAUCCCAAGUAACUCAAAGAAUAGAGUUAUGCUCCCCGGCAACGGCGCCAGAAAAUAGUCUUGAUAACCCACAAGUAUAGGGGAUCACAACAGUUCUCGAGGGUAGGGUAUUCAACCCAAAUUUAUUGAUUCAACAGAAGGGGAGCCAAAGAAUAUUCUCAGGUAUUAGCAGCUGAGUUGUCAAUUGAACCACACCUGGAAACUUAAUAUCUGUAGGAAAGUAUUUAGUAGCAAAGUAACAUGAUAGUAGCGGUAACGGUGGCAAAAGUGACGGUAGCAGUUUUGUAGUGAUUGUAACAGUGGCAGCGGAAAAGUAAGUAAGCAAAGAUCAAUAUAUGAAAAGCUCAUAGGCAAUGGAUCAGUGAUGGAUAAUUAUGUCGGAUGCGAUUCCUCAUGCAAUAGUUAUAACAUAGGGUGACACAGAACUAGCUCCAGUUCAUCAAUAUAAUGUUGGCAUGUAUUCAGAUAUAGUCAUACGUGCUUAUGGAAAAGAAAUUGCAUCACAUCUUUUGUCCUACCCUCCCGUAGCAACGGGGUCCUAUUGGAAACUAAGGGAUAUUAAGGCCUCAUUUAAUAGAGUACCGGGAAUACAUGAACUCCUCAAACUACGGUCAUCACCGGUAAGUAUCCCGAUUAUUGUCACUUCGGGGUUAACGGAUCAUAACACAUAAUAGGUGACUAUAGACUUGCAAGAUAGGAUCAAGAACUCACUUAUAUUCAUGAAAACAUAAUAGGUUCAGAUCUGAAAUCAUGGCACUCGGGCCCUAGUGACAAGCAUUAAGCAUAGCAAAGUCAUAGCAACGUCAAUCUCGGAACAUAAUGGAUACUAGGGAUCAAACCCUAACAAAACUAACUCGAUUACAUGAUAAAUCUCAUCCAACCCAUUACCAUCCAGCAAGCCUACAAUGGAAUUACUCACGCACGGCGUUGAGCAUCUUUAAACCUCGCCUCGGCAACUUGCAAUACCCGUCACGAAGCUUCAGAAGUAUAUCACCUCAGCGCAGGAAGGGAUGUUCAUUCCCGACAGAGAAAAGGACAAGCUGACUGAGGCCCUAGGGAAUGCUGAGCACCCUGGACGAACACGAGGCACUCCAGGCUCCAUUCUGUGGAAGUUUGGGUUUCCCGACGCAUGCGGUUACAAAAGCCGGGAGAGAAAGAGGAAAGAGGAGAUGAGCGACAUGUAGAAGCUCAAUGCAAGAGUACAAAAGCUAGAGGAAGCUGAGAGCAAGCGAGCUGCCGACCAACCAUCUCAGCGGCAUGAAGCUACCCCAGAAGCUACCCCGCCAUCUCAGCGGAGAAGCAGCGUGGCUUCCACGGAGCCCGUUCAUCCUGACUUCACGUCUCCUAGCUACCCCGUGGAUACUAUCACGGAGGCUCAACAUUGCGAGCUUAUGAAGAAAUGUCGGAACCUCACUUUCAAGGCGUCUACAGGUGAAGGGGAAAAUUGGCUGGUUCAUGCUCUGAGGAGUACAUGUCUAUGGCAGAAGGAGUACAUCAAACUUCCAAACUGGACGCCUCUGCUUCCUGCUCCUCCUCCGGCGAGUCAGGGCACUCCGCCUCCUCCUCCUCCGGCGAGUGAUCAGGGAACUCCGCCUCCUUCUUCGGCUCCUCCGACACGUGAGGGCACUCCACCUCCUCCUUCGCAUACUCCGGCGCGUCGGACUAGUCCGCCUCCUCCUUAGCCUCGUCGGCAAUGGCGGAAGACAAACGUCGUCACACCUGCUCCUUCGGUGCGUCAGAUUUCUCCGCCUCAUCAGCAACGACGGAAGAGAGACGCCGCCGGUCCGGCGGCUAGUAGUACAAGCAGAGGCGGGAGCCAAUUCAGAUACGGUCCAUCUCUCAAGCCUCUGGAAAGUUACCAUAUGAGAGGACCGAGUAGGAAAAUGAGGACAUAUGUCGUGCCCAACUAAGGGACCAUUUUGCAAAGAAAAAUCCACCUCUGAAGGAGAAGGUAGAUCCGGUGAAAGUGAAGCGCACUAUCAAUGCCCUGAAGCGACCACAACCGCCUCCGCCGGAUUCCAACUAUGGCCGCAUAAUUACUAAGACACAUGCUAAAGCGCAGCAGUCGGGAAGUACUUCUAGUGCUGCAAGAGCGAAAAAACGAAGAAGUGGGAAAACAAUUCCUCAGCUCAGCGAACUGGAGAAGCAAUCGUGCCCCCCGCUCAAGGUGUCUAGCGAUAUCGCUAAUCAUCCGAUGCUACUGCCCAGUACCACUCUUGAUGAUUACCUGCCCAAUGAUGUACAGUUUGAAACGGCUGAGGUAGUAGACGUCUUCAGAUACGAGCAUGGGAAGCCUCUCGUCAAACCUGAUCAUCCUCAUCUAACAACGAUGAUGCAAAAAUUGCAUGACUGGUACAUGGAAACCUACAGGAAGUCUGGGAAAGACAUUUAUUAGUCGGAAUUAAAAAAGAGCAUGACUUCCCUGGAAUCGACAUGCUUCCUGUUGAAUUUGUGGAGUUAUUUCAAUUAUACAAUCAAAAGGCCCUCGACAAACAACUCAUGACUUGCUACUGUCUGUAAGUAUUACUUCUAUAAUUAAGUCUCUAGCUCAGCUCGUUCAUUGCAUGUAUAUAUAAUUAUCCUCACUAUAUUAUGCAGAUUGAAGAUGGUCGAAUGCAAAAAAUAGGAAUCUUCGACGUUGGGUUCAUUAGCCCAAAUACCGUAAAUGAAUGGUCGGUACGAAAGGUGGCUGAAGAUACUGAGAACAACUUACUACAAACGUUCCUUACACAUCAAAACAAAAGGGAAAUACUCUUUCCUUACAACUUCAAGUGAGUGUUACUGUCUUCUGCAUAUUCGGUUCCACUUACCCGUGGUUAAAUAAUGUAAUUGAUGAGUUAUGCGUGCGUAGCUUCCACUAUAUUCUGCUAUCCAUUAACCUUGAUGGGGCAUUAGUAAUUGUCUUAGACUCGCUCCGUAAAGAUCCCAAGUAUUAUGCGGACAUGACUGCAAUGCUCCAGAAGUAAGUUCAAUCAAUACCGGGACCAUAUCGGCAACUUUUAUUCAUUUCCUGAUAUCAAGUAAUCAUUUUCUUUGCCUGCCAGGGUUUGGAAAACGUUCACUGCUAAGGUUCCGGGUCUGAAGAAGGAGCUGCGAUUUACACACCCCAAAGUAAGUAGUACAAGCUAGUUUCGCGCAUCUCUCAUUGAUUCUAGUUUAAUCAAUAUCAUUAUCAUGCUUGCUUAUCAGUUUGAUUGAACUCUAUUCUCGUAAAGUGCUUGUUGCAUGCACCCAACACUCAUUUAUGUGGAUACUACGUAUGCGAGUUCAUUCGCUACUAUACCUCUGAACGUGCCUCCUAUGAGAAACAAUUUGAAGUACGUAAACAAUAUUCACAAUUUUAUUUUAUAUAUUACCAUCAAUUGUGUUGAGUUUCAUUCAUAUAUAUGUAUUGACCCCUUCUUUAAAUUAGAUCUGGCAGAUGCGGGAUGAACUCCUACCACGUGAUCGCAUACGAGCAAUUCAAGAGGAAUUGGCGGGAUUCUUUCUUGACCACGUCAUACUUGAACAAGGAGAAUACCAUGUGAAAUUGAAAUUGUUGUAAGGGAUGUUAUAUAUUGUACAUAUGUAGCAGCGCCGGAUAGAUAUACGAAAACUUGUUGUUCGACCAAGCACGAAGAAAGAGAUGUCACUUCUCUCUAUAUAUGUUCAUGACGAUCUUGUAUAAUUAAUGGUUUCCUUUAGUUGCUUACUAGCUAGCGUCGAGUUCUCUCUAUAUGUGUAGUAGCUAGAGUCGACCAAGCACGGAAAAAGAGAGGUCACUUCUCUCUAUUAGCUCGCUAACACAAUAUGAAACCCCUAAAUUAACCCUUCAAAACCCCAACCCCCCCCCCCUUCCAAAAAACAAAACCCCCAGCGACUGCGAGCUGCUGACGCGUGGCCGCCUUUUGGUCCUAGUUGGUGUUACCAACCGGGACUAAAGGUCCUCCCUCCCCCGCCCCAGGCAGCGCCACGUGGAGGGCCUUUGGUCCCGGUUCGUAAGCAAACCGGGACUAAAGGUUUUGGGUAUUAGUCCCGACCCUUUAGUCCCGGUUCCAGAACCGGGAAAAAUGGCCCUCUGGAACCGGGACAAAUGGCCCUUUUUCUACUAGUGACUUCUCAUAGGAGAUACGUACUUUCAGAUAGACAUAAUUUCCUACUUCGAAAAUUAAUUCUCUUCUUCGAUUAUCUGCAUAGCUCUUCUGACGAGUUUGUGCCACUCUCAAGUUCUCUCUAAUCAACCUGGCUUGUUCCUCGGCAUUCCUGAGCACAUCUGGUCCAAAGACUUAACUUUCACCCGUUUGAUUCCAGAACAACGGUGUUCUACACUUACGCCCAUACAAUGCUUCAAACAGUGCCAUCUUUAGACUAUUCUGGUGAUUAUUGUUGUAAGAGAACUCCGCAUACGGUAAACUUUUAUCCCAACUAGUACCAUACUGCAAUGCACAAGCUCUCAACAUAUCUUCAAGAAUAUGAUUGAGCCUUUCUGUCUAUCCAUCAGUCUGAGGAUGAUAUGUUGUACUGAAAUUCAACUUCGUUCCCAAAGAUUUAUGCACUUUCUGCCAAAAGAUGGACGUGAACUGCGGACCUCUAUCAGACACAAUCUUCUUAGGAACUCCAUGCUGACAUACUAUUCUUUCCAUGUAUAGCUCUGCCAAUCUUGCCCCGCUGUAAGUAGUCUUGACAGGCAAAAAGUGAGCGACUUUAGUGAGACGAUCCACUAUUACCCAUAUAGAAUCAUAACCUUGCUGGGUGUGUGGUAAUCCCACUAUAAAGUCCAUUCCGACUUCUGCCCAUUUCCACUCAGGAAUCUUCAUUGGUUGCAACAAACUAGCGGGUCUCUGAUGCUCAGUCUUUACCCUCUGACAAGUGUCACAUAUAGCUACAUACUCAGCCACAUCUCUUUUCAAUCCAUACUAGCAGUACUUCUCCUUAAGAUUUAGAUACAUCUUAGUACUUCCAGGGUGGAUAGAAUAGGCUGACUCAUGUGCUUCACGCAAAAUUGUAUCAUGAAUGGCUUUCACCUCAGGCACACAUAUCCUUUUUCCAAACCAUAAGGUUCCAUUCUCAUCUAUUCUGAAGCCAGGUGCUUUACCAAUCACCACAUUCUCAGCUAUCUCCUUUAGCUUUUCAUCUUCUAGCUGACCCUUACGUAUUUCUUGCUCCAAUGUAGGAAUCACUUUUAUCUCCAUAGCACUAGCAACAAUGCCAAGGUUCAGAUGUUGCAACUCCGCAUACAACUCUUCUGCCUCUGGUCUCAACUUAAGAUUGUUGUCAUAUUUCUUCCUAUUGAGAGCAUCAGCUACAACAUUUGCCUUACCUGGAUGAUAAUGUACCUCCAGUUCAUAAUCCUUGAUUAACUCUAGCCAGCGACGUUGUCUUAAAUUCAGACCUGUCUGAGUGAAUAUAUACUUCAAGCUCUUAUGAUCGGUGUAGAUAUCACUCUUGUGACCAAUCAGAUAGUGUCUCCAGAUCUUCAAUGCAUGUAACACAGCUGCUAGCUCCAGAUCAUGAGUAGGAUAAUUUAACUCAUGCUUCCUCAACUGUCUCGAUGCAUGCGUCCGUGGUGGUGACCUCAUGUCCGCUCGCACCGUGUUCGAUGAAACGCCAACGAGGGUCAAAAGCUUCGAACCACAUCGGCAUCGCUCGGAGUAGCAACGGGUACACGCUGGAGUGCUGGAUGUGAUGCUUGGCCAUCUCCAACUCACGAGCGUGUAAGAGAGAAACCAUGAGACAGUAAUGAUUUAAUUUGGUUUUGCAAUGUUUUUAUUUUAAAAAUAGUUGGUUUAUCUUUGUAAAAUAGUUAAUUACAUGAGAAUUAUUGAACAAAAUAGUUUUUAAAGAGCAAUUUGCAUUCAAACAGUCUUCAUUCUUAAUGAAGCUACGAGUUCCCAUUUGCUCUAACCAAACGAUCUUCAAUUUUUGCCACCACAGGAGCCUUGUAUUAGCUCUUGCGGUGCGAGCGGGAGCUCGGAUGUCCGUGCGACGAAGCUGAUCUAUGAAAGUGGCCUUGGUGAUCCUGUGCCCCGGUUGGUAGGUUGGGAGACAGCAAGGAUGCAAACCAGCGCCAACGAUGGGCGAAGAUUGCACGACGGAUGAGCGGCGCUAGAGAUGGAAAGUCUGCUGGAGCAGUUUAGGUGAAAGGAUAAAGAUGUAGUUUUCAUUUUUUUUUCUAAUAAUGAAAGUCGGACUCAACUUUAUGGAACUGGGCCUUAUGACACGUAGGGCCCAUCUGAAGCUUCUAGAGUUGUUAAUCCUGUGGUUGAGAAUGUGUGUGACAAAGCCUGUGUUUGAGUAUUUACUAUCUAGGGAAGUAUAAACAAUUUACAAUCUCAGUGGACCCAUAAGCCAAUAUCCUUGAAUGUUUUUUUUUCUGUUUGUGUGUAUAUGUCGCAAGUUUUCUUGUUUUAUUUUAGGUUUGGUACUGUAGCUAGGUCUAGAAUAGUUUUUUUUGUUCUUUUUUUAAUUUCAAAAAAAUCGAGGGAUGUCUCAGUUUUUAUUAAAAGAAAGAAAUAUUUGGUCCAAAGUUGAAUGAGCGUGUCAUGCAGGGUUAAAUCACAAGAUAAACUGAUGAAACACAUGAUGCAUUAGUGGAUAAAUCACACGGGUGAUUUGAAGACAAAUUGAAAAACAUGAUGUGUUAGUUAAAUAAAUAAAUAUCAUGAUACAAUUAUAAGUAACCAUGCAAUAAACUAUAUGUCCAAUACUUGCACUCACAGGCAUUUUUGCUACUAUUAAUAAAUUGGUAAAAAUCAGAGAAUGCGAGGCGGAUACCAAACCUAGCCAAAUGGGCCGGCCUGGGUUAAACGGGCCCGAACCCCUCUUGCCCUCGCUCCUAGAAAAGCCGCCCGCCUCCGUCUCUCCCCCGCACUCCAUCGCCUCGCCUCGCCUCGCCGCCGUUCCCCGCAACCCCCUGUCUGUCGACCCAAUUCAUCUCAGGGAUAUCACCCGACGCCUCGUCCUCCUCUCCAGAUCAGAUCUUACGCCCGCCCGCCCGAGGUGAGCACAUGCUUGUACAUCCCGAUCAGCUUGGAGUUCGUUCCGAUUGGUUGGUAGGCGCGGCGCUGGUUCGAGGCCAGCGUGGUCUCCCUCCUCCUCCGGAGUUGCUCGGGCGCGGCGCGGGUUCAUAGGUGUCGGAUCCAGCGCCGUCUGUAUCCUAUUCGUAUGAGGAACCUCGGCUAGGAUAGGAUUUAAUUAGUUGGUUUUUGUAUUAGGGUAACACCACCUAGGGUUCGGUUGAUUAUCCGUAAGAAGGAAUCAAUCUGACGCUUUAGUUAGGGUUUGCUUGGUUGGUUGUGGUCAGAUUUUGGUUUCUCAUGAAUUCUUCAACUGUGCCUGUCGCGAUUUUGGGCGGAAAUUGAUGAUUGAUUUCGGGGGCAAAAUCCGAGGGAUUUUGUGGAUGAAAGAUGGGGAAACUUGGGGAAACCAAGCAAAUCCAUGGAUCAAAAUAAACAAACUUCAUCAUGCCAACAAAUCACAAAAAAAAUUUGGUGGGGAAAUUUCGAAUUAGGACGAAAAACAACAAGAUCAAAGCUAGAAAACGAAUAUUAAUUUGGAUGGAAUUCAUGCUAUGUUGUUCGAUUUCAGUUUAUGCCUGCCAGAAUGUUUUAAUUUUUUGUUUUAUCAACUGUGUUGGAGCGUACUAGAUUUUUUGUUGCAUAUUCAUCUUCUUGCUCUGUUUGGAUAGGUAACAAUUAAUAUUUGGGAUCCUAAAAUAUGUAUGCACUGGCAGCACUUAACCUGCAGCUGCUGAUUAAUGUUGUAGUCAUAUGUGCUGCUUUCCAGCUCUCUUGUUUGGAUAGGUAUUUGGUUAUCGUUUGGGUUUAUUUAUUAUCGUUUGUAAAUGCUGGUUUGGUUUUCUGUGCUCACUAUGCCCUUGCACAUGGGAUGCAAUUUUUUUAUUUCCCUGCUGUUUAGUUUAUUGUUUCCUUUGAUGGUGAGGCAUUAAUUCUGGAGAUAGAUGCAAUUUUCUUGCUCACACAAUAAUACAAUGAAUGAUGGCAUCUCUAUCUACUUUGAACCAAAUUAUAUUAUAUUCCCCCCUCUGUUAAUUAUUUUUCUGUUUUGGGUAUUCAUUCAUUUUGUUUAGUUGCCUAUCAGUAUAAAUACAUGGCUGGAUUGCUUUCACUUCAUAUUAAUAACUAUUCUGUCGCACAAUGCAAAUAUACAUAUGCUGUCCUAACUAAUUAAGUAGAAGCUUGGAUUGGUGCUGUAUGGUCUCUUCCUGACAUUAAAUCCUCCUCUGUUUGUGCUGUCUGUUUCUGCUGCUGCAGUCUUCUUCGCCGCCAAAAGGAAAAGAUGCUCUACAAAAUCCACUCCCAUGCCGAAAUCCAAGCCCUGCAGGCCCGCACCGAUGAGCUGGGCCACUCCAAUGAGCACAUGGAUGUGAAGCUUGUCUCUCUGGAGUCGGUGCGCAUAGCGCGCGAGUCGUAUGCACUCCUCCGCCCGCUGAUCAUGGAGUCGAGGUCCUGGGAAUGCCCGGAGCUGGAUUCCCUCUCGGACGUGGCAGGCUUGUCGCUGGAAAUCCAAAAGCUCGAGCAUGAUGUGUUACCCCAGCUCACGGUUCAGGAGGCUAAGCUGGAACGGGGUGCCCUGGAAGCCCUCCUACUCAUGAAGAGCUCAGCAGCUAAGCUCUUACAUAUGAGUAAGUGCUUGAAGGAAGCCUUGGGCGUAUUGCUUGCCGAGGAUGUCAAAAAGCUGAGCAUAGUGCUAAGCGAUACUGCUGUUCAUGUACUCAAAGGUAAGUUCAACAGUGGCUUGCUUCAGGAGCGUGUCCCGUGGCUGGUCGAGCUGGUCACCGAUGUGUUGGAGACCCCGGUUCGUUUCUGUGAUACUCGUAAGCGUAAGUAUUCUGAUGAGUAGACUUAUCAGCCAGCUCGAGGCUGUUGUGAUGAGUAUUUCUUAGGGGCGUGGCAAACAGUUUAGAAUCAACCCUUUAUGUUUGUAUGUGUUAUUAAUGGAUUUUAAAUGAUAUGUAUCUUGGGUGGGUAGUGUUUUCUCAUUCUGUGCUAGUCGGGUACAACUUGGAAUUACUUUCAGUUUUUUUUUUGAGAAACAUCCAUUCUGUUUUUUACUGUCACAUGAGGUAUUCGCUCUUUUUAGGGAAUAUAUAGAAGAAAAGAGGCAUACUUUAGAACGUGGAUGGAUUCACUCAUUUUGCUCCGUAUAUAGUUUUCUACUAGUGAAAUUUCUUAAAAGACAUAUAUUUAGGAACGGAGGGUUCUGUGUGUGUCCAUGAUUAAAGCUUUGCAAAUACCAUAAACAAAACAUCACCUUGUACAUAUAAAGUGAUGAUUAUUUUUACACUAACCAGUUUGGCAAGAAGUACUUCCUUCGUAAAUAAAGAAACAUAAGAGUGUUUGGAUUAUCAUUUCUUUAGAGAGGGAGUAGUAUAUAUAUAUAAUUGAAUUAAUAAUCUCUACUCCUAAAGUUGGUCGUCUCCGUUCAUCGGUUAAUUUUUGUCCCACCAACACCGAUUUUUUUUCGUCCUCCAGGCCGUCGAACAAAAAAAAAGGGCUGGCUUAGCUAUGCCCCUACGAAGUCAAGGGGCCAAACCUCCGAUCGAAACAGAGAGAACUGGAUGAAAACAAAUCUACAAAAAACACCUACGAAAUUAAACCAACGAAAAAAACGAAUCGCACGCAGGUAUACGAGCGAUUCCUCCUUCCUUCGAACCACUCACACGCUCACUCCUUCCCUUCGCCCCCGCCGCUCGAUCCCUUCGCCGCCGCCCUCUCACAUCAAAGCCGCCAUCGAUAUGCCCCGCCAGAUCUCGCCUCAGCCCCGCCGUCUUGUGAUCUGGAGUUCACAGUCUCCGCCGCCGAUAUCCUCGCACGCGUUAGGGUUCCUGCGCCGCCGCCACACAGGAGCUCGUCGACCAGCCUAGCGUCCUGCUGCUCCGUGCUUGCUUCCCUCGUCGGUCGCCUUUGGACCCCUCGCUUCGGACUCCGCGCCAAGCCGCCGCCUCUUCGCCGAGAAAGAGGGCUCCCGAUCUCCGCCGUGGUCGACCAUCAGCGCGACGGGUAGAGUACCCAGCCCGUAGGCUCAUCCCCUUCUCCGAUCCACCCCGGCAGCGGCCAUCGUCGGUACGUUCCGCUUGUGAUAUAUCGGUGUAGGCUCAUCCCCUUCUCUUUAUCUAAAGGACUGUGCUAACCACCAGUCGACUGGUGGUUAGCAACAGAUCCGCACGACCUUGGAUCGAUCCUUCCGCUGCCUCGUUCCUCCCGCUUCCACUAUUUUUUUUCCUUCUCUUAAAAACCGUAGUAAAUUGCUAGUGGUUUUUUCUGGUUUUUCGCUGCAUAAUAUGAAAAGAAAAUAAAAGUGCUUGAAAGAGGAUUUGAACCCAGGUCUAUGUAAUACCUAUCAAGCCUAAUAACCAACUAAGCCACCUUUUGUUGUUGUCUAUUAUAGAAUGGCAAUGUUAUUUGAAUCUUUCUUAUUUCUGCCAUAUCAAAAGAAAAAGGAAAGUUUGGCUUGGUAACUUUGGCAAUGACCAGCGUGAUAACUAUGGUCUGAGUAACAUGAUAACUAUACCAUGAUAAGGCUGGUAACUACAGUAUGAGAAGGUUAAAAGCAUGGGAAAGUAUGGUAAUUUAACAUAGAAAUUACCGGUGAAAUGUUUCAAAAAAAUUUUUCCCUUGGAUGAAAGACACCAUGGUGUUUAAACGUAAAAUAUUAGUUAUCAAGUCUGCGAUGAUACAUCAUCAUGUUAUUUACACAGAAAUUAUCGAGUGUAUGUUUUUCAACAAAAAAGUUUCAGGUCAAAAGUUAUAGUGGCGUUUGUAUGGGAGUUAUCAAUUUUGUAUGUUUCUGUUACCAUGUUAUUUACACAGAAAUUAGCGGGGCAUCACCCCCCCUCGCCACAGUCGCCAUAUUACCAGGAUCGGGUACAUAAGUUAUCAAGUCUGCGAUGUGUGAGUUAUCAUGUUAUUUGCAUAAGAGUUAUUGUGGUAUGGUUCAACAACUCCUCCCACCCCUACCCCCACCGACAAAGUUACCAGGACUGGGUAAAUAAUUUAUCAUGUCUACGAUGUGUGAUUUAUCAUGUUAUUUGCAUGGAAGUUACCGUGGUAUGUUUCAACGACUCCCCCCACCCCUACCCCCACCGACAAAGUUACCAGGACUGGGUACAUAAUUUAUCAUGUUUACGAUGUAUGAGUUAUCAUAUUAUUUGCAUAAAAUUUAUCAGGACAGUGAUGCGUAAACUAUCAUCAUAUUUAUACAGAAGUUAUCGAGAGUAUAUUUCAUCAAAACCCCUCCCUCCGGCGGAGGGAAAAGUUAUCAUAUUUGCGGUGCGUAAAUUAUUGGGGGUAUAUUUCAGCACCCCUUCUCGCCAAAGUUACCAGGACUGGGGUGCAUAAGUUAUCGGGUCUCUGAUGUCUGAGUUACCAUGUUGUUCACAUCAAAGUAACUGGGGAUAUUUCAUCAACACCACUUCCCUCAAAGUUACCAGGAUCGAGGUACAUAAGUUUAUCAGGUAUGUGAUGUGUGAGUUAUCAUGAUAUUCACACAAAAAUGACCCGGGAUAUUUCAUCAACGCCUCCCUCCCGAUCGCCAAAGUAAUCAGUACCGAGUACACAAGUUAUCAGGUAUGUGAUGUGUGAGUUACCAUGCUAUACAUACACAAAAAUUACCAACGGUAUAUUUCAUCAACCUCCUCCACCAAAAUUACCAUGGUAUCAUCAACUCGAGACGAGUUGGUAAAAUAAUCUACUUAAGUGCGGAAAAGAUCGGAUAUUGCAUUCACUUUUGUGCAAACAUAGAAAAGGAGACAUGUUAAAAAGCCUAUUUGCUUUCAUUUUUACAAAAGAGGAACGUAGGUGAGGUGGUUGGCUAGUGGGUUACCUUGUAAAAGUUACAAUGAUUGAAUCCUGUUGGCACACUAUUUUUUGACGAGAAAAAUUCAUGUCCCUCGUCACAAUUCUUUGAUUUUGGAGUUUGACUCUAGCUCCCAGCAAAAAAAUUCUGGAAUUAGCACAACUUUUAUUUUGAUGCUAUGAGGUAUAAAAGGUUAAGUUCUUAUGUUUUCCAGUUUGAACAACUAAGAUGUUGUAGCUUGUUGGUCGAAGGGAGCAUGCGGAGCCUGUGUGUCCUGGGUUCAAUUCCCAUCGGGUGCUUUAUCUUUUUCCUCGAAAAAUAAAGUAGCUAGUGAUCUAUCGGGAGGUCGAACGUGGAUCGUGCAUCGAGCGAGUCGUGCGUGCCUGCCACUAAUGACCAGUCGGCAGGUAUUUAGCUUUGUCGUUAUCUAAAAAGGCUAUUCUACAUAUGCCGAGGAGAAGAUGCUCACCUUCUCGCCCCUCCCUCUACCGUGAUGUACGUGGAUGAACCCGACGGCAACAAGGACGACCUCGUAGGAUCCAGCCACGAUUGUGCGGAAUUUCGCGGGGACGAAUCUACCCGGCCUCUCGUCCUAUCCGCCGCCGGUAGAGGCAUCCAUGUCCGAUGGUGUGAAUUUUGGCUGGUUCCAUGAGCACUUCGUUCCCUGCCGUGUAGUCUUCGUUGAUUCGGGAAGAUGGUGGUUGUCUGUUUAGCCAUUUCAAUCUGCUAUUGAUCAUGCUCAUUCUUGUUAUAUUCAGUUAUAUUGGAAACACCAUCUGAUUCAGUUAUAUUCUUGAUCAUGCUCAUGCUCAUCCUUAUUCAAAUACGAAUACUUCUGUUUGGAGAGCUCGGGCGUCAGCUGUGUGGAAGCACCAGCUGAUUUGUAACUGGUCGGAAGGUGAGCUUCUCAUACUCGCUGCCGUCGAAGCACGGCACCUUGCCGCCACUUAUGUUGCAUGUUGUUGUGCUGUAGGUCCUUGGGGUUGGGUGCGGCAACUCGCGACUCGAAGACAUUUCGUGCAUGUGCUCCCCUGCGCUUGGUGACCAAUACAUCUACUCCGUUGUGAACAUGUGCUUCGUGUCAUACAAGUCGCCGCCAAGGGUGAGCUCGUGCAGCUGUACAGGUAUAGAUGUGCAUCCCAUAAUGGCAGCUACAGUUUCUUUCAUAAAGUUAUUUGUGUGAGUGCCCUGCAUAUUGAAGUAAACUGGAUCGGCUAAUCUUGAGUUCCUCCACCAAGUUAUAUUACUUCGACAAGAAAAAGUGCAGAAAGACCAUAUAAAGUACUCUGGUGACUCUCUCAAUUGAACUAAAUUUUUUUUAGAUGCGUGAAACAUGCACAACGAUUUGCUCUAUUGAGUCUAUGUAUGUUGAACUAGCACUCGAAUUAUAGCUCAUGCCGGUAUGCUAUUUUUCUCUUUCUCAUAUCAGCUCUCCUUCUUUUUGUCCAUUUUUCUUCACUACUACCUGAAGGAAACUGUACUGGAUAGCAGCCUAUCAUAUAUAGUUACAUGUACCGAGUGAUUUAGCUUCAUUUUAAUGAUACUGUCAACAACUAACUACUGCUGCGACAUAUUUGAUGCAACCUGUAAAAUAUUUUUUGUUUAAUUUCAGCAUAUCAUUUAUAUACUGAAGUCUCUUCUGGACAUGUUGUCUAAUUGCGUCAUGUAUGUUAGAUAUUUGUUCUAUAAUACUUGCCAUUGACUAAUUUUCUUUUAUUUAGGUUAUGUGCAUUAUUGAUUAGCCAAUCUUGAGAGAGAGAUGGGUUGGCGUGAAUCGGAAGAAAACUACAUUGAAUGGACAAGAAGUAUGCCCUCAACUUUUUCAUGGUAUGUCUUACUUAUUGUUCUUGUGAUUUUUCCAUCAGUUUCACUUUACAUUUCUUCUUUGCUUUUUCAUGGCAUCGGGAUGCCCACUGGCGACGGUGCUGCGUUGCUACCAAAGGGGCACCCUGCCGCGGCCGGGGACUCGCUGCCGUCGAAGUACGACACCUUGCCGUCACGUAUGUUGGGUGUUGUGGUGCUGCAGGUCCUUGGGGUUGGGUGCGGCAACUCGAGACUCGAAGACGAUCUUCUGUGGUAGGGCGUCGCCGGCGGCGGCGGCACCUGUAUAGACCGUCUCGGUGUGACAGAAGAGUUCGGAGUUCACUCCGAGAAAGAAUUGCUUUGCAUGUACAUUUGCUGAAAGACUGAUGUGCUGAACUUUCGAUGAUUUCGAUUGGUCUCUAACAUAACCUUUCCUCUUUUUGUUGAUAUGUCCAAAAGAGAUCCUUAUUUCACCUUUUGUUUAUAGGUAUUCAACUUGAGGAAUUUCAUACUUUUGGAGUGGAGCUAUCAAAUAUAUGUGUGCUCGAUGUUGGUGUUUUAGUCCGGAUCCCUCGCUGAAGGUGCUCGAUGUUGGUGUCUGAAUACUGCUACCGUACUUCAAGGUCUGUAGCAGCUCUUACAAUGGAUUCUUUUUAAUGAUAGUACAAUCUAUUUUUGUUUCGAUUUGGUAUUGUUGUUCUGUUCACUUAACCCAGUCUGUAGCAGCAGCUUUUCAUGUCGUUUCCUCGCCAACAAAUGUCAUAAUUUAUCACAUACGUGUGCAAAUGGUUUUUUGGCUAUAGUAUGAGUAUAUGGUUCAGAGAAGUUCGGUCAGAUGCAAAGCAUGCUUAGCAUCUCAUAGUCGUAGGCUAUUCCUUUUAAAAUUGAAGCCAUCCAGGUUUUCAAUUAUGGAGAUGAUUUGGAAACUCAGCAUAGAAAAUUAUUUACUCUAAUGCAGAUUACACAUAUUAAGGCCUUUAUUCUUUUAUAUUAAGGUCUCCAGUGCAAGCAUUAGCCCAUCUUUAGCUGCUCAUAAGCAGUAUCAGUGAUAUAUAUAUAUAUAAGUACACUCUUGCUAAGAUUAAUCUUUGAUAUAUAAAAUCAUUGCCUGGAUAUAGUUUGCUUUGAAUAUUUUUUUGCUCUUUAGUCUAUGAAGAAUUGCAAGGAGGAGGAUAAUAGAGCAGCAACCAGAGCUGACAAUUGGCCUGUAAAUGCAGCAAAGUUCUCCUAGAGGUGUGAUGUUGGUGGUGAUUUUCUUAUAUUGGGAUAUGGAUGUGGCGGGUCUAUGGGCACCAUGCUGACGCGGAGAAGGAGGUGCAGGUAGCGGGGCGCUUGAGGUGAGGUGGCUGCAGGGUCGCUCGAGAAGAACAUGCUCAUCAGCACCACCUGGAUGCCUUCGUCAUCAGCAAUGUGGACAAGGUGCAAAAGGGAUAUCUCUCUUACCUCUUAUUCAGUCUGGAAAAUUAUGCAAUGUUUGGUUUGGCAGAUUUAACAGUCGCUGGUUUGGAAAUUUGUUACCUAUAGAAGUAUAGGAAUAACAUGACUAAUAUUUAUUGAAUUUAUAGAGUUAUUGUUUUUUUCUACAAAGUCAGUUGUUACAUUAGGAAGAACAUCGUCUAAAAUCUUGACGACAUAAAGGAGCAUAGAGUUAAUAGAUUAUGAAAUCCUGUAGUGCAUCAGAUGCACCCUUCACUAAUUUUUGAACACAUUUAUAUUAUCCAGGUUCCGACCUCAUUCCCUGUGAUGUUUGUCUUUUUUAUGUGGGCGAGGAAAACAUUUUUAGGAGUGAUACUCCCAAACGUUGAUUUCUUGGUUGUCGAAUCAUGGUGCUGAUUAGAUUUUACUUAACCUUAAUUAAUCUAUUUAUAUUGCGGCUUUGUCUUUUAGCUCAUCUUUUAGUUUCUCUUCUCCACUUCACACAAGAUUUUAUUGUAGGCUACCAAGUACAGUUAUACCACUUAUACUCUUUCUAUCUGAUUAUGCAAAGCUUGAUCUAUACUCAUUGAACUUUGUUAGAUAGUAGGCCCUCCUAUUAGUGUGCCUAAAUAUAAUUGUUUCUCUGUGUUUAUAGUAUCUUAGUCCAGUAGGAUGAAUGUUCUCGAGUAAUUAGAGGUAUUUGGAUCAAGUGAAUGUCUGAAUACCACUAAAAUCGAAAUCAUAAUUAAAAAAUACUGACCUUUUUCUUCAGGGCGUCUGUUCCUCCUCCCAUGGUCAGCACCACCACCUACUCUGAAUCUCCGAUCAGAAUAGUAUGAACUAUUAAAUAGGGAACUUAAUGCUUAUCAUUGUUGAUGUAUAUAUGUACAACUAACAAUGUUUGUGCUGCAACCAGCUUACUUUAUUCCUUGCUGAAAUUUAUCUUGAUUUAUUUCACAUCAGAUAGUUCUGAACCUAGAUGAUCUCAAUUAAGGUUAUUGAAAUUUGUUAAAUUAUUUUUAUCCACUCUUCUGAAUGAGCGUAUACUAUGAUCUGAUUUGUAUAUCAUAUUACUGAGGCAGCGCUGGGCCAUGCUGUGGUGAGAACAUACGAGAGAUAAUUGGGGUGUGUGGCUGAUUGCUUCAUAUGCUGCUAAUGAUAUAUGUAGACUGCUGAUUGCUCCUGAUAUAUAGUGUCGAUUGCAGCUGAUAGUAGGAUUGUACUCAACUUGAUAGGUAAAGUGGGAUGGCGGGAUUGUAUAGUGCUCAUAAGCCAGUCCGGGCAUUGUCCUUCCUCGAAUGAAUCUGAGACUACUCCUCAUAUGUUAAUCAGUUGCUCCUCCCUAGCUUUGGUUUGGUCUGAACUUCAAAGUUUUCAUCCACCCAAUGUUGAUUCAGUCAAAGAUCUCUUGGAAAAAUUAUUUCGACAAGAUUCACUCUAUAAUGUUGUUAUCAUUGUCCUCUGGAAUAUAUGGAAGCGCAAAAACUCCAAGGUCUCCCGGGAUGUUUUUGAGGAAUUGCACAUUACUGCUAGCAAGAUUGCUGAUGAUUGAUACCAUGGUCCAACAGGUAUUCACAUGAAAUUAAUAAAUGGCACCUUACGGAUUGGAGUACUCUACUGUAUCACUAUCUGGGAGAUUUUAAUUUUUUCCUUCCAUUAUUUAUCUUAAUCCCUGUGUACUCAUUGGACUUUGUAUAGUUCUCAGUUUUAUGAAGUGGUUCAGGCUGGCGUAAGCCGCCAUAGUCCCAGUAAAAAAAGGCUACAAGCUUCGCUUCGGCCUUACGGAACUGAAUAUUAUGUAGUUUUAUUGAGAUUAUUGAUAGUGCUUCUCUACUAUCAAAGAAGAUAAUAGUCUCUUAUGUGUUUCUUUUUGUCCAUUUGAAUGCACUCCAUUUUUUAGUGUAUUAAUUAACAUCAAACCUCCCAUUCUUUCUAGAGUGCUGAUGUAUUAUUAUUUUCAGCUUAACACAUUUAACUUCCUAUAGAUUUCAUGGUUUAUGCAGAUUAACCGAGCUAAGAAUUUUUGUGAAGCUAAAGCUGGUGUUAAGAUGAACGCCGCUAUGUAUAUAUUUGAAACAGUUAGAUACAUGCUUGACAGACUAUAUAGGGGUGAUCAAAACCAUGCAAAGCAUUAUGGGACAAGUUUCUCUACCUUAAAUAAGUGUUCGUUCUCUCGUGUUUACCAUUCGUUUAAGGGUCAUCAACCCGUGUAUUUAUUUUCAUUGACCAAGUUUUACAUUUUUCUUCUGUAGUGUUCAUUGUGCAGUUCUAGAUUGUUAAGAGAGUAGAGUUUAUUGAUUUAUUACAUGGAGAGACCAGUAGUGUCGUAGUGGUCUUGACAUAAUUGCUAACAUUUUCUACUAGACAAAGUUUAAUUGCACUAAAUACAAAUUAGAACAUGCAUAGACAUUUAUCUUCUUUCUACAGAAUGGUUAGUGUAAACGUACUUUGAGUUGUACAUGAUUCUGUAUCUGACCAUUUUAUCUCAUAUGUUGAUGUGGUUGCAGAUAUGAACUUCAAAUUAUCCUGCAAUGUAUUGACUGCUCGGAGCUAACUUGACUACGCCAGUUUUCUUUUAUGGCUCAAAGUAGUUAGUGUCCCCCCUUAUUAUGAGAGAGGUACUACUUCAAACAUCUCUUCUUAAUGUUUUAUGUCAUGGCAUACAAUAUGAGGGAGUGUUAGUUGGCUUGACUUUCGUGGCACUCAUUGAUAACCUUUCAGUUUAGGAGUUUUUGUGGCCUCUUAAUCCAUGAGAGUAUGCUCAUGUUGAAGAAGUUAGUCAUAAUGAGGGGCACCAUAAAUGUUUGUUAUCUGGCACAAAUUCCUAAUGAAUAUCACAUGUUAAUCAAAUUUCAUUGUACUAUUCAUACAGUAAAAUAUGAGUGCCAUGUCAGAAUAUGGUUCUCGAUCUGAAAGAUCAUAUUCGAAAUUGCAGGUUCUAUGGCAGUGGAGUAAUGUUCGUAAAUUAUAUAUUGCUUUCAAGUUUGGAGCUGGAAUAAUAUAUGUGCUGCAUUUAGUUAUAGUCUUAUAGAUAUACAUGAACAUCCAUUGUAUAUUUCUUGCAAGACAUGAUAACUACUAUUAUUUUGAUUGUUUCCGUGAACUAUUUUGACCUUGAUUAAGAAGUAAAAAGUUUUUAGCCUCGUAGGUUGUUUGAUCUACUAUAUCAAGUGGCACUUGGCUUCUCAUGGCUCUCCUCGCAUUUGACAAACAAAGUUAGUACACACUACCUAGAGCUCUGGAAAUUAGAACUGAAAAAUGGUCCUGCGGUUUAUUAGCUGAUAUAAAUCAUGCACAAUCCUCUACAUUUAAAAAUAACCGGACACAAAGCAGUAUACUUUUUUCCGAGUACUACCUUGAGAGAGCCAAGGGGUUCUGCAUUUUAUAAAGAAGAAGAAAGUUGCCUGGUUCAAUACAUGCUUAUCUAAGAAAUAUAUCUUAUCUAUUUAGUGGAAACCAGGCAAAAACCUACAGAUACAAAAGGCAUAAAGUCCCCCACCGGUUGUGACCGAACUACUGUUUUUGGAAAUAUCACAUGAGCUAGAUUACUAACAUUGAUGUAAUGCUUGUAUGGCAACCUAUUCCUUUAUUGGUUUAAUUACAGAGUUUUGUUAUUAUGUGAACGGAGUAAUGGAGAGCUAAGAAAAAACAAGGUAACAGUUAGUGUUACUCUUGCGAGGUAGUUUCAAUCAUAUCAUUGUUUGCUUUCCCUUUUCUCCUGCCUAGGUAUGUACAAUUAUUCCAACCCAGGUUUCUUUCAAGAAGGAUAUGGGUAUGUGUUUGAGGAAUGUCUACAUGACAAAACACACCUUCAAGUUUGGUGAUUGUUAUGCUAUCAAACUUACAAUGGGGGUCUUAAUUUGUAUUUUUAAUAGAGCACUGGGUUCAUUGGUGAGACUUGUGAGGAUGUGCCUAGGCUAAAGAUGGCUGCUAUGUCGGUACCAAGUGGCAUGUGUUUAAAUGGAGUAUUCUUGUCAGGAGAGCUGAUUUCUGAAAUACGGUACUUUAUGGGUGCAAGGAUUCACCAUGUUGCGGUCUUCGUCAGCGGAGUGGACUCCUAGGAAUUAGUCAAGGCCGCUAUGUUGUUUUAAGCUGAUAUUCUAUCGUACUUGUAUAUUUUUUUGCUUAUCUAGCUGUUUGCCAUGCAGUUCUCGUUGUUGGUGGGAACAUUUGUUGUCUAAGAUCGACCUCAAAUAUCUGGUGGCACUAUAGCAUGGCUUUUGAUAUUCUAAUGUAUAUCUCUUACAAAAUAUUUCAAGAGCCCGUGGCAACGCACGGGCAUUAUACUAGUGUAAGUAAGGAUGGAGAUGAAGAUGGUGUGGCGACAAGGAUAUAACAAAACGCCUGGUUCCUUCAGCCAAAAGUUGGCGACGUUCCUUGUUACACACGCUCCGCCCAACAAACGCUCCAAAAGCCAGAAUACAAUUCCUCAAACAAUGGCCAAAGACUACUUCCCCACAUGGAAAAGAAAUACGCACAUGGCCUUACAAUGUUAGCUACUCAUGUCUGAGUUCCUAAACCCUUGCAAAACAGAAAGAAAGGUUGUUUGCUAAACAAAAGAAAGGCCAACACAAUCCUAUCCAAACACUCCACAUUUUUACUCUGUGUCAAAAAUAUGCAACUUUUUUUUGGUUUUUAGGUACAUGCCAAUUUUUUAAAAAAAAACACAAUUUUUUUAUGUUCACACGCCAAGGUAUUUUGUACACAUGGCAAAAUUUUCCGAAGAAGAAAAAUCUCACGACCCCAUGGAUAAUUCAUAACUUUUUGUCUUUCAAACAGGGCAAUUUUAAGUCAUUUUGUAAUGCUAUUGUGGCAAACGAUUGGAUUUUUAAUCAAUUUUCAUGGCGAAUUUAGGAUUCUUUUCCCUACUUUUCCACAUGGCAAUUUUAUUAUAAUUAAAUGGAGAUCUUAUUAUUCAAAACAUGGCAGCUUUACUAUUAAGAGCAUGGCAAUUUAAGUAUGAUAGAAUCUCCUCCCCUGCUCGGUCUACCCCACAUGCAUGGCGUAUAACAUCCUCUAGCCCCAACUGCCGCCAAACCUCUCUAGCCUUAUGGCAUCGAAAUAGUACAUGAAACACAUCUUCUGCUCCUUGUUUACAUGCAGGACACGUCGACCGGAUUGGGAUGUGUCUAUUAGCAAGAACCACAUUGCAUGGUAGUGUUCCGUGUAAGGUUCUCCAAACAAAUUUUUUAACUUUCGCCGGACAAUUUAGUUUCCAAACCUUUUCCCAUGUUGGGUUAGCACUAGUGGCUCCCAAACCAUCUGUCCUCUGCAAUUUACGGCCAUGCUGAAAGUACCAUAGAGCAUGGUAGGCCGAUUUCACUGUAAAAAUUCCAUGUUUAUUCAAACUCCAUGCUACAAAGUCACUCAUAUCAUGUGUAGGUAGUGGUAAAGCAAGGACCCGUUCCACAUCAACCGGCCAGAAGGUUUGCUCCACAAGUGGCACAUCCCAGUGACCUGUAGCUGAAUCAAUUAAAUCACUCACCUUUGAUAGUAACUGGUUACCUCUUGGGGCAAUAAUCAUUCUGGAUGGUGAGUUAGGAAUCCACACAUCCCUCCAAAUAUUUAUUUUUUCACCAUCCCCAACUCUCCAAAUGUAUCCAUGUUUCAGGGUAUUCACCCCUUGCAUAAUGCUCUGCCAAGUGUAGGAGGAAUUCUUUUUUAGCUUAAUUAAUUUACCAGCACAAGAAGCGGCCGUGCUGGGAGUGAAAAACUUCCAUGACUUGAUGUUCACUUGCUGCUGGUACCUUUGGUGGGAGAGGAGAAAGCUUGUGCACAAUGAGCCGGUACAAGAUGCGAAGAGAGUUGCACAAGCGGUAUGUGCUUUAGCUGCUAACUAUGCUAUUGCAUGUGAUCCAAAGGCCUCGUUAAAGAGGGGAGGUUGGUGCAAACCCCCUAGUGGAUAUGUCAAGUUAAAUGUUGAUGCGGCCUUUGAUUGGGAUUUGCUUCAGGGGGCGAUGGGAGCAGUCAUCCGAGAUGAUAGAGGACAUAUGGUUGUAGCUGGAAACAAGCUCAUUGAUUCCUGUUAUGAUGUACUAACUGUUGAGGCAAUGGCUCUGAAGUUUGGGUUGAAUAUGGCGCUCACAGCUGAGUGCAAUAGACUGAUUGUCAACUCGGAUAAUCUGGAACUCAUGGAAAUAAUGAAUAAGGAUGGCCAAUAUGCUGGAGAUGUCGCGGCCAUUGUCGAUGAUUGUUAUCAUCUGGCUUGCGAAUUUAGCUCUAUUGUCUUCGAAUUUUGCCCCAGAGGGUCGAAUGGGGUUUCACAUGAACUAGCUAGGAUUGCUAGAAGUUCGCUUUGUAAUGAGUGGUUAGAUAAUGCUCCUUCUGAGCUUCUUCCCCUACUACUUAAAGAUGUAAGUCUGAUCACGAAUGAAUAAAGAGGAAGUAAAGUUGUCAAAAAAAAAGAGCAUGGCAAUUUUAUUUUUAAUGGCAUGUCAUUCUUACCUUUUUUUUUUGAGAAAAGCAUGUCAUCUUUAGUAUGUCCUUCUCGCCUGCUAUAUGAAGUAGGCGGACCCUAGAUGGGCUUUCCCAAUAUGGGUUCCUGGGACCGGGUUCCUGCAGAGUUUCUUUUCCUUUUCGUCUUGUGUGUUUCCUGGGCCAAUUUUCAUAUUUUUGUUUGUUUUCUGUCUUAUGUGUUUCUUUAUGGAUUUUAUUUCUUUCUCAAUACAUGUACAUUUUUCUAAAUACACACUGUAAAAAUUUGCACAUCUUGAACAUUUUUUAUUAAUUGGCAUAAACCUAGUUUUGGAGUGUGUGAGCAUUUUUUAAUUGUCAUGUACAUUUUUCUGAAAGGCAGUAUUUAUUUUGUUGAAUUACGUGAGCAUUCUUUACACAUCUUGAACAUUUGUCCAUAUUUUUUUGAAACACAUGAACAUAUUUUUGAAUGCUAUAAAAAAAUUUAUAUCAUGCUGGGUAUGUAUUAGUUUAAACUAAGUUAGUGACAAUUAAUAUGGAUCAUAGAGAGUACAAUUUUGUACAUGAUGUUUAUACUUUUAUAUUUCACUUCCAACAUUUUUUAUUUAUUAAACUCUAUUGUGUUUUUGGAAUAAGUGUAUUUAGAACAUAUUUUUUAAAAUGUAAAUAAAAUGGAGCGAAUGAAGAAGCAGAGAAGAAAAACGAAGGCCGGCCAAAUGUAUGGCGUUCCCUGCCUCAUACCUGCAAAUCAAGCUAAGUAGCGGGUGAUAAUUUUUUACACAAUGUUUAUAGUUUUCUAUUUCACUUUGAACAUUUCAAAAUUUUAAGGAAAUUAUUAUUUUUAAAUAAAUGUUUUUAGUUUUUUUAAUAAAAAGGUGAAAAAAAGGAAAUUGAGCGAAUGAAGAAGCAGAGAAAAAAACGCCCUUUCUUUCAUCAACUGAACUGCGUGCGUGCAUGGAAGGGCUAUCAUCUGCACUUAAGAGGAGUGACUUACCUAUCAUUGUGGAGAUGGACUCUAUUCUUGCAGUCAAACUGAUCCAAUCGAGGGAUUUGGACAAAUCUAUUUAUGCUUGGGUAGUUAAGGUGAUCAAGUAUGUUUUGGGGAUUCGUGGUUCUUGUAUUACUCAUGUUAAUCGCUCUCAAAAUAAAGUUAGCGACUUCUUAGCUAGAUUUGUUAAAUUAGAAGGACAAACCAUGACUUGGGUUGGUUCUGGUCCAGAUGUUGCUGUUGAGCUAGCUGUUGCUCAACGUAUGGACACCAUGAGUUGAGUAAUGCAAAAAAAAAGUUUGCGCAGAAUUAUUUUCGAUUUUUUUGAAAAUUUUAAAUAUGGUUUUUGUUUUUUUUCUUUACAAAAAAAAUACCACACAAAUUUGGCAUUCGUUCCCUGCCUCAUAUCUCUACUCCUAAUGGACGACUUGGUGAAUAGUCUCCAUGGUUUAUUUUCGCUGAUUUUUUUUCGUCAUCCUCCCACCUCACGGUUUCAAAAAAACAACCAAAACCAGAGGCCCGUCCCACGAAACGAAACCCAAUUUGCCCCCGUACCACCACUCCUCCCUCUCCCUCGACCUCCCUUGUCUAGGGUUCCCCGCCACCACUGCGGCAGCCUCCGCCGAAUCCUAGGUCGCCGCACACCGUCGCCGCUGCCGCGAAUCCCCAGGGACACCGCACGCCACCGCCGUCGCGAAUCACCAGAGACGCCGCACGCCGCCGCCGCGGAUCCCCAGGGAUGCCACCGCCACCGCCGCGGAUCCCCAAGGGCGUGGUCGCGUUGUACUAGACAAAGUGUGGUCGCCGCCGUCUUCUCCUCGUCCGACCUUGACCUCAUCCCUUCGACUCCGGUGACUCCUCUGUGGCUCGGUGGACACCAACUGUCGUGGAAUUUUCACGGCAGAUGUUGUAGUGUGAGGACUUAGUCGUGAGGCCAACACAUCUACGCGGUAGCUUGAAGGGGUUGGUCGGAAUCGAGAGACGCGAGGUGGAUCAACACACAAGACAAGGAUUUAGACAGCUUCGGGCCCCGGGAAACAUCAUCCGUUAAUAGCUACAUGUUGUUUGUGGCUAGCUCUCAUUAUGCUCGCGAGGGAGUCACCGUAAACCGGCUCUCCUAGUUAUGUCUAGCCCUAGAGAUUGUUUCUUGUUGCUUGUCCCUCUUUGGGGAGCCUUGUCCCUCCUUAUAUAAGUUAGAGGGGCGGGUUACAUGUGUAGUCCUAUUAGGAUUAGGACUAGUCUACCUUCUAAUACAAACCGGAUACAAGUCCAGGUCUUAACUCCUUGUAAGACAAAUAUUUCUCACGCCUUUCCUCUUAAACCUGCCCACCAUAACAUGAGCCGGCCUUCUGGGCCUUGGGCCUUGUCAUCCGUUUGCCCCGCCCGCCGGGUUACCAGUGAAUCAUAAUGUUCAGUCAGGUUGCUUGUAAACCGUCUGGUCAGUGCGGGUCGCCGGUGAAUCGCCAAGUCCGGCCAGGUUACGCCGCGGGGUAUAUCCCCGACAUCUCCCGUGAUAUCUGAUGAUAUAUUUACAAGUAAUGCGCAUGGAUGGUUCGUCCGUGAUUUUAGGGUGGGUUAGUCGGUUGGAAGAUUUGUUAGUUAGCCUAUUUAAAGGUAGCAUGACGCUCUGGUGCUAUUGUUAGGGUUUGCUAACCCAGCGGAGGAGUCCCUAGUUCUUCUCUUACCCAAAGGAUUACGACCACCGUCUGUCAUUGCCACAGUCGCCUGACACCAAAUCAACCAUGUCAUCGUCGAGCUCGAUUAGGUGCGCGCUGAGGGGCCGAUCAGUUGAUGUGCCCCUGAUCCCUUGCCCUGACUGUGGCGAAACGGUUAGAUUCUAUCUCUCUAGUACCGAAGAGCAUGAUGGUUGGGUGUUCUACAAGUGCAAACACCACGAUGUACAAUCCCUUUACACUUUGGGUUGACAUUUACUGCAUGAGUAAUGUUUUCUACUGUUUCGUUAGUGCUGGUUUGAUUUGUGUUCACUUGGUUCAUAGGAUCCAUGUGAUUUCUGGCGCUGGGAACUAGAGUACGUGGAUCAUCUUGUUGGUACAAGUGUCCUUGUUGGUGGUUAUGCCCUUGAUGCAAUGGCUGCGACACAGGAUAGAAGGGAACAGCUACAUCGCGCAAAAAAACAGUGGGAAAAGACUGCAUGUACCAAGAGUGGCAACAUUGGAGGCAGGACAAAUUACAGUCAGAGCAAUGUGGCAACCAUUACGAAGCACCAAGCUUAUACGAUGUUAGGACUAGGGAGACAAAUUGUUUUCAUGCCGAAGCUGUUGACGGCUAGUGUAAUGGUGUUGUGUGUGUGGUGUGUGAUGUUGAUUGUGAAGAAAUAAUAUAUUUGUGAUCGUAUCAAGGCGAUUAUCAUGGUUACAUGUAAUAACAGCUUAAUAAGAAGAUGUGUUCUAACAUGAUAACUCUUAUAUGCCCCCCAACCCUAUUUUAACAUGACAGGUAAGAGUAAGAAAUAAAUCUUACACGAUGAUUCCAUGAAAUAGUUGUUUUGAUUAUUUCUUACCUUCUUGACUAUUAUGAGAAAAUAAGAGGUAAGACGGAGCAUGUUAAAAUUGCUAAAAAAUAAUGAAUAAACCGAGUUGCAAUGAAGGCAAACGAAUGGAAAAAUGUAAACGACCAUUUAAAUUCUUGCCCACUAUGUUGUGCACGAACACAAGAGUACCAUGAAAUAAAAAUAAAGUACGUCAUUACACCAAUGACUUAAAAAUCCCUUAAUUUAUUUUCGCACACUACGUUUUGCCAAAACUACUCUAGAGGCACAUCAGGAACAUGGCAAACAAAUAGAUAAAUCCCAUGAUCUCCUAGGUACAGCAACAUCAGCACCUUCUGUCCUAACAGCAAGAGGUUUUCCUUCUUCAUGAACUCGUUCCAUUUGUUGACGCAUACAUGACCAUCAAUAUCAGAAAUGGUGUAUGUACUUGACACAACACUGUGUGGAUGAUAAACAAUGGUUAUGGCACCAUAUUCCUCCAUUUCUUCAGGGAAAACACGAUUAGGCAGUUUCUGUUUGAAAACAAUAUUUGUUACAUCAACACGUGGCAACUUAAUGUUAUGUAGUAAAGGAAGAACAAUUAAUUUGGAACAAAACUAAAAACAUAUUGAAAUGACACAAAGUGAAUGAAGUACCGAAAGAUGGUUACCGAGAAGUUCUUGUUGCAAUUUGACCAUGUCAACGUAUGGAGGAAUGCAUAUGCUCUCCCUGAUCAUAGUUUCCAGCAUCAUGACACUCCACUAACUUUUAAGGUCCAUCACUUGGCGUAUGACAUACUCCAUUAUUCUCCAGUUUAAGCUUGUCCCCUCAGUUACAACGACAUUGUCAAUAAUAUCUCUUUUCUCAUUGGACAAUUGGUAGUAUGCUACAAUAUUAUAGCAUAGACAAUUUAAUUUAUUAUAUAUGGAUAUGAUAAAGUUAGAGUAAUAAAACUUGCAGGAGCAAAAAAGUAUCUUACUCAGAUGUAUGAUAGGCAAAUUCCUAGUUGUCAAUACGCUACUUGGUACUUCUGAAUUGUCAGUACUGAACGUAAUCUCCUGACCCACAUGUAGCGUGUAAACUCUAACAAAUUCCUUCCAAUACUUCCCUGAAAUGUAUGUCAACUCAUUGUCAUUGGUAAUCACACAUGGGAAUUCAAACCCCUCAUUGGUACUGAAACUUGCUUCAAAGUUCCCAUAUUUUCCCAAGGACACGCCAAAUUUCUGUGUGAAACUGUAUCUGUCGUAGCAGGGAUUACCUGAGUAGCAUAUCUACGAUUGUUAAUAUAUAUGAACUGCCUGUUAAUCUAAAGAAUUUGUCCAAUCUUAGAUGACUAGCAUAGUAUAGUUCACUACUUCUUAGCAGUAUUAUCAUAUAACCCCAUAGAAGAUUUAAAUUAACAUGCACGUACACAAAACCAUUUUAUCAUCUAAGAAAUCAAGAUGCAAUAUAACUCUUUUUGCAGUAAACAUUACGAACAACUGACUGAGUACAAAGGGUCCGAGUACAAUAUUCGUUCAAUAUUACUGCCUCCGUCCAAAAAUUUGUGGACAAAAUUUUGUACAUACGGAUGUAUCUAUGCAGAAAACAUGACGAGAUAGGUGCGUAUCUACAUGGAUCUAACACAUUAAUUUUGGAUCGGAUGGAGUACUAAAUUUCUCAUGAUAUUUGCUACGGGUCAUGUCAGACUGGAUCUUACUGUCUUGUUUGCAAAUCCCUCGCGCACGGUGACGGUACAAAACUCCCUCAUACAAUGCUCACCGGGGCACAAACCCUUGGUGUCCAAACAAAUGCCACACUCCAAAUCGAGAUCAAUCUCAUUACUAGUACGUACAGUCUUAAAGAUUAGUGCUAGCAGUUGAAUUUAGAUCUGACAGAUUCUAUAGUGCAAAUACGUACCGCGCUGAUCUCCUUAACCAUUUUCACGAAGGUUCUCGACGGCGGCAGUGCGUGUACCGCAUCGACUCCAUGGAUGGAAUCCAGUUUGAACCAAUGUUCGCACUUGCUAUGGUGUCAAUUAGGUCCACCCUUAGGCAAAGAAGCUUGAAGGCAUCAUAUGCUACCACUUUCGAUGGUUGUCUAGGGGGGUAGACCGUCUGGGAGGAAAUGAAAAAAUCAUGAAAAUCAUGUGUAACCUUGAACGCACUGUGCAUGCAUGCUUGAUUUGGUUCAUGGGAUGGCAUCAAAAUAACUCAGAAUCCUAUGUACAUGGUGUAUUGAAGGAGAUGGCCCGAGACGGGCCCUUCCGGGCUAUCCUUGUACCCUCCGAAAGCACGUGUUGGUUUAUUGACCUAUAUUAAAUGACCGUCAAGUUUGUAGGGUUACAAUCCAUGUCCAUGUUAGGGAUACAUAUGCCAAGUUUGAACCAUUUUCAUCUAAGUUUGCAAGUUUUUUCAUGUGUAAAUCUUAGUCUAAACUGAGAAGCAUCACUACAAGAAAUAUGCUAUCUUGUGACCUCCACUAUUGGUCACUGAAAGGUCAUAGUUUUUCAUUUGCGACCUUUUUGUGACCAAAAACAGAAGGUCAAAAGCUGAGGGUCGUAAACUGACUAUAGCGACCUUCUCACAACGACCUUCUCUGUGAGAAGGUCGUGGACGUUUAUGACCAAAAUAUUCCUACUGUGGUGUUUUGGUCACUAGCAGCCUCCCCAGUCCACGUAGGCAUCCAGCGUGGCAAGCUGAUGUGGCACCAGAUUCAGCCCGGUCCAAUUCGGUUUUCUACAUGGACCUAGCCCAUUAAUUCAGCCCAUUUAGUAUAUUUAUUUUUGUUAAUUUUGUUCAGCUACAUGGGCCAAGCCCAACUAGUCAGCCCAUAAAUUUUUAUGCACGUUUGGCCUUUCAAGAAUAUAUAUACAAUUUUGUGCAGCCCAUUUCUGGUUUACAUUCAGCCUUUUUAUACAUUCAAAUAAUAAUUCAAUCCUGAUGUUGGUCCAAUACUCUUUUCAGCCCAUUCACAUAUUCGUACAAAUGAUCCUCAUUUUCGACAAAAUUUGCAAAUAAUUUCAUAUUUCAGCACUAAAUAUGUUUACAUCACAGGCCAUAAAGCCGUACAAACUAGUAUCACUUGUUCCUAUACAAAACUAUCAAAUGAUACAUACAACAAAACAGAAUACAGAAAAUUUAGUUCAACAAAAAUAUGUUUUCUUCCUCUUCCAUCUUCCAGGACAUAAAACACCUGUGAAAGUAAAUAUGCCACAACAAAAAUGGAAGGAUCAGCCAUUAGAAGCAUAUUGAGUACAAGGGAAACACGCACUGUGAAAAUUUUGACAGCACGAAUAUUUUUUAUAUUACAAUAACAAACAGAAAUGUAAUCUGAUUGCAUAAGACAUAUGGCAUUAUCAACAAGACAAAGCAAAAUUUAUAGUGCCAACUCGGGAAUAAGAUAAAGCAAAAUUUAUAAAUCUAUAGCAUCGCACACGAGGUCUAAAUUUAUACUAUGUUCCUUUAGAAGCAAGAGUUGGUUAGUGUCUAGCUUUUAUUGCAGAUAACUAGUAAAUUUCCACAAAAAAUAGGAGCGACAUAUGUUUUAAUCUCGUGUUUGCAGUAUAUAUUCACAGCAUGUAAGAAUACUUUGAUUAACAAACUAACCAACCAUCAACUAACACUUCACAGUACCAACUAACACUUCACAGUACCAAAAAGAUGGGGUGGCGCUCACCAAUUCAGAUGUGCAGCAGCCAUGAGGGCUUCUUUGUGUUCCACCUAUAGCAGCGGCAACUUCUACAAAUCUGAGACACAAAACAAACGCAUGCAGAAGGAAUCAGAGGGAGGGGAGAUGAAGAACAUGGCAGGCAUUUAUAUGAUCGCAGUACAUAUGGAACAAACAGCAGUCCAUACUUGCAUCAUCAUGUGUAUAACAAAAUCACGGUCGCCUCUACAGAUAGCACUACUAGAGUAGAGAGCCAAGCAUAAUAAUUCUACCAGGAGACAAUGUAAACACAGAGUCACACCAUUGACAGAUUAAGCCUUACAACAUGUUUGGUGGCUCAGUGGGCGAUGUAUGCAUGCACAAAAAGGGGGGCAAUUUUUCAAUCAAACUGAAGAAAAACACACAUCAUUUAGUAACCAGUACAAAUCCCGGUAGCUGUAGGUGCAUGCAUUGUGUAACAAUGAGUAAUCAAUAGCAUUUCAGAGUUGUGCAGUUACUAGUGUGUCGUCCUCUGUUUACCACACCACACAUGGGCAUGAGAAAAUUGCUAAAAACCACUGAUCGUGUGCUAAUCUACUUGGAAAAUUAUAUGUUUGAAAAAGAGCAGCUUGCAUCCUUUUUAUUAACCUACAAAGCAUAUGCGGUCACAGAAAGCAGUACUAAAGUAGAAAACACAAAGCAGUAGAAUAAACUAUGCACAUGUACUCGGCAGCCCACUCACAUUACCAGCUCCCUUAUAGAAAUAGCAAUCAUUUUAAAAGCAUCAUGACAGAUGUUAGCAACUGAACAUCUAAGGCUAAUCCAGCAGCAAAUGAACAUAGUGAAGAAUUUAUUUGCAAAGAACACAAAAGGCGGAAGAAAAAUUACAUGUUGAAGCAGCCCUGUUACUUGACGUCCUGCAACAGAUAACACUUGAUCAUUAGAACCACUAUAAUCCAAACAGAGAAACAAAAAUGCCAAACUUAAGCAUAACGAAUGCACUGACCCUAUUGCGGCCACAUUUUAACCACUAGUGUUGUGAUAUAGACAAGAUAGUCAGCCGCUUACAUGGUAAAAGGAACAUGGCAGCACUAAGUUACACAGGAAUGUCAAGUAGGAGAUAUGAUCUGAUAGAUCCACAGAAACAACUCAGACCAGAACAGCACUAAGUGUUCACUCACAAAUUGGUACUAGCAUAGAGAUUUUCGUAUGCCUAGAACCUGUGGCAAUACAGGUUGACGUAUAUGCAAGGGUAUAUAUAUACUCGUAUUUGAUAGGACUAACAACACAUGAAUCAAAGAUAAUCACGAUCAGCCGCGUAAUCUACCACAAACCCGUGGUAACAGACACCAUUACACAGCUACACCAACAGCCUACCGAAGCAAAACUCCAAAUCGGAUGAAAAAUUAACUAGGAUGGGAUCUGACACUGGCAUCAACUAACUAGGGAACAGCCUAAACAAACACCGCUGAGAAUGGUGCCGAAACGGAUCAGAUGACGAAAUUGGCUUACCCGGCCUCCGGGUGCUGCUGCUUGAACUCGAGGUGGUGGGAGGCGACGGGGCUGGCGUGGCGGUCGUAGAUGAUGAACCUGGUGCUGGUGGUGCCCUGGUCGAUCGAUGCCACGUACACCUCCUCUUCCUUCCCCUUCCCCGCCAUACUCCUUUCCCUUCCCCUUCCUCCACACGCCCCAGAGCAUGCUCGCCAGAAAAACAAGCGCCGAACCCUCUGCCGGCGGGCAAACAGAGGGGGGCGGCCGGAGCAGCGGACUGAGCCGGUGGAACAAGCGAGGAGGCGGUCGGCGUUGAAGUGGGAGGCAGUGGGACGCAAAUCCUGGUCGUCCUCCUCCUCAUUGUCGAUGUCGUCCAUGGAGGUCACCUGCCAGUUCAAAUCCAACCCAAUAAAGGGGAUCAGACAAGGAAGUAGAGAGAGGAUCUGGGCUGGGGAAGGGGAAGUAGAGACAAGGAAGUCGGCGUCGCGCUCGGCGUACUUGUCGGCCUUGAGGUAGCGCGCGAUGCGCCCGACGGGGAAUUGGAGCCCGGCCUUGGACGGCCGCGACACCGACUUGGUCUCCUUCGCCUUGCCGCGGCCUAGGUAGCGCGCGAUGCGGCCGACGGGGAACUGGAGCCUGGCCUUGGACGAUCGCGACACCGACUUGGUCGCCUUUGCCUUGCCGCGGCCGACGACGCCUCCGGUGGAACUCAUCGCCGAUUCGCCUUUGGGGGAGGUCCGGACGCGGUUGGUGACGACGAAGGAGAAGAUGAUGAAGACGCGGCAGGAGCAGCGCCUCCAGCGCGAUGACCGGCCGCUCCAGGAACCGCUCGCAGUCGGCGGCGGCGGCCCGGUGGCUCAGCCAGAUGCCGCCGCCGAGGACGACGAGAGGGACGAGGGGGAUCUGGAUCGGGGGAGAGGAGGGAGGGAGAGAACGAAAGAAAGAAAGGAGGCGGGGGGUGGAUGGAAGAUGCCAGCUAGGGUUUCGCCUCAGGCGGGGAGGCGAGGAGCGACGGCUACCGUAGGAUCCGGGAGGAUCCAAUGGUGUUUUGUGCAUGAUCCGUGUGCCUUGUCCACGGAGCAAUCAGAACGCAAUACAAUAUUAUGUCCAAUUGAAUUGGUCGUGAUAAAUUUAAAAAUAAGAUGUUAGAUCAUCUUAGCUAUUUACUUGACCUGAUAAAUUGGAAAAAAAUGAAACAAAUGAAAAACCUUCUCAUCAUGUCAUCAAAUGUGACCUAGUUUUUAGAAGAAAAAAAUAACAAAAUAGUAAUAAGGAACUUUUCAUUUUCUUUGCACGAAAAUUCAUUUUUCAUUUUUCGAGUGCUCAAAAUGAGUUUUUUUGUGAAGAACAUACCAAAUAUUUGUUGCAAAAUUGUAUCAAAUCAUUUUUCUAAAAUACUAGACCAUAUUUAAUGUACAAAUAACCAAAUGGUUGGCUGUAAAAACUUUUAAUCCACCUCUCGUGAAAAAGACAAAUUUCCGCCGAUUCAGUUGGAAGCUGGUCAAAUUUGAACUACAGCUGCUUCAUAGUUUGCUAUUUAUUUUUUCCAAAAAUAAUUUCUAGGUACAUAAGUACCUAUUUAAUCAGAGAAACACCAAAAAAAUUUCAAGAUUCAACCACUAGCUAGGAACGGUCAAGCCCGCCGUUUUGACCGCAUUUUGAAACGGACAUAAAAAAUUCAAAAAAAAAUCAAAAAAUUGGUAAACCUUCGCAUUGUGUCAUUAUAUGUGACCAAGUUUCCACGAAAAAUAAUAAACUUGUAAUAUGGAAAUUAUUUUAGAAAAGUGUUCUUAGAAAUGAGCUAUCAUGUGUGAAGAUUCAUGGAUUUCAACCCAAACGCUCAACCUCAUGGCCACAUUCAUGGCAUAGUUUGUUCAAAUGAUCUCAUAUUGUGCACAAGGGUGCAUCUUGGAAUUCCAAGCAAUGUUGCCAAAGGGAGUUUUCAUUUUCUUUGCACGGAAAAUUCAUUUUCCAUUUUCCGAGUGCCCGAAAUGAGGUUUUUUGUGAAGGACCUACCAUAUAUUUGUUGCAAAAUUGUACCAAAUCAUUUUUUAUAAAAUACUAGGCCAUAUUUAAUGCACAAUUGACAAAAUGGUUGGGUGUCAAAAGUUUUGAUCCACCUCUGGUGAAAAAGACAAAUUCCCGUCGAUUCAGUUGGAAGCGGGUCAAAUUUGAACUGCAGCUGCCUCAUAGUUUGCUCUUUAUUUUUUCUAAAAAUCAUUUCUAGGUACAUAAGUACCUAUUUAAUCAGAGAAACACCAAAAAAAUUCCAAGAUUCAACCACUAGCUAGGAACGGUCAAGCCCGCCGUUUUGACCGCAUUUUGAAACGGGCAUAAAAAAUUCAAAAGAAAACAAAAAAAUUGGAAAACCUUCGCAUUGUGUCAUUAUAUGUGACCAAGUUUUCAGGAAAAAUAAUAAACUUGUAAUACGGUAACUAUUUAAAAAAAGUGUUCUCAGUAAUGAGCUAUCAUGCGUGAAGAUUCAUGGCUUUCAAGCCAAAUGAUCAAUCUUAUGGCCACAUUCAUGGCAUAGUUUGUUCAAAUGAUCUCAUAUUGUGCACGAGGGUGCAUCUUAGAAUUCCAAACAAUGUUGCCUAAAGAAGUUUUCAUUUUCUUUGCACGGAAAAUUCAUUUUUCAUUUUCCGAGUGCCCAAAAGGAGGUUUUUUUGUGAAGGAACUACCAAAUAAUUGUUGCACAAUUGGACCAAAUCAUUUUUAUAAAAUACUAGGCCAUAUAUAAUGCACAAUUGACAAAAUGGUUGGGUGAAAAAAGUUUUGAUCUACCUCUGGUGAAAAAGACAAAUUGUUGUCCAUUCAGUUGGAAACGGGUCAAAUUUGAACUGUAGCUGCCUCAUAGUUUGCUCUUUAUUUUUUCCAAAAAUCAUUUAUAGGUACAUAAGUAUCUAUUUAAUCAUAGAAACACCAAAAAAAUUCCAAGAUUCAACCACUAGCUAGGAACGGUCAAGCCCGCCGUUUUGACCGCAUUUUGAAACAGGCAUAAAAAAUUCAAAGAAAAUCAAAAAUUGGAAAACCUUCGCAUUGUGUCAUUAUAUGUGACCAAGUUUCCAGGAAAAAUAAUAAACUUGUAAUACGGUAAUUAUUUUAAAAAAGUGUUCUAAAAAUGAGCUAUCAUGCGUGAAGAUUCACGGCUUUCAAGCCAAAUGAUCAAUCUUAUGGCCACAUUCAUGGCAUAGUUUUUUCAAAUGAUCUCAUAUUGUGCACGAGGGUGCAUCUUGGAAUUCCAAACAAUGUUUCCUAAGGAAGUUUUCAUUUUCUUUGCACGGAAAAUUCAUUUUUCAUUUUCCGAGUGCCCAAAAGGAGGUUUUUUUAUGAAGGAACUACCAAAUAAUUGUUGCAAAAUUGGACCUAAUCAAUUUUAUUAAAUACUAGGCCAUAUAUAAUGCACAAUUGACAAAAUGGUUGGGUGUUAGAAGUUUUGAUCCACCUCUGGUGAAAAAGACAAAUUCCCGCUGAUUCAGCUGGAAGCGGGUCAAAUUUGAACUGCAGGUGCCUCAUAGUUUGCUAUUUAUUUUUUCCAAAAAUCAUUUCUAGGUAAAUAAGUAUCUAUUUAAUCAUAAAUACAUGGUUUGAUGGCGAGACAUCAAGGUUUGGAGGUGGCCGAGGGCCCCAACUCUAGAGUGCAUAAGCUCGCAUGCCCGCCGCGUGGUCACCGCAUGACCGUGGUGUUGCCAUGCGUUCUGGGAGGCCUAGGCAUGUCUAGUGGGUUGUUCACUCCCCAGGUAGAUGCUAGGAAGAAAAUUAUAACAUAAGAUUCUCACGAGGAGACCAAUCGAUGCUCAAACAUGAAUAAGCAGCCAAGUGUUUGAUUUGCGGUACGGGAAAUGCACAUUGCUAAUGGGCAUGAGUUUUGGCUGAGGAUGAUCAGUUACUAAGAAGACCUCUUCACAAAUUUUUAGGGAAAUCAAGAAUAUAUAAAUAACACUUCCUUCACAAAGUGCUGCUCUGAACAGAAUAGGAAAAUGAAUAUUGUUGAGUUAUUUUUGAACUAGGCAAGGAAGGUUUUUGACAUAUUUGAUGAAGAUAUGAUCCAAACAAUUUAUGAGAUUUUUUUGGGAAUUUUUGGAAUGACAGAAAUAUAGGUUGCUUCACAACCUAGGGCAAAAACUGCCACAUGGACAUGACACAUAGGCAAAACUGAUGAGGUGGCGCCUAGUCAUCACAACCAACCACAAUCUACAAGGCUAUGACCAUCUAUUUUGGUCGUUAACAACUAGAAAUAAGCCAGUGGACCAGCCCUGUUUGCCUUGUGACCAUUUGGUGUAAGGAAAUUACGACCUUUCUGACCAAAAUGGUCGCAAUGGUUUAGGGUUUGGAGCCCCCCGAACAGCUUUUGACCAAUUGGUCUCAAAUGGUCAUAGAUCUAUGACCAAUUCUUCCAGGGUCACUGAUAGAAGGUCACUAGUUGACAUAUUUCUUGUAGUGCAUUUCGCAUGGUAGCUUGUUUUGGUCAUGGGAUUCCAUGGGAAAUAGUAGGCAUAAUUUUGUAUUGUAGAUGAUCUACUAAACAUGAGGGUGCCCCCAAACACGUCCUUGCGGCCUUGACAUGCACCCUCCGAAAUCACAUGUUGGUUUGUUGACCUACCUGAAAUCAACCCAACUUUGCAGGGUUGCAAGCCAUGGUAAUUAUUGGGGUACGUACAAAUUUCAACCAUUUUCAGCAAAGUUGCAAGUUUUGUCACGUACGGACAAUUUUCGGGCAUUUUCAGAACAAACAACAUAUUUUAUACCACUUAAAAAAUGCAUUCCUUUCUCGACGACACAUUUGUUUUUUCUUCGGAACAUUACAUUUGUUUUGGCCAAUUACACAUGCUAAUGUUUCAACCUCCCAUAACUCACGCCACCCAGAUCUCCCGAAAUCCCACGAUUACAGCUCCUCCCUCGUAACCACCCGCGGCAUCCAGGUCCCGUACCACCUCCCACGACUGCUGCAAGAUCAGAUUGUAGCCGCCGCCCACCAGGAACUCGCCUGAGGGGUUGGACGACAGUGGUGUUGUCGCCGUCUCCUACGCGCGUCAACGCGCUGCUCCUGUUGCUCCCGUCGAGCACCACACAUCAACAUCUAGUGUGGGACGCACUAUCCGUGUGGAGCAUUGGGCCGCCACCGUCGACGAUAGAAGGUUACGUGAUCAUAGCUCUUUUUGUAAUCUUUCUCGGACACGCACGUCUACUAGUAAAGCCCUAAUAGGUUUCCCACAAGUUAUUCCAGUCAUCAAGAUUACCUAAUCAUAGCUCUCAUUAAUAACUAUCAACACGAUCAAUCUUGGCACACUACACGAAUGUCCGAAGAGGUAAUACCACAACAAGGGUAUAUCUUUCAUGAAAUAACAUGUCGUAUGUUUAUGCAAUCCCAAAACCCUAGUUGAACUGUCCCAAUGUUAUGCAUGACCAAAAUCUAUAGUGUGCUUAAAGUUACAUGUAGUUCAUAUUAUUUAAUAAACUCAUCCGUGCCUGCGUAUAAGAUUCUAUUUUUGUUACACAUUUCUCAAUGUGAAGGUCAAAUAAAUUGAACCGGUUUUGCUUCUGUUCCAUAGGUGCAGUAAAAUGGAAACUACUGUUAAAAGUGCUACUAAUGGAGAAAAAUACGUCUCCGAAAUGACCGAUGAGGUACAUUGUUGACAUUUCGUUUGAAAACUGUACUUGCAUACACUUCUUUCAUACUCGAUAAAAUCUAUUGCCACUUUUGCAGGCAAUCUUGAGGAAGCACGGCCAUACGAAGUUAGUGUGCUCACUGUCAAGGCUCGCCAAAGUCAUGAAAUUGUUAUCACCAGAACACAUAGAGAAAAUCAUAAGCGAUACCGGUCUUGGGUGUCUAAACAUGAUUCGUGAAUUUAAACUCCGGCGCAUUAUGUUGGUAAGACUAACAAAGAGCUUCAAUAGUGAGACAUCGUUCAUUACCAUAGGUAAAACACCCAUUCCUAUCACCGCAAAAGAUGUGCACCAUAUAUUUGGCCUUGCGAUAGAAGGGGAGGAUAUUGAUGAAAAGCUGCAAAGCACGCCGGAUCCAAAUUUGUUUUAACACAUUUCAAAACAAUGGGAGCAUUGAUCUGGCUGACCUUGAGACAACGAUCUUAAGUUCCAAAACUCCGGACAAUGACUUCUUGGCGCGGUUCGUUCAAUUCGCUAUUGGCACAGUUUUAGCACCAACGACACAAUGUUAUGUCGACGCAAAAUACCUUAAUCUUGUUGCGGCUAUUAAAAGCCUUCGAAAAUUGAACUGGGGAUGUUUCACAAUGAAACACUUGUUCAGGUACAUACACAAAUUUAGCUCUCUUGAUCAAGUAUCUCUACAAGGAAAUCUACCUCUGCUUCAGGUUAGUGCAACAUCACUAGUUAACAUUGUACAAUUCUUUUUCUUUUCUAUAUCUCUCUCUAUAUUGACGAAGUAAUUUAUUGUGAAGAUUUGGUACUGGGAGCACCUGCGUUCCGGCAAAUUGAUGUAUACUCCUAUACCCCCACCAUUGGUCGCACGAUGGGACGAAUGCACGUGUGUAAUAAGAGCAGAAGCUUACACCUCAGGAGGUCUUCAUAAAGGACUGGUGUGUUUCUAGAUUUGACCCAUGUAUAUAUCCGGUUAUUUAUUUGCUACUACUGAUUCAUUGUACCUGAUUCAAAGGUUGUGAUGGAAAUUUGUGCUCGACAACCAAAGGCCAACAAUAGAAAGGAUCCAGGAAGCAAAAAAAUUGUACGUGAGGAUGAAGGUGAUUCAUCUCGAGCACAAUCACAAGGUCAAAAUAUGAGUAGCCACCAAGUAAGCCCAACAAAGACAAUUUUCAUUUUCCAAGAUCAGUAAAAGGUUGCAUCGAAACUCAUUCAUUUUGCUUUGUUCUGAAUAGGGUGUUAUUUCGUUUGCACAGGUGCAAAUGAUAGUUGCAGCCCUGAAUGCAUGUUGUGUUGAGCAAGAAAAGAAGAUAGACAGACAGUUAAUGGAAAUUCAGCGUAGAUUUGAUGCGAAAUUCCUCACCCUGAGCGAAGAGUUAAUCGACAUUAAGAGUAAAUCUGGCAGUAAUCCUAGGCUCUCGCUGCUCGAGGACAAAAUUAAGAACUUAAGGAGGGACCUGAAGGUAUGUCAUGUUGUGCAUUUUUUAUUGUUAUGAAUAUGUUCCUCCAUAUUCAUUAUUGUUAUAGUUGUUAUAGGAAUUAGAAAACCAAACUAAAGUCAGCCGACAAUCCGAGUCACAGAAAGCAGGCGUCGAGGUAAUAAUUAUGGCCCACCACAUAAGUAGUAUUACCAAACUAAUUAUAAUUGACCAUUUUUGUUGUUGUAGGAACAAGUCAAUGUGUGCAGUGAUCCCUUCAUGGCGACUCCUAAGUUCGACGCAUCCACGCCACGUACUUUGACUCCAACACCAAGUGCCAGACACGUCCUGCCAAACAAGGACGAUCCUCGAAUCACACCGUUGAAGCCUCUAUUUGAUAAUGAUUACGUGCUCACCGCUGAGGACAAAGAGGCAGCCAUUUUCAUCCGGGGAACACACGGCCCUGUUGAAGUCAUUCAAAUCGGAGACAUUCCCCUAAGAGCGGAAUAGCUGAAGCCAAUUUACGAUAAAAAAUACAUCUGUGGUGAUGUAAGCCCCUUGUACUCCAUUGUACAUCAACUAUUUGAACUGUUGGCACAUCAUUAUAUGAUUACAAAUUUGGCAGGUUACUAUGGCGUAUGCUCACAUCAGCGGAGUUGAGACUGAUACUACCUCAGUCAUAUCCCCCAAUGAAACCAGAAAGCUUUUACAAACAAAAGGGGUUAUUCCAGAGGGCCGUGGAAGCUCGUUGCUUCAGCGUAUUGCAAAUAAAUUUGUAGGACGCCGGAAGGUACCUGUUUUCCUCACUUUCAUAUAUCAUAAUAGAUAGUGUAGAUGAAAUAUUUCAGGGGUCCCCCGAACCAUAAUUGUUACCUCAUAUACAUUAUUCCGUGGAAUGAGUCCUCUUUGACUUUAUGGCAGGUCCACAUCCCGUUUAAUGUGAAUGAUAACCAUUGGAUGGCAAUGGUGUUCAAUUUCGACAAAGAAGAGAUUCAAAUCCUAAACUCCUUGAAAAAUCAAUUUGCUGAGUCAAAGGAAACUGCUCUUGUAAGCUUUAUCUUGCUGCCUCUUUACUGUCGCAUGGCACAUGAACUCCAAAUCACCGUAACCCUUCGUAAUACUCGUAUUAUGCUAGGUGGAGGCGAUUCAGGCCUGCAUGGAUGGAGCGGUGAAGGAUGGCUUGGUAACACCAGAUAAGCCUAUCAAAUUUACCGACUGGGAAGUAGUACACUAUGACGACAUACCACAAUAGAAUGACGGGUACGUACGACCUCCUAAAUUAUUCCUCGCUGACACGUCCAAGUUUACUAAAACCUAAACUAAACACUGCAGGCAUUCAUGUGCGUUUUUUACACUGAAGUACAUGUUGACAUGGAACAGUGAAGUAUUUACCGACAAAGUGGAGCAGAUGAUCCAAACACUAUAUUUUCUUGUAGAAUAUCUUAUGACUGAACGAUGUGCUGACAUAUGUGUCGCUUAUCAAAUGUAGUCAUAGAUAGAUAUAUUUAGCUAGAAAAUAGUUUCAAGCUUGCUGCAUUCAGAUUGCAACAGUCUUCGCAUGGAAACAUACAAGUACCCCAUAACGGUUAGCGAAAAAGCACAGAUAUUUUAUUGUAUUCACAUGUGUCAUGACGCUACCGAAUGCACUGAUGUCUGCUGUACAGGCGGAGACGUAUGAAGCCCACGUUGCAUCGGAACCUAUCAAUUCACAAGACGAUGUCCAAGAAAUUAUCGGUACUGUUGAGUGCAAGAUAUCAGACACGUCGAGCUCCCCAAAGGAUCCCGACACCCCGAGCUCCCCAAAAAAGCGAAGAGCACGUGGACGCCCGAGGAAGCUUGUUGAUGAAGUGCAAGCUAAAAAAACAAAAACUACGGAAGAGCUCAGAGUGAAAUUUGAUAGCAAGACCAUUGUUAAACAAGUGUCUUCUUCGAUAUCAGGACGAUCACGCAAGCCAUCACAUGCUAUAUCGAGCCCAUUCAAGUUAACCAAAUGGUAGUUUAGGUACGUACUGGGUAGCACUGUAGUUAGCACUACUUAUGAUACAUUUUUCAUUUACGAUUUGGUGAUUGAACUUUAUCAAACGUGCAUCAACUAGCGGUGAAAGACGGCUUGCUAACAACAACUAAGACCGUAAAAAGUAGGGUAUGAUAACAUACCUCAAUAUAGCAAUCUAUGUUGUCCAAGUACAUACUUUUGGCAAUCACGAACAUUAUAUAAUUUCGGCAAUUAGGGAUACAUGCUCAGUUCUUUUGGUUGAACUGCCAAUAGGUCAUUCUGCCAAUCAUUUGCAUGAUGUACUUUUGGCAAUAUAUUAUACAACCUAAGUGCAUGUCAAAAAUGGCAAUAGGUACUUUUGGCAAUCAUGUGCAUGCUACAUUUCUGGCAAUUACUAAUGCAUGCUCAUUUGUUUUGCUUGAAAUGGCAGUAUGUACUCCUGGCAAACAUUUGUGUGCUCUACUUUUGGCAGCUAUUAAUACAGGAUCAUUUAGAAUGGUUUAACUGUCCAUAGAAAUAACUAGAAUGUCAUUAUUUCUAAACAUACCAAAUUCAGUACAAGAUAUAGCAUUAGCAUCUUUAGUUAGAGUCAUAACAUAUAUGUACCAUAUAUCACCAUAGUGGAGGUAUUAGGCAAGGUUGACCGCAAUGCUUACAAGAUAAACAGUAGUUUAAUGAAGAAACAACACUUAUUAGUACAGGGUAGACGCUUAAUUAGGCGCCUAUCAUGUACAAAUUGGCACUGCUGCUUCCGAAAACCAUGUUUAAUAUAGUUAGCAUGUACCUAAGCACGUAGCAUUGGAAGUUGGCCAUUACCAGAAAUGAGCAAUGUACUACCAAAAACUUAAACGUAGCAUGUUAAACACUCGCGACCCAAAAGAUAAACUGGCACAUAAGUUCAAGCAGUACGGUGGGGCAGAAGUAUCACAUGACAACCAUAACAUAAAAACAGUCUUAACUAGGGUGGGCCAGUAGUAACAACCAAGUAGCGCAUCAGAUCCUCGACAUCUUGGCCGGACGAGGAGGCCUCGGGAGGUAGAAUGGAAGAUGCCCCUUCGCGUACUUCCCGAGGAAGGCACCAAAAGCAGAAUGCUCAGCCCGGCCGUGGGGCUUGCGGUUCCUCCCAUUACCACGGCUGAUAUCGGUGCCAUGCAUGAUCAGGUUGUCGUAGUCGCUCUUGAUUCUCGCGCAGCAGAAGGGGCAGGCUAUGUUGCCGUAGAGCCCGUCGGAGCUGCUGCGGUAUGGGAUUUCCCCAUUCCGCAGCCUCCUGAGGACGUAGCGGCUCUUGCUUUCCCUCCUCUCCUUACUAUCAUCCACGUCUUCGUCAUCUUCAUGUGUGUUAGUUGAUUGACAGCUAUGUUAGAUUAGGAAUAUAGAAAUGUAGCAUUUCAUAAGAGUAUCAAGUACAUUCCAAAAGUAGGAACACAAAAAUAUGAUCAAUCAGAUGAUUCACACAACAUGUACCUCAUGUAUUGCUAUAUAUGUUUAUGUAUUAUUUGUUAUCUUUCUUGUUCUUUUUUCUUUGCUUUGCAUGCGUACCUGUUCUCCCCUAUAAAGAAGUACUCCUAUUUGUACAGUCUAAGUUGACAAUUAACUAAAGGGUUCGGGUUUUAGGGUAUGAACAAAUCAUUUUACUGCAUUCAAGCACAUAUUUUAUUUCAUACUGAAAAUAGAUAAUUCCAAAAAUAGGAUCAUUUCUUGCCAUUUCUUGCAACAAUAUUUUGUAUGAUCUGGUUUUAUCAUAAAGAGAUACCAGACAAUAUCUAAUUUAAUUAUAUUCAAACUAGAUGAGUACAUACUACAAAGUAAAACUACCGCAUCAACAAAGAAAAGAUUGCCCUCACUUGAUAUUUUGAAGACAACAAAUCAUAUGAAUCAUGUCAUCAAUUAUGUAUAAAAAGAGAAAUUUUUGACUGAGGUACAUCGGUUGCGAACAUAAGAAAUUAUGGCUUUAAUUACUCCUUGUUGCUAAUAAUUACAUAGGGUGCGUACAUAAGAAACUCCACAACGAAUUACUUACUGCAAUCAGAAAAUGUCUUCACAAUAUAGCUGUAAGGCUUCAUGAUUUUCAUCAAAUAAACUAGUUUUUCUAACAACUAAAUAAAUGUACUGUUUACUAGGUCUCAACAGAUUUGGCAAUCAGAUUGAAAAUAAGAUGCAUAGUCCACUUCAUUAUAUGGAAAUCAUGAAGCAGAUAGAAAAAGUUUGCACUGUUAAGGUAUGAAAGAUUCUAUAAGAAAGGAGAAAAUGUGGUAUCAGCUUUGUGCAUAUGGAGCAUUAUGAUUACACUUAGUAAUGAAAAAUUCUAUAUAAUAAGAAUGCCAUGGAAAUCUUGUUGCUAGAAAUGUACUAUUGCAUGGACUUGGCAUGCAUGAUUACUGAUGUGGCAUAGUUUCAUGGAUUGAUUUGUGCAAGAUAAGAACUAAUCCAUGUUUGUUGUUAAUGGCAGGCAGUGGCCGUAAAUUGUUACUACAUGCAUCAGUACUGACCAGAUGCAUAACUGGAUGAUGUGGCCCAGUUUCAUGCAUACCAAAACCAGAUAAUGGGUUGCCACUAUUGAAGAAAGGAGCAUAGUUUCAUGAAUAGCAAAACCAGAUAAUGGGUUGCACAAUUGAGGAACAGAGCAUAGUUGUAACAGGGGUUCUCUAAUUUAAACUCUCAUCAUUGAUAGCAUUGUUGAUUACUAGCGAGGCACACGUGCAUUGGGCGUGAAAGCAACAUCUAAUGUCAAUUAUUUUAGAUGCACUUUACAUUGCUAUGUUACUAUAGCAAUGGAUUUUUGUGUGUGUUUUCUUUAAUAAAGAGAUAAUGUUAGUGCAUAAUAUGCAUUCAGAUUCACAAAGUUCAAAGCAUUAGCAAUUCAUUUAGAAGAAAAGAGUUUGCGCUGUUGAAGUAUCCAAGAUUCUAUAACAAUGGAGAAACAUAGUGCUAUGAGGUUGUUUGUGCAUAGGUAGCAUUGUGCUUAAGCUUACAAAUGGAAUAUUCUAGAUAGUACGCAUGCUUGGAAUUUUUCUUUUGUAGUAAAUAAGAUAUCGAAUGGCCAACAAUGCUGGGAUUUACCAUCUGUCCACCGUUGGAUUGGCUUCAUCCAACAGCAAAUAUUCAAAGUUGUUUCCAAAGUACAUGUUUUAAAAGUUACCAUUUAUAGAAGCUCAAGCACCGUCGAUAAAUAUUUACUGUUGCAUGUCAACUUUUCAAGUUCUAGAUAUUAAUCAUUGAUCCUCUUGUUGAAUGUCAUGAAAUAAACAAAUUUGUAGGAAAUUUCCAUCCACUCAAACCUGUCUGAAAGAAUCCUACGUUUUUAGUAUGCACAAUCAAACACUCAUACAAUCCUGUAGGAUUCAAGAUGACAUGCCACUCUAAUCCCACGUUUUCCCUAUUCCUGCGUUUUGGAAAUCGUACGACUCAAAGAGGUGAUAUCUAACAAAUACACCGUUUUCUACAGCAGAACUGGUUCAUAAUCAGUUUCUAAAUCAUAUUCUUACUCAUCUUCACAAAAUAAUUGCAUGCACAGGGGGAUUUUAGGCCUACAUGACUACUGUUCCAUGCCAGGUUUCAGAUUGAAGGGGUUUCCUUCCAAAUGUAUGAAACAACUAGUACUAAUCCUAACCCUAAGGGAGAGAUCAAGAAACAUAACCUAUCUGGACAAAAUCUAAUCCGUGCUGCAUGCAAUUUAGGAGAAAACCCCAUGGGAGAAAACCCCCAAAACAGAGUAGGAGAAUAGAGUAGAACAGAGUAGUACCUCCGAGAGCUCGUCGUCGACCUCCUCGUCGAACUCGACUGCCUCGUCCUGCACUUCCUUAGUGUCGAGCUCGGCCCCCUCGUAGUACUUGUCGAUGAGCUCGUACUGCUCGUGCUUCCGCUUGGCCCUUUGCUCCUCCAGAUCCACCGCCACCUCCUCCUCCACCUGCUCCCCGACCGCAGGCUCGGACGCUGUGACGGCGGCCGGAGCAGUCACAACAGAUGGUGCACCGCCUCCCGUCGCCACGACGGCGCCGUCGGCCACGCCAAUCGCGGCGGCAAUGACCACAACAGGCUUCUCCACUGCUUCUACUGCUGCAUCCUUCUCCACCGCCGUGUCUUCAUGGCCAGCCUUCAUCUUCCGACGACGAAGGGCAAGGGAGAUGGUUGCUGGCUCAUAGGAGGUAGGGUUCGAGGUGAGAGGAGAGGGUUUUUGCUGAUUUGGGGAAGAAAAGCAGCAGGGGUGGGGGAGUGGGGGAGACGGGGGUGGGGGAGGCGGCCUUUAUUUGGCGUGUGGGUGGACGUUUGGAGUUACCGAGGCUAGACGCGUGGCGUCGUGCGCUCGUGCUUGCCCCAACCACUUUAAUAUUUUUUGUCAUGAAUUUGUAUAUUUUUUGACCUGUGGUUUAGCGAGGAAUUACACAACCACCUACUUUUGGUGUUACUUUUGCAUAGAACACCUACUUUACAGGUUUGUUGCAAAAAAACACAUAUUGGGGUAAUUUGUUGCAGCAAGGUCUAAUUCGCCAUUUUGGGUGGGUUGACAUGAUUUCUAACAAGUGAGUCCAGUUAGUAAGUGCACCACGGGAAAAAAACAUUCCACAUCAGCACCCAACUAGAGCUGUGCAAAAUUUACAAAUAGGUACUCCAGAAAUAAUUCUCAUUGUUUUUGGGCCCACAGAAAUGAACUAUUGACAUUUUUUUUGUUCCCACAUAACAUGUUAGCACGCAAGAGCAUGCACCAAACUUGUUCUCCUUCGACACACAGACGCUAUAACGACGGACAUGUACCAGUAAUAUUCACACUGCAUGUGUCGAUACCAUCUUGACCAACACGCAACAACAUUGGUCUCAUUGGACUCACACAUGCCAAAAGGGGUCCAAAUCAUUCACCAAUUCUUCUAGUCACAUUCCACUCCAAGAUGCGACAAUGGACCGACAUGUAUCAAUCUUGAUCUAUUUGCACAAAUAAUUGGUAUAAGGGCCAGAUGCACCAAUAGAGGUCACAAUGCACUGACACAUGUCACUUGGGCCAACACGCACCAUGCCCACAUACAAGGAACAAAUAAGCCUAUAGGAUCCACAUGCACCGAUAAACUACGUCUCGACAUGCAACAACUUUUUGUAGUCACAUUGCACGCACAGUGCAUACCAAGACACGCCAAUGGCCCGUCAUGUAGCACUCUUCAUGUGUUUUCACUAAUCAUGGUCUCUUUGGCCUCACGGAUGCCAUAAGGGCCAAAUGCACCAAUAUUGACACGUUGCACUCAAACGUGCCACUUGGGACAACAUGGAUCAUGGUUUCUUUACUAGCAAGGAUCACAUAAGCCAUUAUAUAGUGUUGAUACCCUAGCUAAUAACAACAUAUAUCAACAUUGGUCCUAGUUGCAGCUACAUAGGACCACUUAUGCCACACAUGGAGCGCAGCCUCGGUGCAUGGUUUUUUUUCUGUGCGUCUGUGUCUGGAUAAAUGUCUUAAGGAGAGGCAAAUUGGUUCUGCCGAACACACUGCAUCAACCGAACUGGCUAGACCCUUUACUUCACACCUGCAUGGCCCUGGUUCGAAUCCCCGUGAGGCAGUUGGAAAUGCCAAUUUUUUUCUAUGGGUACUGACACGUGGGGUUCCCUUGUCAUCCACACAAACGCACCAGCACAUGUACCACAUUUGGCUAAGUGCACCUACUACUCCACAUCAUUUUCAACUUUCUUAUUCCCCUCCUCGACAAGCGCCGCCGCCGCCAUCUGCAGACGACGCCUCUCUUCGCCGUCGGAUCUGCGUGGCCGCUGCCAACUCCGGCAAGUAGGUAAGAUCUCCCCUCAUCCCCCUCGUGAAUCUUCUUCCCUUCCCCAACCGCGUGCGUCUCCCUCCGGACGCGGAUCUGAUCCAGAAAUUUUAAUUGGUACAUGCGGUAGAUGAUUUGUUGAUGGAUAUGAUGGUUCUUUCAUACAUUGAUGGAUGUCGUAGUGUAGGAUCUGAGUUGUACCAGGGAAAAGUGAGGCCCUAUGCAAAUCAAAAUGCGGCCCUAUGUGUGAAAAAAUAAAUCAAAAUAAUUCAUCUGUUCUUCACUAUAGUAUGUAUUACUGACAUUGGAUUGGAUUGGAUUGGGAUUUAUUAGGUAGAUGAUACUGGCAUUGCCAUUGUCAUUGGCAUUGCUUUUUAGGUAGAUGAUAGUAAACAGAUUUAAUAGGUAUUUGCAUUUUAGGUUAUCACUAUGAUUUAUUAUAUGUAUGAUCUUUGUAUUGUACUAUGGUAGCGUACAAAUCAACUUAGAGUUCAACAUGUUCUGUGUACAAUGGAGGAAGAACCAUGUGGACGGUGCAAGUCACAGUGCCGGACCAGCCUUUGUACUGCCAUGCUAUUCGGCAUCUACUUCCAGCCUACUUUUGUUUUGAAGCGGUAACAAUUUAUAUGAACCUUCUGACAGUUCAUCUUUUUCUAUUUCCACUAAUGCAUUGUGUUUGUUAUUUGUUUUUUUCUUGCACAGAUCGUCCCAUGCAAUGUGAGAUUGACAUUCAAUGAGCUCAUCGGAGAUACCGUGACCUUCGACACUCUUGGGGGGCGUACACUAUGCAGGUUGAUAAGGGGCGAACGAUAACCCAGAUUGGAGGAGAUGAAUGGGAUCGUUUCAUCGCCCGCUUCCGUCUUAGUGGGGGUGAACGGAUCCUCUUCUCCUUAAGAGGAGAAAGGCCCAGGAUUUAUGUUAUCUAUCUGAAUUUGAUUGCCGAUAGUGAGGAUGAAGUUCAUGAGGAGGACGAUGGUGAGGAUUCAGAUGAUGAUGAGAACCCACUUGAUGAAGCCCUCUAUGCCCAAGGAGUGAGGCUGAGCGACGAGGAAACCAGCAACCUCUGGGACAUGCUUCCGCUACGUGAAGACUACGUCGGGAUGCCAUUCGUGACCGGCCUCACAAAGACGAAUGUUAAACAGCAUCUCAUGGUAUGUUACUUAGUUUGGUAAUUACAUGAUAUGCAUGCUUAAUUAGUGUAGUAGUUGAUAUGAUAUGCAUGUUGUAGUACUGUGAUGAUAUGCCUAGUGUAGAAUUCAUUUAGUGCAGAAUUUUAUGGUAUGCAUGUGUUGUAGUAAUGCGAUAUAUGCUUAUGUAGUGUAGUAAUAUGCGAUGAUAUGCUUAGUGUACGUAGUAUAUAAUCUAAUGAUAUGCUUAAUUACUGUAGUAAUUUGAUGAUUAGCGUGUAGUGUAGUGAUGUGAUGUGAUAUAUGUGUCUUGAAGUGUAUGGUUUGUUGAUAAUUGCAUGUGACAUGCUCAUAUAUCAUAUCAACUAUUUUCAAAAAUUACCUAAGAGGUUAUCUGAUAGUUGUGGCAUCGAGCCGGAUGAAGAAGGCAUGGUUGCUGGACUACGCCUUACCAAAACGGGCUCCAUCACCACCUGUGCCUACGCAGUGGACACGGACGGUCGCACUAUCUUCAACCGGGCGGGGUGGAAGAAGUUCCUUCAUGGAAAGAAUCUUCCGGUAGGUCAGGGCAUCCUACUCACUGUUGCGAAUACCCGUCGCCGUGACUUGAGGAUGAUGAUCACCAUCAACCUCAUUUAGAACUGGCUGGGCCAUGUUUCGAUGUGAAAUGAACUUGGUAUGUUAGCUCUUGUUUUAGAGUACUUGCCGUGUAUUACCGUACCUAUCUAUCUAUCUAUCUAUAUAUAGGUUCAGUAAAUGGGCCAUGUAUCGAUGUGAAAUGAACUUGUUAUGUUUGGGGCUUGCUUUGCUGUUGCCACAUCGGUUAUUUGUGACUUCCUUGAACUUGAAUCUGUCUUGAAAUGUUAUUGGAUGCUUGGUGCUGUUGCUUUAUAGUAUAAAGCUGGGGGCGUUGGGGGACCUUUUUAGUAGGUUUGGUUAAUGGAGUUUAGCUCUUAUUGUACUUAUUGUUUUCUUUUCCAUACAAUUCUGAACCCAAACUACACAGUGCACAACCUUCUGUGAUUAGUUCCUUUGAUAACUAGUACUCCCUCUGUAAACUAACAUAAGAGCGUUUAGAUUACUAAAAUAGUGAUCUAAAUGCUCUUAUAUUAGUUUACGGAGGGAGUAUUGAAGAGCAGCCACAGAGUUCCAUUCACAGUUUACUUGAAUAUUUUUUGAUGAAUAAACAAAAUAGGAAGCUAGCAAAUUUAUUUAACGAGAUAAGCAAACUAUGUACUUGAUUACAUAAGCAAACUUGUUCAACCCUGACAAACUGGACAUAAACAAACAGGUUCAACUAUGACACACAUGACAUAUACAAGUUGGUUUAACCCAAGAAAAGCAAACUACAAAUUUCAAACAACAAGAUAAAGGACAAGCACAAGCGCAAGCAACACGAAGGCAAAUUUUGAUGUCUCCUCAUCCCGCAUAGUGGCAGUGGUAGUAGGGGUCCUCUUCCUGCUCUUUUGAAAUUUCCAGACCUCUUUUGAUGUGUUGAUUAUCUUCCACGACUUGUAGGUGGCGUACGCAUCUAUUGCUGCAUACUCGAUGAAGUAAUCUGGCGCUAGGCUGACCCCCCACAGUUUAUGGUCUGCCUGCUUGUCAAUCUUGUUCUCAUGUUGCUGUAGAAUGGGUGGAUGACGCUGUCUGCAACAUCAACCAAGGAGUCAUAUGGUUUUCCAUUGUAUGGAACUCUCCACUUGCGCUGAAUGUCGAUGUGCUUGUUGGGGUUUAUCUCCAAACCAGACAUCUUCAACUUGUCCAUGUCAUUUUUAAUACUGAAACCGGCAAAGGUGAACAACUUCUCCUCCUGUAGGAACUCUUUGAGGCGCUUUGGCCUGCUAGGGGAGAGACAAGUGAUGAAUACAUGGAGUACUAGUGUUUAUUUUCAAGAUUUAAUCAUCUGUUUUUUACGGUUUACAAGUGAAUAAUACAUGGAGUAGAUGCUUAUACAGUAUAAGUCAUGGAUGAAUUUAGUUCAGAAACUAGUACACAAAGUUCUGAAAUUAAAAUCAAGUACACCAUGUUAUUUUUCUUUUUGGAUAUAUAGUUGAGUCAAUGAUCUAUUUGCUUUCUUAGUGAUAGUUUAGUUUUAUUUUGUUGAAUAAAAUAACAUAUACCUCUGCUUCACCAAGUUCUUUAGUUUUUUUGGUGGUGAAAAUAACACCAGACCAAGUUCAGAAACUACUUGACUACAUCAAGUUCAGAAACUAGACUAAUGAAUCAAGAUGAGAAACUACACUGGUACAUCAUGCUCACAAAUUAAUCUUGUGCAACAAUUUCAGAUACUAUUCAAGUGCACCAGGUUCAAAAUAUAUUCUAGUGCAUCUACUUUGAGGAACUGCACUAGUGCAUCCAUUUUCACAAACUACACUAGUACAUCUAGUAUGAAACUAGUCUAAUAAAAUUUUGAGGGAGCAGUAUUGAUGAAUGGAAGAGGGUGAAUGAGUAGGAUUUUUCACCAUUUUGUGGCCGCAGCAAUGUGGUACACGAGGCAGAGACCUUCCACGCAGAACUACAGAACUGCUGCCAUCUGCGGAGGUUCAUCAUCUUUGGUAAACUCCACAUCAACACCGAUGAUGUGGGGAUACGAGCCGCAUGCGCUCCUCCUGAUCCAAAAGAUCAUCUCGUCGGCCUUGUCUGGUUCGCUGGUGCAGAUGACCUCCGUCGUCUCCUUGCCGUGGAGCUCAACCCCUUUGAGGGUUACGGUGUACUCGCGCUUCUAACCGAGAACGUGAACGACGUCGAGGUUGCCGCUCUGGUCGGACGUCUGGCCACAAUGACGCUUGGCAGAUGCUUCCUCCGCCAUUGCCCUCCUCCUGCGACUGUGGGCUUCGAAGAGAGAUGUUUGUGGGUUGUUUGUAGAAGAGAUGGAAGCGGCAAUGGUGGUUCUCGGAAUGACGCAGUGAUGUAGUCGAUUUGGGGCUUUUUCACGCUUGGGAUGGGGACGUGGGGGAGGUGGUUUGUGUGUAGAACGUGGGGGUGGUGGUGGUGGGGCGCAGUUGCAAUCCGACGUGGCAACCGCGCUCUGUGCACUGCUGGGUGCGCGUGCAUCUGAGUUUAGUCCCACCACGGGCCUGCAUCCUGGCCCAUAUCACUGGGUUUGUUGUCGUAUGUGGGCCGUGGUGUGCGAAAUAUCAUGUUAGGUAGGUGGGCUUUUUUUCUAUAAAAUCUUUUUUUGCCUAUGUGACAUGUUGACUUAUACUAAAAUAACACUUCCUUUUUUUAGGUACACAUGUCUUAUGUGAAAAGUUUAAGUUUGAUAACAAUUAAAAACAUUUAAAACCUUGCCACAUUGGCUUUCUUGGACAUGUGUAAAAAGUUUAAGUUUGAAAACAAUUGAAAAACAUGUAAAACCUUGCAUCAUUGAAUUUUAAUUUUAAAAUAAAUUUGAAAUAUUGCAGUUAAUUUGUAGACCAUCUCUAAAUCAAACCAAAUUUGUUUUACAUUGUCACAUACAUGUUACAAACAUUGUUAUUUACAGAUCAUGUGUGCAAAAACUGAGGUGAUUUAGAUGUGGUCGAAAAAAGGUGAUUUUUUUUCACCACCUCCAUAUCACCUAAAAUUUAUUCUACAUGCUCAAAUAGAUGAGCCAAACAUGUCUAUGAAAGAAAUUUGAAAAAAGCGUAUCCUACAAUGCCCGCUUAAGGUGUAGACCGUUGUUUUGAUCAGUCAGUCUACAAGGCAGAAUAAAUUCAAAACAAAUUAAAAAAUUAUAAAACAUUGAAAACCUAGCUAUGUUUGUGCAACAUAUCAAGUGUGCAAAAUUAGAUAUGAUUUAGAGGAGGUCAAAAAAAAUCACGCUAAAACACGAGGGGCCAUUUGGUCUCAUUUAAGCCAGUUUUUGUAUAAAAUAUGAUUUUUUCCACCACCUCCAAAUCACCACAAAUUUGUUCUACAUGCUUAAAUAGAUGUGCCUAGCAUGUCUAUGAGAUAAAUUUGGAAAAAAUGUAUUCUACGAUGCCCGCUUAAGGUGUAGACCGUUGUUUUGAUCAGUCAGUCUACAGGACAGAAUAAAUUCAAAAAAAAUUAAACAAUUAUAAAACCUUGAAAACCUAGCUAUGUUUUUGCAACAUAUCAAGUGUGCAAAAUUAUAGGUGAUUUAGAGAAGAUCAAAAAAUCAUGCUUAAACACGAGGGACCAUUUGGUCUCACUUAAGCCAAUUUUGGUAGAAAAUGUGAUUUUUUUACACCACCUCCAAAUCACCCCAAAUUUGCUCUAGAUGCUCAAAUAGAUGUGCCAAGCAUGUCUAUGAAAGAAAUUUGGAAAAAAUGUAUCCUACAAUGCCUGCUUAAGGUGUAGACCGAUGUUUUGAUCAGUCAGUCUACAGGGUAAAAUAAAUUAAAAACAAUUAUAAAAUUUUAAAACCUUGAAAACCUAGCUAUGUUUGUGCAACAUAUCAAGUGUGCAAAAUUAUAGGUGAUUUAGAGAAGGUCGAAAAAAUCACGCUUAAACACGAGGGACCAUGUUCUCUCACUUGAGCCAUUUUUUGUAGAAAAUGUGAUUUUUUUUCCACCACCUCCAAAUCACCCCAAAUUUGUUCUAGAUGCUCAAAUAUAUGUGCCAAGCAUGUCUGUGAAAGAAAUUUGAAAAAAACAUGUAUCCUACAAUGCCCGCUUAAGGUGUAGACCGAUGUUUCGAUUAGUUAGUCUACAGGGCAGAAUAAAUUCAAAAAAAAUAAAAAAAUUAUAAAACCUUGAAAACCUAGCUAUGUUUGUGCAACAUAUCAAGUGUGCAAAAUUAGAGGUGAUUUGGAGGAGGUCGAAAAAAAUCACGGUUUAAUUUGUGUGUGGGGGGGGGGGUAGACCUCCCGAGAGCCAUUUACUGGUCAUUUUCGUUCCGUAUAUGUGUAAACAUUCGAAAUUUUACCCAACAUGAAAAGCAAAUUAUGCGUGCAUGCUCUAUGUGGUCAAGGGAUGCGAUGCAGCAAAAUUGGGAUCAUUAGUGCAUGUAUACGCAAGUAGGGUCUCUAAAACGCACUUUUCGGGGAUAGCCUGUCACCACCCCGAGAGCACUAGCUCGGUUUCUCACCUGUAUGAAACCAACCAAAAAUUUCAGGAUGACAAGUCAUGGCCAUGUUAGGGCUACUUGCCAUGUUUCAACCAUCUUCAACAAAUUUUGAAAGUUUCGUCACAUGCGGGAUUUUUUCGGUCAUUAGUACAAUGUGGACCAUUUUCAACAUUUAUUGCAAGUUUUGUCACGUAUGGCAUUUUUCGGGCAUAUGCAACACGAAAAAUCCAUUUUUAAUACUUAAAAACAAGGACAGUAUUUUCUAGAUUUGUUGGGAUAUCAUUGUGAUAUUAUUGAAAUCUCACAUAACUCACGCGGCCCACCCCUCCCUAAAUCCCGCGAUUACAGCGCCUCAUUCUAACCACCCGGCCGUGCUAUCCGCAGCUCCCACGACUGCUGCAAGAUCAUUUCGGAUACGCCGGGCUCACACGGAUUACAGGAGUCGCCGGCCAACGCCCACCGCCAUGAGGGGUCGGACUUCAGUGUUCUUCUCGCUGCUCCCUCCGUUUAUCCUUGCCGCCGUCUACCGCACUAUAGGGGCACUUCUAGUUUGCGACGCACUGUCCGCGGCCAUCAACUCGGCGCCGCCGUCUCCGAGAGAAGGUAUUUCCUGAUCGUAGCUUUUUUUAAUCGUUGUUGGCCGCUCCUUUAGUAGUUGAACCCUCAUAGGUUUUGCACAACUUCACGUGGUUAAGCAAUUGGAUACCCUUGUUAAACUGCGCUUAUUUUAUGCACGACCAACUAGGUUGUGUGCUUAAAGUCAUAAGUGGAUCAUAUGUUAAAUGACCCACUUAAUUUUUUUAAUAUUAGUUGACUGCUAAUUUUUUUUAUACAUCUUUUAAUUAUUGUCUUCAGAUUAAUUGACCCGGUUUUCAUCAUUGCAUACAAGCCAGCAAUGUCAGUUUCAGAUAAAAGUCUUUGAACAGAGAAAAGCCUCGAAGAACUCAAACUAAAAUUUGACAGCAAGACCGUAGGCAAACAAAUGUUUUUGUUAUCAUCACGGUCGCACAGAGCCAUGAACAGCUAUGUUGAGCCCAUUAAAACACAAAUAGGUAGCAUCAAUUGAUACAUGAUCUUGCUCAUGCUCUACUUUUAGCAUCAUUUGAUACAUGUUUAGUUCUUAUCAUAAAGUGGAUAUAUGUACCUUUGGCAAUCAUGAGCAUCCUCUACUUACUGCUAUAACUAAUGCAUCCUCAGUACAAAAAUUGAAUUGGCAAUACGGUUGUAUUGGCAACGAUUUGCAUGCUUUACUUUUGGCAAGAACUAAUGCAUAGUUGAGUUAUAACUGGUCAUAGAUAUGGCUCGAACAUCUAGAGUUAUCAUCAUGGUCACGCGGAGACCCUAAACCAUCACCAGAUAUGUUGAGCCCAUUCAAACACAAAUAGAAGCAGCAAUUGAUACAUGUUAAUGCUCAUGCUCUACUUUUGGUAUAAUUUGAUACAUGUUCAGUUCUUACCAGAAAGUGGAAACAUGCACUUUUGGGAAAUAUGAGCGUCCUCUACUUAUUGCAAUAACUAAUGCUGAUGUAGGUGGCGGGUCGUCCGGGGGCCAGCCGGACUGAUGGAGUUGCUGAACUAAAGCGGCAACUCGAUGCUGCGGAUGCGGACAUCACGCUGGUCAACAGGCGACUUGAUGAGUCGCAAGGUAAGUGUUACUGCGCGGUCACUUGGUAAGGGAGCCAAAGCCAUCUCCUUACAACAUGUGCGUGAAAUGCAGAUAGUGCCGCUGCCGUGGAGAGCCUUCGGGCCGAACUUGAUCGAGCCAAGGAGCAGGCCAGAAGGAGUAAUGCGGCGGCCUCGAAGGCGGCCGAGGAGUUGGCGGCCGAAAGGGUCGCACACUGCCGGAGCAGGGAAGAGAUAGCCGAAAUGGCCGUGAAGUUAAAGGAUGCUACUGACCGCAAUGAGGCUCUUGGGAAGGAGUGCCUAGCGGGGCAAGAAGACCUGCGGAAGGCCACCGCCGAAGCCAAGAAUGCCCGCUCGGCAAUGCGGGCUAUGAAGGAAGAGCUGCGCCAGGCCGGGGAUAUUGUAGCUGGCAAGCCUUUUCUGCUGCGCCGAAGGUUCACGGAUCCAAAAUAUGCUCAGCUGGGCCAACUGUGGUGUCCGGAGGACCCUUAUAUGGACUUAGCAGCGAGUGCGGCGGAUGCCGUUGUGCAUUUUCGAAGCCAGAAGGAUCACAAGAUGGAAGAGCUAUUUUGGUCUCAAUUCCAUAGUCCGGAGCGUUCACUUCCGCUGACCGAUCAUUUGGCUGAGUGGGCUGAGCUAAAUAGGUUGUCCGGGCUUGCUAUGACGGAUAUAGUGACCCAUAUCCGGCCGGAUAGGCCCCAGCCGAAGAGUUACUUUGGCUUAUUGCAGCAAUUUCUUGGGGCGGUGCCGCAUAUCAAGGCGAUGAAGUGGUCGGCCUGCAUAGAGGGUGCGCGGAUGGCGCUCGCCCGUGUGAAGACACAUUGGACAGAGAUGGAUGCCACCGCUGUUGCGACCCCGAGUUCGGAUGAUAACCGGUUACCCGCCGAGCACUAUUUUGGCGAAGUGUUGCGUGGUGCUCGUGUAAUAGAGUCGCAGUGCUCAAAAAAUGUUACGUUCAAAUGAACGUUUGUAAAACGAUAUUUAUGAUGUAAGCGCCUUUUAUACUUGUGCGUGCAAGUAAUAGAAUAUCUCCUAUGCGGCCGUUCAUGUAUACGUGUGUAUAACCUGAAAGAUGGCAGUCGUCGGCUUCAGCCCCCACGCACAAGGUGCGGGGGUGUUCGCAAAAAAUAGCGCAUUUUCACACUUAAUCCGACGUCUCGGUCCUGUAAAGGAGGUGGUAGCGUAGCAAACGAGACAACCGGACUAUAAUGCUUUAUCACUUUCACUUAGCCAUGGAGUUCGAGGGUGGGGCUACGACAUAGCCCCUGGGGGCACCGCGCUCUCCGAAUUCGGGGCGCGUAUGUGCCUGGCCGGGAAACGGCCCUUCGUCAAAGCGGAGGAAUCCUAAACAUUCCCAUAGUCGAUUGAGUGGUUGACCAGUCUCUCGCUGUAUCAUGACAGUCAGUUUUCGGCUUUCUCUACUGAGGUGCUCGCCCAGCCGAACUGGGGCACAAUCGCAGUAGUUCUCCUGGAGCCGCGUUAGCCGAUGAUAUGGAACGUAAGGCAACAAAACACAGGAGCCGGGCAAACCCAACAUUUGACCAAAGACAUGAUUCGGAGCUGAUGCAUAUAAGGCCUAACUCGAGACACCGAACACUCCCGAAGGUGUUCGGUCUUUAUAAUAGUGGGCAAAACAAAGCCCUAAGCCCCUUGUGUCCAGGUACGGGCAGAUUCUUCUGGCGCGGCCGAUGCCAAAACGCCAGUCUCCACUCUGGUUAUAAUGAUAAACUAGGGGAUUAUAGCAACAAGAGACAGUAAGAAAGGUUUACGUAGGGUCUUAGUCUGAAAAGAGUCCUUGCAACGGGUCCCUACUGCACGUCUGCGCCUGUGUCUCCGUUGUGCCGUAUCCUGGACGGGUGUGCAUGCUGUUCAUCUGAAAAAAGAGAAGAACUUGGUUGGAAAAGAAAUCGUGCGAGAAAGUUCAUAAAAAAUUGAAAUAGAGAUUAAGAAAAUUGAGCCUAUGCUAGCUCAUUAUGGCUUAUAUGUGCAAACCCUUGUGAAGGGAUGUGCGGCUAGGUAGCCCCUAGCUUUUUUAUUCCGGACUCGUCCAGCCGUGUCCGGGGUCUCGAGCGACCUUUUAAUGAAAUGAUACCGCGUGGAACGGGCAUCUUAAGCAUAAGAGACGCGUAAUGUGGUAUUGCAUUGAAGCGGAUGCAAGCUUCCCGUCCCAGUGAUGCUUGAUAGCUACUUUUAUAUGGUGCGACAUGAAAGGUUAGCUUUUCUCGUCGGAAGUUGUCAGGUGACCCUGACACAACUUCUAGCAAUAAUGAAACUGUGCACCUAGCGUAAGGGCCUGGCGCCACUCCUUUGAAGGAAGUGCGGCUAUGCCGAAUUGUAGUAGGGUCUAUCCCAACUUGCGGAUUGUGUCCGGAAAUAGCAGGUUCAAGUCCCUGCCGCCGUCCAUCAAAACCUGCGUUAAUUGCAGUCCGUCUAUUAUGCGAUCCAAUAUCAGGGCAGUCUAUCCUAUGUUCCGGAUACUUCUGGACUAAUCCAGCUGGUCGAAAGUGAUUGGUUUUGACGUCCAAUCUCGGUCCACUGGGGUGGACCGUGCGACACUUGUCUUAGCGAGUGCCGUGUUGGCUUUCCGUACUAUCACGUGAAGCGAGUUUACUGUUUUGACUUCUUGUGGGAAAGUCUUUUGACUUCCGGUGCUCUGCUGGUGGGGUUCGUCAUCGUCCUCGCUUGGCGCAUCGAGCCCCUUGUGUCCGGCGUUGAGUCUGCUGGACUGUUUAAAAACCCAACAAUUUCGGUUGGUAUGGUUUGCAGGCCUUCCGGAGGUACUGUGGAUUUGACAUAUCCGAUCUAAAAUUUUGUUUAAAUUUGAUAGCUCGUCUUUGUUCUCCUUAAGAGGCGUGUUGUAUUGUUUGGCCGCGAGCUUUUGAAUCCGGCGUUGACCGCCGUGCCCUUUGGGCUUUUUUCUUUAUUCCGGCGCUGGUCUUUCCUGCGCCGUGACUGUCCGUUUCCAUCUCUGAUCUCGGAUGUAUUCGGGUCGCUGGUGCUGCAUCUUGCUAGCCAGCUGUCUUCUCCUGCGCAAAAGCGAGUCAUGAGGCUUGUUAGUGCGGCCAUUGUUCUUGGCUUCUCUUGGCCGAGGUGUCUGGCGAGCCAUUUGUCUCGGGCGUUGUGUUUAAAAGCUGCUAGGGCUUCUGCGUCCGGACAGUUGACUAUUUGGUUCUUUUUGGUAAGGAACCUGUUCCAGAAUUUGCGCGCUGACUCUCCGGGCUGUUGGGUUAUAUGACUCAAAUCGUCUGCAUCCGGAGGGCGGACAUAAGUCCCUUGAAAAUUUGCUCUAAACGCGUCCUCAAGCUCUUCCCAACUUCCAACAGUAUUUUCUGGGAGGCUUUUGAGCCAAUGCCGAGCUAGCCCUUUGAGCUUGAGGGGUAGGUAUUUUAUGGCGUGGAGAUCAUCUCCUCUAGCCAUGUGUAUGUGUAGUAUAUAAUCUUCUAUGCAGACUCCGGGGUCUGUUGUGCCGUCGUAUGCCUCUAUGUUUAUGGGUUUGAACCCUGCUGGAAAUUCAUGAUCCAGCACCUCAUCAGUAAAACAUAGCGGGUGUGCGGCGCCCCUGUAUUUGGGUGUGCCGCUGUCUUCGAACACUUGUCGUGUUGUGUUAGUUCCUGGGGUCCUCUUUUUUUGGCCCGUAGAUGGACCUAGUUGGGCCGUCUGUUUUUCCAGGAUUAUAAUUCGGCUUGUGUGCAGCCCCGCUUGUCGCUUUGGGCCUGUCAUCUGGCCGUCUAACCGGCUAGGCGGCCUCUUUAUUUUUUGACUGUGAAGGCUCUAUGGCUUCCUCGUCAAAUUCUGGCAGCAACUUGCGCUUCGGGUAGCUCUUAGUUUGAUGGCCAUUGCCAUAUUUGUCUGCGGUCUUGAAUACUUUGCUCCACUUCAUUCUGAGCGUGUCUUCUGCUGUUUUGAGCUUCCGUUUCGCCUUCUUCAAACUUCUUGCAGUGGCGACGAGUUUUUUGUGUAUGUUCUUAUGCUCCGGUGUUGGCUCCGGACUGUUGAUUGCUCCGUGAAGGGGUUGAUUAUCCGGCUCGUCCUGUUCGUCGUCCGCUGGUUUGCCCUGCUCUAUCGCUGGGUCGUUAGGAAGGCUGCUUUGAUCGAGGCGGGACUUAGGGCGGCGUCUACGUCGCUGUUUUGGUUCUUUAUCGGCGAGAUUAUCCUCUGCCGCAUCCUGUUGUUCCUCGUUAUCGCUUCCCUUUGGGGUGUCCACCAUGUAUAUGUCAUAUGACGGGGUGGUCUUCCAGUGUCCUGUAGGCACUGGUUCUUGGUAGUCUCCGGCAUCGUCGUCCAUACCGUCGAUGUCUUCGGAGUCAUAGUUGAGUACGUCGGUUAAAUCGUCGACGGUGGCUACGAAGUGGGUGGUGGGUGGGUUCUGAAUUUCUUCGUCGUCCGCGUCCCAACCAUCCUGGCCAUAGUUCGGCCAGGGCUCUCCGGAUAGCGAGAGAUGCUUUAGUGAAUUUAUAAUAUCGCUGAAGGGCGAGUGCUGAAAGAUGUCCGCAGCGGUAAAUUCCAUGAUCGGUGCCCAAUCGGAUUUGACUGGUAGGGGCGCAGGAGGUUCGGAGUCCGGCAGGGAGUCUGGCACCUCGGAGUCAUGAGCUUUAUGCGGGAUAAGGUAAGUGUUCGGCUCCAUCGCCGUAGGAGUUGCGGCUCCCGAGGCGGUGUCCAGCCAUCCGUCCUCGAUCCGAGCGAUCGGCUCCGAACUAUGAGUCGGAGCGGACUCGUGUGCGGCCUCCAAGGUGUUGUCCGGCGGCAGAGUUAGGUCAUGCCCCUCGUGACAGCGCGGCACGCUCGGCUGUGGCUCAGAUCCAUCGAAGAUCAAGUCCCCGCGGAUAUCGGCCAUGAAGUUUAGGCUUCCAAACCUGACCUGACGGCCAGGGGUGUAGCUUUCGAUCUGCUCCAGAUGGCCAAGCGAGUUGGCCCGCAGUGCGAAGCCGCCGAAUACGAAGAUCUGUCCGGGGAGAAAAGUCUCACCUAGGACUGCGUCGUUGUUGAUUGAAGAGGCCAUCAAGCCUAUCGGUGACAACACAGAGGAACCCUCAAUGAAAGCACCAAUGUCGGUGUCAAAACCGGCAGAUCUCGGGUAGGAGGUCCCGAACUGUGCGUCUAGGCGGAUGGUAACAGGAGACAAGGGACACGAUGUUUUACCCAGGUUCGGGCCCUCUUAAUGGAGGUAAAACCCUACGUCCUGCUCGAUUGAUAUUGAUAUUGUGGAUGUUUACAAGAGUGAAUCUACCACGAGAUCAAGGAGGCUAAACCCUAGAAGCUAGCCUAUGGUAUGAUUGUAAGGGUUGUUCUCAUAGUCCUACGGACUAGAGCCAUCCGGUUUAUAUAGACACCGGAGAGGGCUAGGGUUACAUAGAGUCGGUUACAAUGGUAGGAGAUCUACAUAUCCGUAUCGCCAAGCUUGCCUUCCACGCCAAGGAAAGUCCCAUCCGGACACGGGGAGAAUUCUUCAAUCUUGUAUCUUCAUAGUCUUGGAGUCCGGUCGAUGAUGAUAGUCCGGCUAAUGAUAGUUCGGCUGAUGAUGGUAGUCCGGCUAUCCGGACACCCCCUAAUCCAGGACUCCCUCACUUAGCAUCUACCAUUGUAUAAUGCCUAACAUGCAUCAGAAAAAUAGUACUAAUAACAACUUAGACAACUUAAGCAGGUUAGCAGCAAACACUUAGAUAAACGGCAGAUUAACCACCGCACACCAUAAGUUCACGCCCACCAUAGACCAUAGGACAUAAGUUCUUACACACCAUAGACAAUAAGUUUUAGAGUCGACCAGCAAAUACCGAUAACAUAAAAGGACACGGCGGUCCUGGGGCAGCAACAGCAGUCUAGCAGCACAUCACUUAUCUCCCAUGUUUAGCGGCGGCGCGGCGGGAUGUAGUAGGGCUCAUUGACUUUGACAAUCUUUAAAGCGCCCGUAGGCCGCAUGUUUGGCCAGAGUACUGGCCUUUUGCUUCCUACUGUAGGAGUUGCCAGUGGUGACGGCAUGUUGCAUCAAGCCAUCAAUGCCGCCCUUGAUCGCCUUGCCAUAGAAGGGGCAGCCAAGCUUGCCAUAGAAACGGUACUUGAAUUUUCCAGCAAUCAGCUGCCUCAUGAUGUAGUGGCUCUUGCUGUGCCUGUUGUCCAUGUCAUACCCCACAUCAUCGUCAUCCUCCUGUGAAUUAGUACACAAAGAAGAACUCAGUUAAUCUAUUCUGCUACAUUGCUCUUAAUUAGAAUGUGUGAAAAGUACAUACGUGUAACAUGACAAAUAUCUAUUUGCUGGAAAUAAGGCGUAUAUGCACAUACAUAAUUGACCAAAAUAAUUUGACAUGCAUAAAUAUGGACGGUGGAAUAGUUGCAUUGAUAGAUUAGUGCACAAGAAGUACAUAAUUAACACAUGAAAGAAUUCAUGAUGUGGCUUGGUUAAAUGAUACUUGAUACUUGUUACAGGUGUAAUUCUGAUUGGAAUCAGAAAAAAAGGCUUCAUUAUACUCCUCCAUGUUACACACAGGGGGGUAUUCUUCUAUCUACUGGAAUCAAGAAACCAUUAUUCUUUCUGAGAGCAGCAAUACUAAUUCUCCAACAUUGUUAGCCCCUGAUAAGUUUUAGAAGGAAACUGAUAAAGGAGCUAUGGGCUACUAUCUUUAUCCCUUAACUUAUGACUCUGAUGAUACCGGUGUGGAAAAUACUUUGGAGGAACUUAACUUGGAAAAGGAAAUUUUGUCAUGCAAAACAAAGUGUUUUUUUGUCUAUUUAUUGGAAUCAAAAAUUGAAUUCUAGUUUUACAAAUAUAUGCUAAAAAAUAUUCAUUCCAGUGGUCUAAAAAAAGAUUCAUAAAUUGAAUUCUAGUUUUAGAAAUACAAGUUGAGUAUUUAGGGCAUGUUGUCUAAAAAACAUUCAUUCCAGUGGUCAGAUGCUGAAAUUGAGACCUUCACAACAUUGAAGAAUUGUCUGGUCACUGCUCUUGUUAUGGCUUUGCCUUAUUUGACCCUACCAUUUACUUUUUAAAUAGAUGCAUCAGGUGAAGGUAUUGGUUCUGUCCCCAUGCAACAAGGCAGACCAAUUGCUAGAAAAGGAAAUGUUGUCAUGCAAAACAGGGGUUCUCAAAGAAAUAAUCAAGUGGUCAGAACAUGAUUCUUACCAAUUAAAUCUAAAUGUAGAUGCAUCAUAUGAUAGUUAAGAAGGAGAUGAGUCGACGGGUGGUGUUUUAAGAGAUCAGUAUGGCAACUUUGUGUCAAUCCAGUAAAUUACCAUUAUAUUCCAAAUGCAUCAUUUGCCUGCUUGAUGGAUUCGGUGGCAAUGAAAGAAGGCCUAUCUUUGGUAGCACCUGUAGGCUAUCAUCAAAUUAUUGUAGAAUGGGAUUGCUUACAAGUUGUUCAAGCUUUUACUCGAGGUAACACAUGGUGGAACGAAGGAUCACGUAUUAUUGCUGAUAGUUUUGAUCUAGUUCUGGAGAUAGGAACUGCGCAUUUUCUCACUGUCCUCGGGAAGCCAAUGGUGUCGCACAUGAGAUCGCUAGAAAUAGCUAUGAGAAUCAUCUAUCUUGUAUUUGGGUUGAUUACGCCACUUCUAUCAUUCAUGUAUCCCUUGUGAACGAUGUAAGUUUGCUUAAUCAAUAAAGCAUGCCGUGAUGGAAUCAGAUAAUGAAUCUCUGUUUUAGCUAUACUAGUGGGUUUUUUCUUCUGUCUAUUCGAAUCAGAAAAUGAAUCAGAUUCUAAAACUGCCAUCCAACAAGAAAAUAUAUGCUAGAUCCCUAGCUACAAUCCUACAUGUACGCAAACAUUAUAGCUGGGCCAGUACAUGAGUAGAAAUACCUCAUCAAUACGUGAAGAAAAUGAUUCAGAUUCAAAAACCACCAUUCAAUAUGCAAGAAAAUCUAUGCUAGAUCCUUUCAACUAGCACACCCAUAUGAAAUUGAUGCUCAUGUACUUAACAAAAAAACCAAUGCCAUGAAAAAACAGGGUACUUACAGGAAAUAUAAAUCUAAUAAAAUCAGAUUAGUACCUCAGAUAGCUCGUCGAUGACGUCCUCGUUGUAGUCGCUGCCCUUCCUGGGAUCCACAGCCAUCUCGAACUCUAUUUGCUCCUCGUCGUUCCCCUCGUAGAACUCCUCCUCGAUUUUGUCAUAGAGCUCGCGCUUCAGCCUCGCCUUCUGCUUGUCCAGAUCUUCAUCGACCUUCUCCUGCAUAGGCUCACCGUCGGGUAGCUCGCCGGCUGGGAUGAUACCGGGAGGAGGCACAGCAGUUGCUGCACCGCCUCCAUCGCCGCUACGGCGGACUCAACCGCUGCAACUGCGGCGGCAGCCAUGACAGCAGACUGCUCUCCACCGAUGGUUGCCUCCGGCUCGUCCAUCGCAUCUUCACGGCCGCGCUUCAUCGGCGGUCGACGAGAGGACGAGGGACGUGUUGGAAGGGAGGAGAGGUGUGGAGUGGUGAGGAAGGGAAGAGGGUUUGGGAGAGGACGAGGUGGUAUGGCUGGAGUGGGAGAGGACGAGGGUUUUCUACCCGAUUUGUGGAAGAAAAUGAAUGCGGCUGCCUCUUGGAGUUAUCGAGGGGUCGAGGGGGGUGAUUUGUCUCACCUACCAGGGCCUUCCACAGUGAGGACGCGUGGGGUUUGCCCCGCGCCAUGCACCUCGUAUGCGGUUUGCCCCGCGCCGCCCUUCAACUGCUGACACGUGGACACCAGCAGUGGUUACACAUGAUAGAUAUGGUAAAUGAAUUUCUUAAAUCUGAGGGCAUGUAAUUUGUAUCAAAAUGCAUCAUCAACUUAGCGGUAACACCCUCACGAUCACAUACUAAUGCCCUUGGUUCGAAACUCCGUCGUUCAGUUUAGUUCCCUCUUUUUUGCCUAUGUGGUUUUUACAUGUGGAUCCCACAUGUCAUUCACAUACACGGAGAACACGUACAAACAAACUUGCCGGACAUGAUGUAAAUGGGCCCAAAAAAUUUCUACUUCUUUGUAUCAUUCUUGUAUGGAUUUGUAUGGAUUUUCUAGUACGAUUAAGUGCUUAAGAUACUUCUCGGAGGUGAUGCGACAAGCGCACGUUGUCGAUCCACUGGGGUGGCCAUGCCCACAACAAGGAAAAAUUUGGUGUCAUUCUUAACAUGGCCAAAAAUUCACCUCCUUCACCGGCGGCCGUUCGGAUAGGAGGUAAGGGUCUGUGUGGAAGGACGGUUUUUUCUCGACAUGCUUCAAAUGGACCUAUAUUCUUUCUACACCCUUGUACCAACAUGAGAAGCAUCCAUGACUAGUUCCAUUGAUUUUUGAUGUUUUUAUUAUUUUUCUAGGGUUAUCACGAUGAUAAAACCCUAAAAUAUUUCCCACCAGCGCCACCCUUCCCUCUGAUCACUCUGACUAGCAUGUACUUAACUUAGCAUCAAGGCCAUGAAAACAGGAAUCAGAACCGUAUUAGAUUUUGAUCCCACACAUACAAAACAGAUAACACAAAUCACAGAUUGCAGGUACUAUGAUUAUCUGAGUGAACUUCUAAUGCAUAACAACUUCUGGUAUUCAAAUACAUCACAUGAAAUACUAAGACAACUAGAAAUGCAAAACAGCUUCUGUGUUGAGAUUGAGCAAGGGAUUUUUAUUGUGAGGCGCAGCAUCUUCAGCAACCUAUCCAUGAUUCCACCUAUAGCAUAUAAGUAACUGAAAUUUUUAGAUUGAAUACAGUUGGUAUUGGAAAAAUGAUAGUACGGUAAUUUGAAGAUGCCAAGGAAAUCUGUCGCAACAACUGUAGGAGUAUACAAAUUUGAAUACAAAGUUCAUAGAAGUCAAUGUUGAAUUAAUAAGACCUUUACAAGAUGCAAAAUCACUGCUGUGAUGAGAGUAAACAGCAUGUAGGCCAUAGCACAUGCAAGAAGCACUUACAGGAAGUGAAGCAAAACAUUGUACAGCACGGCAACAUGAGUAAGCCAACAUCCCUACUAAAAUUAUUUCACUGCUUAUGUCUAGCUUUUUUUCUUGAAUCAUUAGGAAGCCCUAAAUAUUUUGAUGCAAGAUCACCGACAGGGCACUAUUGAAAUAUUUCAAUGUCUACAUCUCUCUACUGAAAGUGCGUUACUGAAAUAUUUCAGUGGCUACGUGUGUGUGUACUGAAACAACACCACUGAAAUAUUUCAGUUGCUACAUGCGUGUACUGCAACAGCACCAUUGAAAUAUUUUAGUUGGUACUUGUGUGUACUGAAAGUGAACCGCUGAAAUAUUUCAGUGGAUACGUGCGUGUACUGAAAGUGCACUACCAAAAUAUUUCAGCGGCUACUUGCUUGUAUUGAAACAACACCCCAGAAAUAUUUCAGUGGCUACGCGCGUGUCCUGAAACUACUACACUGAAAUAUUUCAGGGGUUGCGUGCGUGUACAGAAACUACAGUAUUGAAUUAUUUCAGGGGUUGCGUGCGUGUACUGAAACUGCAGUACUGAAAUAUUUCAGUGUCUACCCGUGUGUACUGAAAUUGCAUUGCACUACUGAAAUAUUUCAGUGUGUACCCGUGUAUCUGCAGUUGCACUACUCAAAUCUUUCAGUGUGAACCGGUUAGUAGUGAAAUAUUUCAUUGCCUACAACUAUCUACUGAACUUGCAGUAUUGAAAUAUUUCAGUGUCAACCCAAAGUCUAUCACUCUAAAACUGUGUACUGAACUUGUCUGGAGGCACUUCUUGCAGCCUCGAUGGUGCAAGUUCAAUUUACACAGAUUGCAUCACGUAAUUUGAACACAACUCUUGAGGUGACAGAAAAAAAUUCCUAUCAUGGAUACCACUCCAGCACAUCAAAACAUAGCAAUGAUGGAGAAUCGGAGUAUAGAUCUGAAGCCGAAAAAUGACUAAGUGAGGAAGAACAAGUUUCACAUUAGAAUUUUAGAUCUACCGCAUGACAGGAAAAGGAAAAUAUUUAGACCUAAAGGUUGGUGCUUGAGCAGUUCAUGAAGUUCUAGAUCGGGUUUUUAUACACAAAAGAGAUGAUCUGAUGGCAAAAGAAGGAUUAUCAUUACUACCGCAUAAGAGUAUAUCACGUUUGGAGUCUAUCCUAUAGGCCUUAAUGAAGAACAGGGGAAGAACACCAUGAAGCUUCGAGGAGCCCAUGCGAAACCUAAACAGAUCUAUGGAGGAAAGGAAGAAGAACUCACCAAAAACUGUUGAACAGUGGAGAGGCACCGCGAUUUUCUGGUACGGGCAGGGUGAUGCAGCGGCCAAGGUCGGGGCAUGAUACGUCUCCAAUGUAUCUAUAAUUUUUUAUCAUUCCAUGCUACUAUAUUAUCAACUUUGGAUGUUCUAUAUCCAUGAUUAUGCUAUUUUAUAUUAUUUUUGGGACUAACCUAUUAACCUAGAGCCCAGUGCCAGUUCCUAUUUUUUCCAUGUUUUUAACCUUUUUCAGAUAGGAAUAUCAGACGAAGUCCAAACGGAAUAAAACCUUCACUAUGAUUUUUUAUGGAAAAUAUCAAAAAUACCAGAAAGAAAAGAUACCAGAGGGGAGUCUUGAGGAGAUCACAAGCCAGGUAGGCGUGCCUGGUGGGCUUGUGACCCCCUCGUGGGUCCCUCCAACUUGUUCUCGACGUCAUCUGGUCUUAUAAAUACAGAAACCUCCAGAAAAAAACCUAGAUCGGGAGUUCCGCCGCCGCAAGCCUCUGUAGCCACCAAAAACCAAUCGGGAGCCCUUUCUGGCACCCUGCCGGAGGGGGAACCCAUCUCCGGUGUCCAUAUUCAUCAUCCCUACAAUUUCCAUGACGAGGAGGGGAGUAGUUCUCCCUCGGGGCUGAGGGUAUGUACCAGUAGCUAUGUGUUUGAUCUCUCUCUCUCUCUCUCAUGUUCUUGAGAUGUAAUGAUCUUGAUGUAUCGCGGGCUUUGCUACUAUAGUUGGAUCUUAUGAUGUUCUUCCCCCUCUCCCUUCUUGUAAUGAAUUGAGUUUUCCCUUUGAAGUUAUCUUAUCAGAUUGAGUCUUUAAGAACACUUGAUGUAUGUCUUGCACGUGUCUAUCUGUGGUGACAAUGGGAUAUUCAUGUGAGUACUUGAUGUAUGUUUUGGUGAUCAACUUGCGGGUUUCGUGACAUUGGGAACCUAUGCAUAGGGGUUGGCGCAUGUUUGACUCUCCGGUAGAAACUUUGGGACACUCUUUGAAGUUCUAUGUGUUGGUUGAAUAGAUGAUUCUGAGAUUGUGUGAUGCAUAUCGUAUAAUCAUGCCCACGGAUACUUGAGGUGACAAUGGAGUAUCUAGGUGACAUUAUGGUCUUGGUUGAUAUGUGUUUUAGGGUGUUAUUCUAGUACGAACUCUAUGAUAGAUUGAACGGAAAGAAUAGCUUCGUGUUAUUUUACUACGGACUCUUAAAUAGAUCGAUCAGAAAGAAUAACGUUGUGGUGGUUUCGUACCCGACAAUAAUCUCUUUGUUUGUUCUCCGCUAUUAGUGGCUUUGGAGUGACUCUUUAUUGCACCUUGAGGGCUAGUUGUAUGAUCCAAUUAUGUUAUCAUUGUUGAGAGAACUUCCACUAGUGAAAGUAUGAACCCUAGGCCUUGUUUACACACAUUGCAAUACCGUUCGUGCUCACUUUCAUUGUUAUUUACCUUGCUGUUUUUAUUAUUUCAGAUUACAAAAACCUAUAUCUACUAUCCAUAUUGCACUUGUAUCACCAUAUCUUCGCCGAACUAGUGCACCUAUACAACUUACCAUUGUAUUGGGUGUGUUGGGUACACAAGAGACUCUUUGUUAUUUGGUUGCAAGGUUGCUUGAGAGAGACCAUCUUCAUCCUACGCCUCCCACGGAUUGAUAAACCUUAGGUCACCCACUUGAGGGAAAAUUUCUACUGUCCUACAAACCUCUGCACUUGGAGGCCCAACAACGUCUACAAGAGAAGGUUGCGUAGUAGACAUCAGGGCAAAGGUGAAGGUUGAUACGUCUCCAACGUAUCUAUAAUUUUUGAUUGCUCCAUGCUACUUUAUCUACUGUUUUGGACUAUAUUGGGCUUUAUUUUUCACUUUUAUGUUAUUUUUGCCUAUUUCAGUGUUUCGAAGAAACAAAAUAUCAAACGGAGGCCAAACGGAAUGAAACCUUCGGAAACGUGAUUUUCUAGCCGAACGUGAUCCAGGAGACUUGGACCCUACUCCAAGAAGUAACAGAGGCGGUCACGAGGGUGGGGGCGCCCCCUCCCCAGGGCGCACCCCCCGGCCUCGUGGGCCCCCUGUUGCUCCACCGACAUACUCCUUCCUCCUAUAUAUACCUACGUACCCCCAAACGAUCAGAACAUUAGCCAAAAACCUAAUUCCACCGCCGCAACUUUCUGUAUCCACGAGAUCCCAUCUUGGGGCCUGUUCCGGAGCUACGAGGGGGCAUCCACCAUGGAGGGCUUCUACAUCAACACCAUAGCCCCUCCGAUGAAGUGUGAGUAGUUUACUUCAGACCUUCGGGUCCAUAGCUAGUAGCUAGAUGGCUUCUUCUCUCUUUUUGGAUCUCAAUACAAUGUUCUCCCCCUCUCUCGUGGAAAUCUAUUUGAUGUAAUCUUCUUUUCGCGGUGUGUUUGUUGAGACCGAUGAAUUGUGGGUUUAUGAUCCAGCUUAUCUAUGAAUAAUAUUUGAAUCUUCUCUGGAUUCUUUUAUGUAUGAUUGAGUUAUCUUUGCAAGUCUCUUCGAAUUAUCCGUUUGGUUUGGCCAACUAUAUUGGUAGUUCUUGCAAUGGGAGAAGUGCUUAGCUUUGGGUUCAAUCUUGCGGUGUCCUUUCCCAGUGAUAGAAGGGGCAGCAAGGCACGUAUUGUAUUGUUUCCAUCGAGGAUAACAAGAUGGGGUUUUUAUCAUAUUGCAUGAAUUUAUCCCUCUACAUCAUGUCAUCUUGCUUAAGGCAUUACUCUGUCUUUAACUUAAUACUCUAGAUGCAUGCUGGAUAGCGGUCGAUGAGUGGAGUAAUAGUAGUAGAUGCAGAAUCGUUUUGGUCUACUUGUCUUGGAUGAUGCCUAUAUACAUGAUCAUACCUAGAUAUACUCAUAACUAUGCUCAAUUCUGUCAAUUGCUCAACAGUAAUUUGUUCACCCACCGUAGAAUAUCUAUGCUCUUGAGAGAAGCCACUAGUGAAACCUAUGGCCCCCAGGUCUAUUCUCAUCAUAUAAAUCUCCAUUACUAUAAUACUUGCUUUGUUUUUACUUUGCCUUUUACUUUUCACUUUGCACCUAUAUACCAAAAAUACCAAAAAUAUUAUUUAUCAUCUCUAUCAGAUCUCACUCUCGUAAGUGACCGUGAAGGGAUUUGACAGCCCCUAAUCGCGUUGGUUGCGAGGAGCUAUCGUUUUGUGUAGGUACGAGGGACUUGUGCGUGGCCUCCUACUGGAUUGAUACCUUGGUUCUCAAAAACUGAGGGAAAUACUUACGCUACUUUGCUACAUCAUCCUCUCCUCUUCGGGGAAAUCCAAAGCAGUGCUCAAGAGGUAGCAAGAAGAGUUUCUGGCACCGUUACCGGGGAGGCUCAUGCAAGAGCAAGUCAACCAUACCAAGUACCCAUCACAAUCCCUAUCUCUCGCAUUACAUUAUUUGCCAUUUGCCUCUCGUUUUCCUCUCCCCCACUUCACCCUUGUUGUUUUAUUCGCCCUCUCUUUCCCAAUCUCCUCCUCUUUUUCCCGCUUGCCUUUUUGUUUGCUCGUGUGUUAGUUUGCUUGCUUGUCGUCCUGACUAGUCUCAUAUCUUCUCCAUUAUCUCCAGAGAAUGAAGUUCUAAAUUUUAAACAAAGGGAGGGAGAAAAUCUAAAAGACUCUUGGUAUAGAAUUUGCAAUGCUCAAAAUAGAUCUACCAGGAAGCAAUCUACUUCAGUUCUUCUUCGUAAUACGUAGGUGCUAAUCCUUGGUAUAGAUAUAUCCUUGAUACCAUUACCGGAGGGAAUUUCUUGGGUAGCCAUACUUUUGAUUCUUAUAAUGCUUUAAUAGAUUUAUUUGGCUCACCACCUCUUUUGAUUAAUGGAACUAUGUUAACUUUGGAGCAUGUUAUGCAAAGACUUGAAAUUAUUGAGAAUAAAGUUGCUACCAUUGAAUCAAUUGAAAAUCUUGAUAAAAAGAUCCACAAUCAAAUUACCCAAUAUGGAUCUAAGGUAGGAAUGAAUUUGAAAAAUAUUAAAGAAAAAGAACCCAUAGUUAAUGAGAAAAUAAAUCUAGAUUCCACAAGAAUCCAUAAACUUGAGGGUAUCAUUACCAACUUGGGAACCGCUUUUUCUUCCGUACAAAACACUCCAAGUUAGUCUACUAAAAAUACUAAGCUUAUUUAUGUUCCUAAGAAUAAGGGUGAAUCAUCUAGUAAGGAAUCUGCGGAUCUUAAAUCUAUAAGUGUUCAUCCCAAUCUUUUUGCCAUCAUUAAGGAACCAUUUGCUAUGAAUGAAUUUUUUGAUCUUUUGCCUGAGAAUUCGACAAUUACUAGAAAGAAAUAAAAUUCUAAAGGAGGUAGAUGCCUCAUUGAAGAAUUGCCUACCAAAGAUGGCAAUACCUAGAUCUAUCCUUGCUUUUAUGCCUAGCUAGGGGCGUUAAACGAUAGCGCUUGUUGGGAGGCAACCCAAUUUUAUUUUUAAUUUUUAGUUUUUGCUUCUGUUUAGGAAUAAAUAAUCCAUCUAGCCUAUAUUUAGAUGUGUUUUUAUGUUUUAAUUAGUGUUUUUGCCAAGUAGAACCUAUAGGAUAACCUACGAUGAUAGUUGAUUUGAUUCUGCUGAAAAACAGAAACUUUGCGCGCACGAAUAUAAUUUUGUUAAAUCACAGAAACAUGCUUUUGCGUUGAUUAUUUUUUCUGCUGUUCAAUAAACAAAUUGUACAGGACUUCCUAUUUUGGUAGGAUUGUUAGAGUUCUAGAAGUUUGCGUUAGGUACAGAUUACUACAGACUGUUCUGUUUUUGACAGAUUCUGUUUUGCGUGUGUUGUUUGCUUAUUUUGAUGAAUCUAUGGCUAGUAAAAUAGUUUAUGAUCCAUAGAGAAGUUGGAAUACAGUAGGUUUAACACCAAUAUAAAUAAGGAAUGAGUUCAUUACAGUACCUUAAAGUAGUCUUUUGUUUUCUUUCUCUAACGGAGGUCACGAGAUUUCUAUUGAGUUUUGUGUUGUGAAGUUUUCAAGUUUUGGGUGAAUUCUGUUGAUGGAUUAUGGAAAAAGGAGUGGCAAGAGCCUAAGCUUGGGGAUGCUCAUGGCACCCCCAAGAUAAUACAAGGACACCAAAAAGUCAAAGCUUGGGGAUGCCCCGGAAGGCAUCCCCUCUUUCGUCUACUUCCAUCGGUAAUUUACUUGGAGCUAUAUUUUUAUUCACCACAUGAUAUGUGUUUUGCUUGGAGCGUCUUGUAUUAUUUGCGUCUUUUGCUUGUUAGUUUACCACAAUCAUCCUUGCUGUACACACCUUUUGAGAGAGCCAUACAUGAAUUGGAAUUUGCUAGAAUACUCUAUGUGCUUCACUUAUAUCUUUUGAGCUUGAUGGUUUUGCUCAUAGUGCUUCACUUAUAUCUUUUGAGCGUGAUAAUUUUUGCUCUAGUGCAUCACUUAGAUAUUUUAGAGCACGGUGGUGGAUUUGUUUUAAAGAAACUAUUGAUCUCUCAUGCUUCACUUAGAUUAUUUUGAGAGUCGUUAAUAGCAUGGUAAUUUGCUUAAUAUUAAUAUAUUUGGUAUUCAAGAUAUGUGAAACUUUCUUUUGAGUGCGUUGAAUACUAAGAUAAGUUUGGUGCUUGAUAAUUGUUUUGAGAUAUGGAGGUGAUAAUAUCAAAGUCGUGCUAGUUGAGUAAUUGUGAAUUUGAGAAAUGCUUGUGUUGAAGUUUGCAAGUCCCGUAGCAUGCACGUAUGGUUAAAGUUGUGUAACAAAUUUGAAACAUGAAGUGUACCUGGCUUGUGCAUCCUUAUGAGUGGCGGUCGGGGACGAGUGAUGGUCUUUUCCUACCAAUCUAUCCCCCUAGGAGCAUGCGCAUAGUACUUGAUUUUUGAUGACUUCUAAAUUUUUGCAAUGAGUAUAUGAGUUCUUUUGACUAAUGUUGAGUCCAUGGAUUAUACGCACUUUUACCUUUCCGCCUUUGCUAGCCUCUUCGGUACCAUGCAUUGCCCUUUCUCACCUUGAGAGUUGGUGCAAACUUCGCCGGUGCAUCCAAACCCCGUGAUAUGAUACACUCUAUCACACAUAAACCUCCUUAUAUCUUCCUCAAAACAGCCACCAUACCUAUCUAUCAUGGCAUUUCCAUAGCCAUUCCGAGAUAUAUUGCCAUGCAACUUUCAUCAUCAUAUACAUGACAUACAUUACUUUUGUCAUAUUGCCAUUGCAUGAUCAUGUAGUUGACAUCGUAUUUGUGGCAAAGCCACCAUGCAUUAUUUUUCAUACAUGUCACUCUUGAUUCAUUGCACCAUCCCGGUACACCGCCGGAGGCAUUCAUAUAGAGUCAUAUCUUGUUCUAGUUUCGAGUUGUAAUCCUUAUGUUGUAAUCAAUAGAAGUGUGAUGAUCAUCAUUAUUAGAGCAUUGUCCCAAAAAAAAGAAAAAAAGAAAAAAAAAGAAAGGCCAAAAAGAAAAAAGAAAAAGGAAAGGCCAAAAAAAAGAGAAAAAAAGAAAAAAAAGAGAAAAUAAAUAAAAAGGGGCAAUGCUACUAUCUCUUUUUCCACACUUGUGCUUCAAAGUAGCACCUUGUUCUUCAUGUAGUGAGUCUCAUAUAUUGUGCUUCAAAGUAGCACCUUGUUCUUCAUGUAUUGAGUCUCAUAAGAUGUCUUUUUAUACUAGUGGGAAUUUUUCAUUAUAGAACUUGGCUUGUAUAUUCCUACAAUGGCCUUCCUCAAAUGCCCUAGGUCUUCAUGAGCAGGCGAGUUGGAUGCACACCCACUAGUUUUCUUUUGUUGAGCAUUCAUAGCUCUAGUGCAUACGUUGCAUGGCAAUCCCUACUCCUCAUGUUGACAUCAAUUGAUGGGCAUCUCCAUAGCCCAUUGAUUAUUAUCCUCGUCAAUGUGAGACUUUCUCCUUUUUUUUGUCUUCCCCACACAAUCCCCAUCAUCAUAUUCUAUUCCACCCAUAGUGCUAUAUCCAUGGCUCACGCUCAUGUAUUGCGUGAAGGUUGAAAAAGUUUGAGAUUAUUUAAGUAUGAAACAAUUGCUUGGCUUGUCAUCGGGGGUAUAGAAGUUGGAAACAUCUUUGUGUGACGAAAAUGAAGCAUAGCCUAACUAUAUGAUUUUGUAGGGAUGAACUUUCUUUUGCCAUGCUAUUUUGAGAAGACAUGAUUGCUUUGAUUAGUAUGCUUGAAGUAUUAUUAUUUUUAUGUCGAUAUGAACUUUUGUCUUGAAUCUUUCAGAUCUGAAUAUUCAUGCCACAAUUAAGAAGAUUUACAUUGAAAUUAUGCCAAAGUAUCACUCCGCAUAAAAAAUGCUCUUUUUAUCAUUUACCUACUCGAGGACGAGCAGGAAUUAAGCUUGGGGAUGCCUGAUACGUCUCCAACGUAUCUAUAAUUUUUGAUUGCUCCAUGCUACUUUAUCUACUGUUUUGGACUAUAUUGGGCUUUAUUUUCCACUUUUAUGUUAUUUUUGGGACUAACCUAUUAACCGGAGGCCCAGCCCAGAAUUGUUUUUUUUUCUAUUUCAGUGUUUCAAAGAAACGGAAUAUCAAACGGAGUCCAAACAGAAGGAAACCUUCGGAAACAUGAUUUUCUCACCGAACGUGAUCCAGGAGACUUGGACCAUACUCCAAGAAGUAACAGAGGCGGUCACGAGGGUGGGGGGCGCGCCCCCUGCCUCGUGGGCCCCCUGUUGCUCCACCGAUGUACUCCUUCCUCCUAUAUAUACCUACGUACCCCCAAACGAUCAAAACAGGAGCCAAAAACCUAAUUCCACCACCGCAACUUUCUGUAUCCAUGAGAUCCCAUCUUGGGGCCUGUUCCAGAGCUCCGCCGGAGGGGGCAUCCACCACAGAGGGCUUCUAUAUCAACACCAUAGCCCCUCCGAUGAAGUGUGGGUAGUUUAAUUCAGACCUUCGGGUCCAUAGCUAGUAGCUAGAUGGCUUCUUCUCUCUUUUUGGAUCUCAAUACAAUGUUCUCCCCCUCUCUCGUGGAGAUCUAUUCGAUGUAAUCUUCUUUUUGCGGUGUGUUUGUUGAGACCGAUGAAUUGUGGGUUUAUGAUCCAGCUAUCUAUGAAUAAUAUUUGAAUCUUCUCUGAAUUCUUUUAUGUAUGAUUGAGUUAUCUUUGCAAGUCUCUUUGAAUUAUCCGUUUGGUUUGGCCAACUAGAUUGGUAGUUCUUGCAAUGGGAGAAGUGCUUAGCUUUAGGUUCAAUCUUGCGGUGUCCUUUUCCAAGUGACAGAAGGGGCAGCAAGGCACGUAUUGUAUUGUUGCCAUCGAGGAUAACAAGAUGUGGUUUUUAUCAUAUUGCAUGAAUUUAUCCCUCUACAUCAUGUCAUCUUGCUUAAGGCGUUACUCUGUUUUUAACUUAAUACUCUAGAUGCAUGCUGGAUAGCGGUCGAUGAGUGGAGUAAUAGUAGUAGAUGCAGAAUCGUUUCGGUCUACUUGUCUUGGACGUGAUGCCUAUAUACAUGAUCAUACCUAGAUAUACUCAUAACUAUGCUCAAUUCUGUCAAUUGCUCAACAGUAAUUUGUUCACCCACCAUAGAAUAUCUAUGCUCUUGAGAGAAUCCACUAGUGAAACCUAUGGCCCCCGGGUCUAUUCUCAUCAUAUCAAUCUCCAUUACUUUAAUACUUGCUUUGUUUUUACUUUGCCUUUCACUUUUCACUUUGCAUCUAUAUACCAAAAAUACCAAAAAUAUUAUUUAUCAUCUCUAUCAGAUCUCACUCUCGUAAGUGAUCGUGAAGGGAUUGACAACCCCUAAUCGCGUUGGUUGCGAGGAGCUAUCAUUUUGUGUAGGUACGAGGGACUUGUGCGUGGCCUCCAACUGGAUUGAUACCUUGGUUCUCAAAAACCGAGGGAAAUACUUAUGCUACUUUGCUGCAUCAUCCUCUCCUCUUCGGGGAAAUCCAGCGCAGUGCUCAAGAGGUAGCAAAGGUCGACGGCGGUGGCAGCGCUCGAGUGCUAAGGCAACGUGAGGUGGAAGACAGACGAAGAGGCAAGGGGAGAAAAGGAAAGGGACCCUCGGCCCUAUUUAUAAGACGAAGAGAUAAGUGACAGGCGCAGGAAUCGAGGAGCCCAAAAAAUGGAUAUGUCCCAGACCCGUCUCCUCAAUUUUUGGAGGCUCAUUAAUAAAAGUAAGGUAUAUACAGUUUUUUUAAUGAACAGGUGAUGUCAUGGCGAUUUAUUAUAAUCCUGGAAGAUGACGUCAUGGCGGUUUAUUAUAAUCCUGGAAGAUGACGUCAUGGCGGAUUACAAGGUUUACUCGAAGGUACUAAAGAAGAAGUUUUUCUAAAGUGUUGAAGAUUGACAUGAACAGGUUCAAAUCAAUCUGGGGCCUAAUGUUGGGGAUAUAACUACUGAGUAUAAACCGCCCAGGAGGGGUCGGGUUAUACCUGUAAUGAGUUAUUCAUAUUGAAGCCCAUGAAGAUAAGGUGUAUGACGCUUUAAUAUAAGAGAUCUAAAAGCCCAGGGCCCAAAGGCGGAUUAGGGCCCAUAGACAUAAACCGCCAUAAGGUGUGUAACUUGUGUUGUAAGAUAGGAAAGAGUAGAAACCGAGCCGCACACGUUUAUGAGCCGGUCGGGAUUCUAUAAACCGCAGGGCCUCAAGCUGUGUAUAUAAAGGGAUGACCCGGUGGCAGUUCAAGGACAAGAAACAACAACUCGAGAGCCAGGCAAAGCGUAUUCGCUCCCUGGUCAUCGAAACCAUAGCAAUCCCAUCAUAACUGGAGUAGGCUUUACCUUCACCGUAAGGGGACGAACCAGUAUAAUUCCUUGCUUCCUUUGUCAGCUUUAACCCCUUUAAGUUCACUAUGUUGCAAUGGCUCCACGACUAAGUCCUCACACUGGGACAUCUGCCGUGACAAUCCCACGACAAGCGGGGAAAUAUUUAGCAGAGAAAUAAUAAAUCAUAUCCUGGGGACUACGCACACAACCAGGAUCAAGAGAAUUAAACCAUGUUUUAGCAUCACCCUUUAAUGAGAACGGGAAUAACUUAAGGAUAAAGUAAUAGUGAGUUUUCUCAUCAUUAGUGAAUAGGGUGGCUAUAUCAUUUAAUUUAGUAAGAUGUGUCACAACAGUUUCAGAUUCAUAGCCAUAGAAAGGAUCAGAAUCAACCAAAGUAAUUAACUGAGGAUCGACAGAGAAAUCAUAAUCCUUAUCGGAAAUAAAGAUAGGUGAAGUAGCAAAAGCAAGGUCAUAUUUCAUUCUAGCAUUCAAAGACUUUUCUUUAAGCUUAGCUAAUAAUUUCUUAAGAUCAGAUCUAUCAUUGCAAUCUAAGAAGUCUCUAGCAGUUUCUUCAUCCAUAACAUAACCCUCAGGCAUAAUGGGCAAUUCAUAUCUAGGGGAGAAUCUUCAUCAUCACUUUCAUCAAUAUUAUCAGUUUCAGUAAUUUCAUUCUCUCUAACCCUAGCAAGUUGUUCAUCAAGAAAUUCACCUAAUGACAUAGUAUUAUCAAGCAUAGAAGUAGUUUCAUCAUAAGUAUCAUGCAAAGUAGAAGUGGCAUCAUCAAUAACAUGCGACAUAUCAGAAUGAAUAGCAGGAGUAGGUGUCGCAACUUUACUCAAAACAGAAGGUGAAUCAAGUGCUGAGCUAGAUGGCAGUUCCUUACCUCCACUCAUAGUUGAGGGAAAAUCUUGGUUCUUUUAUCUUUCAAGUUCUUCAUAGUGAUCAGCAGAUAUAAAUCCCAAGUGACUCAAAGAAUAGAGCUAUGCUCCCUGGCAACAGCGCCAGAAAAUAGUCUUGAUAACCCACAAGUAUAGGGGAUCACAACAGUUCUCGAGGGUAGAGUAUUCAACCCAAAUUUAUUGAUUCAACACAAGGGGAGCCAAAGAAUAUUAUCAAGUAUUAGCAGCUGAGUUGUCAAUUCAACCACACCUGGAAACUUAAUAUCUGCAGCAAAGUAUUUAGUAGCAAAGUAAUAUGAUAGUAGCAGCAACGGUGGCAAAAGUGACGGUAGCAGUUUUGUAGUGAUUGUAACAGUGGCAACGGAAAAGUAACUAAGCAAAGAUCAAUAUAUGAAAAGCUCAUAGGCAAUUGAUCAGUGAUGGAUAAUUAUGUCGGAUGCGAUUCCUCAUGCAAUAGUUAUAACAUAGGGUGACACAGAACUAGCUCCAGUUCAUCAAUAUAAUGUUGGCAGGUAUUCAGAUAUAGUCAUACGUGCUUAUGGAAAAGAAAAUGCAUGACAUCUUUUGUCCUACCCUCCCGUGGCAAUGGGGUCCUAUUGGAAACUAAGGGAUAUUAAGGCCUCCUUUUAAUAGAGUACCGGGAAUACAUCAACACCUCAAACUACGGUCAUCACCGGUAAGUAUCCCGAUUAUUGUCACUUCGGGGUUAACGGAUCAUAACACAUAAUAGGUGACUAUAGACUUGCAAGAUAGGAUCAAGAACUCAAAUAUAUUCAUGAAAACAUAAUAGGUUCAGAUCUGAAAUCAUGGCACUCGGGCCCUAGUGACAAGCAUUAAGCAUAGCAAAGUCAUAGCAACAUCAAUCUCGGAACAUAAUGGAUACUAGGGAUCAAACCCUAACAAAACUAACUCGAUUACAUGAUAAAUCUCAUCCAACCCAUUACCAUCCAGCAAGCCUACAAUGGAAUUACUCACGCACGUCGGUGAGCAUCUUUAAACCUCGCCUCGGCAACUUGCAAUACACGUCACGAAGCUUCAAAAGUAUAUCACCUCAGCGCAGGAAGGGACGUUCAUUCCCGACAGAGAAAAGGACGAGCUGAUUGAGGCCCUAGGGAAUGCUGAGCACCCUGGACGAACACGAGGCACUCCAGGCUCCGUUCUAUGGAAGUUUGGGUUUCCCGAUGCAGGCGGUUACAAAAGCCGGGAGAGAAAGAGGAAAGAGGAGCUGAGCGACAUGUAGAAGCUCAAUGCAAGACUACAAAAGCUAGAGGAAGCUGAGAGCAAGCGAGCUGCCGACCAACCAUCUCAGCGGCACGAAGCUACCCCAUAAACUACCCCGCCAUCUCAGCGGAGAAGCAGCAUGGCUUCCACGGAGUCCGUUCAUCCUGACUUCAUGUCUCCUAGCUACCCCGUGGAUACUAUCACGAAGGCUCAACAUUGCGAGCUUAUGACGAAAUGCCGGAACCUCACUUUCAAGGCGUCUACAAGCGAAGGGUAGAAUUGGCUGGUUCAUGCUCUGAGGAGUACAUGUCUAUGGCAGAAGGAGUACAUCAAGCUUCCAAACUGGACGCCUCUGCUUCCUGCUCCUCCUCCGGCGAGUCAGGGCACUCCGCCUCCUCCUCCUCCGGCGAGUGAUCAGGGCACUCCACCUCCUUCUCCGGCUCCUCCGACACGUGAGGGCACUCCGCCUCCUCCUUCGCAUACUACGGCGCGUCGGAGCAGUCCGCCUCCUCCUCAGCCUCGUCGGCAAUGGCGGAAGACAAACGCCGUCGCUCUGGCUCCUUCGGUGCGUCAGAUUUCUCCGCCUCAUCGGCAACGACGGAAGAGAGACGCCGCCGCUCCGGCGGCUAGCAGUAUAAGCAGAGGCGGGAGCCAAUUCAGAUACGGUCCAUCUCUCAAGCCUCUGGAAAGUUACCAUAUGAGAGGACCGAGCAGGAAAAUGAGGACAUAUGUCGUGCCCAACUAAGGGACCAUUUUGCAAAGAAAACUCCACCUCUGAAGGAGAAGGUAGAUCCGGUGAAAGUGAAGCGCACUAUCAAUGCCCUGAAGCGACCACCACUGCCUCCACCGGAUUCCAACUAUGGCCGCAUAAUUACUAAGACACAUGCUAAAGCGCAGCAGUCGGGAAGUACUUCCAGUGCUGCAAGAGCGAAAAAAUGAGGAAGUGGGAAAACAAUUCCUCAGCUCGGCGAACAGGAGAAGCAAUCGUGCCCCCNNNNNNNNNNNNNNNNNNNNNNNNNNNNNNNNNNNNNNNNNNNNNNNNNNNNNNNNNNNNNNNNNNNNNNNNNNNNNNNNNNNNNNNNNNNNNNNNNNNNNNNNNNNNNNNNNNNNNNNNNNNNNNNNNNNNNNNNNNNNNNNNNNNNNNNNNNNNNNNNNNNNNNNNNNNNNNNNNNNNNNNNNNNNNNNNNNNNNNNNNNNNNNNNNNNNNNNNNNNNNNNNNNNNNNNNNNNNNNNCUAAUCAUCCGAUGCUACUGCCCGAUACCACUCUUGAUGAUUACCUGCCCAAUGAUGUACAGUUUGAAACGGCUGAGGUAGUAGACGUCUUUAGAUACGAGCAUGGGAAGCCUCUCGUCAAACCUGAUCAUCCUCAUCUAACAACGAUGAUGCAAAAAUUGCAUGACUGGUACAUGGAAACCUACAGGAAGUCUGGGAAAGACAUUUGUUAGUCAGAAUUAAAAAAGAGCAUGACUUCCUUGGAAUCGACCUGCUGCCUGCUGAAUUUGUGGAGUUAUUUCAAUUAUACAAUCACAAGGCCCUCGACAAACAACUCAUGACUUGCUACUGUCUGUAAGUAUUACUUCUAUAAUUAAGUCUCUAGCUCAGCUCAUUCAUUGCAUGUAUAUAUAAUUAUCCUCACUAUAUUAUGCAGAUUGAAGAUGGUCGAAUGCAAAAAAAUAGGAAUCUUCGACGUUGGGUUCAUUAGCCCAAAUACCGUAAAUGAAUGGUCGGUACGAAAGGUGGCUGAAGAUACCGAGAACAACUUACUACAAACGUUCCUUACACAUCAAAACAAAAGGGAAAUACUCUUUCCUUACAACUUCAAGUGAGUGUUACUGUCUUCUGCAUAUUCGGUUCCGCUUACUCGUGGUUAAGUAAUGUAAUUGAUGAGUUAUGCGUGCGCAGCUUCCACUAUAUUCUGCUAUCCAUUAACCUUGACGGGGCAUUACUAAUUGUCUUAGACUCGCUCCGUAAAGAUCCCAAGUAUUAUGCGGACACGACUGCAAUGCUCCAAAAGUAAGUUCAAUCAAUACCGGGACCAUAUCGGCAACUUUUAUUCAUUUCCUGAUAUCAAGUAAUCAUUUUCUUUGCCUGCCAGGGUUUGGAAAACGUUCACCGCUAAGGUUCCGGGUCUGAAGAAGGAGUUGCAAUUUACACACACCAAAGUAAGUAGUACAAGCUAGUUUCGCGCAUCUCUCAUUGAUUCUAGUUUAAUCAAUAUCAUUAUCAUGCUUGCUUAUCAGUUUGAUUGAACUCUAUUCUCGUAAAGUGCUUGUUGCAGGCACCCAACACUCAUUUAUGUGGAUACUACGUAUGCGAGUUCAUUCGCUACUAUACCUCUGAACGGGCCUCCUAUGAGAAACAAUUUGAAGUACGUAAACAAUAUUCACAAUUUUAUUUUAUAUAUUACCAUCAGUUGUGUUGAGUUUCAUUCAUAUAUAUGUAUUGACCCCUUCUUUAAAUUAGAUCUGGCAGCUGCGGGAUGAACUCCUACCACAUGAUCGCAUACGAGCAAUUCAAGAGGAAUUGGCGGGAUUCUUUCUUGACCACGUCAUACCUGAACAAGGAGAAUACCAUGUGAAAUUGAAAUUGUUGUAAGGGAUGUUAUAUAUUGUACAUAUGUAGCAGCGUCGGAUAGAUAUACGAAAACUUGUUAUUCGACCAAGCACGAAGAAAGAUAUGUCACUUCUCUCUAUAUAUGUUCAUGACGAUCUUGUGUAAUUAAUGGUUUCCUUUAGUUGCUUACUAGCUAGCGUCGAGUUCUCUCUAUAUGUGUAGUAGCUAGAGUCAACCAAGCACGGAAAAAGAGAGGUCACUUCUCUCUAUUAGCUCGGUAACACAAUACGAAACCCCUAAAUUAACCCUCCAAAACCCCAACCCCCCCCCUCCCCCCCGUCCAAAAAAAAACAAAACCCCCAGUGACUGCGAGCUGCUGACGCGUGGCCGCCUUUUGGUCCUGGUUGGUGUUACCAACCGGNNNNNNNNNNNNNNNNNNNNNNNNNNNNNNNNNNNNNNNNNNNNNNNNNNNNNNNNNNNNNNNNNNNNNNNNNNNNNNNNNNNNNNNNNNNNNNNNNNNNNNNNNNNNNNNNNNNNNNNNNNNNNNNNNNNNNNNNNNNNNNNNNNNNCCCCAGCGACCGCGAGCUGCUGACGCGUGGCCGCCUUUUGGUCCUGGUUGGUGUUACCAACCGGGACUAAAGGUCCUCCCUCCCCCGCCCCAGGCAGCGCCACGUGGAGGGCCUUUGGUCCCGGUUCGUAAGCAAACCGGGACUAAAGGUUUUGGGUAUUAGUCCCGACCCUUUAGUCCCGGUUCGAGAACCGGGACAAAUGGCCCUCUGGAACCGGGACAAAUGGCCCUUUUUGUACUAGUGACUUCUCAUAGAAGAUACUUACAGAUAGACAUAAUCUCCUAUUUCGAAAAUUAAUUCUCUUCUUCGAUUAUCUGCAUAGCUCUUCUGACGAGUUUGUGCCACUCUCAAGUUCUCUCUAAUGAACCUGACUUGUUCCUCGGCAUUCCUGAGCACAUCUGGUCCAAAGACUUAACUUUCACCCGUUUGAUUCCAGAACAACGGUGUUCUACACUUACGCCCAUACAAUGCUUCAAACGGUGCCAUCUUUAGACUAUUCUGGUGAUUGUUGUUGUAAGAGAACUCCGCAUACGGUAAACUUUUAUCCCAACUAGUACCAUACUGCAAUGCACAAGCUCUCAACAUAUCUUCAAGAAUCUGAUUGAGCCUUUCUGUCUGUCCAUCAGUCUGAGGAUGAUAUGUUGUACUGAAAUUCAACUUCGUUACCAAUGAUUUAUGCACUUUCUGCCAAAAGAUGGACGUGAACUGCGGACCUCUAUCAGACACAAUCUUCUUAGGAACUCCAUGCUGACAUACUAUUCUUUCCAUGUAUAGCUCUGCCAAUCUUUCCCCGCUAUAAGUAGUCUUGACAGGCAAAAAGUGAGCGACUUUAGUGAGACGAUCCACUAUUACCCAUAUAGAAUCAUAACCUUGCUGAGUGUGUGGUAAUCCCACUAUAAAGUCCAUUCCGACUUCUUCCCAUUUCCACUCAGGAAUCUUCAUUGGUUGCAACAAACUAGCGGGUCUCUGAUGCUUAGUCUUUACCCUCUGACAAGUGUCACAUAUAGCUACAUACUCAGCCACAUCUCUUUUCAAUCCAUACCAGCAGUACUUCUCCUUAAGAUUUAGAUACAUCUUAGUACUUCCAGGAUGGAUAGAAUAGGCUGACUCAUGUGCUUCACGCAAAAUUGUAUCAUGAAUGGCUUUCACCUCAGGCACACAUAUCCUUUUUCCAAACCAUAAGGUUCCAUUCUCAUCUAUUCUGAAGCCAGGUGCUUUACCAAUCACCACAUUCUCAGCUAUCUCCUUUAGCUUUUCAUCUUCUAGCUGACCCUUACGUAUUUCUUGCUCCAAUGUAGGAAUCACUUUUAUCUCCAUAGCACUAGCAACAAUGCCAAGGUUCAGAUGUUGCAACUCCGCAUACAACUCUUCUGCCUCUGGUCUCAACUUAAGAUUGUUGUCAUAUUUCUUCCUAUUGAGAGCAUCAGCUACAACAUUUGCCUUACCUGGAUGAUAAUGUACCUCCCGUUCAUAAUCCUUGAUUAACUCUAGCCAGCGACGUUGUCUUAAAUUCAGACCUGUCUGAGUGAAUAUAUACUUCAAGCUCUUAUGAUCGGUGUAGAUAUCACUCUUGUGACCAAUCAGAUAGUGUCUCCAGAUCUUCAAUGCAUGUAACACAGCUGCUAGCUCCAGAUCAUGAGUAGGAUAAUUUAACUCAUGCUUCCUCAACUGUCUCGAUGCAUGCGUCCGUGGUGGUGACCUCAUGUCCGCUCGCACCGUGUUCGAUGAAACGCCAACGAGGGUCAAAAGCUUCGAACCACAUCGGCAUCGCUCGGAGUAGCAACGGGUACACGCUGGAGUGCUGGAUGUGAUGCUUGGCCAUCUCCAACUCACGAGCGUGUAAGAGAGAAACCAUGAGACAGUAAUGAUUUAAUUUGGUUUUGCAAUGUUUUUAUUUUAAAAAUAGUUGGUUUAUCUUUGUAAAAUAGUUAAUUACAUGAGAAUUAUUGAACAAAAUAGUUUUUAAAGAGCAAUUUGCAUUCAAACAGUCUUCAUUCUUAAUGAAGCUACGAGUUCCCAUUUGCUCUAACCAAACGAUCUUCAAUUUUUGCCACCACAGGAGCCUUGUAUUAGCUCUUGCGGUGCGAGCGGGAGCUCGGAUGUCCGUGCGACGAAGCUGAUCUAUGAAAGUGGCCUUGGUGAUCCUGUGCCCCGGUUGGUAGGUUGGGAGACAGCAAGGAUGCAAACCAGCGCCAACGAUGGGCGAAGAUUGCACGACGGAUGAGCGGCGCUAGAGAUGGAAAGUCUGCUGGAGCAGUUUAGGUGAAAGGAUAAAGAUGUAGUUUUCAUUUUUUUUUUCUAAUAAUGAAAGUCGGACUCAACUUUAUGGAACUGGGCCUUAUGACACGUAGGGCCCAUCUGAAGCUUCUAGAGUUGUUAAUCCUGUGGUUGAGAAUGUGUGUGACAAAGCCUGUGUUUGAGUAUUUACUAUCUAGGGAAGUAUAAACAAUUUACAAUCUCAGUGGACCCAUAAGCCAAUAUCCUUGAAUGUUUUUUUUUCUGUUUGUGUGUAUAUGUCGCAAGUUUUCUUGUUUUAUUUUAGGUUUGGUACUGUAGCUAGGUCUAGAAUAGUUUUUUUUGUUCUUUUUUUAAUUUCAAAAAAAUCGAGGGAUGUCUCAGUUUUUAUUAAAAGAAAGAAAUAUUUGGUCCAAAGUUGAAUGAGCGUGUCAUGCAGGGUUAAAUCACAAGAUAAACGGAUGAAACACAUGAUGCAUUAGUGGAUAAAUCACACGGGUGAUUUGAAGACAAAUUGAAAAACAUGAUGUGUUAGUUAAAUAAAUAAAUAUCAUGAUACAAUUAUAAGUAACCAUGCAAUAAACUAUAUGUCCAAUACUUGCACUCACAGGCAUUUUUGCUACUAUUAAUAAAUUGGUAAAAAUCAGAGAAUGCGAGGCGGAUACCAAACCUAGCCAAAUGGGCCGGCCUGGGUUAAACGGGCCCGAACCCCUCUUGCCCUCGCUCCUAGAAAAGCCGCCCGCCUCCGUCUCUCCCCCGCACUCCAUCGCCUCGCCUCGCCUCGCCGCCGUUCCCCGCAACCCCCUGUCUGUCGACCCAAUUCAUCUCAGGGAUAUCACCCGACGCCUCGUCCUCCUCUCCAGAUCAGAUCUUACGCCCGCCCGCCCGAGGUGAGCACAUGCUUGUACAUCCCGAUCAGCUUGGAGUUCGUUCCGAUUGGUUGGUAGGCGCGGCGCUGGUUCGAGGCCAGCGUGGUCUCCCUCCUCCUCCGGAGUUGCUCGGGCGCGGCGCGGGUUCAUAGGUGUCGGAUCCAGCGCCGUCUGUAUCCUAUUCGUAUGAGGAACCUCGGCUAGGAUAGGAUUUAAUUAGUUGGUUUUUGUAUUAGGGUAACACCACCUAGGGUUCGGUUGAUUAUCCGUAAGAAGGAAUCAAUCUGACGCUUUAGUUAGGGUUUGCUUGGUUGGUUGUGGUCAGAUUUUGGUUUCUCAUGAAUUCUUCAACUGUGCCUGUCGCGAUUUUGGGCGGAAAUUGAUGAUUGAUUUCGGGGGCAAAAUCCGAGGGAUUUUGUGGAUGAAAGAUGGGGAAACUUGGGGAAACCAAGCAAAUCCAUGGAUCAAAAUAAACAAACUUCAUCAUGCCAACAAAUCACAAAAAAAAUUUGGUGGGGAAAUUUCGAAUUAGGACGAAAAACAACAAGAUCAAAGCUAGAAAACGAAUAUUAAUUUGGAUGGAAUUCAUGCUAUGUUGUUCGAUUUCAGUUUAUGCCUGCCAGAAUGUUUUAAUUUUUUGUUUUAUCAACUGUGUUGGAGCGUACUAGAUUUUUUGUUGCAUAUUCAUCUUCUUGCUCUGUUUGGAUAGGUAACAAUUAAUAUUUGGGAUCCUAAAAUAUGUAUGCACUGGCAGCACUUAACCUGCAGCUGCUGAUUAAUGUUGUAGUCAUAUGUGCUGCUUUCCAGCUCUCUUGUUUGGAUAGGUAUUUGGUUAUCGUUUGGGUUUAUUUAUUAUCGUUUGUAAAUGCUGGUUUGGUUUUCUGUGCUCACUAUGCCCUUGCACAUGGGAUGCAAUUUUUUUAUUUCCCUGCUGUUUAGUUUAUUGUUUCCUUUGAUGGUGAGGCAUUAAUUCUGGAGAUAGAUGCAAUUUUCUUGCUCACACAAUAAUACAAUGAAUGAUGGCAUCUCUAUCUACUUUGAACCAAAUUAUAUUAUAUUCCCCCCUCUGUUAAUUAUUUUUCUGUUUUGGGUAUUCAUUCAUUUUGUUUAGUUGCCUAUCAGUAUAAAUACAUGGCUGGAUUGCUUUCACUUCAUAUUAAUAACUAUUCUGUCGCACAAUGCAAAUAUACAUAUGCUGUCCUAACUAAUUAAGUAGAAGCUUGGAUUGGUGCUGUAUGGUCUCUUCCUGACAUUAAAUCCUCCUCUGUUUGUGCUGUCUGUUUCUGCUGCUGCAGUCUUCUUCGCCGCCAAAAGGAAAAGAUGCUCUACAAAAUCCACUCCCAUGCCGAAAUCCAAGCCCUGCAGGCCCGCACCGAUGAGCUGGGCCACUCCAAUGAGCACAUGGAUGUGAAGCUUGUCUCUCUGGAGUCGGUGCGCAUAGCGCGCGAGUCGUAUGCACUCCUCCGCCCGCUGAUCAUGGAGUCGAGGUCCUGGGAAUGCCCGGAGCUGGAUUCCCUCUCGGACGUGGCAGGCUUGUCGCUGGAAAUCCAAAAGCUCGAGCAUGAUGUGUUACCCCAGCUCACGGUUCAGGAGGCUAAGCUGGAACGGGGUGCCCUGGAAGCCCUCCUACUCAUGAAGAGCUCAGCAGCUAAGCUCUUACAUAUGAGUAAGUGCUUGAAGGAAGCCUUGGGCGUAUUGCUUGCCGAGGAUGUCAAAAAGCUGAGCAUAGUGCUAAGCGAUACUGCUGUUCAUGUACUCAAAGGUAAGUUCAACAGUGGCUUGCUUCAGGAGCGUGUCCCGUGGCUGGUCGAGCUGGUCACCGAUGUGUUGGAGACCCCGGUUCGUUUCUGUGAUACUCGUAAGCGUAAGUAUUCUGAUGAGUAGACUUAUCAGCCAGCUCGAGGCUGUUGUGAUAAAUAUUUCUUAGGGGCGUGGCAAACAGUUUAGAAUCAACCCUUUAUGUUUGGAUGUGUUAUUAAUGGAUUUUAAAUAAUAUGUAUCUUGGGUAGUGUUUUCUCAUUCUGUGCUAGUCGGGUACAACUUGCAAUUACUUUCAGUUUUUUUUUUGAGAAAUACAGUCACAUGGAGGUAUUCGCUCUUUUUGGGAAUAUAUGCCAAAAGAAUAUACUCCCUCCGUUCCUAAAUAUUUGCCUUUUUAAGGUUUCAAAUAGACUACCACAUACGGAUGUAUAUAGACAUGUUUUAAAGUGUAGAUUCACUCAUUUUGGUCCGUAUGUAGUCAUUUGUUGAAAUCUCUAGAAAGACAAAUAUUUAGGAACGGAGGGAGUAGUAUCUUAGAAAAGAAAUCCCAAAUAUAAGUCUUUUAAGAGGUUUCACUAAAAGACUACAUACGGAUGAAUAUAGGCAUACUUUAGAACGUGGAUGGAUUCACUCAUUUUGCUCCGUAUAUAGUUUUCUACUAGUGAAAUUUCUUAAAAGACAUAUAUUUAGGAACGGAGGGAUCUGUGAGUGUCCAUGAUUAAAGCUUUGCAAAUACCAUAAACAAAACAUCACCUUGUACAUAUAAAGUGAUGAUUAUUUUUACACUAACCGGUUUGGCAAGUGUUAGAGUUUAAUUAACGUGUGUUAAUUAUGGGGUAAAUCUCUCCUUGUAACUGCCAUCUCUCCCGGAUGCCUCUUCAUCGCAUCCCUUCUCCUUGUAUAAAUGCUUACAAUCAUCUAAUGAAAGGGAUAGAGGAUUCACUUUUCUCUCAACACGUUAUCAGCACGCUCUGGCGAGAGCAGAAGGCCACGAGAGAUUAGGCCAUCCCGGCGGUUACGGAUGUUACUUUCGUCGCCGAUGGCUUACAGGCGAUGCAACCGGAAGCGGUUCCAUUGAGCGCUCGCGGCGAGACAUCUUCCGGUGACGAGGCGAUGGAGCCCAGGUGCCGGCGCUCGACCGCAGCGUCCUCCAGCGCAUGGUUUGGUCUCACCCUCUCCUUCCCCUUCUCCCAGACGCCGUCCACAGUGGCCGCAUAAGCGGCCCUCUCCGGCACGGCCUACCGCGGCGCAUCUGCGACCCCGGCCUGCUACGCAAGGCACGGCGGCGUGGCAAGCGCCUCCCGACCGGAGACUCGACGCCUAUUGCGGGGAACAACCCGGCCUCGACCUCCCGGCGCGCGGAGCCCACAGCGGAUCGCAGAUCCUCGACAGCGGCGCACCCGCAUCUUCUACGUCGAAGACGGGCGAUGGAGGCGAGGCAGCCAGCGCCCGACGCGGCUCCCGGCAUCCACGUGGAGUUCCUGCAGCCACGGUCCUACCCGUGGUGAAGAUGGAGCGGGCUCUCCCUUCAGCUGACUGUGUGCAGCCCGCCCCCGAUGGUCGGCACAGGCCUCCUCCGGCGCGGCGAGGCCCAGAGUGCGAACGGUGUCGUUUCCACCGCCAGACUACGGCGGUGGCGACCCUCGACCUGCGCUCCUUCCUCCGGCCGGCUGGUGCGCGGCUACGCGGAGCGGGACGUCGAGUACGGCCUCGGCCCGGUCCUUCUCGCGUAGCCAUGGCCCUGCCCCUCGGCCUAGGUUGACGCGGACCUCCAUGGCACGCGGCGCGGUGCCCGUGGCGUCGUUCAGCGUACGCCGACGAACUCCGGUGCGAGGCAACUCAGCACCGCGCGCGAGGCGAAGGCAUCCAUGACUGGAUCUCCCGGAAGCGGCGGCGAUGGCUUCUGUGUAAAGCUAACCGAAUCGAUUGAUUCGUGUACUAAUUACAGGCCAACACAGGACAACGAUGGGAACCUUAUCUCUUUGAUGAAGGGUUUUUUUCACAAGUGGCUAUGUAUUUGCAUUGACCAUCAAAUCAGGCCACAGGCUGUGCAUUGGAGACCGUCAGAUAUCUCCAUAUCACAUUUACAAUAUAUGUAAAUGAUGAUUUCAGAUAUACUAUGUGAAAAUGGGACAUGUUCAUCGUAUUUGCUCUCUAUCAAUUCCUUUCAAAUAAUUCAGAUCUUAAGUUGAUGUAAUAUAUUUCCACGUUUACCACGUGUUGAGAUUAAUUACGUUCAUUUGCAAUUGAGAUUUCUCAUCUCUUGCAAAGAUAAAUUCAAUACCUCUGCAGUAUUGUUUCUCCGUUGAGUACGAUGUAUUCCGGAAUAUUUAAAACUAUGAUUGCGAUUGAGAUUAAGUUUUCUCGCACAACAAUAUUGAUUUGCGAUUGAGAAUUUUUUUUCUCGCAAAAUAAUUGCGGUUGAGAUCAAUUUUCUCUUGCAAAAUAUUAAUUCACUUCGCUGAAUUAUCUUGCAAUUUGAUACAAGAUCUCAUUUAAUUUGAGAUCUAUACAAUUCAAGUUUUUCACUUGAACAUCAAGUUUGCAACAUCAUUACUAUUCAUUAUAAUAGUGGUGUAGUUCUGUUGAGUACGAUGUAUUCCGGAAUGUAUGUAUCUCCAUGUUCACUAUAUGUUGAGAUUAAUACGUCUAUUUGCAAUUGAGAUUUUCAAUUUCUUGCAAAUACAUAUGCAAAAUUCAAGGUGAUUUCUUCAAAUUGAUGCUUUUUUUGGGAUCACAAGGUAGUCAUAUGGAUCUACUGCCUACGCAGAUUAUCAAUGACUACUGAUAAAGCCUAUAUUUUGUCGUUUCGACAUUAUGAUUGCUUCACAAAGUGCUCUCCCACCCAUUUUACUAAGUUAUGAAGUAAGGCAUCAUGAGUGAGUAUCUACUGAUUUCAUCAGGUUAUACUCCCUAUGCUGCAGAUCUACUUCAUUUUGGAGAUUAUCUUCAAGAUGUCAUACUUAGCAAUUUGAGAUUGACACUAAUGGUUUCAAGAUAACUUCUUGAAAUACCCAUUGAUUUUGCUAAGUUGAUUACAACAUCAACCACGAUGAUCUUUAAUUUACUGCUGUAAAUUAAUUAUCUUUGGUUUACCCAUAGAGGUAACACAUGGCUAUAGAGUUUGAGGCAUUCACCCUCAAUGGCCACCACUGCCCUAUCUGGGCCAUGGAUAUCAUGAUCGCUCUUGUGUCUCAUGGGAUAAUGUGUGCAAUAGUGUCUUAUAUAUCAUAAGGCAUUAGAUUCAGAUCUCAGCAUCUGCUUAUUCUGAAUCAACAAUUCCUGGAAUACAAUGAACCCCAAGGGCAAAUGUUUGAAUCUUACUUCAACCUUCAAUCCGACAUCACCAGCUGUGACGGAACCCUAUGGGCACAGAGAGUGUGAUGGUUGAAUAUGCCUCAAUCGGCAUGUUUGGAGACUAUGAAUAGUAUCUCAAUCUCCUGAGUGAUCAAUAUAAUUUAUGUCCAUUUACAAUGUUGCAACAUAAGUAUUGUUGUCAUCAUAUAUUGUAUAUCACAAUAUAUUGUAUCAGCACUUUGAUACAAAUACAUUUGUAUGCAUUCUAUAUAUUUGACAGUGAUUUUCAUAUUGAGAAUCUUCAUGUCUAUAUAUAGUUUUCUACGGGAGUCAAUCCGAUGAAAAAUGAUAUGUGCCUUGUGGACAUAUGCACCACAAACUUUAUACUCAGGGAAGCCCAAUGUUUCCACUCUCUUGAGAGAAAGGAGAUAUUUAAAUCGCUAGACGCGAUGAGGUAUUUGUUGGCUCAACUCGAGUCAUAUUUACUAUCCCUGUGGGUACUCGAGUAAUGUCGGGAUGCUUUAUUGCUUCCCAGGUUUAACUCGUACCCUACUAAACUAUGAAGGUAUCCGUCAAAAUAGUUUCCAUAGCGAAACUUAUUAUGACAACAAAGAGAAAUAACUUCUCUUUACCAUAUGCAACGGAUAUGGCAAAUACAUUCUCUGUGUAUCAUCUGGAUUGUACUACACAUACGACACAACCCGUACCACAUGUCGUGUACGUGAUAGUUUUCCAGAGUGUCUUGUACAUGACAUACUUGGCAUACUGGCCUUGGUCAUCGAGACAUUGGGUUGAAACCGAAACUAUCAGCAAUUCCAAUAGUUUACAAUUAUUAUGAUGCCAAAUUCUAACAACAUUUGGAUUUUAUGUGCACUACAAGUGACACAGGGAAGCUAAUUUUAAGGAUCGCACACCUUAAAGUCUACGCUGAACCACUCAGACUCCUUGAAUGCAUCAAGUUGAGGAAACCAUUGGCUCAUUAUCCUGACAUCGAUUUCAAGCAAAUCGAAUGGAUAACAUUGCAACAUUCUCCUUGAGUGCCUUCUCUAUGGCCCUUGGAUUGAAGUUUAGCAAUUUGUCCUAAUGUCUAGACUCCAAAUGGUUUGGUAGAAUCCUAUCCAAAUAGUUAAGCUCAUUACAUUAUCUUUACUUUGGAAUUGCAACUUACCAACUUUACGUUGGAGUCAUGCAGUUUUACACGCUCAUGACAGAACUGCAUAAUAUUAUUCCCCUCUAUCUUUGAUAUGUGGAUAUCUACCAAGUAUUUCCUAUCUGCGGUAAUUCGGUUGCAUACCGAUAUCACCACCCGGCAUACAUCAUUGGCCCCUCAACAUAUAGUUGGGAUCUAUGUGAGGAAUAACUGUAUUUCCGUCAAUACCUCAAGCCCCUCGCAUGGGGAGUUAUUCAAGGCCUGUAUGCUGAUUCAAUGAGGAACAUUUCCAGGCAUUAGGGGGAGAUUUCAAGUACCAUAAAGAAUGCCAGGAAAUUAGUGGAAUGUUCAACACAUUUCUGCCUCAAAUCCACAUACUCAAAGAUCUGAACCAUGCGUUCAGAAGAUUUGCAACACAUUGCAAAUAACCUGCCAGAUUCAUUUACUGACUAUAAAGGUGUCACACAAUCCUACAAUCCUGAAAAAUAUGUCCGAAAGAGUGGAGGUACCAACUAAAACCACUCAACUCCCCGUUCAAAGCAACGGGGGGAGAAGUACGGCAAUAGUACAUCAGGAUUCAGCUUCUCGCAAGCAAGGAUAUCAAGGCCUGUGAAUCAGUAAAUGCAAGUCAACUUCACGUUGACAGACACCUGAUGGGUAGUAUACACCUAGUGGACGGGAAACCUCCACCAACCCAGGUCAUAGUGCACACAAUGACCGGGACAUCGGAAUACCCGACUCAAUCGCAUUGGGAAAUCGCGAGCAGUCACCAUGGGUAACAAUAUUUCCAUCAACUAUAUAUUGAUAUAUAGAUUCUGGAGAAACAUACAACUGGAAGUCUACAAUUGUCGACGUACAUUUCUCAACUAGAUUGCAAAAACCUUUUCAAAUGAUUCAGAUCCAAAGACCAUGGCCAUGGCAAAGUGUGAACAACACUCGGACUGAACUCAAGCAAAGGGUAUAAUCUAGGUAGAAAUGAUCUUGCUCAGUAAUGGCAAGGUAUUCAUAAGCAAUACCUACACCCGUUUUCUUCUGGAAACGGAAUUGAGAACAACAAGGUGGUGAACAGGGAGCAAGUAUUGUAGCACAAGGGUUCACGCAGAUACCCAACUAUUCUCCAGAGGUGGAAUCUCUUUCCGAUAACUUGUAUCAUUGGCAGUACAAAAUCAUCUAUCUCUGCAGUUGAUAGAUGUAGUGAUUACAUAUCCAUGUGGAUCACUAGAUUCAGUGAAUAUGGUUGAUCCCGGAUGGAAUCUCAAUUCUGAAUCGAAAUACAAAAUGCAAACAUGCAUUGUGCAAAUUUAGUAAGUCACCAUACGACUUAUUAUUGUCAGUACAUAUGGUACAACUGACGUAGUGAGAUCCUUAUACACAAGGAUUACUCAUACAAUGAUGAUUAUCCAUGUUUGUGUGUCUGCAAUGACGACACUUGUAAUCAUCUAAAUGGCGGAGUUUAAAAUGAAGGAUUUGGGUAAACCAAAAUACCGCUCGUUACUACAACUUGAGCGCCUUCAUUCAUACAUUAUGGUAUACUAUGUUGUCUAUAUCCAAAAUAUAUUGGAGAAAUUCAUUGUGGACAAAUCUUAUCCAUCCAUAACUCUCAUGGUAGUUCAUUCUCUAGACGUAGAGAAAUAUCUAUUUAGACCAAGAGAUGAUGGAAAUGAGAUAUUGGGACUCAACGUUCCAUAAUGCCAUUGGAUCCACCAAAUAUAAUUGGUUGGUACUCAAGAAUAUCUUUCGAUAUCUCCAAGGCAUCAAACAUCUUGUCCUGGUUUUCAGUUUCACAGGAAUGUGAACACCGAUAUCAUUGGAUACAUCGAUCAGAUCCCCACUAUGUCAGAUCAUAGACAAGCUUAGUGUUCCUACUAGGUGUGGUAGCCCUCUCAUGAAGAGUCUUCGAAACGGACCUUAUGGCUACAUCCACCAACCAUUAUCUCAACGAUAAUGUUUCUUGUGUUGCCCGGAUGCAAACAGGUUACAUAAUAAGUAAUAUCACUAUAUUGCAUAUCUUGCAAGUCAAAUCAGCGACUGAUUUGUUCAGCGAGUCUCUACCAAUUUCUAUGUUUUGGUAUGUGACGACUUUGAAUUUUUGCAAGAAUCAGGGGGAGUAUCUUCCUGAAUUGUUCCUGUUCAAUGCAUCAUAUUAUACUCUUUUUCCCUUCAUGAGUUUACUUUACAGAUUCUCAUAAAGGUUUUUAAUGAGGUAAUAUCAACAUGAGAUCAUAUGUCAUACUUUCUGUUUUCCCCACCGGGGUUUUUGGGAAAGUAUAUACGACAUAUUUAUUGUCCUCUGAACUCUAUGGGUUUUCUCGUAUUGAGUUAAAAGAGACAAUAACCAUUAUAUGUUGUAUCAUUUUCUCCUUAUUUUUCCCAUUGGGUUUGAAGGAGUUUUGGCAACAUAUCAAACACUAUACUCCUCAUAUUUUUCCCACAGGGUUUUUAGAGGAGCCUCUAAUCAAGAUGAUGAUUCUGGAUGAACAAGUGUAGAUUAGGGGGAGUGUUAGAGUUUAAUUAACAUGUGUUAAUUAUGGGGUAAAUCUCCCCUUGUAACUGCCAUCUCUCCCGAACGGAUGCCUCUUCAUCGCAUCCCUUCUCCUUGUAUAAAUGCUUACAAUCAUCUAAUGAAAGGGAUAGAGGAUUCACUUUUCUCUCAACAUCAAGUAGUACUUCCUCCGUAAAUAAAGAAACAUAAGAGUGUUUGGAUUAUCAUUUCUUUAGAGAGGGAGUAGUAUAUAUAUAGAAUUGAAUUAAUAAUCUCUACUCCUAAAGUAUCAGUUGGUCGUCUCUGUUCAUCGGUUAAUUUUCGUCCCACCAACACUGAUUUUUUUUCGUGCUCCCUCCCACCCAACCCCCGGGACAUCGAACAAAAAAAAGGGCUGGCUUAGCUAUGCCCCCACGAAGUCAAGGGGCCAAACCUCCGAUCGAAACAGAGAGAACCGGAUGAAAGAAAAUCUACGAAAAAAGACCUACGAAAUUAAACCAGCGAAAAAAACGAACCGCACGCAGGUAUACGAGCGAUUCCUCCUUCCUUCGAACCACUCGCAUGCUCGAUCCCUUCGUCGCCGCCGCUCCAUCCCUUCGCCCCCACCGCUCGAUCCCUUCGCCGCCGCCCUCGCACAUCAAAGCCGCCACCGAUAUGCCCUGUCGGAUCUCGCCUCAACCCCGCCGUCUUGUGAUACGGAGUUCACAGCCUCUGCCGCCGAUGUCUUCGCACGCGUUAGGGUUCCUGCGUCGCCGCCACACAGGAGCUCGUCGACCAGCCCAGCGUGCUGCUGCUCCGCGCUCGCUUCCCUCGUCGGUCGCCUUUGGAACCCUCGCUUCGGACUCCGCGCCAAGCCGUCGCCUCUUCGCCGAGAAAGAGGGCUCCCGAUCUCCGCCGUGGUCGACCAUCAGCGCGACGGGCAGAGCAACCAGCCCGUAGGCUCAUCCCCUUCUUGGAUCCACUCCGGCAGCGGCCAUCGUUGGUACGUUCCGCUCGUGAUAUAUUGGUGUAGGAUCAUCCCCUUCUCUUUAUCUAAAAAGGCUAUUCUACAUACGCCGAGGAGAAGAUGCUCACCUUCUCGCCCCUGUUGGAAAUAUGCCCUAGAGGCAAUAAUGAAUUGCUUAUUAUUAUAUUUCCUUGUUCAUGAUAAUCGUUUAUUGUCCAUGCUAUAAUUGUAUUGAUAGGAAACAUAGAUACAUGUGUGGAUACAUAGACAACACCAUGUCCCUAGUAAGCCUCUAGUUGACUAGCUCGUUGAUCAAUAGAUGGUUACGGUUUCCUGACCAUGGACAUUGGAUGUCGUUGAUAACGGGAUCACAUCAUUAGGAGAAUCAUGUGAUGGACAAGACCCAAUCAUAAGCCUAGCACAAAGAUCGUGUAGUUCGUAUGCUAAAGCUUUUCUAAUGUCAAGUAUCAUUUCCUUAGACCAUGAGAUUGUGCAACUCCCGGAUACCGUAGGAAUGCUUUGGAUGUGCCAAACGUCACAACAUAACUGGGUGGCUAUAAAGGUACACUACGGGUAUCUCCGAAAGUGUCUGUUGGGUUGGCACGAAUCGAGACUGGGAUUUGUCACUCCGUGUGACGGAGAGGUAUCUCUGGGCCCACUCGGUAGGACAUCAUCAUAUGCGCAAUGUGACCAAGGAGUUGAUCACGGGAUGAUGUGUUACGAAACAAGUAAAGAGACUUGCCUGUAACGAGAUUGAACAAGGUAUCGGAUACCGACGAUCGAAUCUCGGGCAAGUACAAUACCGCUAGACAAAGGGAAUUGAAUACGGGAUUGAUUAAAUCCUCGACAUCGUGGUUCAUCCGAUGAGAUCAUCGUGUAACAUGUGGGAGCCAACAUGGGUAUCCAGAUCCCGUUGUUGGUUAUUGACCGGAGAACGUCUCGGUCAUGUCUGCAUGAUUCCCGAACCCGUAGGGUCUACAUACUUAAGGUUCGAUGACGCUAGGGUUAUAAAGGAAGUUUGUAUGUGGUUACCGAAUGUUGUUCGGAGUCCCGGAUGAGAUCCCGGAUGUCACGAGGAGUUCCGGAAUGGUCCGGAGGUAAAGAUUUAUAUAUGGGAAGUCCUGUUUUGGUCACCGGAAAAGUUUCGGGUUUUAUCGGUAACGUACCGGGACCACCGGGAGGGUCCUGGGGGUCCACCAAGUGGGGCCACAAGCCCCGAAGGGUUGCAUGGGCCAAGUAUGGGAGGGGACCAGCCCCAGGUGGGCUGGUGCGCCCCCCACAAGGGCCCAAGGCACCUAAGGAGAGGAGAGGGGGCAAACCCUAAGGGCAGAUGGGCCUUAGGGCCCAUACCUGGUGCGCCUCCCUCUCCCCCUCCACCUGGCCGCCACCCAGAUGGGAUUGGGGCUGGCCGCCGCCCCUAGGGUGGAACCCUAGAGGGGGCACAGCCCCCUCCCUCUCCCCUAUAUAUAGAUGAGGUCUUUGGGGCUGCCAACACAAGAGUUUUGACCUCUCCCUGGCGCAGCCCUGCAUCUCUCUUUCCUACUCUCCCGCGGUGCUUGGCGAAGCCCUGCAGGAUUGCCACGCUCCUCCUCCACCACCAGGCCGUUGUGCUGCUGUUGGAUGGACUCUUCCUCAACCUCUCCCUCUCUCCUUGCUGGAUCAAGGCGUGGGAGACGUCACCGGGCUGUACGUGUGUUGAACGCGGAGGUGCCGUCCGUUCGGCACUAGGAUCUCAGGUGAUUUGGAUCACGACGAGUACGACUCCUUCAAUCCCGUUCUCUUGAACGCUUCCGCUUAGCGAUCUACAAGGGUAUGUAGAUGCACUCUCCUUCCCCUCGUUGCUGGUUUCUCCAUAGAUAGAUCUUGGUGACACGUAGGAAAAUUUUGAAUUUCUGCUAUGUUCCCCAACAGUGGCAUCAUGAGCUAGGUCUAUUGCGUAGAUUCUUUGCACGAGUAGAACACAAAGUAGUUGUGGGCGUUGAUUUUGUUCAAUAUGCUUACCGUUACUAGUCCAAUCUUGAUUCGGCAGCAUUGUGGGAUGAAGCAGCCCGGACCGACCUUACACGUACACUUACGUGAGACAGGUUCCACCGACUGACAUGCACUAGUUGCAUAAGGUGGCUAGCGGGUGCCAGUCUCUCCCACUUUAGUCGGAUCGGAUUCGAUGAAAAGGGUCCUUAUGAAGGGUAAAUAGCAAUUGACAUAUCACGUUGUGGUUUUGCGUAGGUAAGAACCGUUCUUGCUAGAAACCCACAGCAGCCACGUAAAACAUGCAAACAACAAUUAGAGGACGUCUAACUUGUUUUUGCAGGGUAUGCCAUGUGAUGUGAUAUGGCCAAAAGGAUGUGAUGAAUGAUAUAUGUGAUGUAUGAGAUUGAUCAUGUUCUUGUAAUAGGAAUCACGACUUGCAUGUUGAUGAGUAUGACAACCGGCAGGAGCCAUAGGAGUUGUCUUAAUUUAUUUAUGACCUGCGUGUCAACAUAAACGUCAUGUAAUUACUUUACUUUAUUGCUAACCGUUAGCUAUAGUAGUAGAAGUAAUAGUUGGCGAGACAACUUCAUGAAGACACGAUGAUGGAGAUCAUGGUGUCAUGCCGGUGACGAUGAUGAUCAUGGAGCCCCGAAGAUGGAGAUCAAAAGAAGCAAAGUGAUGAUGGCCAUAUCAUGUCACUAUUUGAUUGCAUGUGAUGUUUAUCAUGUUUUUGCAUCUUAUUUGCUUAGAACGACGGUAGUAAAUAAGAUGAUCCCUCAUUAAACUUUCGAGAAAGUGUUCCCCCUAACUGUGCACCGUUGCGAAAGUUCGUCGUUUCAAAGCACCAUGUGAUGAUCGGGUGUGAUAGAUUCUAACGUUCACAUACAACGGGUGUAAGACAGAUUUACACACGCGAAACACUUAGGUUGACUUGACGAGCCUAGCAUGUACAGACAUGGCCUCGGAACACAAAAGACCGAAAGGUCGAGCAUGAGUCGUAUGGUAGAUACGAUCAACAUGAAGAUGUUCACCGAUGAUGACUAGUCCGUCUCAUGUGAUGAUCGGACACGGCCUAGUUGACUCGGAUCACGUAAUCACUUAGAUGACUAGAGGGAUGUCUAUCUGAGUGGGAGUUCAUAAGAUGAACUUAAUUAUCCUGAACAUAGUCAAAAGGACUUCGCAAAUUAUGUCAUAGCUCGCGCUUCAGUUCUACUGUUUAGAUACGUUCCUAGAGAAAAGAUAGUUGAAAGUUGAUAGUAGCAAUUAUACGGACUAGGUUCGUUAACUGAGGAUUGUCCUCGUUGCUUCGUAGAAGGCUCAUGUCCUUAAUGCACCGCUCAGUGUGCUGAACCUUGAACAUCGUCUGUGGGUGUUGCGAACAUCUAACAUACAUGUUUUGAUAACUACGUGAUAGUUCAGUUAAACGGUUUAGAGUUGAGGCACCAUAGACGAUUUCGAAACGUCGCGGAACAUAUGAGAUGUUUCGAGGGCUGAAAUUGGGAUUUCAGGCUCGUGCCCACGUCAAGAGGUAUAACACCUCCGACGAGUUUCUUAGCGUACAAACUAAGGGAGAAAAGCUCAAUCGUUGAGCUUGUGCUCAGAUUGUCUGAGUACCACAAUCACUUGGAUCGAGUGGGAGUUAAUCUUCCAGAUGAGAUAGUGAUGUUUUUCCAAAGACAUUAUCACCAAGCUGCUAGAGCUUCGUGAUGAACUAUAACAUAUCAGGGAUAGACAUGAUGAUCCUUGAAAUAUUCGCGAUGUUUGACACCGCGAAAGUAGAAAUCAAGAAGGAGCAUCAAUUGUUGAUGGUUAGUGAAACCACUAGUUUCAAGAAGGGCAAGGGCAAGAAGGGAUACUUCAUGAAACGGCAAAUCAGCUGCUGCUCUAGUGGAGAAACCCAAGGUUGAACCCAAACCCGAGACUAAGUGCUUCUGUAAUAAGAGGAACAGCCACUUGAGCAGAAUUACCCUAGAUACUUGGUAGAUGAGAAGGCUGUCGAUAGAAGUAUAUUGGAUAUACAUUAUGUUAAUGUGUACUUUACUAGUACUCCUAGUAGCACCAGGAUAUUAGAUACCGGUUCGGUUGCUAAGUGUUAGUAACUCGAAACAAAAGGCUACGGAAGAAACGGAGACUGGCUAAAAGGUGAGAUGACGAUAUGUGUUGGAAGUAUUUCCAAGGUUGAUCAAAUAUCGUACGCUCCCUCUACCAUCGAGAUUGGUAUUAAAACCUAAAUAAUUGUUAUUUUGUGUUUGUGUUGAGCAUAGACAUGAUUGGAUUAUGUCUAUCACAAUACGGGUAUUCAUUUAAGGAGAAUAAUUGUUACUCUGUUUAUUUGAAUAAUACCAUCCCAAUCGUAGUGAUACACAUUUUCAUGCCAAAGGUAUAAGAUAGUAAUGAUAGUACCACACAAUUGUGGCACUGCAAUUUUAGUCACAAUGGUAUAAAAUGCAUGAAGAAGCUCCAUGUUGAUGGAUCUUUGGACUCGCUUGAUUUUGAAUCACUUGAGACAUGCAAAUCAUACCACAUGAGCAAGAUGACUGAAAGGCCUCGUUUUCAGUAAGAUGGAACAAGAAAGCAACUUGUUGGAAGUAAUACAUCUUGAUGUGUGCAGUCCAAUGAGUGCUGAGGCAUGUAGUGAAUAUCGUUAUAUUCUUACUUCACAGAUGAUUUAAGUAGAUACUGAGUAUAUUUACUUGAUGAAACACAAGUCUGAAUUAUUGAAUGGUUCAAGUAAUUUCAGAGUGAAGUUGAAGAUCUUCGUGACAAGAGGAUAAAAUGUCUAUGAUAUGAUCAUAGAAAUGAAUAUCUGAGUUACGAGUUUGGCACACAAUUAAGACAUUGUGGAAAUUGUUUCACAACUAAUACCGCCUGGAACACCAUAGUGUGAUGGUGUGUCCGAACAUCAUAGUUGCACCCUAUUGGAUAUGGUGCGUACCAUGAUGUCUCUUAUCGAAUUACCACCAUCGUUCAUGGGUUAGGCAUUAGAGACAACCGCACUCACUUUAAUAGGGCACCACGUAAUUCUGCUGAGACGAAACCGUUUGAACUAUGGUUUGGAGAAACCUGAGUUAUCGUUUCUUAAAAGUUUGGGGCUGCGACGCCUAUGUGAAAAAGUUUCAGGUUGAUAAGCUCGAACCCAAAGCGGAUAAAAUGCAUCUUCAUAGGACACCAAAAACGGUUGGGUAUACCUCCUAAUUCAGAUCCGAAAGCAAUAGGGAUUGUUUCUAGAAUCGGGUCCUUUCUCGAGGAAAAGUUUCUCUCGAAAGAAUUGGGUGGGAGGAUGGUGGAGACUUGAUGAGGUUAUUGAACCGUCACUUCAACUAGUGUAUAGCAGGGCACAAAGAGUUGUUCCUGUGGCACCUACACCAAUUGAAGUAGAAGCUUAUGAUAUUGAUCAUGAGACUUCGGAUCAAGUCACUCCCAAACCUCGUAGGAUGACAAGGAUGCGUGCUAAUUUAGAGUGGUACGUAAUCCUGUCAUGGAAGUCAUGCUGCUAGACAACAAUGAACCUACGAGCUAUGGAGAAGCGAUGGUGGGCCCGGAUUCCGAUAAAUGGCUCGAGGCCAUAAAAUCCGAGAGAGGAUCCAUGUAUGAAAACAAAGUGUAGACUUUGGCAGAACGACUCGAUGGUCGUAAGGCUGUUGAGUACAGAUGGAUUUUAAAAGGAAGACAGACAAUGAUGGUAAGUGUUACCAUUGAGAAAGCUCGACUUGUCAUUAAUAUGUUUCCCGACAAGUUCAAGGAGUUGACUGCGAUGAGACUUUCUCACACGUAGCGAUGCUAAAAGUCUGUUGGAAUUAUGUUAGCAGUUACUGCAUUGUUUAUGAAAUCUUGCAGAUACGAUGUCAAAAUAUUGUUUCCUUGAUGAUUUUCUUGAGGAAAGGUUGUAUGUGAUACAACCAGAAGGUUUUGGCAGUCCUGAAAAUGCUAACAAGUAUGCAAAGCUCCAGCAAUCCUUCUAAGGACUGGAGUAAGCAUCUCGGAGUUGGAAUGUACGCUUUGAUGAGAUGAUCAAAGCUUUUGGGUUUAUACAAAGUUUAUGAGAAACUUGUAUUUCCAAAGAAGUGAGUGGGAGCACUAUAGAAUUUAUGAUGAGUAUAUGUUGUUGACAUAUUGUUGAUCGGAAAUGAUAUAGAAUUUCUGGAAAGCAUGCAGAGUUGUUUGAAAAGUGUUUUCAAUGAAAAACUGGAUUAGGCUACUUGAACAUUGAGCAUCAGGAUCUAUAAGGAUAGAUCAAAAACCGCUUAAUGGUACUUUCAAAUGAGCACAUACCUUGACAUGAUCUUGAAGGUGUUCAAGAUGGGUCAGCCAAAGAAGGAGUUCUUGCCUGAGUUGUAAGGUAUGAAGUUAAGACUUAAAGCUCGACCACAGCAGGAGAAAGAGGAUGGACGAAGGUCGUCCCCUAUGCUAUUGUCAUAGACUCUAUACGGUAUGCCAUGCUGAGUACCGCACCUGAUGUGUGCCUUGCCACAUGUCUGGCAAGAGGGUACAAAGGUGAUCUAGGAGUAGAUCACCAGAUAGCGGUCAAAAUUAUCCUUAGAGUAAUAAGGAUAUGUUUCUCGGUUAUGGAGGUGAUAAAGAGUUCGACGUAAAGAGUUACAUCGAUGCAAGCUUAACACCUAUCCGGAUAGCUCCGAGUAGAGAUACCGGAUACGUAUAAUGGAGCAACAGUUUGGAAUAGCUCCAAGUAGAACAGUUAUUUCAAAUGGCUCCAAAUAUAGCGUAGAGAUUUGCGAGGUACAUACGGAUCUGAAUGUUGCAGACCCGUUGACUAAAACCUCUCUCACAAGCAACAUGAUCAAACCUAGAACUCAUUGAGUGCUAAUCACAUAGUGAUGUGAACUAGAUUAUUGACUCUAGUAAACUCUUUGUAUGUUGGUCACAUGGCGAUGUGACCUGUGAGUGUUAAUCACAUGGAGAUGUGAACUAGAUUAUUAACUCUAGUGCAAGUGGGAGACUGUUGGAAAUAUGCCCUAGAGGCAAUAAUAAAUUGGUUAUUAUUAUAUUUCCUUGUUCAUGAUAAUCAUUUAUUAUCCAUGCUAUAAUUGUAUUGAUAGGAAACACAGAUACAUGUGUGGAUACAUAGACAACACCAUGGCCCUAGUAAGCCUCUUGUUGACUAGCUCGUUAAUCAAUAGAUGGUUACAGUUUCCUGACCAUGGACAUUGGAUGUCGUUGAUAACGGGAUCACAUCAUUAGGAGAAUCAUGUGAUGGACAAGACCCAAUCAUAAGGCUAGCACAAAGAUCGUGUAGUUCGUAUGCUAAAGCUUUUCUCAUGUCAAGUAUCAUUUCCUUAGACCAUGAGAUCGUACAACUCCCGGAUACCGUAGGAAUGCUUUGGGUGUGCCAAACGUCACAACGUAACUGGGUGGCUAUAAAGGUACACUACGGGUAUCUCCGAAAGUGUCUGUUGGGUUGGCACGAAUCGAGACUGGGAUUUGUCACUCCGUGUGAUGGAGAGGUAUCUCUGGGCCCACUCGGUAGGACAUCAUCAUAUGCACAAUGUGACCAAGGAGUUGAUCACGGGAUGAUGUGUUACGAAACAAGUAAAGAGACUUGCCGGUAACGAGAUUGAACAAGGUAUCAGAUACCGACGAUCGAAUCUCGGGAAAGUACAAUACCGCUAGACAAAGGGAAUUGAAUACGGGAUUGAUUAAAUCCUCGACAUCGUGGUUCAUCCGAUGAGAUCAUCGUGGAACAUGUGGGAGCCAACAUGGGUAUCCAGAUCCCACUGUUGGUUAUUGACCGGAGAACGUCUCGGUCAUGUCUGCAUGAUUCCCGAACCCGUAGGGUAUACACACUUAAGGUUCGAUGACGCUAGGGUUAUAAAGGAAGUUUGUAUGUGGUUACCGAAUGUUGUUCGGAGUCCCGGAUGAGAUCUCGGACGUCACGAGGAGUUCCGGAAUGGUCCGGAGGUAAAGAUUUAUAUAUGGGAAGUCCUGUUCUGGUCACCGGAAAAGUUUCGACUUUUAUCGGUAACGUACCGGGACCACCGGGAGGGUCCCGGGGGUCCAUCAAGUGGGGCCACAAGCCCCGAAGGGUUGCAUGGGCCAAGUAUGGGAGGGGACCAGCCCCAGGUGGGCUGGUGCGCCCCCCCACAAGGGCCCAAGGCGCCUAAGGAGAGGAGAGGGGGCAAACCCUAAGGGCAGAUGGGCCUUAGGGCCCAUACCUGGUGCGCCUCCCUCUCCCCCUCCACCUGGCCGCCACCCAGAUGGGAUUGGGGCUGGCCACCGCCCCUAGGGUGGAACCCUAGAGGGGGCGCAGCCCCCUCCCUCUCCCCUAUAUAUAGUUGAGGUCUUUGGGGCUGCCAACACAAGAGUUUUGACCUCUCCCUGGCGCAGCCCUGCAUCUCUCUUUCCUCCUCUCCCGCGGUGCUUGACGAAGCCCUGCAGGAUUGCCACGCUCCUCCACCACCACCACGCCGUCGUGCUGCUGUUGGAUGGACUCUUCCUCAACCUCUCCCUCUCUCCUUGCUGGAUCAAGGCGUGGGAGACGUCACCGGGCUGUACGUGUGUUGAACGUGGAGGUGCCGUCCGUUCGGCACUAGGAUCUCAGGUGAUUUGGAUCACGACGAGUACGACUCCUUCAACCCCGUUCUCUUGAACGCUUCCGCUUAGCGAUCUACAAGGGUAUGUAGAUGCACUCUCCUUCCCCUCGUUGCUGGUUUCUCCAUAGAUAGAUCUUGGUGACACGUAGGAAAAUUUUGAAUUUCUGCUAUGUUCCCCAACAGCCCCUCCCCCUACCGUGAUGUACGUGGAUGAAUCCGACGGCAACAAGGACGACCUCGUAGGAUCCAGCCACGGUUGUGCGGAAUUUCACGGGGAUGAAUCUACCCGGCCUCUCGUCCUAUCUGCCGCCGGUAGAGGCAUCCAUGUCUGAUGGUGUGAAUUUUGGCUGGUUCCAUGAGCACUUCGUUCCCUGCCGUGUAGUCUUCGUUGAUUCGGAAAGAUGGUGGUUGUCUGUUUAGCCAUUUCAAUCUGCUAUUGAUCAUGCUCAUUCUUGUUAUAUUCAGUUAUAUUGGAAACACCAUCUGAUUCAGUUAUAUUCUUGAUCAUGCUCAUCCUCAUCCUUAUUCAAAUAAGAAUACUUCUGUUUGGAGAGCUCGGGCGUCAGCUGUGUGGAAGCACCAGCUGAUUUGUAACUGGUCGGAAGGUGAGCUUCUCAUACUCGCUGCCGUCGAAGCACGACACCUCGCCGCCACUUAUGUUGCGUGUUGUUGUGCUGUAGGUCCUUGGGGUUGGGUGUGGCAACUCGCGACUCGAAGACAUUUCGUGCAUGUGCUCCCCUGCGCUUGGUGACCAAUACAUCUACUCCGUCGUGAACAUGUGCUUCGUGUCAUACAGGUCGCCGCCAAGGGUGAGCUCGUGCAGCGGUACAGGUAUAGAUGUGCAUCCCAUAAGGGCAGCUACAUUUUCUUUCAUAAAGUUAUUUGUGUGAGUGCCCUGCAUAUUGAAGUAAACUGGAUCGGCUAAUCUUGAGUUCCUCCACCAAGUUAUAUUACUUCGACAAGAAAAAGUGCAGAAAGACCAUAUAAAGUACUCUGGUGACUCUCUCAAUUGAACUAGAAUUUUUUUAGAUGCGUGAAACAUGCACAACGAUUUGCUCUAUUGAGUCUAUGUAUGUUGAACUAGCACUCGAAUUAUAGCUCAUGCCGGUAUACUAAUUUUCUCUUUCUCAUAUCAGCUCUCCUUCUUUUUGUCCAUUUUUCUUCACUACUACCUGAAGGAAACUGUACUGGAUAGCAGCCUAUCAUAUAUAGUUACAUGUACCGAGUGAUUUAGCUUCAUUUUAAUGAUACUGUCAACAACUAACUACUGCUGCGACAUAUUUGAUGCAACCUGUAAAAUAUUUUUUGUUUAAUUUCAGCAUAUCAUUUAUAUACUGAAGUCUCUUCUGGACAUGUUGUCUAAUUGCGUCAUGUAUGUUAGAUAUUUGUUCUAUAAUACUUGCCAUUGACUAUUUUUCUUUUAUUUAGGUUAUGUGCAUUAUUGAUCAGCCAAUCUUGAGAGAGAGAUGGGUUGGCGUGAAUGGGAAGAAAACUACAUUGAAUGGACAAGAAGUAUGCCCUCAACUUUUUCAUGGUAUGUCUUACUUAUUGUUCUUGUGAUUUUUCCAUCAGUUUCACUUUACAUUUCUUCUUUGCUUUUUCAUGGCAUCGGGAUGCCCACUGCCGACGGCGCUGCGUUGCUACCAAAGGGGCACCCUGCCGCGGCCAGGGACUCGCUGCCGUCGAAGCACGACACCUUGCCGUCACGUAUGUUGGGUGUUGUGGUGCUGCAGGUCCUUGGGGUUGGGUGCGGCAACUCGAGACUCGAAGACGAUCUUCUGCGGUAGGGCGUCGCCGGCGGCGGUGGCACCUGUAUAGACCGUCUCGGUGUGACAGAAGAGUUCGGAGUUCACUCCGAGAAAGAAUUGCUUUGCAUGUACAUUUGCUGAAAGACUGAUGUGCUGAACUUUCGAUGAUUUCGAUUGGUCUCUAACAUAACCUUUCCUCUUUUUGUUGAUAUGUCCAAAAGAGAUCCUUAUUUCACCUUUUGUUUAUAGGUAUUCAACUUGAGGAAUUUCAUACUUUUGGAGUGGAGCUAUCAAAUAUAUGUGUGCUCGAUGUUGGUGUUUUAAUCCGGAUCUCUCGCUGAAGGUGCUCGAUGUUGGUGUUUGAAUACUGCUACCGUACUUCAAGGUCUGUAGCAGCUCUUACAAUGGAUUCUUUUUAAUGAUAGUACAAUUUAUUUUUGUUUCGAUUUGGUAUUGUUGUUUUGUUCACUUAACCCAGUCUGUAGCAGCAGCUUUUCAUGUCGUUUCCUCGCCAACAAAUGUCAUAAUUUAUCACAUACGUGUGCAAAUGGUUUUUUGGCUAUAGUAUGAGUAUAUGGUUCAGAGAAGUUCGGUCAGAUGCAAAGCAUGCUUAGCAUCUCAUAGUCGUAGGCUAUUCCUUUUAAAAUUGAAGCCAUCCAGGUUUUCAAUUAUGGAGAUGAUUUGGAAACUCAGCAUAGAAAAUUAUUUACUCUAAUGCAAAUUACACAUAUUAAGGCCUUUAUUCUUUUAUAUUAAGGUCUCCAGUGCAAGCAUUAGCCCAUCUUUAGCUGCUCAUAAGCAGUAUCAGUGAUAUAUAUAUAUAUAUAAGUACACUCUUGCUAAGAUUAAUCUUUGAUAUAUAUAAUUCAUUGCCUGGAUAUAGUUUGCUUUGAAUGUUUUUUUGCUCUUUAGUCUAUGAAGAAUUGCAAGGAGGAGGAUAAUAGAGCAGCAACCAGAGCUGACAAUUGGCCUGUAAAUGCUGCAAAGUUCUCCUAAAGGUGUGAUGUUGGUGGUGAUUUUCUUAUCCGGGGAUAUGGAUGUGGCGGGUCUGUGGGCACCAUGCUGACGCGGAGAAGGAGGUGCAGGUAGCGGGGGCGCUUGAGGUGAGGUGGCUGCAGGGUCGCUCGAGAAGAAUAGGCUCAUCAGCAACACCUGGAUGCCUUCGUCAUCAGCAAUGUGGACAAGGUGCAAAAGGGAUAUCGCCCUUACCUCUUAUUCAGUCUGGAAAAUUAUGCAAUGUUUGGUUUGGUAGAUUUAACAGUCGCUGGUUCGGAAAUUUGUUACCUAUAGAAGUAUAGGAAUAACAUGACUAAUAUUUAUUGAAUUUAUAGAGUUAUUGUUUUUUUCUACAAAGUCAGUUGUUAAAUUAGGAAGAACAUCGUCUAAAAUCUUGACAACAUAAAGGAGCAUAGAGUUAAUAGAUUAUGAAAUCCUGUAGUGCAUCAGAUGCACCCUUCACUAAUUUUUGAACACAUUUAUAUUAUCCAGGUUCCGACCUCAUUCGUUGUGAUGUUUGUCUUUUUUAUGUGGGCGAGGAAAACAUUUUUAGGAGUGAUACUCCCAAACUUUGAUUUCUUGGUUGUCGAAUCAUGGUGCUGAUUAGAUUUUACUUAACCUUAAUUAAUCUAUUUAUAUUGUGGCUUUGUCUUUUAGCUCAUCUUUUAGUUUCUCUUCUCCACUUAACACAAGAUUUUAUUGUAGGCUACCAAGUACAAUUAUACCACUUAUACUCUUUCUAUCUGAUUAUGCAAAGCUUGAUCUAUACUCAUUGAACUUUGUUAGAUAGUAGGCCCUCCUAUUAGUGUGCCUAAAUAUAAUUGUUUCUCUGUGUUUAUAGUAUCUUAGUCCAGUAGAAUGAAUGUUCUCGAGUAAUUAGAGGUAUUUGGAUCAAGUGAAUGUCUGAAUACCACUAAAAUCGAAAUCAUAAUGCUUAUCAUUGGUCAGCACCACCACCUACUCUGAAUCUCUGAUCAGAAUAGUACGAACUAUUAAAUUGGGAACUUAAUGCUUAUCAUUGUUGAUGUACAUAUGUACAACUAACAAUGUUUGUGCUGCAACCAGCUUACUUUAUUCCUUGCUGAAAUUUAUCUUGACUUAUUUCACAUCAGAUAGUUCUGAACCUAGAUGAUCUCAAUUAAGGUCAUUGAAAUUUGUUAAAUUAUUUUUAUCCACUCUUCUGAACGAGCGUAUACUAUGAUCUGAUUUGUAUAUCAUAUUACUGAGGCAGCGCUGGGCCAUGCUGUGGUGAGAACAUACGAGAGAUAAUUGGGGUGUGUGGCUGAUUGCUUCAUAUGCUGCUAAUGAUAUAUGUAGACUGCUGAUUGCUCCUGAUAUACAGUGUCGAUUGCAGCUGAUAGUAGGAUUGUACUCAAUUUGAUAGGUAAAGUGGGAUGGCGGGAUUGUAUAGUGCUCAUAAGCCAGUCCGGGCAUUGUCCUUCCUCGAAUGAAUAUGAGACUACUCCUCAUAUGUUAAUCAGUUGCUCCUCCCUAGCUUUGGUUUGGUCUGAACUUCAAAGUUUUCAUCCACUCAAUGUUGAUUCAGUCAAAGAUCUCUUGGAAAAAUUAUUUCGACAAGAUUCACUCUAUAAUGUUGUUAUCAUUGUCCUCUGGAAUAUAUGGAAGUGCAAAAACUCCAAGGUCUCCCGGGAUGUUUUUGAGGAAUUGCACAUUACUGCUAGCAAGAUUGCUGAUGAUUGAUACCAUGGUCCAACAGGUAUUCACAUGAAAUUAAUAAAUGGCACCUUACGGAUUGGAGUACUCUACUGUAUCACCUAUCUGGGAGAUUUUAAUUUUUUCCUUCUAUUAUUUCUCUUAAUCCCUGUGCACUCAUCGGACUUUGUAUAGUUCUCAGUUUUAUGAAGUGGUUCAGGCUGGCGUAAGCCGCCAUAGUCCCAGUAAAAAAAAGGCUACAAGCUUCGCUUCGGCCUUUUGGAACUGAAUAUUAUGUAGUUUUAUUGAGAUUAUUGAUAGUGCUUCUCUACUAUCAAAGAAGGUAAUAGUCUCUUAUGUGUUUCUUUUUGUCCAUUUGAAUGCACUCCAUUUUUUAGUGUAUUAAUUAACAUCAAACCUCCCAUUCUUUCUAGAGUGCUGAUGUAUUAUUAUUUUCAGCUUAACACAUUUAACUUCCUAUAGAUUUCAUGGUUUAUGCAGAUUAACCGAGCUAAGAUUUUUUGUGAAGCUAAAGCUGGUGUUAAGAUGAACGCCGCUAUGUAUAUAUUUGAAACAGUUAGAUACAUGCUUGACAGACUAUAUAGGGGUGAUCAAAACCAUGCAAAGCAUUAUGGGACAAGUUUCUCUACCUUAAAUAAGUGUUCAUUCUCUCGUGUUUACUAUUCGUUUAAGGGUCAUCAACCCGUGUAUUUAUUUUCAUUGAGCAAGUUUUACAUUUUUCUUCAGUGGUGUUCAUUGUGCAGUUCUAGAUUUUUAAGAGAGUAGAGUUUAUUGAUUUAUUACAUGGAGAGACCAGUAGUGUCGUAGUGGUCUUGACAUAAUUACUAACAUUUUCUACUAGAAAAAGUUUAAUUGCACUAAAUACAAAUUAGAACAUGCAUAGACAUUUAUCUUCUUUCUACAGAAUGGUUAGUGUAAACGUACUUUAAGUUGUACAUGAUUCUGUAUCUGACCAUUUUAUCUCAUAUGUUGAUGUGGUUGCAGAUAUGAACUUCAAAUUAUCCUGCAAUGUAUUGACUGCUCGGAGCUAACUUGACUACGCCAGUUUUCUUUUAUGGCUCAAAGUAGUUAGUGUCCCCCCUUAUUAUGAGAGAGGUACUACUUCAAACAUCUCUUCUUAAUGUUUUAUGUCAUGGCAUACAGUAUGAGGGAGUGUUAGUUGGCUUGACUUUCGUGGCACUCAUUGAUAACCUUUCAGUUUAGGAGUUUUUGUGGCCUCUUAAUCCAUGAGAGUAUGCUCAUGUUGAAGAAGUUAGUCAUAAUGAGGGGCACCAUAAAUGUUUGUUAUCUGGCACAAAUUCCUAAUGAAUAUCACAUGUGAACCUUUUACUGUUGUGUUAUUCAAAUUUCAUUGUACUAUUCAUACAGUAAAAUAUGAGUGCCAUGUCAGAAUAUGGUUCUCGAUCUGAAAGAUCAUAUUCAAAAUUACAGGUUCUAUGGCAGUGCACUGGUAGAAAAAGAGGCUUCCGUCCAGCCCCAUUAGUCGCGAAACUGUAGGAACCGCGACCAAUGAAGUCUUUAGUCGCGGUUCGACAGACGAACCGCGACCAAAUGCCUGGGCCCAGGGCGCUCGGUGGCCAGCUGGUGCACGUGAGGGGCUUUAGUCGCGGUUGGCCAGGCCAACCGCGACUAAAGCUCCUCCCCUAUAUAUACCAGUUCAGCACACUCACUUAGCCAUUUGGUGCCACUUCUCUUCGCAAGCUUCACAAGGGGGUGUAGGUUUGCUUUUGGUUCCUCUUAUGCACACAAGGUGUUUGAUGAAAUGCCCCAAGAGCGUGAAACAAACAUGAUAUGAAGUGUUGGAGCCACACUUGAGGUUCCUCAUUUAUUUUUUCCUCCUCGAUCGCGGUUAGCAACUUGAACCUUUCAUGCAUGUGUGUCAUUGAUAAAAUAUGCAUGUGUGUUGUUCAUUGUUUAAUUUCUAUUGUUUAUAGCUAGUUAGUUUAACAAAUGCAUGAUGGUUAAUUAUAUAUUUUAUAUUAUAAUAAUGCAGAUGAAUCGGCAAUGGAUGUACGGUAACCGACUCUCCCGCGAGUUCACUACGGGUUUGAAAGAUUUCCUCGUAGUGGCUAAUGCGAACAAGCAGAAGGGUUUUGUUAUCUGUCCAUGUGUUGACUGUAAGAAUCAGAAGGGUUACUCUUCCUCAAGAGAAGUUCACUUGCACCUGCUUCGGCACGGUUUCAUGCCAAGCUAUAAUUGUUGGACCAAGCAUGGAGAAAGAGGGGUUAUAAUGGAAGAAGAUGAAGAAGGGGAUGAUUUCAUCGAUGAAAGCUAUCUUGCUCAUUUCGGUGAUACUUUCAUGGAGGAUGCUGAAGGUGAAGGGGAAGGUGAAGGUGAAGAAGAGGCACGUGAUGAGACCGUUGAUGAUCUUGGUCGGACCAUUGCUGAUGCACGGAGACGCUGCAAAACUGAAAAGGAGAGGGAGAAUUUGGAUCGCAUGUUAGAGGAUCACAGAAAGUCGUUGUACCCCGGAUGCGAUGAUGGUCUGAAAAAGCUGGGCUGCACACUGGAUUUGCUGAAAUGGAAGGCACAGGCAGGUGUAGCUGACUCGGCAUUUGAAAACUUGCUGAAAAUAUUGAAGAAUAUGUUUCCAAAGAAUAACGAGUUGCCCACCAGUACGUACGAAGCAAAGAAGGUUGUCUGCCCUCUAGGUUUAGAGGUUCUGAAGAUACAUGCAUGCAUCAACGACUGCAUCCUCUACCGCGGUGAAUACGAGAAUUUGAAUGAAUGCCCGGUAUGCACUACAUUGCGUUAUAAGAUCAGAGGCGAUGACCCUGGUGACGAUGUUGAGGGCGAGAAACCCAGGAAGAGGGUUCCCGCCAAGGUGAUGUGGUAUGCUCCUAUAAUACCACGGUUGAAACGUCUGUUCAGGAACAAAGAGCAUGCCAAGUUGUUGCGAUGGCACAAAGAGGACCGUAAGUCGGACGGGGAGUUGAGACACACCGCAGAUGGAACGCAAUGGAGAAAGAUCGACAGAGAGUUCAAAGAUUUUGCAGCUGACGCAAGGAACAUAAGAUUUGGUCUAAGUACAGAUGGCAUGAAUCCUUUUGGCGAGCAGAGCUCCAGCCAUAGCACCUGGCCCGUGACUCUAUGCAUCUACAACCUUCCUCCUUGGUUGUGCAUGAAGCGAAAGUUCAUUAUGAUGCCAGUGCUCAUCCAAGGUCCGAAGCAACCCGGCAACGACAUCGAUGUGUACCUAAGGCCAUUAGUUGAUGAACUUUUACAGCUGUGGGGCAGACCUGGUGUCCGUGUGUGGGAUGAGCACAAAGAAGAGGAAUUUGUCCUACGAGCGUUGCUUUUCGUAACCAUCAACGAUUGGCCUGCUCUUAGUAACCUUUCGGGACUGUCAAAUAAGGGAUACAAUGCAUGCACGCACUGCUUACAUGAGACUGAAAGUGUACAUUUUCCAAAUUGUAAGAAGAACGUGUACCUUGGGCAUCGUCGAUUUCUUCUGAAAAUUCAUCCAGUAAGAAAGAAAGGCAAGCAUUACAACGGCAAGGCAGAUCACCGGCCGAAGCCUGCGGAACGCACUGGUGAUGAGGUAUUUGAUAUGGUCAAGGAUUUGAAAGUCAUCUUUGGAAAGGGUCCUGGCGGACAAUCAGUUCCGAAGGGAGCUGACGGGCACGCAGCCAUGUGGAAGAAGAAAUCUAUAUUCUGGGAGCUAGAAUAUUGGAAAGUCCUAGAAGUCCGCUCUGCAAUCGACGUGAUGCACGUUACGAAGAAUAUUUGCGUGAACCUCCUAAGCUUUUUGGGCGUGUAUGGAAAGACAAAUGAUACAAAGGAAGCACGGCAGGACCAGCAACGUUUGAAAGACCCUGAUGACCGGCAUCCGGAAUGGUUUCAAGGUCGUGCCAGCUACGCUCUGACCAAAGAAGAGAAGGUCAUCUUUUUUGAAUGCCUGAGCAGUAUGAAGGUCCCGUCUGGAUUCUCGUCCAAUAUAAAGGGAAUAAUAAACAUGGCGGAGAAAAAGUUCCAAAACCUGAAGUCUCACGACUGCCACGUGAUUAUGACGCAAUUGCUUCCGAUUGCUUUGAGGGGGCUCCUGCCGGAAAAUGUUCGAGUAGCCAUUGUGAAGCUAUGUGCAUUCCUCAAUGCAAUCUCUCAGAAGGUAAUCAAUCCAGAAGUUCUACCACGGUUACAGAACGAUGUGAUCCAAUGUCUUGUCAGUUUCGAGUUGGUGUUCCCGCCAUCCUUCUUCAAUAUUAUGAUGCACCUCCUGGUUCACCUAGUCGAAGAGAUUUUCAUUCUCGGUCCUGUAUUUCUACACAAUAUGUUCCCCUUCGAGAGGUUCAUGGGAGUAUUAAAGAAAUAUGUUCGUAACCGUGCUAGGCCAGAAGGAAGCAUCGCCAAGGGCUAUGGAAAUGAGGAGGUAAUUGAGUUUUGUGUUGACUUUGUUCCUGACCUUAAGCCGAUUGGUCUUCCUCGAUCGCGGCAUGAGGGGAGACUAAGUGGAAAAGGCACGAUCGGAAGAAAAUCAACGAUAUGUAUGGACGUCCAUUCUCUGACUGAAGCACACCACACUGUACUGACCAAUUCCAUCUUGGUGGCUCCGUACUUUGAGAAACACAAGAAUAUUUUACGCUCGGACAACCCGGGGAAGCCUGAAUCCUGGAUUAGGAAGGCCCACAUGGAGACUUUCGGCAGUUGGUUGAGAAAACAUUUAAUGAAUGACAAUGAUGUUGUAGAUCAGCUGUACAUGUUGGCCAAGACACCAUCUUCGACUAUAAUGACUUUCCAAGGGUACGAGAUAAAUGGGAAUACAUUUUACACGAUCUCCCAAGAUAAAAAGAGCACCAACCAAAACAGUGGUGUCCGCUUUGAUGCAGCAACCGAGAAUGGGCAAAAGGUCACAUAUUAUGGUUACAUAGAGGAGAUAUGGGAACUUGACUAUGGACCCUCCUUUAAGGUCCCUUUGUUCCGGUGCAAAUGGUUCAAGCUAACAGGAGGUGGGGUAAAGGUGGACCAGCAAUACGGAAUGACAAUGGUGGAUUUCAAUAAUCUUGGUUACCUUGACGAACCAUUCGUCCUAGCGAAAGAUGUCGCUCAGGUUUUCUAUGUGAAGGACAUGAGUAGCAAACCGAGGAAACGGAAAGAUAAGAAAACGAUCAGUACAUCAUGCGAUGAUCCAAAGCGCCACAUUGUUCUUUCAGGGAAAAGAAACAUCGUGGGAGUGGAGGACAAGACAGACAUGUCAGAAGAUUAUAAUAUGUUUGCUGAAAUUCCGCCCUUCAAAGUGAACACCGACCCAAGCAUUAAGUUAAAUGAUGAGGAUGCUCCAUGGAUACGGCACAAUCGUAAGCAAGAAGGGACACAAGGGAAGAAAUGAUGUGUAAUAAUUUAUUACCCGUGAUGUGUUUGGUGUCCAUUUUCGAAUGAUUCGAGAUACCACUGAUGAUACAUGAAAUUUGGAGUGAUUUAGUCAUACUCCUGCCUAGGCGUAUAAUAUGCAUACUCGUAGUCUUCAUAGCCGCCGUCGUCGUCGUUCCUGUCGUCGCCUUCUAAGUUGCCGCCGUCGUCAUCGCUGCUGUCGUCGCUGUCGUCGGGCGGCGCUCGUGGCUCGAACUGAGGGUAGCGCAGGCGGGGGAUAUCGCCGGCCGUGAUGUAGUCCAUGACGCUCUGCAGAGUCCGGCCGUACCACCAUAGCCGACGGCCGGCCUCGUGGAAGUUCCCAGGAGGCAGACCGUCCUCCUCAUACCUGGCGAGCGCCCUCUCACGCCGAUUAAUGAAGAAGGCGUCCCAAGUAUGCUGGUUAUCGGGAUGCCAGCGGGGAUUCAUCCGCUGCUCCGGCGUGAGGUCGAGGUAGUAGUGGUUCGUGAUGGCCGCCCGGCACGCAGUACCCUGAGGGACGGGAGGGACCGGCACGCCGCCGGCGCUUAGGCUCCAGCCGGUGGGGACGCGGUAGCCCGGUGGACAAGGGUAGUUCGAGGCGCAAAGCUCCUCCACCUGCUGGUAGGUUAGAGUGGGUGCGGUGGAAGCCAUGAGAGAGUGAUGAGAGAUUGUAGAGAUGUGAUAAUGCUGGCCAAGACGGGCUACAUAUAUGUAGUGAGAAAUGGCGGGAAAAAUGGGAGCGGGAAGACAGGAGGCGGGAAGAAAGUGGCGGGAAGAAAGAGGCGGGAAGACAAGGAAGAAAUGGCGGGAAGAAGAUAAUAUUUGUGUUUUUAACAUAUUGAAUUGAAUUAGUUCUAUUUUUCUGAAUUUUUUGAUAUAUUAUUUGUAUUUUUAACAUAUUGAAUUGAAUUACUUUUAUNNNNNNNNNNCGCCGUCGCCCUCGCCCUCAACGCCGCCCGCCGCCGCCCGCCGCGCUGUCAGGCGACGACUCCGGCGCCUCGGCCGGGUAAUUAUCCUCAAGCGCCGUCUCCUCCAGGCCCCGUGCCGCGCGGCCCAUGGCGGCGCACGAGAGCAGCAGCACGGCCAAGAGAAGAAGCGCGGUGCAGCGGGCCUUCUCCGGUGAAGUGCCGCCACGGGAGAGGCUCACCGGAGCUCUCUCCGGCACCCGCCUACGGGUCCCAUCUGUCAUACACAUGAACACACUGCUGGGUGCACUUCCGUGUACCCAUAGCAGUUUCUGUAUUUAAUAAUUUGAAUUAAAUUAAAUCAGGAUAUUAGAAAAUGAACCAAAACUUUGAAAAUUAAUAGAAAAUAAACCGUAACUCGGAUGGGAAAACUCUGUACAUGAAAGUUGCUCAGAACGACGAGACGAAUCCGGAUACGCAGCCCGUUCGUCCAUCACGCAUCCCUAGCAUAGCGAACACGCAACUUUCCCCCUCCGACCCAUCUGUCUGAAAACGCGAAACACCGGGAAUACUUUCCCGGAUGUUUCCCCCCUUCACCGGUACCACCUCGUACCGCGUUAUGGUACACCUAGCAAAUAAAAAACUUGCCAUGAUGAAUUACUAAAAUUUGCCAUGAUCUAUCAAAUAAUUUUGACAUGAUUCAUAAGUAAAAAAAGAAAUAUGUCAUCAGUUAUUUUAACAAUGCAUGGUCACUGGCUCAAAUUUGGCAUGAACUAUAAACUAAAACUAUCAUGGUGAAUUACUUAAAUUUGCCAUGAUACAUGUACUAAAAUUUGCCAUGGUUCAUACAAAAAUGUGUAAACCCUCUCCCACCCCUUCCUCGCCCCCUUCUUUUGCCACCGCCCUUUCGCCACCGCCACCGCCACCGCCACCGCCCCCCUUCUUCACUUAAUUAAUUUGUUUUUACUACAUGUUUUCAGGACUGACAUAAUGGCGGACGAUAGAGCUGACCCGAUUAUGGACAACUAUGAUCCGGACGGUGAAGCACAUAUGUUCGGCAUCAUAAACGGCGAUAUUCUAUAUGUGCCGACCGGACAAGAAGAAGAUGAUAUCUCUUCUUAUCUGAACCUUGACGGUGAAGAUGAAGGGCGCCGUCAGCAAGAUGAUGCCGAACAAACGUCGAUAAACGACGAUCUUCAAAUGGAAGUAGCAACCACCUCCGGCGCCGAGGUAUAUAUAUACAUUGAGCCUCUGGUGAUACAAACUAACUGAUUUGAAUAAAUAUGUGUGUACUAACGUGCGCGACUCUCUUUCUUAUUUUAGCCCUCGGCCGGAUCGUCGAAACAAUCGAGUACAUCGUCAAAGCGUGGCGCAACCAAGACGAUGAAACAAGGAGAAACAUGCACCAUCGAGGUUGUCGACAGUGCAACCGGCAGGCCGCUGGAGCCCCGCAAGAACGCCACCAAGUUUGUCAACCAAUGCGGAGCCGUUGUUAGAGACAACGUCUCGAUCACCGUCCAGGAGUGGAAUAAGCCAAAGAAGGCACGAAUUGCUGGUUUCACUUUUGUCGAUAAGAGAACAAAAAAAGAUUGCUUCAAGAAGCUUAUGGAACAUUUCAUUCUACCUCCGGAAUACAACAAAUUCGAUGAGGAGGGUAACAAGAUUGAGGAAAACAAGGAGAGGAUGAGGCUAGUCAAACAGUUCGCUCUUCAUAAGAUGGCCGACGCAUUCCGGAAAUUCAAGCAAAAUCUAGCCCGUGACUUUGUCAAGCAGAACAAGACUCCGGAUUUCAAAGGACAAUAUGAGAAACUGAAACAUGAUUGGCCAGAAUUUGUGAAGCAAAAGAAAUCGGAGCAGUUCAUUCAAAUAUCAAAAAAAAUAAGGAAAAUGCGGCUAAGAAGGAGUACAAUCAUAUUAUGGGGCCAGGAGGGUAUCGCCUUUGGGUGCCUAGGUUGGAGAAGAUGGAGAACGAGCUGAGGGCGCGAGGAAUCCGUCCAGGUACGGAGGGAUGGGACCCAAGGGCCAAAAGCUGGUGGUACGGGCAUGGGGGAACGCUGAACCCGAAGACAGGGGAGUGUGUUUACCGGGGCAAAAUAAUUAAACCCACCCAAGCCCUUAUUGACGCAAUGAGGGAUGCUCAAGAGGGGAAGAUCAAGUUCAACAGAGAGAACGACGCGCUGACAAAAGCCCUCGGGAAUCCUGAACACGGAGGACGUGUACGAGGCAUGGGGCACAUUCCGUGGAAAAUAGGGUUCCCCCAGAACGAUGACCCGUACGGUUACAGAAGCCGUAAGAGAAAGAUGGAUCGGGAAGCAGAUGUUGUGGCGCGGUUGGCAUCGGAAAUGGAUGUGAUGAAGAAAACCGUGAGUGUACUAGUAGCCGAAAGAGAUGCAGCUCGGGCGCAGCAUGAAGAUCAUCUAGCGGAUCUCGGAAGCCAGCAGCGGAGAAGCAGCGUGGCUUCCUCGGAGGCCCCACCGGCUGGUGCAGAUGCACCGACGAUCGAAAUUACUGCACCGGAGCCUCUGGUGGUCGAAAUUACUGCAUCGGAGCCUCCUCGCUACCCCGUGGACGAUAUAAAGGAGAUGAAAGAAUGUCAUCUGUAUUAUCCUAUCGGGAACAUGUCCAUGAAGGUAGCCAUCGGCAGUGCUUUACCAUGUUUACCUGGAGCACUCCACCACAACAACCCCAUUCAAGAUGGCUAUGCUCGUGUCACGGUGGAGGACAUAGUCCAAGGGUUUGAGGACCUGGAGAUUGACAUUGCUACACCUGAAGGGGAGAAAAGACUUGGAGAUGUCAAGCGCCAUUUCAUUCUAUGGCAAAAGAAGUUUAUCAAGUUUCCAGGCGAGGCGCCAAGGACAACAAGUCCACCCCCCUACGGUGGUGGUGGUGGCGGUGGUGGUGGUGGUGGUGGUGGUGGCGGUUCACCUACACCUCCGUCACGUCAGUCGACGCCCCUCAGUCCACAACGUCCGGCGGGUGAUCAGACGCCGCCCCCCAGUCCUCGUCCGGCGGGUGAUCAGACGCCGCCCCCAGUCCUCGUCCGGUGGGUGAUCAGCCGACGCCCCCCAGUCCACAACGUCCGGCGGGUGAUCAGACGCCGCCCCCCAGUCCUCGUCCAGCGGGUGAUCAGACGCCGCCCCCCAAUCCACCUCCGGCAAAGAAGCAGAAGCAGUCCUGGAUUAUUAACCCGGACCCUUAUGUACCUAAGACCACAAAGGUACCGGAGCCAUCACUGAAGCCUCUCCCCACAAGGCCUUGGGAACGUAGUGCCGAGGAAACUGCCGCGGCCGCGGCUGCUGAUCAUGACAAAUGGAAGGCGGACUGCAAGAAGAAAAGAGAGCCCGAGCCCAAGCCAGUAUUUUCUGAUGAGCAAAAGAAGUGGGCUAAGUCAUUUUUGAGCACACCGUCCCAAGCCGCGAAGAAUCUGCCUGACGACUAUGCACGUGAACUUCGUAGGCAGGCACUCAUGUUGAAGGAGAAGAAAGAGCGGGCGGAGAACCAGGAGAACAAAGCCUUGGAGGAGGCCGAGAAAACGGAAUUAGAAAGUAAAAAAGCGGGAAACGAGUUGCCCAGCUCGGGGAACAAAGUAAACAAUCGAUUGCCCCGCUUAUAGUGAAAGCCGCCGGUCCGGAUGACCCCGAUAUCAUAGUAGCUGCGGCAGCACAUGGAUUGACUGUAACGAGUGCCAGAGAACAAGUGGCCAACUUAGGUAUUACUCUUCGUGAACUGUUAGGCCUUGAUGAGGCGCCAGUGAAGGAGGUAGUAAUUACAUAUGUGAAGAAUGGGCCUCUCGUCGAGCCUGCGCAGGAAAAGGAUCUACCUCCACAAAUGAAAGGUCUGCUGAAAUGGUACAAGGGUUACAUAAAAAAUAAAAACGCCAAAGAAUAUAUUUAUGCGGAAGUUAGAUAUGAGCAUCACUUCAAACAUUACUAUGUACAAAUUCUUCUGAGUGAAUUGUUCCAGCUUUUCAAUCUGCGCGAGCUCGACAAAUCUAUCAUCAGUUGCUACGUUCUGUAAGUGAUUUAUUUCUACCCCAUCUCGUUCAUAUUGCCUGCACUAUAUAUAUGUCCUAACUAUAUUGUUGUGUCCGCUAUUAUACAUGCAGAAUGAAGAUUAAGGAAUGCAGAGUAAGGAACAUCCAUGAUGUUGGGUUCAUUGACCCACACAUCGUUAAUGGAUAUGUGUUGGAGCAUCACCCCGCCGACAUGGAGGCAGACCUGUGGCAGUUUCUUACAAAGCAGGAACUCAAAAGUGAUAUUCUAUUUCCUUACCAUUUUGGGUGAGUGUUUCUGUCUUGAGCACAUUCUCUUUUGUUUACUCCAUGCAUGGUAUGUGGCUGGCUAAUCGAUGAGUUAUGCAUGACGUACUGUGCAUGUAUCGUGUCCGCAGGUUUCACUGGAUUCUGCUAGUAAUUAAAGUUGACACCUCAGAAUGUCUCGUCCACGACUCUCUGAAUAUGGAUCCAAAGCUUUGGGGCGGCAUGAGAAGAAUGCUGCAGAAGUAAUUAUUUUCAUUCAUUUGCGCUCUAUAUCGAUCGGCCUAUUUCGUUCAUUUCCUAAUAUCAAGUAACUAAUAACUCUCUUGUUCAUUUAAUUUUCUUUGCCUCGUAGGGUUUGGAGACGGUUCGUAGAUACAAAGGUCGGUGAAUUCAAAAAAGAGCUAGAAUUCAAAAGGUCAAAGGCUAAGAAUGCUGGGGAUAUUCAGCCAGCGGGGACCAAUCUAUGUGGAUACUAUGUCUGUGAGAUGAUCCGGAGAUACACCUCUGAGCGGGUUCCGAGUGAUACCAAUGCUCAGAGGAAUAACCUCCGGAUGAUGCUUAGUCCAGAAGCUCGCUUCCGACCACUUCAAGAGGAACUAGCUGGAUGGUUCAGCAGGGAAGUCCUCCAUUCUAAAGGAGAACACCAUUACGAGGACGUAGAACUUUAUAUGCAUUAAAUUAUGUAUGGAAACUUGUUCAAAAUUGUAUAUGGUCAUCCGAUGAUAUUGAAUAUAUAUUGUAUAUUCCUCUUGAAUUCUUUUUGGUUCUAAUUUCAAAUUUGUUUGAAAUUGUACAUUCAUAUGCAUGUAUGUAGUACCGUAGAAUAUGUGAAACUCCUUCAAAAUUAAAAUAAAGCACAAAAGAAAUAAAACAAUACAAAUUAAACAGAAAACAGGUUUAGGGGGGGGGGCUAAAACCCUAAACCUGUGGCGGCCUUUAGUCGCGGUUGGCCAGAAGAACCGCGACUAAAGGUCCUCCGCCCCGACGGCCGCCUGGCGCCCACGUGGACGGGCCUUUAGUCGCGGUUCUUAAGCAACCGCGACUAAAGUGGGGGUCCUUUAGUCGCGCCUAUUUGGUCGCGGUUGCGCAACCGCUACUAAUGGCAGUUGCGAACCGCGACCAAAGGCCCUUUUUCCACUAGUGGUGGAGUAAUGUUCGUAAAUUAUAUAUUGCUUUCAAGUUUGGAGCUGGAAUAAUAUAUGUGCUGCAUUUAGUUAUAGUCUUAUAGAUAUACAUGAACAUCCAUUGUAUAUUUCUUGCAAGACAUGGUAACUACUAUUAUUUUGAUUGUUUCCGUGAACUAUUUUGACCUUGAUUAAGAAGUAGAAAGUUUUUAGCCUCGUAGGUUGUUUGAUCUACUAUAUCAAGUGGCACUUGGCUUCUCAUGGCUCUCCUCGCAUUUGCCAAAACAAAAUUAGUACACACUACCUAGAGCUCUGGAAAUUAGAACUGAAAAAUGGUCCUGCGGUUUAUUAGCUGAUAUAAAUCAUGCACAAUCCUCUACAUUUAAAAAUAAACCGGACACAAAGCAGUAUACUUUUUUCCGAGUACUACCUUGAGAGAGCCAAGGGGUUCUGCAUUUUAUAAAGAAGAAGAAAGUUGCCCGGUUCCAUACAUGCUUAUCUGAGAAAUAUAUCUUAUCUAUCUAGUGGAAACCAGGCAAAAACCUACAGAUACAAAAGGCACAAAGUCCCCCACCGGUCGUGACCGAACUACUGUUUUUGGAAAUAUAAAAUGAGCUAGAUUACUAACAUUGAUGUAAUGCUUGUAUGUCAACCUAUUCCUUUAUCGGUUCAAUUACAGAGUUUUGUUAUUAUGUGAAUGGAGUAAUGGAGAGCUAAGAAAAAACAAGGUAACAGUUAGUGUUACUCUUGCGAGGUAGUUUCAAUCAUAUCAUUGUUUGCUUUCCCUUUUCUCCUGCCUAGGUAUGUACAAUUAUUCCAACCCAGGUUUCUUUCAAGAAGGAUAUGGGUAUGUGUUUGAGGAAUGUCUACAUGAUAAAACACACCUUCAAGUUUGGUGAUAGUUAUGCUAUCAAACUUACAAUGGGGGUCUUAAUUUGUAUUUUUAAUAGAGCACUGGGUUCAUUGGUGAGACUUGUGAGGAUGUGCCUAGGCUAAAGAUGGCUCCUAUGUCGGUACCAAGUGGCAUGUGUUUAAAUGGAGUAUCCUUGUCAGGAGAGCUGAUUUCUGAAAUAUGGUACUUUAUGGGUGCAAGGAUUCACCAUGUUGCGGUCUUCGUCAGCGAAGUGGACUCCUAGGAAUUAGUCAAGGCCGCUAUGUUGUUUUAAGCUGAUAUUCUAUUGUACUUGUAUUUUUUUUGCUUAUCUAGUUGUUUGCCAUGCAGUUCUCGUUGUUGGUGGGGACAUUUGUUGUCUAAGAUCGACCUCAAAUAUCUGGUGGCACUAUAGCAUGGCUUUUGAUAUUCUAAUGUAUAUCUCUUACAAAAUAUUUCAAGAGCCCGUGGCAACGCACGGGCAUUAUACUAGUGUAAGUAAGGAUGGAGAUGAAGAUGGUGUGGCGACAAGGAUAUAACAAAACGCCUGGUUCCUUCAGCCAAAAGUUGGCAACGUUCCUUGUUACACACGCUCCGCCCAACAAACGCUCCAAAAGCCAAAAUACAAUUCCUCAAACAACGGCCAAAGACUACUUCCCCACAUGGAAAAGAAAUACGCACAUGGCGUUACAAUGUUGGCUACUCAUGUCUGAGUUCCUAAACCCUUGCAAAACAGAAAGAAAGGUUGUUUGCUAAACAAAAGAAAGGCCAACACAAUCCUAUCCAAACACUCCACAUUUUUACUAUGUGGCAAAAAUAUGCAACUUUUUUUUGUUUUUAGGUACAUGCCAUUUAAAAAAAACACAAUUUUUUUAUGUUCACACGCCAAGGUAUUUUGUACACAUGGCAAAAUUUUCCGAAGAAGAAAAAUCUCACGACCCCAUGGAUAAUUCAUAACUUUUUGUCUUUCAAGCAGGGCAAUUUUAAGUCAUUUUGUAAUGCUAUUGUGGCAAACGAUGGGAUCUUUAAUCAAUUUUCAUGGCGAAUUUGGGAUUCUUUUCCCUACUUUUUCACAUGGCAAUUUUAUUAUGAUUAAAAUGGAGAUCUUAUUAUUCAAAACAUGGCAGCUUUACUAUUAAGAGCAUGGCAAUUUAAGUAUGAUAGAAUCUCCUCCCCUGCUCGGUCUACCCCACAUGCAUGGCGUAUAACAUCCUCUAGCCCCAAUUGCCGCCAAACCUCUUUAGCCUUAUGGCAUCGAAAUAGUACAUGAAACACAUCUUCUGCUCCUUGUUUACAUGUAGGACACGUCGGCCGGACUGGGAUGUGUCUAUUAGCAAGAACCACAUUGCAUGGCAGUGUUCCGUGUAAGGUUCUCAGAAGAAAAUUUUUAACUUUCGCCGGACAAUUCAGUUUCCAAACCUUUUCCCAUGUUGGGUUAGCACUAGUGGCUCCCAAACCAUCUGUCCUCUGCAAUUUACGACCAUGCUGAAAGUACCAUAGAGCAUGGUAGGCCGAUUUCACUGUAAAAAUUCCAUGUUUAUUCAAACUUCAUGCUACAAAGUCACUCAUAUCAUGUGUAGGUAGUGGUAAAGCAAGGACCCGUUCCACAUCAAUCGGCCAGAAGGUUUGCUCCACAAGUGGCACAUCCCAGUGACCUGUAGCUGGAUCAAUUAAAUCACUCACCUUUGAUAGUAACUGGUUACCUCUUGGGGUAAUAAUCAUUCUGGAUGGUGAGUUAGGAAUCCACGCAUCCCUCCAAACAUUUAUUUUUUCACCAUCCCCUACUCUCCAAAUGUAUCCAUGUUUCUGGGUAUUCACCCCUUGCAUAAUGCUUUGCCAAGUGUAGGAGGAAUUCUUUUUCAGCUUAAUUAAUUUACCAGCACAAGAAGCGGGGAGUGAAAAACUUCCAUGACUUGAUGUCCACUUGCUGCUGGUACCUUUGGUGGGAGAGGAGAAAGCUUGUGCACAAUGAGCCGGUACAAGAUGCGAAGAGAGUUGCGCAAGCGGUAUGUGCUUUAGCUGCUAACUAUGCUAUUGCAUGUGACCCAAAGGCCUCGUUAAAGAGGGGAGGUUGGUGCAAACCCCCUAGUGGAUAUGUCAAGUUAAAUGUUGAUGCGGCCUUUGAUUGGGAUUUGCUUCAGGGGGCGAUGGGAGCAGUCAUCCAGAUGAUAGAGGACAUAUGGUUGUAGCUGGAAACAAGCUCAUUGAUUCAUGUUAUGAUGUACUAACUGUUGAGGCAAUGGCUUUGAAGUUUGGGUUGAAUAUGGCGCUCACAGCUGGGUGCAAUAGACUGAUUGUCAACUCGAAUAAUCUGGAACUCAUGGAAAUAAUGAAUAAGGAUGGCCAAUAUGCUGGAGAUGCCGCGGCCAUUGUCGAUGAUUGUUAUCAUCUGGCUUGCGAAUUUAGCUCUAUUGUCUUCGAAUUUUGCCCCAGAGAGUCGAAUGGGGUUGCACAUGAACUAGCUAGGAUUGCUAGAAGUUCGCUUUGUAAUGAGUGGUUAGAUAAUGCUCCUUCUGAGCUUCUUCACCUCUACUUAAAGAUGUAAGUCUGAUCACGAAUGAAUAAAGAGGAAGUAAAGUUGUCAAAAAAAAAGAGCAUGACAAUUUUAUUUUUAAUGGCAUGUCAUUCUUACCUCUUUUUUUUUGAGAAAAGCAUGUCAUCUUUACUAUGUCCUUCUCGCCUGCUGUAUGAAGUAGGCGGACCCUAGAUGGGCUUUCCCAAUAUUGGUUCCUGGGACAGGGUUCAUGCAGAGUUUUUUUUUCCUGGGCCAAUUUUCAUCUUUUUGUUUGGUUUUCUGUCUUAUGUGUUUCUUUAUGGAUUUUAUUUCUUUCUCAAUACAUGUCCAUUUUUCUAAAUACACACUGUAAAAAUUUACACAUCUUGAACAUUUUUUAUUAAUUGGCAUAAACCUAUUUUUGGAGUGUGUGAGCAUUUUUUAAUUGUCAUGUACAUUUUUCUGAAAGGCAGUAUUUAUUUUGUUGAAUUACGUGAGCAUUCUUUCCACAUUGUAUGACAUUUUCUAAUAAUCUCACGUAUAUUUUUUGAAACACGCGAACAUAUUUUUGAAUGCUAUAAACAUUUUUUAUAUCAUGCUGCAUUUGGUCUAUAUUAGUUUAAACUAAGUCAGUGACAAUUAAUAUGGAUCAUAGAGAGUACAAUUUUGUACAUGAUGUUUAUACUUUUAUAUUUCACUUUCAACAUUUUUUAUUUGUUAAACUCUAUUGUGUUUUUGGAAUAAGUGUAUUUAGAAUAUAUUUUUUUAAAUGUAAAUAAAAUGGAGCGAAUGAAGAAGCAGAGAAGAAAAACGAAGGCCGGCCAAAUGUAUGGCGUUCCCUGCCUCAUACCUGCAAAUCAAGCUAAGCAGCGGGUGAUAAUUUUUUACACAAUGUUUAUAGUUUUCUAUUUCACUUUGAACAUUUCAAAAUUUUAAGGAAAUUAUUAUUUUUAAAUAAAUGUUUUUAGUUUUUUUAAUAAAAAGGUGAAAAAAAGGAAAUUGAGCGAAUGAAGAAGCAGAGAAGAAAAACGCCCUUUCUUUCAUCAACUGAACUGCGUGCGUGCAUGGAAGGGCUAUCAUCUGCACUUAAGAGGAGUGACUUACCUAUCAUUGUGGAGAUGGACUCUAUUCUUGCAGUCAAACUGAUCCAAUCGAGGGAUUUGGACAAAUCUAUUUAUGCUUGGAUAGUUAAGGUGAUCAAGUAUGUUUUGGGGAUUCGUGGUUCUUGUAUUACUCAUGUAAAUCGCUCUUAAAAUAAAGUUAGCGACUGCUUAGCUAGAUUUGCUAAAUUAGAAGGACAAAGCAUGACUUGGGUUGGUUCUGGUCCAGAUGUUGCUGUUGAGCCAGCUAUUGCUCAAUGUAUGGACACCAUGAGUUGAGUAAUGCAAAAAAAAAAAAAAAGUUUGCGCAGAAUUAUUUUCGACCUGCCUCAUAUCUCUACUCUUAAUGGACGACUUGGUGAAUAGUCUUCAUGGUUUAUUUUCGCUGUUUUUUUUUGUCAUCCUCCCACCUCACGGUUUCAAAAAAACCAACCAAAACCAGAGGCCCGUCCCACGAAACGAAACCCAAUUUGCCCCCGUACCAUCACUCCUCCCUCUCCCUCUACCUCCCUUGUCUAGGGUUCCCCGCCACCACUGCGGCAUCCGCCGCCGAAUCCUAGGUCGCCGCACACCGUCGCCGCCGCCGCGAAUCCCCAGGGACGCCGCACGCCACCGCCGUCGCGAAUCACCAGAGACGCUGCACGCUGCCGCCGCGGAUCCCCAAGGGCGUGGUCGCAUUGUACUAGACAAAGUGUGGUCGCCGUCGUCCUCUCCUCGUCCGACCUUGACCUCAUCCCUUCGACUCCGGUGACUCCUCUGUGGCCCGGGCGGCCCUGGCCGACGCCGUCACAGCCAACGCCGGCCUCACCUCUGCGGCCUCACGCACUGCCGCCGCCGAGGAGCCGGCCUGAUAGGUUUGAACCAUCCCUUGAUCCCUCGAGUAUUCUGCGUCCCUUGAUGGCUCGAUUCCUUGUCUUCUCCAUCUAUCAAUCCCUCGCAUCCUUGCAUGCUACGAAGAGAAUGGUUCCCUUUCUACAGGGUCUGGUGUGAAAGAGUUGGAGCAAGGAGGACGUGUGCGGCCACUUCGCGCUUCGGCGAGAUCCUCAAGGUUGUCAUCGCAGACAAGGGCACUGGAAGAUCCAAGGGCGGCGGAUUCGUGAGUACCGCCCAAACAAUUCUCUCCUCCCCUCAUCAUCGAUUGAUCUUCCUGUAGUUAAUUUUCUUGCUUAAUUCAGCCCCGUUAGUUGAUGCUAUGCCUGGAUGGAUGCUUGGCAUGUUACGUUCCAGGAAGCGGAGGCGGCCAUUAGGGCGUGCUUGGGUCCGUACCCGGUGAUUGACGGCCGGAGGGCCAACUGCAACCUCGCCUGCCUCGAGGUCCAAGGCGCCACAACGAAAACGCCCGCCUCGAUACUCAGCUUCAAGGGAUGUGUCCUGCCACGGGUAGUGCCAUCACACCGGCACAAUGAACUCCCGUGCAACCCAGCAUCCGCAUUGAGACAUCUUUCUUGGCGCUGCCAUUGCUGCCGUACUCUGACAGUCCAUGCAUUGACGCAUCGAUUCAGAAGGUGAGCCCCAGCGACGGCUCCGGAAGAAGGGAUUGGCUGCAGCUGAUUUGGGAGGCCCAGUCGGGGAGAGCAGGGAGGAGGAGCAUCGAUGAUAUUCCUCCCGUCCCAUAGCCAAAGGGAGUGUCAGCGCACCCAGCGGCGGCACAUCUUGCGGCAGCAAUUGACGUAUCGUACCAGGCGGCUGUGUAGCUGGUGAAGUGGUGAGUGCAAAGUGUUUGUGCUAAUGAUUGAGCGGAGUUAUCUUAUGAUUGUCAUAUCACACUAUUUACGAGUAGUAAUGCUUAACUCCGUUGCCUUAGCGUGUGAUUGUGUCAUGUCCGUGACAAUACUAAUGCUCAAUGUUGUUGCCCGAGAGGCCCUUUUUGUAGUUAUCAUAAACGAGUAGGCAGCAUGUAAGAGCACCCACAGUGCUUAGAUGUAUGCUCAUUGCCCUUAAGCAGUGCGUUCUUGUCAACUCACAAGAUUGUACUAUUGUAUUUUGUAGGUACAUCUGAAGAUUCAUCUGCAGUUAGGUAGAAAAUGAUUCAUGUUUUACAUCCAAAAGUUAUACAUUUUUCAGGCUGUAAGCACCUUUAAAGUUAUUCAUGCAUACUUUUUUCAGGCUGUAAACUGCACCCUUAUAGUUAUUCAUGCCUUUUCUUUUAUAUAGUCGUGAUACUUAGAAUACUUAUAUAUUGUCAGUUAUAGGUAAUAUGUUCCAUCAAACAGGAGUUUACUCAGUAUUCAAUAAGAUAUUUUAUUUUUAAUAGUUAUAAGAGGAGACCUGCAUGAAAAACAAGAGUGCAGUUGGUUCAAUCAAAUAGAACUGCAGGUUGAUGGGGGUGGUUUAAUAAAAAGAAAAAGAUGAAAUAGAUUGGUGUUUAUUUAUUCUCUGCGGAAAAUUUUGGGCUCUUUUGUUAUGCUUGCAACUUUGUUUUGGAAUAGGGUAGUUAAAGUGUACUUUUCUUAUGGAAGGCAUGAAAAAGCAUGCGUAGCUAAUUACAACUCAGAAACAAAUGUCUUUGUUUCAAAAAUGACAAUGACGGAAUAAAUUGUUUCAAAAAAUAACUACAAAAAUCUAAAAAUCUAAACAUAGUGAUCAGAUGAACACGGUGGCCACUGAUGAUGUUGGAAUUAGGAUAAGUAGCGAGAUGGGUGGGAGGGCAUGUUGAAGUAGAGAACAUGGACUUGCGGGGAGGAGGGGUGCUUACUUGAGCCAAUUUAUUAGAUUAAGGGUGUGCAUGACUUUUUCCAUAUGCACGAAUUAUUAGUUAGUGAGAAUUAAGCGCCAUGCAUUCUUGGUUUGAUUGUUAUUCGUCGACCAUGAGCAAGAAUCUGUCAAUUAAUUAGAUGCUUUAAUUAACUUAUAUGUAAUGGCAGGGUGUCCAUGUUGAACGGAAACGCCUAUGGUUGCCCUUCAAGCACUAACAAAUUGGAAAUUCCAAGCCCUGCUGAGAUUACGAGCAGAGUGGAAAGGGAAUCAACACCAUCACGCCAAAACAUUGAAGGUGAAUAAGUGGACCACUAUCUAAGUAAAUAGACGAACCAUAUUUUGUUAGAACUAAGCAGUUGCUGCUAAUAUAAUCCUCUCCAGCAAGAUCAGUUUCGGACAAUAUAAUUUGCUAUUCACUUUCUAUGUGUUUAAGCAUGCUCAAACUCAAUACAAAUGAACAUAAUUCUUUUUUUUAGGUCAUUGCAUGACAAAUAAGAAUACUUACAUCACUGAAUUUCUGAUGUUUUUCUGUCGGAAGUUAGUUCAGUUAGGCACUUCUAAUUGCUUAAGCUCGAUUUCACUCAAGUUUGAUAUAAUCUGCAGGAGCAAUCCAAGAGCUAAAAACUACAGUGAUCUCACUAUUCACCAAGUAUUGUUAUUUUCUCUACCUACGUCCUAAUCAGGUGUGUCACCUUGUGUUGACUUUGCCUACUGAAUUAUAACGAGUCUUGAACUUUGUUAUCUGAUUUUCCUUAUCCUACUUCUUAGCUUUUCAUGCUAUUCUGCGCGCUGUGCAUAAUGUGCAUUUCUUGUUAUUUGCUAAUGUGUACUGGACAAGCGCGGCAGCAAAUUCAUAGUGUGCAUUUCUUGUUAUUUGCCAAUGGUUGUACUGGACAAAGCAUGGUCUUUUGUCCAAACACAUCCCUUAUGUUAUGUCCAAAAUUAGGUUGUUAGUCCUUUUUAGUGGGGUGCACUUAUAUCUCAAUUUUUCCUCCAGUUGUUUAUUACAUAUUGUGAUAUUGGUACAAAGGCUGCCACAAAAGACGAGCAUGUCUGGAUCAGCAAUAUGUCAGGUGNNNNNNNNNNNNNNNNNNNNNNNNNNNNNNNNNNNNNNNNNNNNNNNNNNNNNNNNNNNNNNNNNNNNNNNNNNNNNNNNNNNNNNNNNNNNNNNNNNNNNNNNNNNNNNNNNNNNNNNNNNNNNNNNNNNNNNNNNNNNNNNNNNNNNNNNNNNNNNNNNNNNNNNNNNNNNNNNNNNNNNNNNNNNNNNNNNNNNNNNNNNNNNNNNNNNNNNNNNNNNNNNNNNNNNNNNNNNNNNNNNNNNNNNNNNNNNNNNNNNNNNNNNNNNNNNNNNNNNNNNNNNNNNNNNNNNNNNNNNNNNNNNNNNNNNNNNNNNNNNNNNUAAAACACAUAGACUGUUUUUAUUUUACUAAAAUGUCUACUGCCGACGCAUGUUUGAACUGAAAUGUAUUCUGUUAACAAUUUAUGCUUUACCUUAAUUUCUGCUUUGUGUGCAGGCCCUAGCAGAGCUUGAACCUUCUUCAGCAAAUAAGGGUCACUGAGUUCUUAUAGUCAGUCACUGGACCACAAUGGUUGAUAUCCUUCAAUGGACACUGGAAGUAAUAUGAGCUACAGAUAUGCGUCUCAAUGGGGGGUUAUUUCUUUCCUCAACAAGUUACAGUACAGUAGCAAAGGUAAAGUGAACACACAACUUGAUUGUAUGGUUCUUAGAAUGUCACUGUACUCAGAGGCAGAGGACGAAAAAAAAUUAAGGUGUGGCGAAAUCUUAGGAAAAUAUUUUUUUUGAUGCAAAUUGAAAUAGUCAAUACAAAGUACAAACGAAAAACCAAAUACAAUGAAAAUGUAGACAUGUUUCAAUAGAAAAACAACCUAAAACAUACCAAUAAUCAAGUUUUCAAUGGCGUCUAGAAGACCUAGGUAAUGGCAAUGACCUACCCUCCUUCUGAAAAUCUUCCUUAAUUUUACUAUCAAUACUUUUGAAGAUCUCUCGCUCAAUAUAACAAACCAUCAAGUCACUUGAUCUUCAUGAGUGACAUGUGCCCAAACAUUGACACUUUAGCGGGUGCUUGGAUUCGAUUUCGAGCUGCUGCCACUACCAUUACUUCAAAAUACUUUGUCAAAUAUGCAAUCCAUAACAUCAAUUUGUAACUCAAUUCUGAUUGGUUUCAAGCUGCUGUUAUGCUACAAAUUUUCAUAGACAUGAGCAAUCUACCGCUUCCACCCCAUUCCUUUGGAUUUGCUGGUCCCUUCCCCUCCUUUUCCAUCUUAUGGCCAGAACUGCACCGGACUGGAGCCGCCGCCGUCAGCUGCCCCGUCGUCGGUCACCCGCCUGUUCAUCAGCCCAAUUUUCAUUACAUUUAUUACAAAAACUAAACUUUGCUAGCUCAUGAGCUACUGAAUUAGCAUCACGAAAACAGUGUGAAAAGAUGACCUUCCCUAUCACUAGUAGAAAACGGAGCUUUAAAACCGGUUUGUAAGGGCCUUUAGUGCCGGUUAUGGAACCGGCACUAAAGUGUGGGCACUAAAGGCCCCCCCCUAGUACCGGUUCGGCAUGAACCGGCGCUAAAGUGCCACCACGUGGCGUGAGCUCGCGCCCUGGUAUGGGGGACCUUUGGUACCGGUUGGUGUUACCAACCGGUACUAAAGGUUUUUUUUGAAUUUUUUUUUUGAAAAUUUCGGAAAAAAAUUUUGAUUUUUUUUUUGAUUUUUAAUUUUUCUGAAUUAUUUGAUGAUUUAGUCUCUAAUCACCUCUCUUAACUGCUCAAGUGUGGAUCACUCAUUCCAAAUCAUCUAACUGUUGGGGAACGUAGUAAUUUCAAAAAAAAAAUCCUACGCACACGCAAGAUCAUGGUGAUGGCAUAGCAACGAGAGGGGAGAGUGUAUGUCCACGUACCCUCGUAGACCGUAAGCGGAAGCGUUAGCACAACGCGGUUGAUGUAGUCGUACGUCUUCACGAUCCGACCGAUCCAAGCACCGAACGUACGGAGCCUCCGAGUUCAGCACACGUUCAGCUCGAUGACGUCCCUCGAACUCCGAUCCAGCCGAGUGUCGAGGGAGAGUUCCGUCAGCACGACGGCGUGGUGACGAUCUUGAUGUUCUACCAGCGCAGGGCUUCGCCUAAGCUUCGCGACGAUAUGACCGAGGUGGAAUAUGGUGGAAGGGGGCACCGCACACGGCUAAGGAACGAUCCGUAGAUCAACUUGUGUGUCUAUGGGGUGCCCCCCGCCCCCGUAUAUAAAGGAGCCAGGGGGGAGGAGGCCACCGGCCUAGGGGGCGCGCCAAGGGGGGAGUCCUACUCCCACCGGGAGUAGGACUCCCCUUUUCCAAGUUGGAGUAGGAGAGAAGGAGGAAAGAGGGGAGGAGGAGAAGGAAAAGGGGGGGCGCCGCCCCCUUUCCCUUGUCCUAUUCGGACUAGGAGGGGGAGGGGCGCGCGGCCCCCCUCCUUGCUCCUUCCUCUUCUCCCUCUUGGCCCAUGUAGGCCCAUUAACCUCCCCGGGGGGUUCCGGUAACCUCCCGGUACUCCGGUAAAAUGCCGUUUUCACCCGGAACCAUUCCGAUGUCCAAAUAUAGGCUUCCAAUAUAUCAAUCUUUAUGUCUCGACCAUUCCGAGACUCCUCGUCAUGUCCGUGAUCACAUCCGGGACUCCGAACAAACUUCGGUACAUCAAAACUUAUAAACUCAUAAUAAAACUGUCUGUUAGAGUCAGAUCCUCCGACGGAGCCGCAUAGUAAUGAACAACGUGGAGUGCAAGUCAAGCAGCUACCAAAUAGAUAGUUUCCAUCUCUGUUGGUCUAUUCGUAUUGUAUACAAACUCUGUAAUUUUUGGAUGCAUAUAUAUACGAGGAGGCUGUACCGUGGCUGGCAUUGAGCCGCCCGGUGUAUUCCAAUUUACGUGGUAUCAGGCCACAUCGUUCCUCUCCUGUCAAGACUCGAUCUCAAAACCUAAUCGCCGCCGCCGUUGCCGUUGCCACCAUCGUCGCUUCCCACAGCCUCCUUCUUCUCUGCCACCAUGAACGCUGACGACCUCAAGAAGCUUGAAGAGGAGCUCAAGCAACGCGAGUCCAUCAUCAGAACUCGCGAGGAAGAACUCCGGUGUCUUGCCGAGGAGCGCGGCAAGAUAGUUCUCGCAUCCACCCCUGCACCUGUUCCUGCACCGUCCUCCUAUGCUGCUUCAAUCAAGACAUAUGUUCCCAUCACUCUUGAUCUUCAGGAUUCCAACUACGCCAAAUGGCGUGAGCUUUUUCUCGUGGUCCUUGGGCGCUACGGCCUCUCCAGCCACGUCGGCGGCGGCGGCGCCGCCGACGCCACCCCCUCCGACACGUCGCCUACCUUGGAUUGGGGACGCGAUGACUACACGGUGCUCUCCUGGAUCUACGGUUCGGUCUCCAUCGAGCUCUUCGGCAUCAUCAUGGCUCCCGGCUCCACGGCGCGGCAAGUCUGGGACUCCAUUGCCAACCUCUUCCACGACAAUAAGAAAAGCCGCGCCUUAGCCCUCGAUGCCGAGUUCCGCAACACUCCACAAGGGGACAUGUCUAUUCAUGACUACUGCGCCAAACUCAAGUCUCUUGCCGACGCUCUCGGUGAUGUCGGCCAAAAUAUCACCGACGAGACGCUCGUCCUCACAGUGCUCCGCGGCCUCAAUGAACAAUUCAGUCAUCUUCGGUCUUUUCUACUGUUCCAGGUGCCGUUCCCAUCCUUCCUGCAGACACGUUCCGCUCUCGUCCUCGAGGAGACGCAGAAAAAGACGGACGCCAAGAACGCGGCGGCAACCGCACUCUGGGCAAGCAGCAACAGCAUCCUCCCUCAUGCUGGCGGGGAGCGUGCUCCUUCUUCUAGCCGCGGCACUGGCUACAACAACAGCGACUCACGCAACGCCGCCACACACUCCACCACGCCCUACCCCAACCCUGGCCGCGGCAGUGGAAAUGGCGGACGCCGCGGACGUGGAGGCGGCCGCGGACGAGGCCGCGACAAUCCUUGGAUGUUCAACCCAUGGACCGGCCUCCCGACUCGGGCUCAACAACAACAACAACAUCCUCCCACUGCACCGUGGCAGCCCCGCUGGCGUGCUCGCAGCGCCGGCGUCCUUGGUCCUCACCCCGGUGCAGCUCCUUUCCAGGCGUACACUGCAUAUGGUCAGCAACACACCAACAACGGUGGCAUGAUGCCGUCACCAUCUACAAGCUAUCCAGGAGGUCACCAGCAACUUGAUCCAGCCUUGCUGAACGCACUUCAGAACAUGCAGCUUCCUGGCAAUCAAGAGUGGUACAUGGACUCUGGAGCAUCAUCCCAUAUGGCAUCCGAUCAUGGUAUUCUCUCCUCCUCCCAACCCUCCUCUGCUCACACCGUCACUGUUGGUAACGGUGCCUCCCUUCCCAUCUCUCACAUCGGCACACACACCCUGCCCUCUCUUUCGAAACAUUUAUAUCUUAACAAUGUUCUUGUCGUUCCACAUAUCAUCAAAAAUCUUCUUUCCGUUCGCAAACUUACCACUGAUAAUUUUGUUUCGAUAGAAUUUGACCCUUGGGGUUUUUCUGUGAAGGCACUUCCCACAAGGAUCGAGAUUCUUCGAUGCAAUAGCUCCGGACCACUCUACCCAGUAUGUCGUCCCACGCCCGCCGAAGCACAUGUCAUCACCACCACCCUCGACCUUUGGCAUCGCCGACUUGGACACCCCGGUCAUCACACCAUGAAGCGUCUUCAAAGUUCUUGCCAUAUCUCCUACAAUAAAAUCAUGCCAUCCAUUUGUCAUGCUUGUCAGCUUGGGCGACAUGUUAGAUUACCCUUUUAUCCAUCUGUUUCUUAUAUUAGCAAACCUUUUGCAUUAUUACACUGUGAUCUUUGGACUUCUCCCGUACCCAGUACAUCUGGCUUUGCCUAUUAUCUUAUAAUUGUCGAUGAUUUCACUCAUUAUUUUUGGACUUUCCCACUGCGCAAGAAAUCUGAUGUCUAUGCAACACUUCUCACCUUUCAUGCUUACGCUCGCACUCAAUUUAAUCUAUCUAUUUUAGCUUUCCAAUGCGACAAUGGACGAGAGUUUGACAAUACAAAAAUAGAUACUUUCUGUGCCUCUCACGGUAUUCUCCUUCGCUUCUCCUGUCCAUACACCUCUCAACAAAACGGCAAGGCUGAAUGAGCUAUUCGCACCACCAACAAUGUCAUACGUACCCUUCUGGUCCAAGCUUCUCUCCCCCCAUCCUUCUGGGCCGAAGCACUACACACUGCCACCUUUCUUAUAAACAUUAGACCGACGUCGUCUACCAAAUUUCUCACACCAUAUGCAACUCUUCUUGGUUCGUCACCCCCAUAUGACUCACUUCGUGUGUUUGGUUGCCUCUGUUACCCUAACACUACAUCCACAUCUUCCAACAAACUAUCUCCACGCUCCACAAAAUGCAUCUUUCUUGGGUACCCGACACGCCAUAGAGGUUAUCGGUGUCUUGAUUUAACCACACGACGGAUCAUCAUCUCUCGUCAUGUGGUUUUUGACGAGUCCUCCUUCCCCUAUGCACCCGCCCCCAUUCCUAAUCCACCACGUUGUACAGAAAUUUUCGACCCACCUGAACCAAUCCAUCCGCUUGUUCCCCCUGCCAUGCAUGCAUCCCCUCCACCUGCGCCAGCUAUGCAUGCGCCUGCUAUGCAUGUGCCCAACACCCCGCCACCAACGCCUCAUUCUUCUGGCUCGUCUUCGACCCCGCCUACUAGCACCCCGCUCGCUUCUCCACCACCGGGCUCUUCCUCUACUCACGGGGUGCAGCCUAGCCCACCUGUGCAAUCCACCCCACCUGGCUCGCCAUCCCCUAACCCCAUACCACCGCCCGCUCCACUACAUCGUACACGCUCCACUACUGGCCGGCUUCCUCCACCCAUCGACCGCCUUAACCUCUCUGCUAUUGCUUCUUCUCCACUCCCACACAACUAUCUUAUGGCAUUACGCGAUCCCAACUGGCGUCAAGCCAUGCAAGAAGAGUUUGAUGCUCUCAUCCUAAAUAAAACAUGGACUCUUGUUCCUGCUCCUCCCGGUGCAAAUGUUGUGAGUGGUAAAUGGAUUUUUCGCCAUAAAUAUCAUGCCGACGGCUCUCUCGCUCGUCACAAGGCUCGUUGGGUAGUCCGUGGUUUUACGCAACAACCAGGAAUUGACUUUGAUGAAACCUUCAGUCCUGUUGUUAAACCUGCCACUAUUCGCAUUGUUCUCUCUCUUGCUAUCUCUCAAUCUUGGCCCAUACACCAGCUUGAUGUAAAAAAUGCCUUCCUCCAUGGCCAUCUUGAUGAAGUUGUCUAUAGUCAACAACCCUCUGGCUUUGUUGAUCCACGUCACCCCACUUAUGUGUGUCGUCUUCUUAAAUCUCUAUAUGGUUUAAAACAAGCUCCCCGCGCAUGGUUUCAGCGGUUUGCCACCUUUGCGCGCUCCAUUGGGUUCGUUGAAUCCAAAUCCGAUGCCUCUCUUUUCAUUUUUCACCAGGGCACCAACUUAGCAUAUCUCCUUCUUUAUGUCGAUGACAUCAUUCUUACUGCCUCCACCCCAUCUACUCUUGCUACUAUCACACAUGCCAUGGCACGUGAAUUUGCUAUGAAGGAUCUUGGCCCCCUACAUCACUUCCUUGGCAUUUCUGUUACACGUACUUCUAGCAGCCUCCACCUCUCUCAACGAAACUACAUUCUUGACAUCUUGAAUCGUGCAGGCAUGCGUGAUUGUCAUCCCGUCCCUACACCUAUUGAUACCAAAGCAAAACUCUCCUCCACAUCUGGGUCCCCUGUUUCCGAUCCUUCUCAGUAUCGUAGCUUAGCUGGCGCACUACAAUAUGCUACACUCACUCGUCCCGACACUGCUUACGCCGUGCAACAAGUAUGUCUCCAUAUGCACGAUCCACGAGAACCCCAUUUCUCUCUCAUAAAAUGCAUUCUCCGCUAUCUUCAUGGCACUCUCGACCUUGGUCUUUCUCUGCAUCGCACUUCUUCUCACUCUCUCAUUGCCUACUCGGAUGCCGACUGGGCUGGUUACCCGGACACACGACGCUCUACGUCUGGAUUUUGCAUGUACCUCGGUGAUAAUCUCAUUUCUUGGUCCGCACAACGACAAACGACCGUCUCCCGCUCUAGUGCCGAGGCAGAGUACAGGGCAGUAGCUGCGGCUGUUUCAGAGUCAUGUUGGGUUCGGCAGCUCCUACAGGAACUUCGACGGCCGAUCUCGACUGCCACAAUUGUCUACUGUGAUAAUGUCAGUGCCGUCUACUUGUCUGCCAACCCCGUUCAGCAUCGACGGACCAAGCAUAUUGAGCUGGAUAUUCACUUUGUUCGGGAGAAGGUCGCCCUAGGAGACGUGCGCGUUUUACAUGUACCCUCGUCCUCGCAGUUCGCGGACAUUUUCACGAAGGGUUUGCCUACUACUCUUUUUCAAGAGUUUCGCUCCAGUCUUCAGGUCGAGAGCUCUCCCGGUUCAGACUGCGGGGGCGUGUUAGAGUCAGAUCCUCCGACGGAGCCGCAUAGUAAUGAACAACGUGGAGUGCAAGUCAAGCAGCUACCAAAUAGAUAGUUUCCAUCUCUGUUGGUCUAUUCGUAUUGUAUACAAACUCUGUAAUUUCUGGAUGCAUAUAUAUACGAGGAGGCUGUACCAUGGCUGGCAUUGAGCCGCCCGGUGUAUUCCAAUUUACACUGUCAUCAAAAACGUUAAGCGUGCGGACCCUACGGGUUCGAGAACUAUGUAGACAUGACCUAAAACCAUUCUCGGUCAAUAACCAAUAGCGUGACCUGGAUGCCCAUAUUGGUUCCUACAUAUUCUACGAAGAUCUUUAUCGGUCAAACCGCAUAACAACAUACUUUGUUCCCUUUGUCAUCGGUAUGUUACUUGCCCGAGAUUUGAUCGUCGGUAUCCAAUACCUAGUUCAAUCUCGUUACCGGCAAGUCUCUUUACUCAUUUCGUAAUAUGUCAUCUCAUAACUAACUCAUUAGUUACAUGCUUGCAAGGCUUAGGUGAUGAGUAUUACCAAGAGGGCCCAGAGAUACCUCUCCGACAAUCGGAGUGACAAAUCCUAAUCUCGAAUUAUGCCAACCCAACAUGUACCUUCGGAAACACCUGUAGAGCACCUUUAUAAUCACCCAGUUACGUUGUGACGUUUGGUAGCACACAAAGUGUUCUUCCGGUAAACGGGAGUUGCACAAUCUCAUAGUUGCAGGAACUUUGUAUAAGUCAUGAAGAAAGCAAUAGCAGUAUACUAAACGAUCAAGUGCUAGGCUAACAAAAUGGGUCAUGUCAAUCACAUCAUUCUCCUAAUGAUGUGAUCCCACUAAUCAAAUGACAACACAUGUCUAUGGUCAGGAAACAUAACCAUCUUUGAUUAAUGAGCUAGUCAAGUAGAGGCAUACUAGUGACUAUAGUUUUGUCUAUGUAUUCACAUAUGUAUCAUGUUUCCAGUUAAUACAAUUCUAGCAUGAAUAAUAAACAUUUAUCAUGAUAUGAGGAAAUAAAUAAUAACUUUAUUAUUGCCUCUAGGGCAUAUACCACUUGCACUAGAGUCAAUAAUCUAGAUUACAUAGUAAUGAUUCUAACACCCAUGGAGUCUUGGUGCUGAUCAUGUUUUGCUCGUGAGAGAGGCUUAGUCAACGGGUCCGCAACAUUCAGAUCCGUAUGUAUCUUGCAAAUCUCUAUGUCUCCCACUUGGACUUGGUUCCGAAUGGAAUUGAAGCGUCUCUUGAUGUGCUUGGUCCUCUUGUGAAAUCUGGAUUCCUUUGCCAAAGCAAUUGCACCAGUAUUGUCACAGAAGAUCUUCAUUGGUCCCGAUGCACUAGGUAUGACACCUAGAUCGGAAAUGAACUCCUUCAUCCAGACUCCUUCAUUUGCUGCUUCAGAAGCAGCUAUGUACUCCGCUUCACAUGUAGAUCCCGCCACGACGCUUUGUUUAGAACUGCACCAACUUACAGCUCCAUCGUUUAAUAUAAACACGUAUCCGGUUUGCGAUUUAGAAUCGUCCGGAUCAGUGUCAAAGCUUGCAUCGACGUAACCAUUUACGACUAGCUCUUUGUCACCUCCAUAUACGAGAAACAUAUCCUUAGUCCUUUUCAGGUAUUUCAGGAUGUUCUUGACCGCUGUCCAGUGAUCCACUCCUGGAUUACUUUGGUACCUUCCUGCCAAGCUUAUUGCUAAGCAUACGUCAGGUCUGGUACACAGCAUUGCAUACAUGAUAGAGCCUAUGGCUGAAGCAUAGGGAACAUUUUUCAUUUUCUCUCUAUCUUCUGCUGUGGUCGGGCAUUGAGUUUGACUCAACUUCACACCUUGUAGCACAGGUAAGAAUCCUUUCUUUGCCUGAUCCAUUUUGAACUUUUUCAAAAUCUUGUCAAGGUAUGUGCUUUGUGAAAGUCCUAUUAAGCGUCUUGAUCUAUCUCUAUAGAUCUUGAUGCCCAAUAUGUAAGCAGCUUCACCGAGGUCUUUCAUUGAAAAACUUUUAUUCAAGUAUCCCUUUAUGCUAUCCAGAAAUUCUAUAUCAUUUCCAAUUAAUAAUAUGUCAUCAACAUAUAAAACUAGAAAUGCUACAGAGCUCCCACUCACUUUCUUGUAAAUACAGGCUUCUCCAAAAGUCUGUAUAAAACCAUAUGCUUUGAUCACACUGUCAAAGUGUUUAUUCCAACUCCGAGAUGCUUGCACCAGUCCAUAAAUGGAACGCUGGAGCUUGCACACUUUGUCAGCACCUUUUGGAUCAACAAAACCUUCCGGCUGCAUCAUAUACAACUCUUCUUCUAGAAAUCCAUUCAAGAAUGCAGUCUUGACAUCCAUUUGCCAAAUUUCAUAAUCAUGAAAUGCAGCAAUAACCAACAUGAUUCGGACAGACUUAAGCAUCGCUACGGGUGAGAAAGUCUCAUCGUAGUCAACCCCUUGAACUUGUCAAAAACCUUUCGCAACAAGUCGAGCUUUAUAGACAGUAACAUUACCAUCAGCGUCAGUCUUCUUAAAAAUCCAUUUAUUCUCAAUGGCUUGCCGAUCAUCGGGCAAGUCAACCAAAGUCCAUACUUUGUUUUCAUACAUGGAUCCCAUCUCAGAUUUCAUGGCCUCUAGCCAUUUUGCGGAAUCUGGGCUCAUCAUCGCUUCCUCAUAGUUCGUAGGUUCAUCAUGGUCAAGUAACAUGACUUCCAGAAUAGGAUUACCGUACCACUCUGGUGCGGAUCUUACUCUGGUAGACCUACGAGGUUCAGCAGAAACUUGAUCUGAAGUUUCAUGAUCAAUAUCAUUAGCUUCCUCACUAGUUGGUGUAGUUGUCACGGGAACCGGUUCUCGUGAUGAACUACCUUCCAACAAGGGAGUAGAUACAGUUAUCUCAUCAAGUUCUACUUUCCUCCCACUCACUUCUUUCGAGAGAAAUUCCUUCUCUAGAAAGGAUCCAUUCUUAGCAAUGAAUGUCUUGCCUUCGGAUCUGUGAUAGAAGGUGUACCCAACAGUCUCUUUUGGGUAUCCUAUGAAGACACAUUUCUCCGAUUUGGGUUCGAGCUUAUCUGGUUGAAGUUUCUUCACAUAAGCAUCGCAGCCCCAAACUUUAAGAAACGACAACUUCGGUUUCUUGCCAAACCACAGUUCAUAAGGCGUCGUCUCAACGGAUUUUGAUGGUGCCCUAUUUAACGUGAAUGCGGCCGUCUCUAAAGCAUAACCCCAAAAUGAUAGUGGUAAAUCGGUAAGAGACAUCAUAGAUCGCACCAUAUCAAGUAAAGUACGAUUACGACGUUCGAACACACCAUUUCGUUGUGGUGUUCCAGGUGGCGUGAGUUGCGAAACUAUUCCGCAUUGUUUCAAAUGUAAACCAAACUCGUAACUCAAAUAUUCUCCUCCAUGAUCAGAUCGUAGAAACUUUAUUUUCUUGUUACGAUGAUUUUCUACUUCACUCUGAAAUUCUUUGAACUUUUCAAAUGUUUCAGACUUGUGCUUCAUUAAGUAGAUAUACCCAUAUCUGCUCAAAUCAUCUGUGAAGGUGAGAAAAUAACGAUAUCCGCCACGAGCCUCAACAUUCAUUGGACCACAUACAUCUGUAUGUAUGAUCUCCAACAAAUCUGUUGCUCUCUCCAUAGUUCCGGAGAACGGUGUUUUAGUCAUCUUGCCCGUGAGGCACGGUUCGCAAGUACCAAGUGAUUCAUAAUCAAGUGAUUCCAGAAGUCCAUCAGUAUGGAGUUUCUUCAUGCGUUUUACACCGAUAUGACCUAAACGGCAGUGCCACAAAUAAGUUGCACUAUCAUUAUCAACUCUGCAUCUUUUGGCUUCAACAUUAUGAAUAUGUGUAUCACUACUAUCGAGAUUCAAUAAAAAUAGACCACUCUUCAAGGGCGCAUGACCAUAAAAGAUAUUACUCAUAUAAAUAGAACAACCAUUAUUCUCUGAUUUAAAUGAAUAACCAUCUCGCAUCAAACAAGAUCCAGAUAUAAUGUUCAUGCUCAACGCAGGCACCAAAUAACAAUUAUUCAGGUCUAAAACUAAUCCCGAUGGUAGAUGUAGAGGUAGCGUGCCGACCGCGAUCACAUCGACUUUGGAACCGUUUCCCACGCGCAUCGUCACCUCGUCCUUGGCCAGUGCUCGCUUAUUCCGCAGUCCCUGUUUCGAGUUGCAAAUAUUAGCAACAGAACCAGGUUCAAAUACCCAGCUGCUACUACGAGCUCUAGUUAGGUACACAUCAAUAACAUGUAUAUCACAUAUACCUUUGUUCACUUUGCCAUCCUUCUUAUCCGCCAAAUACUUGGGGCAGUUCAGCUUCCAGUGGCCAGUCUGCUUGCAGUAGAAGCACUUAGUUUCAGGCUUAGGUCCAGACUUGGGUUUCUUCUCUUGAGCAGCAACUUGCUUGCCGUUCUUUUUGAAGUUCCCCUUCUUCUUCCCUUUGCCCUUCUUCUUGAAACUAGUGGUCUUGUUGACCAUCAACACUUGAUGCUCCUUCUUGAUUUCUACCUCCGCGGCUUCAGCAUCGCGAAGAGCUCGGGAAUAGUCUUGUUCAUCCCUUGCAUAUUAUAGUUCAUCACGAAGCUCUUGUAGCUUGGUGGCAGUGAUUGAAGAAUUCUGUCAAUGACACUAUCAUCAGGAAGAUUAACUCCCAGUUGAAUCAAGUGAUUGUUAUACCCAGACAUUUUGAGUAUAUGUUCACUGACAGAACUAUUCUCCUCCAUCUUGCAGCUAUAGAACUUAUUGGAGACUUCAUAUCUCUCAAUCCGGGCAUUUGCUUGAAAUAUUAACUUCAACUCCUGGAACAUCUCAUAUACUCCAUGACGUUCAAAACGUCGUUGAAGACCCGGUUCUAAGCCGUAAAGCAUGGCACACUGAACUAUAGAGUAGUCAUCAGCUUUGCUCUGCCAGACGUUCUUAACGUCGUCAGUUGCAUCAGCAGCAGGCCUGGCACCCAGCGGUGCUUCCAGGAUGUAACUCUUCUGUGCAGCAAUGAGGAUAAUCCUUAGGUUACGGACCCAGUCCGUGUAAUUGCUACCAUCAUUUUUCAACUUUGCUUUCUCAAGGAACGCAUUAAAAUUCAACGGAACAACAGCACGAGCCAUCUAUCUACAAACAAACAUAGACAAGCAAGAUACUAUCAGGUACUAAGUUCAUGAUAAAUUUAAGUUCAAUUAAUCAUAUUACUUAAGAACUCCCACUUAGACAGACAUCUCUCUAGUCAUCUAAGUGAUCACGUGAUCCAAAUCAACUAAACCAUAACUGAUCAUCACGUGAUAUGGAGUAGUUUUCAAUGGUGAACAUCAUUAUGUUGAUCAUAUCUACUAUAUGAUUCAUGAUCGACCUUUUGGUCUCCGUGUUUCGAGGCCAUAUCUGCAUAUGCUAGGCUCGUCAAGUUUAACCUGAGUAUUCUGCGUGUGCAAAACUGGCUUGCACCCGUUGUAGAUGGACAUAGAGCUUAUCACACCCGAUCAUCACAUGGUGUCUCGGCACGACGAACUUUGGCAACGGUGCAUACUCAGGGAGAACACUACUUGAUAAUUUUAGUGAGAGAUCAUCUUAAAAUGCUACCGUCAAUCAAAUCAAGAUAAGAUGCAUAAAGGAUAAACAUCACAUGCAAUCAAUAUAAGUGAUAUGAUAUGACCAUCAUCAUCUUGUGCUUGUGAUCUCCAUCUCCGAAGCACCGUCGUGAUCACCAUCGUCACCGGCGCGACAUCUUGAUCUCCAUCGUAGCAUCGUUGUUGUUUACGCCAUCUAUUGCUUCUACGACUAUCGCUACCGCUUAGUGAUAAAGUAAAGCAAUUACAGGGCGUUUGCAUUUCAUACAAUAAAGCGACAACCAUAUGGCUCCUGCCAGUUGCCGAUAACUUCGGUUACAAAACAUGAUCAUCUCAUACAAUAAAAUAUAUCAUCACGUCUUGACCAUAUCACAUCACAACAUGCCCUGCAAAAACAAGUUAGACGUCCUCUACUUUGUUGUUGCAAAUUUUACGUGGCUGCUACGGGCUUAGCAAGAACCGUUCUUACCUACGCAUCAAAACCACAACGAUAGUUUGUCAAAUAGACUCCGUUUUAACCUUCGCAAGGACCGGGCGUAGCCACACUCGAUUCAGCUAAAGUGAGAGAGACAGACACCCGCCAGUCACCUUUAAGCACGAGUGCUCGUAACGGUGAAAUCAGUCUCGCGUAAGCGUACGCGUAAUGUCGGUCCGGGCCGCUUCAUCUCACAAUACCGCUGAACCAAAGUAUGACAUGCUGGUAGGCAGUAUGACUUAUAUCGUCCACAACUCACUUGUGUUCUACUCGUGCAUAUAACAUCAACGCAUAAAACCUAGGCUUUGAUACCACUGUUGGGGAACGUAGUAAUUUCAAAAAAAAAUCCUACGCACACGCAAGAUCAUGGUGAUGGCAUAGCAACGAGAGGGGAGAGUGUAUGUCCACGUACCCUCGUAGACCGUAAGCGGAAGCGUUAGCACAACGCGGUUGAUGUAGUCGUACGUCUUCACGAUCCGACCGAUCCAAGCACCGAACGUACGGAGCCUCCGAGUUCAGCACACGUUCAGCUCGAUGAUGUCCCUCGAACUCCGAUCCAGCCGAGUGUCGAGGGAGAGUUCCGUCAGCACGACGGCGUGGUGACGAUCUUGAUGUUCUACCGGCGCAGGGCUUCGCCUAAGCUUCGCGACGAUAUGACCGAGGUGGAAUAUGGUGGAAGGGGGCACCGCACACGGCUAAGGAACGAUCCGUAGAUCAACUUGUGUGUCUAUGGGCUGCCCCCCGCCCCCGUAUAUAAAGGAGCCAGGGGGGAGGAGGCCGCCGGCCUAGGGGGCGCGCCAAGGGGGGGAGUCCUACUCCCACCGGGAGUAGGACUCCCCUUUUCCAAGUUGGAGUAGGAGAGAAGGAGGAAAGAGGGGAGGAGGAGAAGGAAAAGGGGGGGCGCCGCCCCCUUUCCCUUGUCCUAUUCGGACUAGGAGGGGGAGGGGCGCGCGGCCCCCUCCUUGCUCCUUCCUCUUCUCCCUCUUGGCCCAUGUAGGCCCAUUAACCUCCCGGGGGGUUCCGGUAACCUCCCGGUACUCCGGUAAAAUGCCGUUUUCACCCGGAACCAUUCCGAUGUCCAAAUAUAGGCUUCCAAUAUAUCGAUCUUUAUGUCUCGACCAUUCCGAGACUCCUCGUCAUGUCCGUGAUCACAUCCGGGACUCCGAACAAACUUCGGUACAUCAAAACUUAUAAACUCAUAAUAAAACUGUCAUCGAAAACGUUUAGCGUGCGGACCCUACGGGUUCGAGAACUAUGUAGACAUGACCUAAAACCAUUCUCGGUCGAUAACCAAUAGCGUGACCUGGAUGCCCAUAUUGGUUCCUACAUAUUCUACGAAGAUCUUUAUCGGUCAAACCGCAUAACAACAUACUUUGUUCCCUUUGUCAUUGGUAUGUUACUUGCCCGAGAUUUGAUCGUCGGUAUCCAAUACCUAGUUCAAUCUCGUUACCGGCAAGUCUCUUUACUCGUUCCGUAAUACGUCAUCUCAUAACUAACUCAUUAGUUACAUGCUUGCAAGGCUUAGGUGAUGAGUAUUACCGAGAGGGCCCAGAGAUACCUCUCCGACAAUCGGAGUGACAAAUCCUAAUCUCGAAUUAUGCCAACCCAACAUGUACCUUCGGAAACACCUGUAGAGCACCUUUAUAAUCACUCAGUUACGUUGUGACGUUUGGUAGCACACAAAGUGUUCUUCCGGUAAACGGGAGUUGCACAAUCUCAUAGUUGCAGGAACUUUGUAUAAGUCAUGAAGAAAGCAAUAGCAGUAUAUUAAAUGAUCAAGUGCUAGGCUAACAAAAUGGGUCAUGUCAAUCACAUCAUUCUCCUAAUGAUGUGAUCCCACUAAUCAAAUGACAACACAUGUCUAUGGUCAGGAAACAUAACCAUCUUUGAUUAAUGAGCUAGUCAAGUAGAGGCAUACUAGUGACUAUAGUUUUGUCUAUGUAUUCACACAUGUAUCAUGUUUCUGGUUAAUACAAUUGUAGCAUGAAUAAUAAACAUUUAUCAUGAUAUGAGGAAAUAAAUAAUAACUUUAUUAUUGCCCCUAGGGCAUAUUUCCUUCACUAACUUCUCGACCGGUCAUCCAUCCCUCUCACUACUCCAGCCCGAGCACGCUUAACUUUCAGGUUCUAUUCUCCUUCGUUUCCGAGUCUGCACUUGUUGUUUUCCUGACAAUAGUAAGAUGUCAAUCCUAUUAACCCUCAGGAGUUUAGCUUGAGCAUGAAGUCACACAUUUCACCGUUUGAGUUUGAAACUAUUAUUCUAAAAAAACAGUAAUUAUUUAGUAACGCUAAUAUUUCUUGAAUAAGUUUGACCAUAGUUUGACCAUAGUUUGACCAGAUUUGACCAAAAUUCAAAAAAUUGAAAUAAUUAUUUAGUAACACUAAUAUUCUUUGAAUAAUUAAGUAGUAACACUAAUAUUUCUUGAAUAAGUAGUUUGACCAUAGUUUGACCAAAGUUUGACCAGAUUUGACCAAAAUUCAAAAAAACUGAGAUACUUAUUUAGUAACACUAAUAUUAUUACGUAAUUAUUUAGUAACACUCUAUAUUUCUUGAAUCAGUUGUUUGACCGGUUUGACAAGAUUUAACCAAAAUUCAAAAAAACAUAAAUUAGAGCAUAUCUUUUUUUCCUUUUACAAUUUUGUCAUUUCAAAAAUUGUCCUAAACCCUAAACCCGGGACUUAAAACAUCGGAAUCUCUAUGCUAAAUAGUAAAAACUAAGGGUUUAAACCAUAAAACCUAACCCCAAACUCUGAAAUCUAAACCCUAGCACUAAACGCUAAAAACGUCUAAAAACGUCCAAAACGCCCAAAAACUCUAUUUUCCCUUUGGAAUUUUGUGAUUUUCAAAAAUUGUCGAAACGGAAAACUGGCUAGCCAAUCGAGCAGUUACCAGUUAACGAUUUCCUCAACAAUGGUUGUAAGAGAACUCCGCAUACGGUAGACUUUUAUCCCAACUAGUACCAUACUGCAAUGCACAAGCUCUCAACAUAUCUUCAAGAAUUUGAUUGAGCCUUUCUGUCUGUCCAUCAGUCUGAGCAUGAUAUGUUGUACUGAAAUUCAACUUCGUUCCCAAAGAUUUAUGCACUUUCUGCCAAAAGAUGGACGUGAACUGCGUACCUCUAUCAGACACAAUCUUCUUAGGAACUCCAUGCUGACAUACUAUUCUUUCCAUGUAUAGCUCUGCCAAUCUUGCCCCGCUAUAAGUAGUCUUGACAGGCAAAAAGUGAGCGACUUUAGUGAGACGAUCCACUAUUACCCAUAUAGAAUCAUAACCUUGUUGAGUGUGUGGUAAUCCCACUAUAAAGUCCAUUCCGACUUCUUCCCAUUUCCACUCAGGAAUCUUCAUUGGUUGCAACAAACUAGCGGGUCUCUGAUGCUCAGUCUUUACCCUCUGACAAGUGUCACAUAUAGCUACAUACUCAGCCACAUCUCUUUUCAAUCCAUACCAGCAGUAAUUCUCCUUAAGAUUUAGAUACAUCUUAGUACUUCCAGGAUGGAUAGAAUAGGCCAACUCAUGUGCUUCACGCAAAAUUGUAUCAUGAAUGGCUUUCACCUCAGGCACACAUAUCCUUUUCACAAAACAUAAGGUUCCAUUCUCAUCUAUUAUGAAGCCAGGUGCUUUACCAAUCACCACAUUCUCAGCUAUCUCCUUUAGCUUUUCAUCUUCUAGCCAACCCUUACGUAUUUCUUGCUCCAACGUAGGAAUCACUUUUAUCUCCAUAGCACUAGCAACAAUACCAAGAUUCAGAUGUUGCAACUCCGCAUACAACUCUUCUGCCUCUGGUCUCAACUUACGAUUGUUGUCAUAUUUCUUCCUACUAAGAGCAUCAGCUACAACAUUCGCCUUACCUGGAUGAUAAUGUACCUCCGGUUCAUAAUCCUUGAUUAACUCUAGCCCGCGAAGUUGUCUUAAAUUCAAACAUGUCUGAGUGAAUAUAUACUUCAAGCUCUUAUGAUCGGUGUAGAUAUCACUCUUGUGACCAAUCAGAUAGUGUCUCCAGAUCUUCAAUGCAUGCACCGCAGCUGCUAGCUCCAGAUCACGAGUAGGAUAAUUUAACUCAUGCUUCCUCAACUGUCUCGAUGCAUGCGUCGGUGGUGGUGACCUCAUGUCCGCUUGCACCGUGUUCGAUGAAACGCCAACGAGGGUCAAAAGCUUCAAACCGCAUCGGCAUCGCUCGGGUACACGCUGGAGUGCUGGAUGUGAUGCUUGGCCAUCUCCAACUCACGAGCGUGUAAGAGAGAAAUCAUGAGACAGUAAUGAUUUACUUUGGUUUUGCAAUGUUUUUAUUUUAAAAAUAGUUGGUUUAUCUUUGUAAAAUAGUUAUUUACAUGAGAAUUAUUGAACAAAAUAGUUUUUAAAGAGCAAUUUGCAUUCAAGCAGUCUUCAUUCUUAACGAAGCUACGAGUUCACAUUUGCUCUAACCAAAAGGUCUUCAGUUUUUGCCACCACAGGAGCCUUGUAUUAGCUCUUGCGGUGCGAACGGGAGCUCGGAUGUCCGUGCGACUAAGCUGAUCUAUGAAAGUGGCCUUGGUGAUCCUGUGCCCCGGUUGGUAGGUUGGGAGACAGCAGGGAUGCAAACCAGCGCCAACGAUGGGCGAAGAUUGCACGACGGAUGAGCGGCGCUAGAGAUGGAAAAUCUGCUGGAGCAGUUUAGGUGAAAGGAUAAAGAUGUAGUUUUCAUUUUUUUUUCUAAUAAUGAAAGUCAGACUCACUGUAAAGAUCGACGUGGGCUUAACUUUAUGGAACUGGGCCUUAUGACACGUAGGGCCCAUCUGAAGCUUCUAGAGGUGUUAAUCCUGUGGUUGAGAAUGUGUGUGACAAAGCCUGUGUUUGAAGGCAAGAAUCGCAGGGGUGAUUGGGAAGAACACUAAACAGGACAAUUUACAGUACAACAUGAGCAUCUCCAUUAAAAGGCAGCACUUUUCUUUAUCCAAUGUUAGUACUUAGCUAAAGUGAUGAUAACUUUUACUAUGUAUAGAUUGAUAACUUGAUUAAUUCAUGCAGUAUAACAUUCUUGUAGACUGAAAAAUGUACCUUUUUUGCAAUGCAUCUUCCAUUGUAUGAGAGAAUGAUUUUUGUGGUUAAUAAAGGUUCCUCUCUCCUUUAUUUUGUCUUUAUUUUUACAUGGUAGAACAGAAAAUCCGUGUUUAGUGUAGCAAGGGAAUGGGGUAUUUUUUUGGGUACUCUGUUUUGUUGCAUGAAGCUGGUAACAAAAACUACGGGGGGCUGGUAAUUUUUGCACUUAGUUGAUUGGUAACUCACUGCAAUAGGCAAAAUUAUGUUUUCUAGUGGUGAAAGGAUGGUAAUUUUUGCACAGAUUGGGAGGGGGGUCUGGUGGGCGUGGGGUAAGUCUUUGUAUUAAGCAGAAUUUUUUUGGAGAUCUUUGGAUGAGUCUUUGAUUCUUACCAGGGUGAGGUGAUGUUGCCUGGUGAUUUCCUCGCCGUAUCCCUGGUAAUUUCCAGCGCUCCCCUGAUGGAUCUGCUCUUGUUUGAUCCAGAUCUAGAGGAGGGGUAGGUCUUUGCUGUUGAUUUUGAGCAGCUNNNNNNNNNNNNNNNNNNNNNNNNNNNNNNNNNNNNNNNNNNNNNNNNNNNNNNNNNNNNNNNNNNNNNNNNNNNNNNNNNNNNNNNNNNNNNNNNNNNNNNNNNNNNNNNNNNNNNNNNNNNNNNNNNNNNNNNNNNNNNNNNNNNNNNNNNNNNNNNNNNNNNNNNNNNNNNNNNNNNNNNGAGGGUAUACUUGCGUGGAAGGUAGGGGGGGGGGGAAGUUGCGAUCUGGAAAUUGCUGUCGUGGGGGGAUGGCAUUUUCUGUUGGGCCUUGUACAGCGAUUGGCCUUGUUAGCUAACAGGGUGGUCGGCCUGUUUAGCUGGCGGGGUGGCGGGUGAUCGACAGGUAAGGUAAGUUUUCUAUCGGGCACACUGUUGCCAAAUAUCGCUGUCCAUAAACUAUAUGUCCAAUACUUGCACUCACGGGCAUUUUUGCUACUAUUAAUAAAUUGGUAAAAAUCAGAGAAUGCGAGGCCUGGCCAAAUGGGCCGGCCCGGCCUGGGUUAAACGGGCCCGAACCCCUCUUGCCCUCUCUCCUAUAAAAGCUGUGCUUUUACCCCCGCACUCCAUCGCCUCGCCGCCGUUCCCCGCAACACCCUGUCGACCCAAUCUCACAUCCUCCUCUCGCCCGCCCGAGGUGAGCACUUGUAGUUCCUCUGGAUUGGUUGGUAGGCGCUGGUUCGUAGGUCUCGGAUCCAGCCAGCGUGGUCUCCCUCCGCGUGCAUCCGGAGUUUCUCGUUCCGAUUGUGGUUGGUAGGCGCGGCGCGGCGCGGGUUCAUAGGUGUCGGAUCCAGCGCCGUCUGUAUCCUAUUCGUAUGUGGAACCUCGGCUAGGAUAGGAUUUAAUUAGUUAGGUUUUGUAUUAGGGUAACACCACCUAGGGUUCGAUUGAUUAUCCGUAACAAGGAAUCAAUCUGACGUUUUAGUUAGGGUUUGCUUGGUUGGUUGUGGUCAGAUUUUGGUUUCUCAUGAAUUCUUCAACUGUGCCUGUCGCGAUUUUGGGCGGAAAUUGAUGAUUGAUUUCGGGGGCAAAAUCCGAGGUAAUUUGUGGAUGAAAGAUGGGGAAACUUGGGGAAACCAAGCAAAUCCAUGGAUCAAAAUCAACAAAACUUCAUCAUGCCAACAAAUCACAAAAAAAAUUUGGUGGGGAAAUUUCGAAUUAGGACGAAAAACAACAAGAUCAAAGCUAGAAAACGAAUAUUAAUUUGGAUGGAAUUCAUGCUAUGUUGUUCGAUUUCAGUUUAUGCCUGCCAGAAUGUUUAAUUUUUUGUUUUAUCAACUGUGUUUGAGCGUACUAGAUUUUUUGUUGCAUAUUCAUCUUCUUGCUCUGUUUGGAUAGGUAACAAUUAAUAUUUGGGAUCCUAAAAUAUUUAUGCACUGGCAGCACUUAACCUGCAGCUGCUGAUUAAUGUUGUAUUCAUAUGUGCUGCUUUCCAGCUCUCUUGUUUCGAUAGGUAUUUGGUUAUCGUUUGGGUCUAUUUAUUAUCGUUUGUAAAUGCUGGUUUGGUUUUCUGUGCUCACUAUCCCCUUGCACAUGGGAUGCAAUUUUUUUAUUUCCCUGCUGUUUAGUUUAUUGUUUCCUUUGAUGGUAAAGAGGCAUUAAUUCUGGAGAUAGAUGCAAUUUUCUUGCUCACAAUAAUACAAUGAAUGAUGGCAUCUCUAUCUACUUUAACCAAAUUAUAUCAUAUUCCCCCCUCUGUUAAUUAUUUUUCUGUUUUGGGUAUUCAUUCAUUUUGUUUAGUUGCCUAUCAGUAUAAAUACAUGGCUGCAUUGCUUUCACUUCAUAUUAAUAACUAUUCUGUCGCACAAUGCAAAUAUACAUAUGCUGUCCUAACUAAUUAAGUAGAAGCUUGGAUUGGUGCUGUAUGGUCUCUUCCUGACAUUAAAUCCUCCUCUGUUUGUGCUGUCUGUUUCUGCUGCUGCAGUCUUCUUCGCCGCCAAAAGGAAAUGAUGCUCUACAAAAUCCGCUCCCAUGCCCAAAUCCAAGACCUGCAGGCCCGCUCCGAUGAGCUGGGCCUCUCCAAUAAGUCCAUGCUUGUGAGUCUUGUCUCUCUGGAGUCGGUGCGCAUAGCGUGGGAGUCGUAUGCGCUCCUCCGCCCGCUGAUCAAGGAGUCGUGGAUUUGGGUAUGCCCGCAGCUGGAAAUCCUCUCGGACGUGGCAGGCUUGUCGCUGGAAAUCCAAAAGCUCGAGCAUGAUGUGUUACCCCAGCUCAAGCUUCAGGAGGCUAAGCUGGAAAGGGGCGCCCUGGAAGCCCUCCUACUCAUGAAGAACUCAGCUGUUGCGCUCUUACAUUUGAGGAAGUGCUUUAAGGAAGACUUGGGCGUAUUGCUUGCCAAGGAGGAUCUGGUCUCAGCCAAAGUCAAAAGGCUGAGCAAAAUGCUAAAGUAUAUUGCUGUCCGGUUGCUUCAGGAGCGUGAAUGCAACAUUGUCGGGCUUCAGGAGCGUGUCCGGUUGCUGGUCCAGCUGGUCACCGAGGUGUUGAACACCCCGGUUCAUUUCGAUGAUUCUGAUGAGUCUUCUGAUGAGUCUUCUGAUGAGUAGACUUAUCAGCCAGCUCGAGACUGUUGUGAUGAGUGUUUCUUAGGGGCGUGGCAAACAGUUUAGAAUCGAAUGUUGCGAUGUAUUUCUUGUAACCUCCUUUAUGUUUGGAUGUGUUAUUAAUGGAUUUUAAAUUUUAUGUAUUUUGGGUAGUGUUUUCUCAUUCUGUGCUAGUAGGUACAGUCACAUGGAGGUAUUCGCUCUUUUUGGGGAAUAUAUGCCAAAAGAAUAUACUCCCUCCGUUCUUAAAUAUUUGUCUUUCUAGAGAUUU
rnacentral:lncRNA from 1 species